rnacentral:lncRNA from 1 species
AAGACGCCGGUGCCGAGGCGGAGGGGGAUGGCGAGCGAGGCGCCGAGGACGCUGCCCAGCUGGCCGGACUUGACCUCGAACCUCUUGGGCUCGGGCGCCUUGAACCCCGGCGGAGGCUUGAACUCGGGCGUCGGCUCAGGCGCGGUGGUGGAGACGGCUGCGGCGGUGGUGUCCGGCUGGGCCCUGACGGCGAGAGAAGCGGCCCUGGCGGCGCGCGCGGUGGCGGUGGCACCCAAGGCGACGGUGCGGCGGGGGAGGAGGAGGGGCGUGCGGUGGUGCAGUGCGGCGGGCGGAGCCAUGGAUUGGAUUCGGCGGCGACGGCGACUCGGGCCGGACGGCGGGGAGCGGCGUGCGAGUUUCUGUGGCGCCUACGCGGCGAGACGCGGGGACGAAGCGAUUGGUGUACCUGCUGCUAGUGCAAGUGGAGUGGGUGGGCCCGGUCUGUUAAAUGGAGUAACGACCACCGGUGAUAAGUUAGCCAGCGUCUGACAUGUGGGACAACAGACGGCCCACAAACUCUUGGCACUCCCGCUUGACUGGGGAUCUUUGGGUCGGCGGAAAUCCCUUUCAACAUUCGUGGGCGGGGCGGCGGAUGACCUGGAGCUGGAGGUUCGUGGUAGCGGCCGCCGCCGGCCAUGGAGAAGAGAAAUCGGAUUCUCGACCUGCAGGACCUCCUCUCUGACGCGGACUUCGGCCCACUACUCGCCCGACAGCUACUGUCUCCGUUCAUGCGGCGGCCACCUACCUAUACCUCGUAGCAAGACACCAUAUCUUAAGUGCUGCCAUGGAUUUGCACCUAGAGCUCUACAUUGGUCGCCGGCGCCGCGGCGGAGGCAAGACUCAGAACUCAGAAGUACCCUCCCAUGGGAGUCCACUUCUGUCGGCUUGAUGGAGCACCUGAUGGAUGGAGAGGAGCUCGCCCAACAGGUACUCUCACCCUACCAGGCUAUUUUUCUUAUAGAAUUUAUAAUUGGUAAUCUAUUUUAUACAUUCAGAAGCAUCAGAUAGCAUGCAUUAUAUGCCAAUGAAAUUUCCUUCGUGGAGAGUUUGAGUAGCUUGUCUCCGAUGCUUAUCCAUGUCCCUUUCUUAUUUUUUUUCUUCUCUCUUUUAAUUAGAUAGACGUCGCCCGUGGGUUAAAUAUCUUGUGUAGUCAUUUAUUAAGGCGAGAAUAUUGUUACUUCUCAGACAUGUAUUAGUAGCUUGUCUGUGAUCUGGUAGUAACAUGAUAACAAUUAUUAAUUUUGAGGGGAAAAAUCGUACGUACAUUAUUAAUUAAUAACAUUCGGAGUCAAGUCAAUAUUAUGCAUCAGUAACAUUGUAUAAAAAAUUAGACACCUUACUUUGAUGUAUGUUACAUGAUUUAAUCAUGAACAAAUAAAUAAAUAAACGGGGAAUGGGAGGUAAUUAUGGUGGUUGAAAGAAAAAACGAUAUUUUAUGGUGGCGGAAAUAAAUAACGGGGAAUGAGAAAUUUAGAAGAUAGCCUUAGCUUCCGUUGUUUUAUCCGCAGCCACAAGUUUUGCUCUGCGUCUCCCAAGUUCCCGAUCUCGGCCGCGCGAGUCAGUGCACCCCGUGCGUGAUCAACAGGUCCUUCCUGCUGCCGCGGCCGCCUCCCACUUCGACUGCUCCCGCACCUUUCGUUCACGCAAGCGCAACCUGCUUCUCCCGCUGGCUGUCUCGGACACCCCCUCCCUCCUGCCACGCAUCCUCCCCGCCCACGAGUCUCCCCCGCAACCGGAUAAUAAGGAAGAGGAAGAGAAACCGUGCGGUGCGGCGAAAGGAACAGUGAAAAAGGAAGAAUCUCUCUGAUCGAGGUUCCUGUCCGGCUUGCAGAAUCUUGGCGGACAGCCAUAUAUGGAUGUACUGCUAGGUUCCGGGAGGUUCUUGGCGCGACGGCCUCCCCUCGCGCUCGUCCCUCGCUGCUCUCGAGGCUCCCCGGACAAAAGCGGCAGCGACAAAGGUACGCGAUCUGGUAGCUCUGUCACCGCCUAGUUCCUUGCUGCUGCCGUAGAACUGUUUGGUGAAAUGCCACUGAGAGAUCCAGCACGGUUUAAGAAGUAGCCCGGUCAUCGCAUCAGGAGUGCAGGACUAGUGCUGGGAAUUGGGCCGUGCCGGGCCGGCCCGGCCCAAGCCCAUCGUGCUUCGUGCCAAACGGGUUCGGGCCAAGAAAGUCUAAACAAUUUUUGGGCCGUGCCGUGCCAGCCCGAAGUGUAAAAACAGUAGCCCAGCCCGGCCCUAAACCACGUCGUGCCUUCGUUGGGCCGUGCCGGCCCAAGCCCGGCCCGUAUAUUUCACCACAUAAAAUCAAAAUAUUAUAAACAUAUAAAGUUCAUAUCUUACUAAAUUAAAGAUAUUAAACAAUUAUAGCAUCAUUUAACCACAUAAACUCUAAAUAUAACAACAAUAUAAAGUCAAUAUCUUACUAAAUUAAAGAGAUUAAACAGAUUGGGCUUAAUUGGGCCGUGCCGGCCCAAGCCCGGCCCAUCUAUGCGUGCCGUGCUGGGGGCCCGACGGGUCGGAAUUUGAGGCCCGGCCCAGGCCCGCCUUCGGGCCGUGCUAGCCCGGCCCAUAUUAUUUCGUGCCGGGCCGUGCUUUGGGCUCUUAUUUUCGGGCCGUGCUCGUGCUGGCCCGAAAAGCCCAGCCCAGAUUCCCAGCACUAUGCAGGACGCAACUGCCUGCUUGAUGCGAUCUGUUUAUCUGAUCGCGUAGGGCCUGCUAAGAUUUGAGUUGGCCCUGCUUGCUUGCUUGCUUGUUUGCUUGCUUGUUUGCUUCAAUUUCAAGAGGCCGGUGCAGGUUUUGGUGGUUGUCUGCGACCUUUAGACAAGAUAUGUAUACGUUAUAGUUUCACGUAAGGAGUUGUAUUAAGCCGAGAGAGAAAAAAUCAAAGAUGCACCAGUUGUGUAGACUGUAGACCGUCCUCAUGUUGGCGUUCAUUUCCCUUUCUGUGUGUCUGAAUGAGGUUUACAGUCCACAAUCCAGUAGUUAGGUCCUGACUAAUCCAAAACACUUUUACUCCAUUUUUUUGGUUUUUUGACACGAUGCAAACUCUCCUUCACUGUAAUUGAAACCUUUUCUUUUUUAAAAAAAAAUGUCAGCAGUAUGAUGGUUUUGAAGAAGAAACAGUGUUUCUGCUUUCCGGAGAUUUCCACACUCGAAUUUGCACUAUUCUUCGUAUACCUAAUCCCUUUACACAGAAAAAGUUACUACCCGGCUUUGAUUCUGUUUAUCCCUACAUUUGCUUUGGUGGAUUUUUGGUGGUGAUGAUUGAUGAAUUUCCAUCUUAAUUAUAGUUGUUUUUAGAAGUCUAUUCUACAUUAUGGUACAAGGUUAUGUAUGAUCUGAGAAACAUCUUAUGGCCAGAAUUUUGUUGCUGUACUAAUAAAAUAACAGUAGAUGGCUCGGGGCUCUCCUGCAAAACAAAAUUCUAACCAUAGAUUAGAUAGCUUGCAAGGAGUGGAUGGGCCACUGUUCUAAAAUUUGCUCCCAUCAGCCUGAAAACACAAAAGGCAUUGCUCUAUAUUGUUCCUUUGCACAGGAUGUUUGGAAAAAACCCGAACUGGAUGUACACGGCUAGCUGUAGCUCUAGUCUGCAAUUGCAAAAGACCUCCUAGAAAUGUGGUGGUAGUUCUGGUGGAAAGGAGAAAGGAAGCGAGUGGCAUCGUUGGCUACAUCUUGUGAAACCGUCGCAAUACACCAAACCAUAGUGUGUUUCAAAAAAAAAACAAAUCUGACAAUCAGAUAGCAUCUACUACGUCAUCAGGGAGGAUAUUGCUCAAACAAAGUUAGCAUUAGGAAGUUAAACCUUCUGUAUAGAUUUAAAUCUGCUGGUGUGACCCCACUGUACCUUUUAAAGCUUCUUACUUCCCUUUUUGAUCAAGAUGAAACCGUUCCUGCCUUCCUUUUUAACAAGAAAAAAAAUCGCACUACUUAUCUGUCCAUAGUUACUUAGUUUAUUUUGGAUACCAUUAUGACGGUAAAAGUAACCAUCUCUUCUCUUCCUCGUCAGGUGAAACCUCUGCUGACUGGGACAAGGCAUGGUCUGCCUUCAAGAAGAAAGGGAAGAGGACCCUGUUUUCUGAUUUCUCACCGGACAAGUACGUGACCUGGAACCCACGGCGCAGCGAGUAUCCAUUGUCAGAAGAGGUCGAUCCAAUCAAGAGAACUGAAAGAUCUAACUUGAUGUUGUGGACAAGCCCCCAGUUCACCUUGGUCGGGGCGAUUAUCAUCGUCUUGACAUUGCUAAUCUAUACACUAGUUGUUCCUCCUCCCAAGUAACUGCAGAGGUGACAACUACUGGGGGGGGGGGGGGGGGGUGAGCUGUAAACUAGUACUAUUUCAACUGGGAAGUCUGUAUUGUACAUUUUUACGUGUACUAUGGCAACUCACUAUAGCAGUAUUGAUUCAAUUGCAAUCAUGUAGAUACAACACCACUGUCCAUUCCAUUCUGGAGGUUUUUCUUCAAUUGUGUGCUAAAUGGCUGCUGUCUGAGUCUUAUAUUCACUUGUUAUAAUGAAGAAAUAUUUGGGGUCAGGUAGAAUUAUAUGUUGGUCGACUCCUGAUGUGUGUUUCUAAACAGCAACUUACCAAUCCUAUCUCCCACCACAUACAUAUUUCAAACUUCACUAUGUAAACAAUGCAGCGUAAAAUAGUGUAAACAAUGCAGCGUAAAAUAGUGUUUUGUACGACUACGCACGAUCUGGUGGAGAUAGCCUAAAGUUAUAUUAACCUGUGAAAGUUUGUACUAGUGUUGGGAGUGUUUGGGCAAUGGGGAACUGAUGGACACAUGAGAAUCACGUUUCUUAUUACAGAUAAAUUCAGGUCAAUGUCAGAUCAUCGCCUCCAUACAAUAAUAAGCCUUAGGCAUUAGGAUGUGUUUUAACAGACAAUUCGUCCACGGUGGUGGCCAGGACUUUCUUUCCCUGUGUGAAUGGAAUAGAAGAUGGGGUACAAUACAUUCUGGGACCUUUUCAAACCUGAGAGACGAGCUCCUUGCUCCCCAAGGAAGUUUGUCACACACACUCUUCCCCGUCGCCGCAUGUCCCCAGCAGCAUCUCAUCUGCUCUGCGGCUAUAAAAGUGAGCAAGCCUUCGCCUCCUGCCGUCACUCACUCUGACAUCAGACACAACACACUCAGCAGAUGGCUCUUCAGUCCCCUGAUUCCCGUGCCUUCCUGAGCAAGAAGCCACCCGCGGCGGCAAUGGAGCGGCAGGAGGCGGCGAGGCGGACCCUGCCGCGGCACGGGCAGAUCAAGCUGCGCAUCUUCGCGAGCCUGUUCCGGUGCUUCAUCACCCCCGAGGCACCCGCGCGCAAGGAAGGCGACAAGAACAGAGAUGGCGGCGGCCGCCGCGUUUCCCCAGGAGGCUGACGCGGCUCGAGCGAUGCAGGAUGUUGUCUCUGAACUCCGGCUUCAGCUCGAGUGCUACGUCUCAGGGGUGUUUGUUGCUCCGGCUAAAGUUUAGCCCGGGUCACAUGACCCAACCAACUGGACUAGAUUCGUCUCGUCUUUUAAUCUUCGGCUGACAAAUUAGUUUUAUAAUCCGACUACAUUUAAUACCCAGAACGGAGGUUCAAACAUUCGAUGGGACAGGGGCUAAAUUUUAGUUUGGGGUAACCAAACACCCCCUCACUGUAUAUAAUAUAAUAGGCUUAGCUGCAGUACAGCCUGCGGAAGAGUGGUUCAAUUUUUCUGAGAAUUUGUUAGCCUGAAUGAUGACAAAAACAAAAACAAAAAAAACAUCCUGUUCAAGUGUAAAUUUCUACCUGUAGAGUUGCAGUUGGGGUCAAGUGAUACCUUGACUUUGUAAAUUCGCCUCUCUGAAUAUACUGGUGUAAUCUACUUGUUUCAGCCAAUGCCUUGCUACCGACACCGAGUACUGAGCAGUAUUGACAUCCCUCCCUCCAUUUCAUUUGGUCGAAUUUCCCUGGUAUCCUAAUCAGGAGUAAUAGCUAUUUGAUAGUUGGUUUAUUAACUAACCUGUUCUAAACCUCUUGGCUAAUUUUAACGGCUAAUAAUUAGUUUUAGAAGUUUGGAACAUUCGCUGGUUUAUUUACUAUAGUAAUGAUUUUGUAGGCCUUAGUACUGGUUCACUAUAGUAUUGACAUCGCCUUAGUACUCUUUCGUACUCACGAUUUUAGUUUCUGUCUAAAUGUAUUAACAAGUUAAUCUAUCCUUUAAAAUAGUAUUCUGACUUCCUUUUAAUCAUUUCCAUUUUUUGGUUAUUUCUUACCGGACCAUGCUAUCCCACCUUGGUCACCGACGGGAGCAUCCGGCCGGCCGGCCCGCCUCCCUCCCUCCCCAUUCUCAUCCUCUGCCACCCAAUCCAAUUAAAGAAGUUACAUCUUAAACAUCAUGGUAUUGCACAUUUCUAAAUAUGGUUCUGCUCAAAAUAAUAAAUAAAUGAUUUCAAGUAACAUUCCGAAUAUGCAACUUUUCCAAUGUAUUGUUUAUAGCAUUACUAUCCCUAUAGGCCAAUAAUCACAACAAGUCAAAGGUGACUUUAAUUUGUGUCACGUAGUUUUGAGUUGAUCUUUAUAUGUGCGUACUUCUUUGGAACGCGGGAAUUUCACAUAAACCAUAUAGGAAUUUUAUAGGAAUUAGUUCAAAACCUAGGAAAAACACAGGAUUUAGGAAAUAAUCCUUCAACCCAAAGGAGCCCUAACCUCGUAGACAUGCUCGGGGAUAGCUUAAUUCUGCAACACCUACUGUCCAAAUGUUUGGCUGAACAUAGUUCUGACAAUAAUGGGCUCUAUAUACAAACAUCAUAUGUGUUAUUGAUGGGAAGAUGAAAAACAGGCUUGACACUUCUUUGCAUUUUUGUUGCAUAAUUUUUUUGAAUCCAUAUUACAGUUAUAAUGAUCCUACUAUCUCCACAACUGAGCUAGUAAUGGAUGGAUCGAUGUCAGCUGUUAAAACAAUGGUGAUUAUGACAGGUAAAAUCAAGUACCGAAUCUUCCUGCCUUCCCUUAAAUGUGUUUGUGUGUUUCAGAUUUGAUUAAUGCUGACCCUCACUUGGCAUUCUAUGUUGUAGAAUCACACGAAGAAAAUAAUAAUGUGAACCAAGCAAUCUGUAACGCUAGUAAAAAAUGUGAGUGCUCACCUUCUUCACUCCGAAGGACCAAGCUUCACAUCGGUAAUGCAUGUCGGCGCCCGAUUCCACGAGACAUCGGCAAUGACAAGGUUUUGCAUCAAUGGGGUUGUGGGAUCCUGGCAAAGAGUGGUUGGCACUAUGUGCGUACCAAAGCGAGGAGAGGGUGGAGCAAUGCGCAUCAUAAAGCACUGGUGAAGAGCAUGAGGCGGUCGUCACACGAUGGCAAAGCGACGUUGUGUCCCCCGCCCCCAUGUCAUCAAUGUGGUGAGCAGGUAUAUGCAUGAGUACUAGGGAUGGAAAUUUAAUCCGUGGAUUUGGAUAUCCGGCAGAUAUCCAACCCGACGGAUUAGGAUAUGGAUAUGUUUUUUGACCCACGGGUUAGACCCGUAUCCGAUCCGAGAUAAAGUGGGCAUGGAUUUGGAUAUUAAAUCUCACUCGUGGAUAAUCCGUUGGAUAUCCGAAAUUAACCAUUAGUUCAUUAUUGAGCCCAGGCGCCAGCCCACCAAAGUAACAUUCAGCGCACCAAAGCACCAAGCCACCAGCCCACCAUAAUCCCUAAUUUCCCAAUCCCCAUCCGACCAUCCCCUAGCCUCAAUCGUUCAAUCCCAGCCUCCCAGUCAUCCUGCAGCCUCAAGCGCAAAAGCCACCCGCGCCGCCUAGGCAACCCGCAACCCGCAAGCCACCCGCGUUGCCCCGGCCCCCCGUGCAGACGCAGCUCCAAGCUCCGCCCUGCUCUAAGCGCCGUCGGCCCCCGCAUAGACGCAGCUCUGAAAAUCUGAAAUCCGCCCUGCUCUGAGCUCCACCCUGCGCAGCUGCACUGAGCUCCGCUCUGCUCUGUUGAGACAUGUAGACAUGUAUUUUUGUCAUGUUGAGAAUAUUGCUUGUUGAAGGACAUGUGAAAGGGAAUUAGACUUACACCUAUUUCCUAAUUGAUUUUGGUGGUUGAAUUGCCCAACACAAAUAAUUGGACUAACUAGUUUGCUCUAGUCUAUAAGUUCUACAGGUGCCAAAGGUUCACAAUAAGCCAAUAAAAAGACCAAGAAAAGGGUUCAAACAAGAGAGCAAGGGAUAACCGAAGUGUGCCCUGGUCUGGCGCACCGGACUGUCCGGUGUGCCACCGGACAGUGUCCGGUGCACCAGGGGACUCCAAGCUGAACUCCUCACCUUCGGGAAUUCUCAGAGGCGCUCCGCUAUAAUUCACCGGACUGUCCGGUGCCCCAAGUAAGAGCGACUCUGAACUCGCCAGCUUCGGGAAUCCGCUCCGCUAAAAUUCACCGGACUGUCUGGUGUGACAGCGGAGCAACGACUACUUCGCGCGCAACGACCGACUGCAGCGCAUUAAAUGCGCGCCUGCGCGCGCAGAGGAGCAGAGCACGCGCGGGUGGCACACCGGACAGCCUACAUGGCCUGUCCGGUGCACCACCGGACAGCCAGGCGGGCCCACAAGUCAGAGCUCCAAGGGUCGGAACCCAACGGCCAGGUGACGUGGCUGGUGCACCGGACAGUGUCCGGUGGCGCACCGGACUGUCCGGUGCGCCCGUCGACAGCAGCCUCCACCAACUGUCAAGUUUGGUGGUUGGGGCUAUAAAUACCCCAACCACCCCCACAUUCAAGCAUCCAAGUUUUCCACCUUCCAACUACUUACAAGAGCUCUAGCAUUCAAUUCUAGACACAACCAAAUAGAUCAAAUCCUCUCCCAACUCCACACAAAGCUCUAGUGAUUAGAGAGAGAGAUUUGUUGUGUUCUUUUGAGCUCUUGCGCUUGGAUUGCUUCUUUCUCAUUCUUUCUUGUGAUCAAAACUCAAUUGUAACCAAGGCAAGAGACACCAAUUGUGUGGUGGUCCUUGCGGGAACUUCGUGUUCCGUUUGAUUGAGAAGAGAAGCUCACUCGGUCCGAGGGACCGUUUGAGAGAGGGAAAGGGUUGAAAGUGACCCGGUCUUUGUGACCACCUCAUCGGGGAGUAGGUUUGCGAGAACCGAACCUCGGUAAAACAAAUCCUUGUGUCUCACUUCUUAUUCGCUUACUAUUUGUUUUUGUGCCCUCUCUCGGACUCACAUUUAUUUCUAACGCUAACCCGACUUGUAGUUGUGCUUAAGUUGUUAAAUUUCAGAUUCGCCCUAUUCACCCCCCCUCUAGGCGACUUUCAAUUGGUAUCGGAGCUUGGUGCUUCAUUAGAGCCUAACCGCUCGAAGUGAUGUCGGGAGAUCACGCCAAGAAGCCCGCUACAAGCCACGGGAAGGCUCCAUCGGGAGAGUCCUACAACAAAGGGAAGGGGAAGGAAAAGGAAUCCCCUUCACACAAGUCGCGUCGGAGCAGUGACAAGAAAAAGAAGAUGAGGAAGGUGGUCUACUACGAGACCGACUCCUUGUCGCCAUCCACCUCUGGCUCCGACACGCCGUCCGUAACUUCUAAGCGCCAUGAGCGCAAGAAGUUUAGUAAGAUCCCCCUACGCUAUCCUCGCAUUCCUAAACAUGCACCUUUACUUUCUGUCCCAUUAGGCAAACCACCAACAUUUGAUGGUGAAGAUUAUGCUAGGUGGAGUGAUUUGAUGCGAUAUCACCUAACCUCACUCCACAAAAGUAUAUGGGAUGUUAUUGAGUUUGGCGUACAGGUACCAUCCGUAGGGGAUGAAGAUUAUGAUGAGGACGAAGUGGCCCAAAUCCAACACUUCAACUCCCAAGCCACAACUAUAUUCCUCACCUCUCUAAGUCGAGAGGAGUAUAACAAGGUGCAAGGAUUGAAAAGUGCUAAGGAGAUUUGGGACACGCUAAAGACCGCGCACGAAGGAGACGAGGUGACCAAGAUCACCAAGCGGGAGACGAUCGAGGGGGAGCUCGGUCACUUCCGACUUCGCCAAGGGGAGGAGCCACAAGACAUGUACAACCGGCUCAAAACCUUGGUGAACCAAGUGCGCAACCUCGGGAGCAAAAAAUGGGAUGACCACGAAAUGGUUAAGGUUAUUCUAAGAUCACUUGUUUUCCUUAACCCUACUCAUGUUCAAUUAAUUCGUGGCAAUCCUAGAUAUACACUAAUGACUCCUGAGGAAGUAAUCGGGAAUUUUGUGAGCUUUGAAUUGAUGAUCAAAGGCUCAAAGAAGAUCAACGAGCUUGAUGGCCCCUCCACGUCCGAAGCACAACCGGUCGCAUUCAAAGCGAUGGAGGAAAAGAAGGAGGAGUCUGUAUCAAGUAGACAACCAAUCGAUGCCUCAAAGCUCGACAAUGAGGAGAUGGCGCUCAUUGAAAGAGAAUUAGGCUUACAUCUAUUUUUCUAAUUGAUUUUGGUGGUUGAAUUGCCCAACACAAAUAAUUGGACUAACUAGUUUGCUCUAGUCUAUAAGUUAUACAGGUGCCAAAGGUUCACACUUAGCCAACAAAAAGACCAAGAAAUGGGUUCAACAAAGAGAGCAAGGGUUAACAGAAGGCAGCCCUGGUCUGGCGCACCGGACUGUCCGGUGUGCCACCGGACAGUGUCCGGUGCACCAGGGGACUUCAAGCCAAACUCUUCACCUUCGGGAAUUUUCAGAGGCGCUUCACUAUAAUUCACCGGACAUGUCCGGUGCUCCAGGGGAGAGCGACUCUGAACUCGCCAGGUUCGGAUUUCCGCUCCGCUAUAAUUCACCGGACAUGUCCGGUGCACACCGGACUGUCCGAUGAGCCAGCGGAGCAACGACUACUUCGCGCCAACGGUCGUCUGCAACGCAUUAAAUGCGCGCCAGCGCGCGCAGAGGAGCAGAGCACGCGCGGGUGGCACACCGGACAGUCUACAGGACUUGUCCGGUGCACCACCGGACAGCCAGGCGGGCCCACACGUCAGAGCUCCAACGGUCGGAACCCAACGGCUAGGUGACGUGGCUGGCGCACCGGACAGUGUUCGGUGGCACACCGGACUGUCCGGUGCGCCAUGUGACAGCAGCCUCCACCAAACGGCUAGUUUGGUGGUUGGGGUUAUAAAUACCCCCAACCACCCCACAUUCAAGUCAUCCAAGUUUUCCACCUUCCAACCACUUACAAGAGCUAGGCAUUCAAUACAAGACACACCCAAGUGAUCAAAUCCUCUCCCAAUUCCACAAAAGCUUUAGUGUUAAGUGAGAGUGAUUUGUUGUGUUCUUUUGAGCUCUUGCGCUUGGAUUGCUUUCUUUCUCAUUCUUUCUUGAGAUCAAACUCACUUGUAAUUGAGGCAAGAGACACCAAUCGUGUGGUGAUCCUUGUAGGAACUUUGUGUUCCAAGUGAUUGAGAAGAAAAGCUCACUCGGUCCGAGGGACCGUUUGAGAGAGGGAAAGGGUUGAAAGAGACCCGGUCUUUGUGACCACCUCAAUGGGGAGUAGGUUUGCAAGAACCGAACCUCGGUAAAACAAAUCCACGUGUCACACUCUUCAUUCGCUUGUGAUUUGUUUUGCGCCCUCUCUCUCGGACUCGUUUCUAUUAUUAACGCUAACCCAGCUUGUAGUUGUGAUUAAUUUUGUAAAUUUCAGUUUCGCCCUAUUCACUCCCCCCUCUAGGCGACUUUCAAUUGGUAUCAGAGCCCGGUGCUUCAUUAGAGCUUAACCGCUCGAAGUGAUGUCGGGAGAUCACGCCAAAAAGGAGAUGGAGACCGGCGAUAAGCCCACUACAAGCCACGGGAAAGCCUCAUCGGGAGAGUCCCGCAACAAAGGGAAAGGUAAGGAGAAGAAAUCCUCUUCCCACAAGUCGCAUCGGAGUGGCGACAAGAAAAAGAAGAUGAGGAAGGUGGUCUACUACGAGACCGAUACGUCAUCGCCUUCCACCUCCGGCUCCGACGCGCCCUCCGUAACUUCUAAGCGCCAUGAGUGCAAGAAGUUUAGUAAGAUCCCCCUACGCUACCCUCGCAUUCCUAAACAUACUCCAUUACUUUCCGUUCCAUUAGGCAAACCGCCAACCUUUGACGGUGAAGAUUAUGCUAGGUGGAGUGAUUUGAUGAAAUUUCACCUAACCUCACUCCACAAAAGUAUAUGGAAUGUUGUUGAGUUUGGAGCACAGGUACCAUCCGUAGGGGAUGAGGAUUAUGAUGAGGACGAGGUGGCCCAAAUCGAGCACUUCAACUCCCAAGCCACAACUAUACUCCUCGUCUCUCUAAGUCGAGAAGAGUAUAACAAGGUGCAAGGAUUAAAGAGCGCCAAGGAAGUUUGGGACAUGCUCAAGAUCGCACACGAAGGAGAUGAGCUAACCAAGAUCACCAAGCGGGAGACGAUCGAGGGAGAGCUCGGUCGCUUCCGUCUUCUCCAAGGGGAGGAGCCACAAGACAUGUACAACCGGCUCAAAACCUUGGUGAAUCAAGUGCGCAACCUCAGGAGCAAAAAAUGGGAUGACCACGAAAUGGUUAAGGUUAUUCUAAGAUCACUUAUUUUCCUUAACCCUACUCAAGUUCAAUUGAUUCGUGGCAAUCCUAGAUAUACACUAAUGACUCCCGAGGAAGUGAUCGGGAAUUUUGUGAGCUUUGAGUUCAUGAUCAAAGGCUCAAGGAAGAUCAACGAGCUUGAUGGUCCCUCCAUGUCCGAAGCACAACCGGUCGCAUUUAAGGCGACGGAGGAGAAGAAGGAGGAGUCUACACCAAGUAGACAACCAAUCGACGCCUCAAAGCUCGCCAAUGAGGAGAUGACGCUCGUCAUCAAGAGCUUCCGCCAAAUCCUCAAGCAAAGGAGGGGGAAGGAUCACAAAUCUCGCUCCAAGAAAGUUUGCUACAAGUGUGGUAAGCCCGGUCACUUUAUUGCAAAAUGUCCUAUUUCUAGUGACAGUGACAGGGGCGACGACAAGAAGGGGAGAAGAAAGGAGAAGAAGAGGUACUACAAGAAGAAGGGCGGCGAUGCCCAUGUUUGUCGCGAGUGGGACUCCGACGAGAGCUCCACCGACUCCUCCUCCGACGAGGACGCCGCAAACAUCACCGUCACCAAGGGACUUCUCUUCCCCAACGUCAGCCACAAGUGCCUCAUGGCAAAGGACGGCAAAAAGAAGAAGGUUAAAUCCAAAUCCUCCACUAGAUAUGAGUCCUCUAGCGAUGAUAAUGCUAGUGAUGAGGAAGAUAAUUUGCGUACUCUUUUUGCUAACCUCAACAUGCAACAAAAGGAAAAACUAAAUGAACUAAUUAGUGCUAUCCAUGAAAAGGAUGAUCUCUUGGACUCUCAAGAGGACUUCCUUAUUAAAGAAAACAAAAAGCAUGUUAAGGUUAAAAAUGCUUACGCUCUAGAAGUAGAAAAAUGUGAAAAACUAUCUAGUGAGCUAAGCACAUGCCAUGAGACUAUAAACAACCUUAGAAAUGAGAAUGCUAAUUUGCUAGCUAAGGUUGAUGCAAAUGUUUGUGAUGUUUCAAUUCCCAAUCUUAGAAAUGAUAAUGAUGAUUUGCUUGCUAAGAUUGAAGAAUUAAACAUGUCUCUUGCUAGCCUUAGAAAUGAAAAUGAAAGAUUGCUUACUAAGGCUAAAGAAUUAGAUGUUUGCAAUGUUACAAUUUCCGAUCUUAGAGAUAAAAAUGAUAUAUUGCGUGCUAAGAUUGUUGAACUUAAUUCUUGCAAACCCUCUACAUCUACCACUGAGCAUGUCACUAUUUGCACUAGAUGUAGAGAUGUUGAUAUUAAUGCUAUUCAUGAUCACAUGGCUUUAAUUAAACAACAAAAUGAUCAUAUAGCUAAACUAGAUGCUAAAAUUACCGAGCAUGAACUAGAAAAUGAAAAUUUUAAAUUUGCUCGUAGUAUGCUUUAUAGUGGGAGACGCCCUGGCAUUAAGGAUGGCAUUGGCUUCCAAAAGGGGGACAAUGUCAAACUUAAUGCCCCUCCUAAGAAAUUAUCCAACUUUGUUAAGGGCAAGGCUCCUAUGCCUCAGGAUAACGAGGGUUACAUUUUAUACCCUGUUGGUUAUCCCGAGAGCAAAAUUAGGAGAAUUCAUUCUAGGAAGUCUCACUCUGGCCCUAACCAUGCUUUUAUGUAUAAGGGUGAGACAUCUAGUUCUAGGCAACCAACCCGUGCUAAGUUGCCUAAGAAGAAAACUUCUAGUGCAUCAAAUGAUCAUGACAUUUCAUUUAAAACUUUUGAUGCAUCAUAUGUGUUAACUAACAAAUCCGGCAAGUUAGUUGCCAAAUAUGUUGGGGCAUGCACAAGGGGUCAAAGACUUGUGUUUGGGUACCCAAAGUUCUUGUGUCUAAUGCCAAAGGACCCAAAACCAUUUGAGUACCUAAAGUCAAGAACUAAACUUGUUUUGUAGGUUUAUGCAUCCGGAGGCUCAAGUUGGAUCAUCGAUAGCGUGUGCACAAACCACAUGACAGGGGAGAAGAAAAUGUUCUCCUCCUAUGAGAAAAACCAAGAUCCCCAACGAGUUAUCACAUUCGGGGAUAGAAACCAAGGUUUGGUCAAAGGAUUGGGUAAAAUUGCUAUAUCUCCUGACCAUUCAAUUUCCAAUGUUUUUCUUGUAGAUUCCCUAGAUUACAAUUUGCUUUCUGUUUCUCAAUUAUGUCAAAUGGGCUACAACUGUCUUUUUACUGAUGUAGGUGUCACUGUCUUUAGAAGAAGUGAUGAUUCAAUAGCAUUUAAGGGAGUGUUAGAGGGUCAGCUAUACUUGAUAGAUUUUGACAGAGCUGAACUCGACACUUGCUUAAUUGAUAAGACUAACAUGGGUUGGCUCUGGCACCGCCGACUAGCCCAUGUUGGAAUGAAGAGUCUUCAUAAGCUUCUAAAGGGAGAGCACAUUUUAGGAUUAACAAACGUUCAUUUUGAGAAAGACAGGGUUUGUAGCGCAUGCCAAGCAGGGAAGCAAGUUGGUGCUCAUCAUCCACACAAGAACAUCAUGACGACUGACAGGCCACUGCAACUCCUACACAUGGAUCUAUUCGGCCUGAUUGCUUACAUAAGUAUCGACGGGAGUAAGUACUGUCUAGUUAUUGUGGAUGAUUAUUCUCGCUUCACUUGGGUAUUCUUUUUGCAGAAAAAAUCUCAUACCCAAGAAACUUUAAAAGGAUUCUUGAGACGGGCUGAAAAUGAGUUCAGCUUAAGGAUCAAGAAAAUCAGAAGCGACAACGGGACGAAGUUCAAGAACUCUCAAAUUGAAGGCUUCCUUGAGGAGGAGGGCAUCAAGCAUGAGUUCUCUUCUCCCUACACACCACAACAAAAUGGUGUAGUGGAGAGGAAGAAUAGAACUCUAUUGGACAUGGCAAGAACCAUGCUUGAUGAGUACAAGACUUCAGAUCGGUUUUGGGCCAAGGCGGUCAACACCGCAUGCUACGCCAUCAACCGAUUGUAUCUACACCAAAUCCUCAAGAAGACAUCAUACGAACUCCUAACCGGUAAAAAGCCCAAUAUUUCAUAUUUUAGAGUCUUUGGUAGCAAAUGCUUUAUUCUUGUUAAAAGAGGUAGAAAAUCUAAAUUUGCUCCUAAGACUGUAGAAGGCUUUUUACUAGGAUAUGAUUCAAACACAAGGGCAUAUAGAGUCUUUAACAAGUCCUCUGGACAAGUUGAAGUUUCUUGUGACGUUGUGUUUGAUGAGACUAACGGCUCUCAAGUAGAGCAAGUUGAUCUUGAUGAGAUAGGUGAUGAAGAGGCUCCGUGCAUCGCGCUAAGGAACAUGUCCAUUGGGCAUGUGUGUCCUAAGGAAUCCGAAGAGCCUCCAAAUGCACAAGAUCAACCAUCCUCCUCCACGCAAGCAUCCCCACCAACUCAAAAUGAGGAUGAGGCUCAAGUUGAUAAAGGAGAAGAUCAAAGAGAUGAGCCACCUCAAGAUGACGACAAUGAUCAAGGGGGAGAUGCAAAUGAUCAAGACAAGGAGGAUAAAGAACCAAGGCCGCCACACCCAAGAGUCCACCAAGCAAUCCAACGAGAUCACCUCGUCGACACCAUCCUCGGCGACAUUCAUAAGGGGGUAACCACUAGAUCUCGUGUUGCACAUUUUUGUGAGCAUUACUCUUUUGUUUCCUCUAUUGAGCCACACAGGGUAGAGGAAGCACUUCAAGAUUCGAAUUGGGUGGUGGCGAUGCAAGAAGAGCUCAACAACUUCACGAGGAAUGAGGUAUGGCAUUUGGUUCCACGUCCUAAUCAAAAUGUUGUAGGAACCAAAUGGGUGUUCCGCAACAAGCAAGAUGAGCAUGGUGUGGUGACAAGGAACAAAGCCCGACUUGUGGCCAAAGGAUACUCCCAAGUCGAAGGUUUGGAUUUCGGUGAAACCUAUGCACCUGUAGCUAGGCUUGAGUCAAUUCGCAUAUUAUUAGCCUAUGCUACUUACCAUGGCUUCAAGCUUUAUCAAAUGGACGUGAAGAGUGCCUUCCUUAAUGGACCAAUCAAAGAAGAGGUCUACGUUGAGCAACCUCCCAGCUUUGAAGAUAGUGAGUACCCUAACCAUGUAUAUAAACUCUCCAAGGCGCUUUAUGGGCUCAAGCAAGCCCCAAGAGCAUGGUAUGAAUGCCUUAGAGAUUUUCUUAUCACUAAUGGAUUCAAAGUCGGAAAGGCCGAUCCUACACUCUUUACCAAAACACUUGAAAAUGAUUUGUUUGUAUGCCAAAUUUAUGUUGAUGAUAUUAUAUUUGGGUCUACUAACGAAUCUACAUGUGAAGAGUUUAGUAGGAUCAUGACACAAAAAUUCGAGAUGUCUAUGAUGGGGGAGUUGAAGUAUUUCUUAGGACUUCAAGUGAAGCAACUCCAAGAGGGCACCUUCCUAAGCCAAACGAAGUAUACUCAAGAUAUUCUAAGCAAGUUUGGGAUGAAGGAUGCCAAACCCAUCAAGACACCCAUGGGAACCAAUGGGCAUCUCGACCUCGACACGGAAGGUAAAUCCGUCGAUCAAAAGGUAUAUCAGUCGAUGAUAGGUUCUUUACUCUAUUUAUGUGCAUCUCGACCGGAUAUUAUGCUUUCCGUAUGCAUGUGUGCAAGAUUCCAAGCCGACCCUAAGGAAGCUCACCUUACGGCCAUAAAACGAAUCUUGAGAUAUUUAGUUUAUACUCCUAAGUUUGGGCUUUGGUAUCCUAUCGGAUCCACAUUUGAUUUGAUUGGUUAUUCGGAUGCCGAUUGGGCGGGGUGUAAGAUUAAUAGAAAGAGCACAUCGGGGACUUGCCAGUUCUAAGGAAGAUCCUUGGUGUCUUGGGCUUCAAAGAAGCAAAAUUCCGUAGCUCUUUCUACCGCCGAAGCCGAGUAUAUUGCCGCAGGACAUUGUUGCGCGCAACUACUUUGGAUGAGGCAAACCCUUAGGGACUACGGUUACAAAUUAACCAAAGUUCCCCAAUGGAAUUCCACAAAAGCUUUAGUGUUAAGUGAGAGUGAUUUGUUGUGUUCUUUUGAGCUCUUGCGCUUGGAUUGCUUUCUUUCUCAUUCUUUCUUGAGAUCAAACUCACUUGUAAUUGAGGCAAGAGACACCAAUCGUGUGGUGAUCCUUAUAGGAACUUUGUGUUCCAAAUGAUUGAGAAUAAAAGCUCACUCGGUCCGAGGGACCGUUUGAGAGAGGGAAAGGGUUGAAAGAGACCCGGUCUUUGUGACCACCUCAACGGGGAGUAGGUUUGCAAGAACCGAACCUCGGUAAAACAAAUCCACGUGUCACACUCUUCAUUCGCUUGCAAUUUGUUUUGCGCCCUCUCUCUCGGACUCGUUUCUAUUACUAACGCUAACCCGGCUUGUAGUUGUGAUUAAUUUUGUAAAUUUCAGUUUCGCCCUAUUCACCCCCCCCCUCUAGGCGACUUUCACUCAUCAUCAAGAGCUUCCGCCAAAUCCUCAAACAAAGGAGGGGGAAAGAUUACAAGCCCCGCUCUAAGAAAGUUUGCUACAAAUGUGGUAAGCCCGGUCAUUUCAUUGCUAAAUGUCCAUUGUCUAGUGAUAGUGACAGGGGCGACGACAAAAAGGGGAGAAGAAAGGAGAAGAAGAGGUACUACAAGAAGAAGGGCGGCGAUGCCCAUGUUUGCCGGGAGUGGGACUCCGACGAGAGCUCCACCGACUCCUCCGACGAGGACGCCGCCAACAUUGCCGUCACCAAGGGACUCCUCUUCCCCAACGUCGGCCACAAGUGCCUCAUGGCAAAGGACGACAAAAAGAAGAAGGUAAAAUCAAGAUCCUCCACUAAAUAUGAGACCUCUAGCGAUGAGGAUAAUGCUAGUAAUGAGGAGGAUAACUUGCACAUCCUUUUUGCCAAUCUAAACAUGCAACAAAAAGAAAAAUUAAAUGAAUUGAUUAGUGCUAUUCAUGAGAAGGAUGAUCUCUUGGACACCCCAGAGGACUUCCUUAUUAAAGAAAACAAAAAGCAUGUUAAGGUUAAAAAUGCUUACGCUCUAUAAGUUGAAAAAUGUGAAAAAUUAUCUAGUGAGCUAAGCACUUGUCAUGAUAUUAUUACCAACCUUAGAAAUGAGAAUGCAAAUUUAAUUGCUAAGGUUGAUUCGAAUGCUUGUGAUGUUUCAAUUCCCAAUCUUAGAGAUGAUAAUAUUGAUUUGCUUGCUAAGAUUGAAGAAUUGAAUAUCUCUCUUGCUAGCCUUAGAGAUGAAAAUGAAAAAUUGCUUGCUAAGGCUAAAGAUUUUGAUGUUUGCAAUGCUACCAUUUCCGACCUUAGAACUAAGAAUGAUAUAUUGCAUGCUAAGGUUGUAGAAUUAAAAUCUUGCAAACCCUCUACAUCUACCGUUGAGCACACUUCUAUUUGCACUAGAUGUAGAGAUAUUGAUGUUAAUGCUAUUCAUGAUCACAUGUCUUUAAUUAAACAACAAAAUGAUCAUAUAGCAAAACUAGAUGCAAAAAUUGCCAAGCAUAACUUAGAAAAUGAAAAAUUUAAAUUUGCUAGAAGUAUGCUCUAUAAUGGGAGACACCCUGGCAUCAAGGAUGGCAUUGGCUUCCAAAGGGGAGACAAUGUCAAACUUAAUGCCCCUCCUAAAAGAUUGUUAAAUUUUGUAAAGGGCAAGGCUCCCAUGCCUCAGGAUAACGAGGGUUAUAUUUUAUACCCUGCCGGUUAUCCCGAGAGCAAGAUUAGGAGAAUUCACUCUAGGAAGUCUCACUCUGGUCCUAACCAUGCUUUUAUGUAUAAGGGUGAGACAUCUAGCUCUAGGCAACCAACCCGUGCUAAGUUGCCUAAGAAAAGAACUCCUAAUGCAUCAAAUGAUCAUGACAUUUCAUUCAAAACUUUUGAUGCAUCAUAUGUGUUGACUAACAAAUCCGGCAAAGUAGUUGCCAAAUAUGUUGGGGGCAAGCACAAGGGGUCAAAGACUUGUGUUUGGGUACCCAAAGUUCUUGUGUCUAAUGCCAAAGGACCCAAAACCAUUUGGGUACCUAAAGUCAAGAACUAAACUUGUUUUGUAGGUUUAUGCAUCCGGGGGCUCAAGUUGGAUACUCGACAGCGGGUGCACAAACCAUAUGACAGGGGAGAAGAAGAUGUUCUCCUCCUACGAGAAAAAGCAAGAUCCCCAACGAGCUAUCACAUUCGGGGAUGGAAAUCAAGGUUUGGUCAAAGGUCUUGGUAAAAUAGCUAUAUCUCCUGACCAUUCUAUUUCCAAUGUUUUUCUUGUAGACUCAUUAGAUUACAAUUUGCUUUCCGUUUCUCAAUUAUGCAAAAUGGGCUACAACUGUCUUUUCACAGAUGUAGGUGUUACUGUCUUUAGAAGGAGUGAUGAUUCAAUAGCAUUUAAGGGAGUGUUAGAGGGUCAGCUAUACUUGGUAGAUUUUGAUAGAGCUGAACUCGACACUUGCUUAAUUGCUAAGACUAACAUGGGCUGGCUCUGGCAUCGCCGACUAGAACAUGUUGGAAUGAAGAAUCUUCACAAACUUCUAAAGGGAGAACACAUUUUAGGACUAACAAAUGUUCAUUUUGAGAAAGACAGGGUGAAAGUGCAUUCAUCCCUUUUGUGAUUUUGGUGAUUUGGAUAACAACACAUUUAAAGGUCUAACGAGUUUGCUAAGUGUUGAACAGGAAAUUCAGUAUGAUGAACAUACUUGAAUAGUGUAUAAUGAUCAGUGAACAAGGUUCAACACAAGGUCAAAUAACCAGUGAGACAAUGCAAAUGGAUAUAAUAUGGUCUCUAUAUUGGUUUGAAUAUAUGGACAAGUCCUAAGAAAUCACUAUGCAUAAAUAUGAUCAUAAUAGAGGUUGAAGUGAUUAAGAGGAUUGGUCAAGCCAAAGUGAAUAAGAUAUGAGGAAUCAUGAAUUGGCUUGACCAUAUUACUAUUAGUCCAUAUAUGAAUAUAUGAGAAUCAAACUAGAGCUUGAUUGAUCUUAGCAGUUAUAUCUAGAUGACAUUCAAGCAAGGUUCACAAUAUUGAAGAAAUGAUUCUCUCAAUGGAUGCUCAAUAGGAUGUGACUCAAGAAUGGCUUGAUAGGGUGAAGAUAGCAAGGAAAGGGCUUCGAGGAACUAAGCGAAGGUGAAGGCCAAGCGACGGCUUGUAGACCGAGGUACCAUGGCUAAGGUGAAGAAGAGAGUACUUGCACUAAGUCGAUGAACUAAUCAGCUAUGAAGAGUUACAACAUGUUGAUGCAUCAGUCAGGUGACUUGAAGCCAUGAUUUGAACUCAUAUAAGGUGAUAUAGUACAAGUCACAGGGUUUGAUUUGAGUUUGCUUCAAAAGGUGAGACAAAGAUGUUUGUGAUCCUUAUGAAGCAAUGCCAUGGAGAAAUCACACAUGAGACACCAGUGACUCAAGGAGUUUUCUUAAUUAAUUUUAUUUAACUUGAGUAUAGGAAUCGUCGUACUAUAAAGGGGGAUCCAAAAAGAAGGUUGGUGUUUGCCAAAGCUCAAACCUCUCUAUUCAAAAGCUAUUUUUGAAAAGCAAAAAUCUCUUUAACGUUCUAUGGUUGACCGUGGUUAGGGUUGAGAAACCUAGAGUGUUCUUGCUGAAAAGCAGCUGAACUUGUUCAGCUGCAGCUGAGCUUUUCAGCUGAGCUGGACUUCAGCUGAGCUGAGCUCCUUCAGCUGCAGCUGAGCUUUUCAGCUGAGCUGGACCUCAGCUGAGCUGAGCUUCUUCAGCUACAGCUGAGCUUUUCAGCUGAGCUGAACUUCAGCUGAGUUGAGCUUCUUCAGCUGCAGCUGAGCUUUUCAGCUGGGCUGAACUUCAGCUGAACUCAACUUCAGCUGUGAACCUCUUUGACCAUACACCAGCUGAACUUGCCUCCGGGCAGUUGAGCUGGGGUUUUCUCUCCUAAACUCACUGGUCAAGACCAGUUGAACUGGUCCUGAGGGGCAGUUCAGCUGGUCUCUGACCCCUCUGACCUCUGUUCUGCAGUCUGCCAGUCAGACUGGCAAACAGGUCGCCAGAAGUGUCAGGGGCGGUUCAACCGCCCCCCCUGGGCGGUUCAACCGGUCUUGGUCAACUUGACCAGUCUGCAGGUCAGUCUGCGCGUCAGUCUGCCAGUCAGACUGGCAGACAGGCUGCCAGGCCUGCCAGGGGAGGCUCAACCGCCCUAGGGGGAGGUUCAACCGCCCUCAGGCAGAAAAUUCUGCCCAACGGCUAGUUUUGAGCUCCACCUAUAUAUACUACCUCCUACCUCUCUCCCCAAAGAUGUUAGCACGAUUUGAACUCCAUUUCUAACCCAAGAAACACCUCCCUCUCUCUCACACACAUCUCUUGCCUCUCCCAUUUCAAAUCUUUGGAGAGAAAUCUUUGAGUGAGCUUGAGAGCUGCGGUUUUGUGCUUCAUCUCUAAAUCUCUCUUGCUCUUCUUCUUGAUUCGAGCUUUGGUACUACAUCGAGUUCUUUGUGGAUUCAUUACUCUUGGAGCUUCUAGCUCCUAGACGACUAGGUGUCUCUUGUGAGUCUCCAAAUCUUGUGGAAGACCACAAGAAAGUUUGUAUUACCCGCUCGUUUGAGCAAAGAUUAGUGUGUGAGCUUGACCUUUGUGGUCGGCAAAGGGAGGAUUAGGGUUGAAAGAGACCCGGCUCUUUGUGGGCGCCUCAACGAGGAAGUAGGGCACCUUGGUGGUGUGACCGAACCUCGGGAUAAAUCUUGUGUCUCUUGUGUUCUUGCUCAUUGUGUUUGUUCAUGUUCUUCGUUCUCUCACCAUUGUGUGGAAGAUUUGUUUAUAUCUUUUUGGUGUGUGGAUUUUGAGAAGUGCCCUUCUCAAAUCUACUACUUUGAAUCCUGUGGAUCAUUUAGAACAUCUCAUUUCCAAAGUUAACUGGGUGAAUUUCGAGAUCAAUUCAGUUUUACCCAGUUUGCUUCUAGUUUUUGUUGAAAAAGUUUUAACUUGCCUAUUCACCCCCCCUCUAGGCAACUUUCAAUUGGUAUCAGAGCCUAAUCCUUGUUCUAACGCUUAACCGCGUGAGGAAAAGAUCAUGUCGGGGGGUCUAAGAAAUGAAAAUGCUUCUAAGCUUGAAAAAGUUGAGAUUGUCUCGACUUCAUCUUUUGGUGCAGAUGUUGAUCCUAGGGCAAUAGAUCUUGCUAUGAGAAUCGCCGAAAGGAUGUUCCUCAAAAUGAAGGAAGAUGAGGCGAAAAACAAAAUUGAAGAAGAAAAUGAUCGAUGGAGACCAAACGACGAAUCCACCUCUUCACAAGGUUCGUCUUUCAAAUCCACUUCUCAUAUGUGCUUUAUUGCUAAUGGGAGUGACAGUGAAAGCGAAAGUGAGGAUGAGGAGGAGCAUGAAAGUGAUAGUGAAGAUGAGGAUGAUCUUCAAAAAUUCUUCGCUCAACUAAGUAAGAAGAAUCGGAUGAGCUUGCUCAAACUCAUGAAAAGAGCGGAAGAACAAAAGGAAAUGCUUCAUAAGCAAGAAGAUAUCUUCAUCGGAAAAAUCAAAGACUUGGAGAAGUUGACCAAAGAGCAUGAGAAGCUAAAGUGCUCUCAUGAUGAUUUGGUCCAAAGGUAUGAAGACAUUUCAAUUGAGCAAAUUAAAGCUAUUAAUCAUUCAUCAUAUAUUGCUCAAUUAGAAAAUAAAAAUGCUAUGCUCAAGAACACGGUAGAAAAGCUAAACAUUGAAAAUCUAGCUUUGCAAGAAAAACAUGAUAUGCUUGUAUGCUCUCAUAAUAAAUUUAUGGAUUCACAUAUCAUGUUAGAAAUGGCUCAUGAGGUUAUGUUAACUAAUUUGAAAUCAUACCAACCUCACAUGUGCACAUGUGUUGAAAUUGAAACUAUAUUACCAUGUGCUAACAAUUGUUGUUAUCAAGCAAGCCAAUCUUCCAUUGAGCUAGAAAUUUCAGGAAUUAGUGAUAUUUCUAUCACACAAGAAAAUAAAGAGCUCAAGGAAGAAGUUGGAAGGCUAAGAAGGAGCUUAACUCUUUUGAAGGGAAAGUGUCAUGCUCAACCUUCUCACGAUAACCGUGAUAACAUGGUGAAGAAGCUUGAAAAGGCGACAAUCGUAGCAUGCACAAACCCCCUUCAAAAGAAUGCUAAGUUCCCUAAGAAAGGCAUGAGCAAACAUCAAGAGAAGAAAGCCAAAGCUCAUGACAAGUGCCUCAACCAUGCCUCCACAUGCUCCACACAAGGUAACAAACAAGUCACUCUUCCAAAUAAGAGAAGAUGCGCUAGAAAGUGUUAUCAAUGUCAUGAGAAGGGACAUGAGAUUAAGUCAUGUCCCUACACAAAGGAUAGUGGCUUAACUUUAGAAAGAAAGAGGCUCACUAACCGUGUAGCAAACAAGAAGCAAGGCAAAAAGGAGUCUUGCAAAAUUAAAAAUCAGAUUUGCUACACUUGCCGAAGAAAGGGACACCUAUGCAAGGAUUGUCCCAUGAGUGAGUAUCCUAAGCCUACCAUGUCAAUUCAUUCAUAUUCACUUAGAAGACCCAAAAAUGACACUUGUGCUAGAAAGGUAAUUAGUUCACCUAAAACUAGCACAAAGGCCAUUUGGGUGCCUAAGUAUUUAUUAGCUAACCUUGGCGGACCCAUCCAAAAAUGGGUACCAAAAUGUACUUAAUAAGUUUUGUAGGUACCCAGAGAUGAUAUGAAGCUUUGGGGUGCUUGAGCGGUUUAACUCAAUUCUUAUCUCAAGCUAUCAAUCUUACAUUGUAUAUCCUUUAAGAUUGACCCAAAGAUGAAUUGAGUUGUUAUAUCACUAACUUCAUAUUCAUCUCUAGCAAGAACUUGUGUUGUAGGGAAUAAGGAUUAACCUUUGUGGGAAUCAAGCAAAAGGCCUACAACCAAGUGAUAUCCAAAGGAUGGUAACAAUUAAUUCUUAAGUGCACAUUGCUUUUAAUUGGUAUAUUCCUUUGUGUCUUUUGUAGCCACAUAGGAAAAAUGAAGCACUUGAGAAUGAACUUAAAAGAUUUUACCUUGCUUUGGAAAGGAUCUAAUUAUAUGGUAGAUUGCAAGUUCAUAUUUUUAUAUUAUGACAAUCUACAUGCUUUAAAUUGGUUGAAUGUAUCUUGUGGCAUAUUUCAAAUUGAUUAUCGUAUUAUUGCCAUGACCUAGACAUAAAGAUGAUUAUCCCAUGUUCUUAAAUGAAUAGAGUGCUAAGUAAGAAAUUCAAAUUCUUAAAGCACUUACCAAAAGGGAAAUUCUCUAUAUGACUAGAGUUGUGAGACUAAUGUUUUUAUCUAAGUGAUUUAUGUAGUUUCACAACAUGAGAAUGUGUUUCUCAAAUGGAGUGUGGCAUUCAACAUUCAAAGAAGAUCGAACCAAUACUAUGUGAUGUAUUCAUUCUCAUUUAAAUUGGUUUUGGGUCUUCUACAUUAAUCACUCACCAUGCUAUGAAUUAAACUUGCCAUGUAAACUUAAUUAAAUAAUCAUGCUACUUUCAUAUUUUUUUAUAAUUGAUGUUAUGCAUGAUGCUUGUAAGGGUAAUUUAGUUCAUAUCAUGAGGUUUCCUUGUUUUAGUAACCUUCUUGUCAUUCAUAUACUAGAGGUUGCUAAAUAGGAAACUAUUGCUUGUGUUACUAAUACAAUCUCUUUUAAGAUAUUUAAUGGAAAUUCAUAAGUAGAGAUUGUGCUCUUUCAAUUGGUAAAAUCACAAGCUUUAAAGGUUAAUCUUCACCUAAAAGGAAGAUUAGGAAUGUUCAAGGCAAAGGUAUGGAACAAAUUCCUUCAAUUGGUAGUUGAUCAAUAGUAGUUCCUUCCAAGUGGCAUUCUUUCAAUUGGUAAUAAUAUAUUCUAUGGAAAGGAAUGUCAAUAUGAAGGUUAAAUUCUUUUUGGAUUAAAUUUGUAAAUUAAUGCAUAUUGUGAAUUCACUGCUCCAUGUGCAUUAACUUAAAAGGAAUUUAAUUUAUACCUUUACGCCUGAUAAAUGAUGAUUUGUUUGUCAUCCAUAUAUAGAUAUCAUCAUUCAUUAAAUACUUCCUUGUACUACUAAUACCUCUUUUCAAAGUGUUUUAUCGACUAGUUUUAAAAGGAAAAGAGAUAACAAAGAAGGAAGUCUCCACAAAUGAUGAAAAGAAGAAUACUAAGGUGACACCACCACAGAUAGUAAGAUCUGUCAAAUUGGUAUAAUAAAUGGUACAUUCUAUAUGGUGGUAAGUAUUCUUAGGCAUAAGUUAAUUCAUUGCAAAUUUGUCAUGCCUUGACCAUGAUAUAUAAUGUACUCCUCAUGAGACUCUUAAAUGAAUUGAAAGUGCAUGUGGUAAGUCAUUCAAAUACUUGAUGCACAUAUCUAGUGGGAGAACAUUAUAUAUAUUGUGUCAUAGAGAAUAAGUUUCCCUUGAGUAAGCUAUACUAAGACAAUCCAAAAUGGUAAAUUUGUAUCUCAUUCAUAUGGAUUGUAAUCUUUGUUUUCUAAAUAGCUACUCUUGAUGCAGUUUAAAAUUCCCUUAUCGUUAAUUCUAAAAGUGCAUAAGAAUCUUUUUGUUGAUAUUCAUCACAUACAUAUGCACUAACAUGGAUAUGAUUUUUAAACUGAAAAAGGUACAAUUAGUGAUCCAUACUCUCUAAAUUUUGGAAACCCAUAUUUUGAUAUCUUAGAAAUCUACUUCAAUCGAUAUCCAUAUACUUCACAUUGAAUUGGAUCACUAAGUUGUAAAUUCCAUGCAUAACUUGUCUUUAUGAUAUGAAUGCUUGUGCAACUAACCUUGAUAAGCUAGGUGCACCCAAAGUCAAGCUAGGUUCAUCAUCAAGAAGGCAACACAAUGAUGUAUCAAGAAAAGGAGAAAAGGCUCCUAUUCUUAACUCUAGUUUUCUUUUAUCUGUGUGAUUAAAUAUUGACUUGAAACCAUGUAAGAUGGUUGUCAAGUAUAUGUGGGUGCCUACACAAAGAGAAAGGCCACAAUAAGGAUUGUGUGGGUACUCAUGGCUCUUCCUACUAAUCUCAAAGGACCCAAUUCAAAUUGGGUACCAGAUAUGAAGCUUAAACUUGUUUUGCAGGAUCACACCUUCAAUGGAUUAAGUUGGGUGCUCGAUAUUGAAUGUAUAAAUCAUAUUUGAAGAUAGUAGCAAGGGUGGUAACAACUGAAUCUCAAGUGCAUAUUAUUUUCAAAUCUUAUCUCUUUUGUGACUUGUGUAGCCACUAAGGAAAAGGAAGCACUUGAGGAUAUACAUCAUUUGUUGAUUAUGAAAUAAAGGUCUAAUUGGAAGAUGAAUGAAUAUUGUCAUAUGGUCAACAAUCCAAAAUUAUGUAACGUAUUUUCUAUCUAGUUAAUUUGGAUUUUAUUAUUCCAUAUUAGACACUCACCAUAAUAUGGAUUAAGUUAGCCCUUUAGACUUCAUUGAAUAACCAUGCAUAUUAUCCAUAUCAUUCAAAAUAUAUUGUGCUUAAGGGCUCAAGGGAAAUUUAGUCCAUAUUAUGACGUUUCUCUAUUUUUAGCAACACGCUUGUCUUUCGCAUAUAAAGGGUUGCUGAAUAAGAAACUAGUGCUUGUGCUACUAAUGCCAUCUCUUGUGUUGAGUUUAUCCAUAGAAAAUCUAUGUUAAGAGAUGGUGCUUGUUUUAAAUUGGAUAAAUCACAAGCUUAAAGGAUACUAUUCAACUAAAGUAAGAUGAAGUUGAUAAGAGGCCAAGGUAUGAAAACUUCUUAUCCUUCAGUUGUUUUAGUAUUCUAUCCUUAGUGGGAUGUACCAUAGUAUAGGUUAAAUUCAUUGCAUUAUAAAAUGUUCGAUAGUGCAUAUAACUUUGACAUCAACUAUAUGUGUGCACUAAUUUAAAGGAAUUUAGUCUAUCCUUUUGGGUUUCAAGAAUGAUGGUUCAUUUUCAUCCACAUAUAAGGAUCAUCAUUUGUGAAACCUUCCCAUGUGUUUUCAAUGCUCUCUUUUCUAAGUGUUUCAACAAGGUCCUUCCAAGUGCUUUCAAGAUGGAUUCAAAAUCUACAAAUAUAAGAGACUUGGUUCUUUCAAUCAUUGAGUUUCAAUGGGUCUCAUAUCAAGUAUGAUCGAACCAAGCAAAGAUGAAAGAAGUUCAUGAUCACUUGGUUGGAUGAAAUCGUAAAGAGAAAAGAGAUCACAGUGAUUCAAGAAGGGAGUUAUAUUUUUUUGUCAACCAAAUAAUGAAGAUGUAGUGAUAUAUUUAUAUGAUAUCCUUCAUUAUGAGGUUUGAGGUUCAUAUUAGCAUGCUUUACCCUUCAAGAUUUCAAUUGAUAUACUUUUAGUUCUUAAACUUUUAAUUGGUAUAAUUUUCAUCAUCUAUGUAAAGCAUGUUAUGUUAAACCAAGAUACAGUGCAAACAUCUCCUUUAACCUCGUUUUGUUGAUGUGCAUAAGUGUACUUUGUGUACUCUUGCAUGCACAAAUUGAGGGAGAGUUUAGCCUAUAUCUUGUGAGACUAAUGAUUUCUUUCAAGUUCAUGUUGUGUAGUCUCACACCUUGGUGAAAGAAGAACAUCAAAUGAGGAUGAGUGGUUCCAAAGAAAUGAUCAAAUAAUUACCACAUGUCACCCCAUGGAUUAGUUCUUUUGGGGAACGACAUGUGUUCUCUAGCAUAAAUUCAAUUGUUUCAAAUAUAUUAUGCCUUGACCAAGAUAUAUGAUGAACUCCUCUAAGAAUCUUAAUUGAAUCAAGUGCAUGUUACAAGUAAUUCAAGUACUUGAUGCAUACAUUUAGGGGGAGCUCAUUCUAUAUCUUGUGUCAUUAAAGACUAACAUUUUCUUUUAGUGAAUUUGUGUAGUUCUUUGAAGAGAAUGAGUUUCUCUUGAUCGUUUAAAGAGGAUAAGUUUCUCUUUGAAAUGUCAAGCCUAUCAAAAGCUAAGAUAGGAAUUCAUGAUUAUAAUGAAGACCAUAUGGCAUGGAACAAAGGUGUGUCACUCCAUGAACUAUUGUAUUACAUUUGUGUAUCUAGACUCUUACAAGUUAGUGUAUGCAUGUAUAUGCAAUAUAUUAAGUCACAUCAUAAGGUUGCACUUGAAUCUUGGCUUAAAAUAUUGCAUAUCAUGUCUAUUAGUAUACCGUUUGAUUAUGAGUAAUUCCUUAAAUUGGUGCAAUUUCAUAUUUUCAUACUUUAUUUGUACCAAGGUUCAAAUUGUAGGACUUAAUCCCCUGGCCUCACAAGUCCAAGUGCAUAAGCUAAACAAGUAUUCAUCACUUGUAUGCACACAUUUAGGGGGAGAAUGGUCUAUAAUUUGAAUCUUUGAGACUAACUUCAUUUUCAAGUCUAUUAUGUGUGUAGUCUCAAAUUAGAGAGGAAUCUUCAAGCAAAGACAAUAGCUUCCACUGCAAAUUUUGAUGGGUAUCAAAGAUUCUUUGCUCCAAUAAAUGUAUCUUCUAUACAUUUCAUAAGAGAAUGAGUUUCUCUUAUAUAUGCUACUCCAACGUCAUCUAAAAUUGGUAAAUAUGUAUCACAUCUUUUUGGAUUACAAAUAUCUGAAGUAGCAUAGCUUAUAGAUUCUCUUGUCUCGAACUUAAUUGAUUAAAUAGUGCACAUGUUUCUUAUGUUGUAUGAUUAUGUUCAAUUGAUACUCCGUUUAUGCCAAUGGUACUUUAAGUUGCAAAUAAGUACUCUCAACAGAUAUCAAUUGAAUUCAUAUAUAUAUGUGUGCACUAAAACUUGAGGAGAACUUAGUGUAAUAUGCUAUUAGUGAUCUAUUUAUCUAUCAAAUUGUAUCAAUUGGUGUUUUUCAAUUGAUAUUUUUCAUACAUGAUCACUAGUUGCAUAAUCCAUACUUGUGCAAUUUUCAUGUUGCCUCUUGUUGUGAUAAGAAAAUGCUAGGUGACAUCUAGACUCUAGGUAUCAAGAUUUAUCUUUCAGUUAGUAUGACAAUAUUCAUUUGAUAUCUUGGACCUAUGUCACAAUUAUGCCGACAAGAGAUUGCAAAAUGAACUCUAAAUACAACACAAGUCUGGAAACCCCUUGAAAAGGUAAAACGCAAAGGUACAUCACUUGUGACACUUAUCCAUUACCUUUGUGCCAUCUAAGGAUCCCUUUCAUGAUAGUGUGUUCACAUCUCGCUUAAUCAUAAUUUCUAUCCUUUAUAUUCUUUGUAUCCUUUUUGGAGAUUUAUGACAAAGGGGGAGAAAUUGUGCAUUAAAGCUUACCUUUAGUCUUAUGUAACUAAGUGUUAGAAGACUUUUAAAAAGGGGAAGUCAUAAGAAAAACAUAAGAUGAAGAAAGUUGAUAAGUGCAUUCCAUGUCAUGAGCAUCACGUUUAUUUUAUGACACACUGCACCCUAUGAAUAGUAUGAUAUAAGUUGUCUAUACUUUGACCUAAAUAUGUGCUUUUGGCAUUUGAGUACAAAAGUGUUAUUUUCUGAAAUGCACAUAUUUAGGGGGAGGAAACUAUAUCAUAGGAUUUAAAAUCUUAUUUAUCAAAUCUUAUGUAAGCUUUAAAUGUGUUGUCAUCAAUCACCAAAAAGGGGGAGAUUGAAAGUGCAUUCAUCCCUUUUGUGAUUUUGGUGAUUUGGAUAACAACACAUUUAAAGGUCUAACGAGUUUGCUAAGUGUUGAACAGGAAAUUCAGUAUGAUGAACAUACUUGAAUAGUGUAUAAUGAUCAGUGAACAAGGUUCAACACAAGGUCAAAUAACCAGUGAGACAAUGCAAAUGGAUAUAAUAUGGUCUCUAUAUUGGUUUGAAUAUAUGGACAAGUCCUAAGAAAUCACUAUGCAUAAAUAUGAUCAUAAUAGAGGUUGAAGUGAUUAAGAGGAUUGGUCAAGCCAAAGUGAAUAAGAUAUGAGGAAUCAUGAAUUGGCUUGACCAUAUUACUAUUAGUCCAUAUAUGAAUAUAUGAGAAUCAAACUAGAGCUUGAUUGAUCUUAGCAGUUAUAUCUAGAUGACAUUCAAGCAAGGUUCACAAUAUUGAAGAAAUGAUUCUCUCAAUGGAUGCUCAAUAGGAUGUGACUCAAGAAUGGCUUGAUAGGGUGAAGAUAGCAAGGAAAGGGCUUCGAGGAACUAAGCGAAGGUGAAGGCCAAGCGACGGCUUGUAGACCGAGGUACCAUGGCUAAGGUGAAGAAGAGAGUACUUGCACUAAGUCGAUGAACUAAUCAGCUAUGAAGAGUUACAACAUGUUGAUGCAUCAGUCAGGUGACUUGAAGCCAUGAUUUGAACUCAUAUAAGGUGAUAUAGUACAAGUCACAGGGUUUGAUUUGAGUUUGCUUCAAAAGGUGAGACAAAGAUGUUUGUGAUCCUUAUGAAGCAAUGCCAUGGAGAAAUCACACAUGAGACACCAGUGACUCAAGGAGUUUUCUUAAUUAAUUUUAUUUAACUUGAGUAUAGGAAUCGUCGUACUAUAAAGGGGGAUCCAAAAAGAAGGUUGGUGUUUGCCAAAGCUCAAACCUCUCUAUUCAAAAGCUAUUUUUGAAAAGCAAAAAUCUCUUUAACGUUCUAUGGUUGACCGUGGUUAGGGUUGAGAAACCUAGAGUGUUCUUGCUGAAAAGCAGCUGAACUUGUUCAGCUGCAGCUGAGCUUUUCAGCUGAGCUGGACUUCAGCUGAGCUGAGCUCCUUCAGCUGCAGCUGAGCUUUUCAGCUGAGCUGGACCUCAGCUGAGCUGAGCUUCUUCAGCUACAGCUGAGCUUUUCAGCUGAGCUGAACUUCAGCUGAGUUGAGCUUCUUCAGCUGCAGCUGAGCUUUUCAGCUGGGCUGAACUUCAGCUGAACUCAACUUCAGCUGUGAACCUCUUUGACCAUACACCAGCUGAACUUGCCUCCGGGCAGUUGAGCUGGGGUUUUCUCUCCUAAACUCACUGGUCAAGACCAGUUGAACUGGUCCUGAGGGGCAGUUCAGCUGGUCUCUGACCCCUCUGACCUCUGUUCUGCAGUCUGCCAGUCAGACUGGCAAACAGGUCGCCAGAAGUGUCAGGGGCGGUUCAACCGCCCCCCCUGGGCGGUUCAACCGGUCUUGGUCAACUUGACCAGUCUGCAGGUCAGUCUGCGCGUCAGUCUGCCAGUCAGACUGGCAGACAGGCUGCCAGGCCUGCCAGGGGAGGCUCAACCGCCCUAGGGGGAGGUUCAACCGCCCUCAGGCAGAAAAUUCUGCCCAACGGCUAGUUUUGAGCUCCACCUAUAUAUACUACCUCCUACCUCUCUCCCCAAAGAUGUUAGCACGAUUUGAACUCCAUUUCUAACCCAAGAAACACCUCCCUCUCUCUCUCACACAUCUCUUGCCUCUCCCAUUUCAAAUCUUUGGAGAGAAAUCUUUGAGUGAGCUUGAGAGCUGCGGUUUUGUGCUUCAUCUCUAAAUCUCUCUUGCUCUUCUUCUUGAUUCGAGCUUUGGUACUACAUCGAGUUCUUUGUGGAUUCAUUACUCUUGGAGCUUCUAGCUCCUAGACGACUAGGUGUCUCUUGUGAGUCUCCAAAUCUUGUGGAAGACCACAAGAAAGUUUGUAUUACCCGCUCGUUUGAGCAAAGAUUAGUGUGUGAGCUUGACCUUUGUGGUCGGCAAAGGGAGGAUUAGGGUUGAAAGAGACCCGGCUCUUUGUGGGCGCCUCAACGAGGAAGUAGGGCACCUUGGUGGUGUGACCGAACCUCGGGAUAAAUCUUGUGUCUCUUGUGUUCUUGCUCAUUGUGUUUGUUCAUGUUCUUCGUUCUCUCACCAUUGUGUGGAAGAUUUGUUUAUAUCUUUUUGGUGUGUGGAUUUUGAGAAGUGCCCUUCUCAAAUCUACUACUUUGAAUCCUGUGGAUCAUUUAGAACAUCUCAUUUCCAAAGUUAACUGGGUGAAUUUCGAGAUCAAUUCAGUUUUACCCAGUUUGCUUCUAGUUUUUGUUGAAAAAGUUUUAACUUGCCUAUUCACCCCCCCUCUAGGCAACUUUCACAGGGUUUGUAGCGCAUGCCAAGCAGGAAAGCAAGUUGGUGCCCAUCAUCCACACAAGAACAUCAUGACGACCGACAGGCCGCUUGAACUACUCCACAUGGAUCUAUUCGGCCCGAUUGCUUACAUAAGCAUCGGCGGGAGUAAGUAUUGUCUUGUAAUAGUGGAUGAUUAUUCUCGCUUCACUUGGGUGUUCUUUCUGCAGGAAAAAUCUCAAACCCAAGAGACUUUAAAAGGAUUCUUGAGACGAGCUCAAAAUGAGUUCAACUUAAGGAUCAAGAAAAUUAGAAGCGACAACGGGACGGAGUUCAAGAACUCUCAAAUUGAGGGCUUCCUUGAGGAGGAGGGCAUCAAGCAUGAGUUCUCUUCUCCCUACACGCCACAACAAAAUGGUGUAGUGGAGAGGAAGAAUCAAACUCUAUUGGACAUGGCAAGGACCAUGCUUGAUGAGUACAAGACUUCGGAUCGGUUUUGGGCCGAGGCGGUCAAUACCGCUUGCUGCGCCAUCGACCGGUUAUAUCUACACCGAAUCCUCAAGAAGACAUCUUAUGAGCUCCUAACCGGUAAAAAGCCCAACAUUUCAUAUUUUAGAGUCUUUGGUAGCAAAUGCUUUAUUCUUGUUAAAAGAGGUAGAAAAUCUAAAUUUGCUCCUAAGACUGUAGAAGGCUUUUUACUAGGAUAUGAUUCAAACACAAGGGCAUAUAGAGUCUUUAACAAGUCCACUGGACAAGUUGAAGUUUCUUGUGACGUUGUGUUUGAUGAGACUAACAGCUCUCAAGUAGAGCAAGUUGAUCUUGAUGAGAUAGGUAAUGAAGAGGCUCCAUGCAUCGCGCUUAGGAACAUGUCCAUUGGGGAUGUGUGUCCUAAGGAAUCCGAAGAGCCUCCAAAUGCACAAGAUCAACCGUCAUCCUCCACGCAAGCAUCUCCACCAACUCAAAAUGAGGAUGAAGCUCAAGUUGAUGAAGUAGAAGAUCAAGCAAAUGAGCCACCUCAAGAUGACGGCAAUGAUCAAGGGGGAGAUGCAAAUGAUCAAGACAAGGAGGAUGAAGAACAACAGCCGCCACACCCAAGAGUCCACCAAGCAAUCCAACGAGAUCACCCCGUCGACACCAUCCUCAGCGACAUUCAUAAGGGGGUAACCACUAGAUCUCGAGUUGCACAUUUUUGUGAGCAUUACUCUUUUGUUUCCUCUAUUGAGCCACACAGGGUAGAAGAAGCACUCCAAGAUUCGGAUUGGGUGGUGGCGAUGCAAGAGGAGCUCGACAACUUCACUAGGAAUGAGGUAUGACACUUAGUUCCACGUCCUAACCAAAAUGUUGUAGGAACCAAAUGGGUCUUCCGCAACAAGCAAGAUGAGCAUGGUGUGGUGACAAGGAACAAAGCCCGACUUGUGGCCAAGGGAUACUCCCAAGUCGAAGGUUUGGAUUUCGGUGAAACCUAUGCACCCGUAGCUAGGAUUGAGUCAAUUCGCAUAUUGUUGGCCUAUGCUACUUAACAUGGCUUUAAGCUCUAUCAAAUGGACGUGAAAAGUGCCUUCCUCAAUGGACCAAUCAAGGAAGAGGUCUAUGUUGAGCAACCUCCCGGCUUUGAAGAUAGUGAGUACCCUAACCAUGUUUACAAACUCUCUAAGGCGCUUUAUGGGCUCAAGCAAGCCCCAAGAGCAUGGUAUGAAUGCCUUAGAGAUUUCUUUAUUGCUAAUGGCUUCAAAGUCGGAAAGGCCGAUCCUACUCUAUUCACUAAAACUCUUGAAAAUGACUUGUUUGUAUGCCAAAUUUAUGUUGAUGAUAUUAUAUUUGGGUCUACUAACGAGUCUACAUGUGAAGAAUUUAGUAGGAUCAUGACACAAAAGUUCGAGAUGUCUAUGAUGGGGGAGUUGAAGUACUUCUUGGGAUUUCAAGUGAAGCAACUCCAAGAGGGCACCUUCAUUAGCCAAACAAAGUAUACUCAAGACAUUCUAAACAAGUUUGGGAUGAAGGAUGCCAAGCCCAUCAAGACACCCAUGGGAACUAAUGGGCAUCUCGACCUCGACACGGGAGGUAAGUCCGUGGAUCAAAAGGUAUACCGGUCGAUGAUAGGUUCUUUACUCUAUUUAUGUGCAUCUCGACCGGAUAUUAUGCUUUCCGUAUGCAUGUGUGCAAGAUUCCAAGCCGACCCUAAGGAAGCUCACCUUACGGCCGUAAAACGAAUCUUGAGAUAUUUGGCUUAUACUCCUAAGUUUGGGCUUUGGUAUCCUAGGGGAUCCACUUUUGAUUUGAUUGGUUAUUCGGAUGCCGAUUGGGCGGGGUGUAAAAUCAAUAGGAAGAGCACAUUGGGGACUUGCCAGGUCUUGGGAAGAUCCUUGGUGUCUUGGGCUUCAAAGAAGCAAAAUUCGGUCGCUCUUUCCACCGCCGAAGCCGAGUACAUUGCCGCAGGCCAUUGUUGCGCGCAAUUGCUUUGGAUGAGGCAAACCCUGCGGGACUACGGUUACAAAUUAACCAAAGUCCCUUUGCUAUGUGAUAAUGAGAGUGCAAUCAAGAUGGCGGAUAAUCCCGUCGAGCAUAGCCGCACUAAACACAUAGCCAUUCGGUAUCAUUUUCUUAGGGAUCACCAACAAAAGGGAGAUAUCGAGAUUUCUUACAUUAACACUAAAGAUCAAUUAGCCGAUAUCUUUACCAAGCCUCUUGAUGAACAAACUUUUAACAAACUUAGGCAUGAGCUCAAUAUUCUUGAUUCGCGCAAUUUCUUUUGCUAAAAUUGCACACAUAGCUCUUUUAUAUACCUUUGAUCAUAUCUCUUUCAUAUGCUAUGACUAAUGUGUUUUCAAGUCUAUUUCAAACCAAGUCAUAGGUGUAUUGAAAGGGAAUUGGAGUCUUCGGCGAAGACAAAGGCUUCCACUCCGUAACUCAUCCUUCGCCGUCGCUCCGUACCACUCUCCAUCUUUGGGGGAGAGAGCAAAAGGACUUCGUCUUUGGUAUAAUCUUAACUCAUUUAUUUAUAACCAAAGGGGAAGAAAAGAACAUGAGGGCUCUAAUGAUUCCGUUUUUGGCGAUUCAUGCCAAAGGGGGAGAGAGUAUGAGCCCAAAGCAAAAGGACCGCACCACCACCAAUUUCAAAAACUUAGUUUUUCAGUUUUUCAAAGAGUAUUUUCAAUUGGUAUCCUAUUGUGUUCAAAAGGGGGAGAAAGUAGUAUUUCAAAAAUGAUACAUCAAAACCCUCUUGAACACUAAGAGGAGGAUCUCAUUUAGGGGGAGUUUUGUUUUGUCAAAGGAAAAGCAUUUGAAACAGGGGGAGAAUUUCAAAUCUUGAAAAUGCUUUUCAAAAUCUUAUUCAUUUACCUUUGACUAUUUGCAAAAGAACUUUGAAAAGGAUUUACUAAAUAGUUUGCAAAAACAAAACAUGUGGUGUAAGCAUGGUCCAAAAUGUUAAAAAUAAAGAAACGAUCCAUGCAUAUCUUGUAAGUAUUAAUAUUGGCUCAAUUCCAAGCAACCUUUGCACUUACAUUAUGCAAACUAGUUCAAUUAUGCUUUUCUAUACUUGCUUUUGUUUGUGUUGGCAUCAAUCACCAAAAAGGGGGAUAUUGAAAGGGAAUUAGACUUACACCUAGUUCCUAAAUAAUUUUGGUGGUUGAAUUGCCCAACACAAAUAAUUGGACUAACUAGUUUGCUCUAAGUGUAUAAGUUAUACAGGUGUAAAAGGUUCACACUUAGCCAAUAAAAAGAUCAAAUAUUGGAUUCAACAAAGGAGCAAAGGGACAACCGAAGGCACCUCUGGUCUGGGGCACCGGACUAUCCGGUGUACACCGGACAGUGUCCGGUGCACCAGAGGACUCCAACUUAAACUUGCCACCUUCGGGAAUUUCCAGAGGCACUCCGCUAUAAUUCACCGGACUGUCCGGUGUACACCAGACAGUGUCCGGUGCUCCAAGGAAGAGCGGCCUCCGGAACUCGCCAGCCUCGAGAAAACGCAGCGGCUGCUCCGCUAUAAUUCACCGGACAUGUCCGGUGUACACCGGACUGUCCGGUGAACCAGCAGAGCAACGACUACUUCGAGCCAACGGUCACCUGCAGGCGCAUUCAAUGCGCGCCAGAAGCGCGCAGAAGUCAGGCACGCCCAUACUGGCGCACCGGACAUUGAACAGUACAUGUCUGGUGUGCACCGGACAUCCAGGCGGGCCCAGAAGACAGAAGCUCCAACGGUCGGAAUCCAACGGCAUUGGUGACGUGGCUGGCGCACCGGACACGUCCGGCGUACACCGGACUGUCCGGUGCACCAUACGACAGACAGCCUCCACCAACGGUCAUGUUUGGUGGUUGGGGCUAUAAAUAUCCCAACCACCCCACCAUUCAUUGCAUCCAAGUUCUCCAGCUUCCAACCACUAUACAAGAGCUAGCAUUCAUUGCAAAGCACACCAAAAGAGAUCAAAUCCUCUCCCAACUCCACACAAAGCAUUAGUGACUAGAGAGAGUGAUUUGUAGUGUUCAUUUGAGCUCUUGCGCUUGGAUCGCUUCUUUUCCUUGGCAUUCUUUCUUGUGAUCAAACACUCACUUGUAAUUGAGGCAAGAGACACCAAUUGUGUGGUGGUCCUUGCGGGAAGUUUGAUUCCCAAGUGAUUUGAGAAGAGAAGCUCACUCGGUCCGAGGGACCGUUUGAGAGAGGGAAAGGGUUGAAAAAGACCCGGCCUUUGUGGCCUCCUCAACGGGGAGUAGGUUUGCGAGAACCGAACCUCGGUAAAACAAAUCCUUGUGUCUCACCGCUUUACUCGCUUGCGAUUUGUUUUACACCCUCUCGCGGACUCGGUUUUAUUUCUAACGCUAACCGGACUUGUAGUUGUGUUUAUAUUUGUAAAUUUCAGUUUCGCCCUAUUCACCCCCCCUCUAGGCGACUAUCAUGUAUCUAGAAUUGAAUGCUAGAGCUCUUGUAAGUGGUUGGAAGUUGGAAAACUUGGAUGACUUGAAUGUGGGGUGGUUGGGAGUAUUUAUAACCCCAACCACCAAAAUAGUCGUUUGGUGGAGGCUGUUGUCGCAUGGCGCACCGGACAGUCUGGUGCGCCACCGGACACUGUCCGGUGCGCUAGCCACGUCACCAGGCCGUUGGGUUCCGACCGUUGGAGCUCUGACGUGUGGGCCCGCCUGGCUGUCCGGUGGUGCACCGGACAAGUCCUGUAGACUGUCCGGUGUGCCACCCGCGCGUGCUCUGCUCCUCUGCGCGCGCUGGCGCGCAUUUAAUGUGUUGCAGUCGACCGUUGGCGCGAAGUAGCCGUUGCUCCGCUGGCUCACCGGACAGUCCGGUGUGCACCGGACAUGUCCGGUGAAUUAUAGCGGAGCGGAUUCCCGAAGCUGGCGAGUUCAGAGUCGCUCUCCUCUGGAGCACCGGACAAUGUCCGGUGAAUUAUAGCGAAGCGCCUCUGAAAAUUCCCGAAGAUGCGAAGUUUGGCUUCGAGUCCCCUGGUGCACCGGACACUGUCCGGUGCGCCAGACCAGGGCAGCCUUCGGUUGUCCCUUGCUCUUUUGGUUGAACCCAUUUCUUGGUCUUUUUAUUGGCUAAGUGUGAACCUUUGGCACCUGUAUAACUUAUAGACUAGAGCAAACUAGUUAGUCCAAUUAUUUGUGUUGGGCAAUUCAACCACCAAAAUCAAUUAGGAACUAGGUGUAAGCCUAAUUCCCUUUCAAGACUAACGGCUCUCAAGUAGAGCAAGUUGAUCUUGAUGAGAUAGGUGAUGAAGAGGCUCCGUGCAUCGCGCUAAGGAACAUGUCCAUUGGGGAUGUGUGUCCUAAGGAAUCCGAAGAGCCUCCAAAUGCACAAGACCAACCAUCCUCCUCCACGCAAGCAUCUCCACCAACUCAAAAUGAGGAUGAGGCUCAAGUUGAUGAAGGAGAAGAUCAAAUAGAUGAGCCACCUCAAGAUGAUGGCAAUAAUCAAGGGGGAGAUGCAAAAGAUCAAGUCAAGGAGGAUGAAGAACCAAGACCGGCACACCCAAGAGUCCACCAAGCAAUCCAACGAGAUCACCCCGUCGACACCAUCCUCGGCGACAUUCAUAAGGGGGUAACCACUAGAUCUCGUGUUGCACAUUUCUGUGAGCAUUACUCUUUUGUUUCCUCUAUUGAGCCACACAAGGUAGAGGAAGCACUACAAGAUUCGGAUUGGGUGGUGGCGAUGCAAGAGGAGCUCAACAACUUCACUAGGAACGAGGUAUGUCAUUUGGUUCCACGUCCUAAUCAAAAUGUUGUAGGAACCAAGUGGAUUUUCCGCAACAAGCAAGACGAGCAUGGUGUGGUGACAAGGAACAAAGUCCGACUUGUGGCCAAGGGAUACUCCCAAGUCGAAGGUUUGGACUUCGGUGAAACCUAUGCACCCGUAGCUAGGCUUGAGUCAAUUCGUAUAUUAUUAGCCUAUGCUACUUACCAUGGCUUCAAGCUUUACCAAAUGGACGUGAAGAGUGCCUUCCUCAAUGGACCGGUCAAGGAAGAAGUCUAUGUUGAGCAACCUCCCGGCUUUGAAGAUAGUGAGUACCCUAACCAUGUGUAUAAACUCUCUAAGGCGCUUUAUGGGCUCAAGCAAGCCCCAAGAGCAUGGUAUGAAUGUCUAAGAGAUUUUCUUAUCACUAAUGGCUUCAAAGUCGAAAAGGCUGAUCCUACUUUAUUUACUAAAACUCUUGACAAUGAUUUGUUUGUAUACCAAAUUUAUGUUGAUGAUACUAUAUUCGGGUCUACUAACGAAUCUACAUGUGAGGAAUUUAGUAGGAUCAUGACACAGAAAUUCAAGAUGUCUAUGAUGGGGGAGUUGAAGUACUUCUUAGGAUUUCAAGUGAAGCAACUCCAAGAGGGCACCUUCAUUAGCCAAACAAAGUAUAUUCAAGACAUUCUAAACAAGUUUGGAAUGAAGGAUGCCAAGCCUAUCAAGACACCCAUGGGAACCAAUGGGCAUCUCGACCUUGACACGGGAGGUAAAUCCGUCGAUCAAAAGGUAUAUCGGUCGAUGAUAGGCUCUUUACUCUAUUUAUGCGCAUCUCGACCAGACAUUAUGCUUUCCGUAUGCAUGUGUGCAAGAUUCCAAGCCGACCCUAAGGAAGCUCACCUUACGGCCGUAAAACGAAUCUUGAGAUAUUUAGUUUAUACUCCUAAGUUUGGGCUUUGGUAUCCUAGGGGAUCCACUUUUUAUUUAAUUGGUUAUUCAGAUGCCGAUUGGGCGGGGUGUAAGAUUAAUAGAAAGAGCACAUCGGGGACUUGCCAGUUCUUGGGAAGAUCCUUGGUGUCUUGGGCUUCAAAGAAGCAAAAUUCCGUAGCUCUUUCUACCGCUGAAGCCGAGUAUAUUGCCGCAGGUCAUUGUUGCGCGCAACUACUUUGGAUGAGGCAAACCCUUAGGGACUACGGUUAUAAAUUAACCAAAGUUCCUCUUCUAUGUGAUAAUGAGAGUGCAAUCUGCAUGGCGGAUAAUCCCGUUGAGCAUAGCCGCACUAAACACAUAGUCAUUCGGUAUCAUUUCUUAAGGGAUCACCAACAAAAGGGAGAUAUCGAGAUUGCGUAUAUUAACACUAAAGAUCAAUUAGCCGAUAUCUUUACCAAGCCACUUGAUGAACAAACCUUUAACAAAAUUAGGCUUGAGCUAAAUAUUCUUGAUUCUAGGAAUUUCUUUUGAUGUUUUGCAUACAUAGCUCAUAAAUAUACCUUUGAUCAUAUCUCUUAUAUGCUAUGACUAAUAUGACUUCAAGUGAAUGUCAAAACAAGUCAUAGGUGUAUUGAAAGGGAAUUGGAGUCUUCGGCGAAGACAAAGGCUUCCACUCCACUCCAUCAAAAUACAAUCCUUCGCCGUCGCUCCGCAUCACUCUCCAACUUUGGUAUAAUCUUCACUCAUUUAUUUAUGACCAAAGGGGGAGAAAGUAAUUCAAAAGGCUCUAAUGAUUCCGUUUUUGGCGAUUUAUGCCAAAGGGGGAGAGAGCAUGAGCCCAAAGCAAAAGGACCGCACCACCACCAAUUUCAAAAAUUUUAGUCUUUCAAUUUGUUUUUAAAGAAGUAUUUUCAAAUUGGUAUCUUAUUUGUGAUAUAAUUUCAAAAUUGGUAUACCCUCUUCAAAAUUAACAUCAAAACCCUCUUGAACACUAAGAGGAGGAUUUUAUCAAGGGGGGGUUUUGUUUUAGUCAAAGGAAAAACAUUUCAAACAGGGGGAGAAAAUUUCAACUCUUGAAAAUGCUUCUCAAAAUCUUAUUCAUUUACCUUUGACUAUUUGCAAAAGGACUUUGAAAAGAAUUUACAAAAGAAUUUGCAAAAACAAAACAAGUGGUGCAAGCGUGGUCCAAAAUGAUGAAAAUAAAGAAACAAUCCAUGCACAUCUUAUGAGAAUUUAUAUUGGCUCAAUUCUAAGUAACCUUUGCACUUACAAUUAUGCAAACUAGUUCAAUUAUGCACUUCUAUAUUUGUUUUGGUUUGUGUUGGCAUCAAUCACCAAAAAGGGGGAGAUUGAAAGGGAAUUAGGCUUACACCUAUUUCCUAAUUGAUUUUGGUGGUUGAAUUGCCCAACACAAAUAAUUGGGCUAACUAUUUUGCUCUAGUCUAUAAGUUCUACAGGUGCCAAAGGUUCACAAUAAGUCAAUAAAAAGACCAAGAAAAGGGUUCAAACAAGAGAGCAAGGGAUAACCGAAGUGUGCCCUGUUCUGGCGCACCGGACAGUGUUCGGUGCACCAGGGGACUCCAAGCUGAACUCCUCACCUUCGGGAAUUCUCAGAGACGCUACGCUAUAAUUCACCGGACUGUCUGGUGCCCCAAGGAAGAGCGACUCUGAACUCGCCAGCUUCGGGAAUCCGCUCCGCUAAAAUUCACCAGACUGUCCGGUGAGUCACCGGACAGUGUCCGGUGCACACCGGACUGUCCGGUGUGACAGCGGAGCAACAGCUACUUCGCGCGCAACGGUCGACUGCAACGCAUUAAAUGCGUGCCUGCGCGCGCAUAGGAGCAGAGCACGCGCGGGUGGCACACCGGACAGCCUACAGGGCCUGUCCGGUGCACCACCGGACAGCCAGGCGGGCCCACAAGUCAGAGCUCCAACGGUCGGAACCCAACGGCCGGGUGACGUGGCUGGCGCACCGGAUAGUGUCCGGUGGCGCACCGGACUGUCUGGUGCACCCGUCGACAGCAGCCUCCACCAACGUUCAAGUUUGGUGGUUGGGGCUAUAAAUACCCCAACCACCCCCACAUUCAAGUCAUCCAAGUUUUCCACCUUCCAACUACUUACAAGAGCUCUAGCAUUCAAUUCUAGACACAACAAAAUAGAUCAAAUCCUCUCCCAACUUCGGCUUGCUCCUCCUUUGCAGCUAAUUCAAAAGAAACGGCAGGAGGAGAUUAAGUUUACAUUUAACGUUGGCAAAUGUGAUAAGAUAUUCGAUGAAUUACUAAAAAAUGGUAACAUUAAGAUUGAUUAUAUCGUUCCACUUGCCGACGAACUAAAGCAUCGCGCAUAUUGCAAGUGGCACAACUCAUUUUCCCAUGCCACUAAUGAUUGUAAUGUGUUCCGACGACAAAUCCAAUCGGCCAUUAAUGAGGGACGAUUGAAAUUUCAGGAGGACACAGAGCCCUUCCCAAUGAAUAUGAUUGACUACAAUGGCAAAAAAGUCCUAAUUCGGCCCAGCACAGCCGAUAAGGGCAAAGACAAAGAAGUCAUCAUCGGCAACGCACAGGAGGUCGAUAGAAACAACAAAAUUGCUUGCAGGAAAGUGGUGGCCGAGAAGACUCCUGAUGGAGGGGAGACACUGAAGGUGACCAUCACAAACUCUGGCACUGGAGGGCAAGUGCAGACAAGGGGACAUGCGCAAGAACCCAUACUACACAUCGCGGACGGUCCGGUGCCCAGGCGCGGACGGUCCGUGACAUCGCCAGACGGUCCGGAGCGUUCCAGCGGACGGUCCGGCAACGCCGAAGAACCAAGGCGACCUCGUACCUUCAAACCACGACGACCAGAAAUAGGUACAUGAAAAACUAACACGUUCAAAGCAACUGGUCGGUUGGUAAAAUCCAGCCCGACCUUUGAUCAAUUAUUGUCUAAAUAUGUGAAAAAGAAGGCUGGCCCCAGCGACCGGCCACCAAAGCAACCUCGCUUACCCACCCAGGUGCGACGACAGGUUAAGUCGAUUGGAUCACCGCACCAAUCGGAAAGGACGAAAUGUCAUAAUGUUCAAUCAAGACCUAACGUACCUACAUGGACACCCCCACCACCAUAUCCACCUAUGUCAUAUCCAUACACAUACAUACCUCCACCAUAUAUCCCAAAUCAAAUGUGGGGCAUGCCACCAUACCCAUUUGGGAUGCCACAGUACCCCGCUUGGGGGGCACCCCAAACAUCUGUGUUCAGUAGGUUGACACCUCCAGUACAAGACCGAUUGAGAGCCCCUCAAUCUGGUCCACGAGCACAGGCCCAACAAGAUUGCCGAACAACUCAGCCCCAAAGGCUGACUAAUCCGGCAGGGGGGCAUACAGCUACAACCUCCAACAAUGCGAAAAAGGAGACGUCAUUAAAAUAGGAACGACAGAUGUCGUCGUACAACAAAGUAACGAAGGGCCGAUGAUUUUUGGUGAAUCGGCCAACACAAACAAAAAAGAAGGUAUAGCUGUCAACAAAACAACCGAUCCAAAAUACUCUAUGCCCCGAUGGUGCCCAUCGGGAUUGACACGAUCGCAAAAGCGAAAAUUACAGCGCCUUAGAGCAAAGGAGAAUCAGGAAAAGGAGGCGAAAAGAAUAUUCAAUGACACGCAUCUUGAAAGGGAAUUAGGCUUACACCUAGUUCCUAAAUAAUUUUGGUGGUUGAAUUGCCCAACACAAAUAAUUGGACUAACUAGUUUGCCCAAGUGUAUAGAUUAUACAGGUGUAAAAGGUUCACACUCAGCCAAUAAAAAGACCAAGUUUUGGAUUCAACAAAGGAGCAAAGGGGCAACCGAGGGCACCCCUGGUCUGGCGCACCGGACUGUCCGGUGCGCCACCGGACAGUGAACAGUACCUGUCCGGUGCACCAGGGGACUCAGACUCAAACUCUUCGCCUUCGGGAAUUCUCGGAAGCCGGCGCGCUAUAAUUCACCGGACUGUCCGGUGUGCACCGGACAUGUCCGGUGCUCCAAGGAAGCUCGGCCUCCUGAACUCGCCAGCCUCGGGUUCGCGCGGCAGCCGCUCCGCUAUAAUUCACCGGACUGUCCGGUGUGCACCGGACUGUCCGGUGUGCCAGCAGAGCAACGGCUCCCUGCGGCGCCAACGGCUCCCUGCGGUGCAUUAAAUGCGCGCGCAGCGCGCGCAGAAGUCAGAAUCGCCCAUACCGGUGCACCGGACAUCAAACAGUACAUGUCCGGUGUGCACCGGACACCCAGGCGGGCCCACAAGUCAGAAGCUCCAACGGUCAGAAUCCAACGGCAGUGAUGACGUGGCAGGGGCACCGGACUGUCCGGUGUGCACCGGACUGUCCGGUGCGCCAUCGCGCAGAAGCCUCCAGCCAACGGUCAAGUUUGGUGGUUGGGGCUAUAAAUACCCCAACCACCCCACCAUUCAUUGCAUCCAAGUUUUCCACUUCUCAACUACUACAAGAGCUCUAGCAUUCAAUUCUAGACACACUAAAGAGAUCAAAUCCUCUCCAAUUCUACACAAAGCCCUAGUGACUAGUGAGAGUGAUUUGCCGUGUUCAUUUGAGCUCUUGCACUUGGAUUGCUUCUUUUAUUUCUCACUUGUUCUUGAGAUCACAACUCCAUUGUAAUCAAGGCAAGAGGCACCAAUUGUGUGGUGGCCCUUGCGGGGAAGUUUUGUUCCCGGCUUUGAUUUGAGAAGAGAAGCUCACUCGGUCCGAGGGACCGUUUGAGAGAGGGAAGGGUUGAAAGAGACCCGGCCUUUGUGGCCUCCUCAACGGGGAGUAGGUUUGCAAGAACCGAACCUCGGUAAAACAAAUCUCCGUGUCUCACUUGCUUAUUCGCUUGGGAUUUGUUUUGCGCCCUCUCUCUUGGACUCGUUUAUUAUUACUAACGCUAACCCCGGCUUGUAGUUGUGUUUAAUUUGUAAAUUUCAGUUUCGCCCUAUUCACCCCCCCUCUAGGCGACUAUCAAUUGGUAUCAGAGCCCGGUGCUUCAUUAGAGCCUAACCGCUCGAAGUGAUAUCGGGAGAUCACGCCAAGAAGGAGAUGGAGACCGGCGAAAAGCCCACUACAAGCCACGGGAGCACUUCAUCGGAAGAGUCCCGCACCAAAAGGAGGGAGAAGAAGAAGAGCUCCUCCAUCAAAGGGAAGGAGAAGAAAUCUUCUUCUCACCACAAAGAGAAGAAGGAAAAAUCUUCUUCCCACAAGCCGCAUCGGAAAGGCGACAAGCACAAGAGGAUGAGGAAGGUGGUAUACUACGAGACCGACACUUCAUCAACAUCGACCUCCGACUCCGAUGCGCCCUCCGUCACUUCUAAGCGCCAAGAGCGCAAGAAGUAUAGUAAGAUCCCCCUACGCUACCCUCGCAUUUCCAAACAUACACCUUUACUUUCCGUCCCUCUAGGCAAACCACCAACUUUUGAUGGUGAAGAUUACGCUAGGUGGAGCGAUUUAAUGCGAUUUCAUCUAACCUCGCUCCACAAAAGCAUAUGGGAUGUUGUUGAGUUUGGUGUGCAGGUACCAUCUAUAGGGGAUAAGAACUAUGAUGAGGAUGAGGUAGCCCAAAUCGAGCACUUCAACUCACAAGCCACAACAAUUCUCCUCGCCUCACUAAGCAAAGAGGAAUAUAACAAAGUACAAGGGUUGAAGAACGCCAAGGAGAUUUGGGAUGUACUCAAAACCGCGCACGAGGGAGAUGAGCUCACCAAGAUCACCAAACGGGAAACGAUCGAGGGGGAGCUCGGUCGGUUCCGGCUUAACAAAGGGGAGGAGCCACAACACAUGUACAACCGGCUCAAGACUUUGGUAAACCAAGUGCGCAACCUCGGGAGCAAGAAGUGGGACGACCACGAAGUGGUAAAUGUUAUUUUAAGAUCUCUCAUUUUUCUAAAUCCCACUCAAGUUCAAUUGAUUCGUGGUAAUCCUAGAUAUACUAAAAUGACCCCCGAGGAAGUUAUCGGGCAUUUUGUAAGUUUUGAGUGCAUGAUAGAAGGCUCGAGGAAAAUCAACGAGCUUGGCGACCCAUCCGAAGCUCAACCCGUUGCAUUCAAGGCGACGGAAGAAAAGAAGGAGGAGUCUACACCAAGUCGACAACCAAUAGACGCCUCCAAGCUUGACAAUGAGGAGAUGGCACUCGUCAUCAAGAGCUUCCGCCAAAUCCUCAAGCAAAGGAGGGGGAAAGACUACAAGUCCCGCUCCAAGAAGGUUUGCUACAAAUGUGGUAAGCCCGGUCAUUUUAUUGCUAAAUGUCCUAUAUCUAGUGACAGUGACCGAGGCGACGACAAGAAGGGGAGAAGAAAGGAGAAGAAAAGGUACUACAAGAAGAAGGGCGGCGAUGCCCAUGUUUGUCGGGAAUGGGAUUCCGACGAAAGCUCAAGCGACUCCUCCGACGACGAGGACGCCGCCAACAUCGCCGUCACCAAGGGACUUCUCUUCCCCAACGUCGGCCACAAGUGCCUCAUGGCAAAGAACGGCAAAAAGAAGAAGGUUAAAUCCAACUCCUCCACUAAAUAUGAAUCGUCUAGUGAUGAUAAUGCUAGUGAUGAGGAGGAUAAUUUGCGUAUUCUCUUUGCCAACCUUAACAUAGCUCAAAAAGAAAAAUUGAAUGAAUUGGUUAGUGCUAUUCAUGAAAAGGAUGACCUUUUGGAUUCCCAAGAGGAUUGUCUAAUUAAAGAAAACAAAAAACAUGUUAAGGUUAAAAAGGCUUAUGCUCUUGAGAUAGAGAAAUGUGAAAAAUUAUCUAGUGAGCUAAGCACUUGCCGUGAGAUGAUUGACAACCUUAGACAUGAAAAUGCUAGUUUAAAUGCUAAGGUUGAUUCACAUGUUUGUAAUGUUUCAAUUCCCAAUUCUAGAGAUAAUAAUAAUGAUGAUUUGCUUGCUAGGAUUGAAGAAUUAAACAUUUCUCUUGCUAGCCUUAGAUUAGAGAAUGAAAAUUUGAUUGCUAAGGCUAAAGAUUUUGAUGUUUGCAAAAUUACAAUUGCCGAUCUUAGAGAUAAGAAUGAUAUACUUCGUGCUAAGAUUGUUGAACUUAAUUCUUGCAAACCAUCUACAUCUACCAUUGAGCAUGUCACUAUUUGUACUAGAUGUAGAAAUGUUGAUAUUGAUGCUAUUCAUGAUCAUAUGGCUUUAAUUAAACAACAAAAUGAUCAUAUAGCAAAAUUAGAUGCUAAAAUUGCCGAGCAUAACUUAGAAAAUGAAAAAUUUAAAUUUGCUAGAAGUAUGCUCUAUAAUGGGAGACGCCCUGGUAUCAAGGAUGGCAUUGGCUUCCAAAGGGGAGACAAUGUCAAACUUAAUGCCCCUCCAAAGAACUUAUCUAACUUUGUAAAGGGCAAGGCUCCCAUGCCUCAGGAUAACGAGGGUUACAUUUUGUACCCUGCCGGCUAUCCUAAGAGCAAAAUUAGAAAGAUUCAUUCUAGGAAGUCUCACUCUAGCCCUAAUCAUGCUUAUAUGUAUAAGGGUGAGACAUCUAGUUCUAGGCAACCAACCCAUGCUAAGUUGCCUAAGAAGAAAAUUCCUAAUGCAUCAAAUGAUCAUGCCAUUUCAUUUAAAACUUUUGAUGCAUCAUAUGUUUUGACUAACAAAUCCGGCAAGGUCGUUGCCAAGUUUGUUGGGGGCAAACACAAGGGCUCCAAGACUUGUGUUUGGGUACCCAAAGUUCUUGUGUCUAAUGCCAAAGGACCCAAAACCGUUUGGGUACCUAAAGUCAAGAACUAAAAUUGUUUUGUAGGUUUAUGCAUCCGGGGGCUCAAGUUGGAUACUCGACAGCGGGUGCACAAACCACAUGACCGGGGAGAAAAGGAUGUUCUCCUCAUAUGAGAAAAACAAAGAUCCCCAACGAGCUAUCACAUUCGGGGAUGGAAAUCAAGGUUUGGUCAAAGGAUUGGGUAAAAUUGCUAUAUCUCCUGACCAUUCUAUUUCCAAUGUUUUUCUUGUUGAUUCUUUAGAUUACAACUUGCUUUCUGUUUCACAAUUAUGUCAAAUGGGCUACAACUGUCUCUUUACUGAUGUAGGUGUCACUGUCUUUAGAAGAAGUGAUGAUUCAAUAGCAUUUAAGGGUGUGUUAGAGGGUCAGCUAUACUUGGUAGACUUUGAUAGAGCUGAACUCGACACUUGCUUAAUUGCUAAGACUAACAUGGGUUGGCUCUGGCACCGCCGACUAGCCCAUGUUGGGAUGAAGAAUCUUCACAAGCUUCUAAAGGGAGAACACAUUUUAGGACUAACAAAUGUUCAUUUUGAGAAAGACAGGAUUUGUAGCGCAUGCCAGGCAGGGAAGCAAGUUGGAGUCCAUCAUCCACACAAGAACAUCAUGACGACCGACAGGCCGCUUGAGCUACUCCACAUGGAUCUAUUCGGCCCGAUUGCUUACAUAAGCAUCGGCGGGAGUAAGUAUUGUCUUGUAAUAGUGGAUGAUUAUUCUCGCUUCACUUGGGUAUUCUUUUUACAGGAAAAAUCUCAAACCCAAGAGACCUUAAAGGGAUUCUUAAGACGGGCUCAAAAUGAGUUCGGCUUAAGGAUCAAGAAAAUUAGAAGCGACAACGGGACGGAGUUCAAGAAUUCUCAAAUUGAAGGCUUCCUUGAGAAGGAGGGCAUCAAGCAUGAGUUCUCUUCUCCCUACACACCUCAGCAAAAUGGUGUAGUGGAGAGGAAGAAUCGAACUCUAUUGGACAUGGCAAGAACCAUGCUUGAUGAGUACAAGACACCGGACCGGUUUUGGGCCGAAGCGGUCAAUACCGCCUGCUACGCCAUCAACCGGUUAUAUCUUCACCGAAUCCUCAAGAAGACAUCAUAUGAACUCCUAACCGGUAAAAAGCCCAACAUUUCAUAUUUUAGAGUUUUUGGUAGCAAAUGCUUUAUUCUUGUUAAAAGAGGUAGAAAAUCUAAAUUUGCUCCUAAAACUGUAGAAGGCUUUUUACUUGGCUAUGACUCAAACACAAGGGCAUAUAGGGUCUUUAACAAGUCCACUGGACUAGUUGAAGUCUCAUGUGACGUUGUGUUUGAUGAAACUAACGGCUCUCAAGUAGAGCAAGUUGAUCUUGAUGAGAUAGGUGAAGAACAGGCUCCAUGCAUCGCGCUAAGGAACAUGUCCAUCGGGGAUGUGUGUCCUAAGGAAUCCGAAGAGCCUCCAAAUGCACAAGAUCAACCAUCCUCCUCCAUGCAAGCAUCUCCACCAACUCAAAUUGAGGAUGAGGCUCAAAAUGAUGAAGAGCAAAAUCAAGAAGAUGAGCCACCUCACGAUGAUAGCAAUGAUCAAGGGGGAGAUGCAAAUGAUCAAGAAAAGGAGGAUGAGGAAGAACCAAGACCGCCACACCCAAGAGUCCACCAAGCAAUCCAACGAGAUCACCCCGUCGACACUAUCCUCGGAGACAUUCAUAAGGGGGUAACUACUAGAUCUCGGGUUGCUCAUUUUUGUGAACAUUACUCUUUUGUUUCCUCUAUUGAGCCACACAGGAUAGAGGAAGCUCUCCAAGAUUCGGAUUGGGUGGUGGCGAUGCAAGAGGAGCUCAACAACUUCACUAGAAAUGAGGUAUGGCAUUUAGUUCCACGUCCUAACCAAAAUGUUGUAGGAACCAAAUGGGUCUUCCGCAACAAGCAAGAUGAGCAUGGUAUGGUGACAAGGAACAAAGCUCGACUCGUGGCCAAAGGGUAUUCACAAGUCGAAGGUUUGGAUUUCGGUGAAACCUAUGCACCCGUAGCUAGGCUUGAGUCAAUUCGCAUAUUAUUAGCCUAUGCUACUUACCAUGGCUUUAAGCUUUAUCAAAUGGACGUGAAAAGUGCCUUCCUCAACGGACCAAUCAAGGAAGAGGUCUAUGUUGAGCAACCUCCCGGCUUUGAAGACAGUGAGUAUCCUAACCAUGUUUAUAGGCUCUCUAAGGCGCUUUAUGGGCUCAAGCAAGCCCCAAGAGCAUGGUAUGAAUGCCUAAGAGAUUUCCUUAUUGCUAAUGGCUUCAAAGUUGGCAAGGCCGAUCCUACACUCUUUACUAAAACUCUUGAAAAUGACUUGUUUGUAUGCCAAAUUUAUGUUGAUGAUAUUAUAUUUGGGUCUACUAACGAGUCUACAUGUGAAGAGUUUAGUAGGAUCAUGACACAGAAAUUCGAGAUGUCGAUGAUGGGGGAGUUGAAGUAUUUUCUAGGAUUCCAAGUCAAGCAACUCCAAGAGGGCACCUUCAUUAGCCAAACGAAGUACACUCAAGACAUUCUAACCAAGUUUGGGAUGAAGGAUGCCAAACCCAUCAAGACACCCAUGGGAACUAAUGGGCAUCUCGACCUCGACACGGGAGGUAAGUCCGUGGAUCAAAAGGUAUACCGGUCGAUGAUUGGUUCAUUGCUUUAUUUAUGUGCAUCUCGACCGGACAUUAUGCUUUCCGUUUGCAUGUGUGCAAGAUUCCAAUCCGACCCUAAGGAAUCCCACCUUACGGCCGUAAAACGAAUCUUGAGAUAUUUGGCUUAUACACCUAAGUUUGGGCUUUGGUACCCUCGGGGAUCCACUUUUGAUUUGAUUGGUUAUUCGGAUGCCGAUUGGGCGGGGUGUAAAAUUAAUAGGAAGAGCACAUCGGGGACUUGUCAGUUCUUGGGAAGAUCCUUGGUGUCUUGGGCUUCAAAGAAGCAAAAUUCAGUCGCUCUUUCCACCGCCGAAGCCGAGUACAUUGCCGCAGGACAUUGUUGCGCGCAAUUGCUUUGGAUGAGGCAAACCCUGCGGGACUACGGUUACAAAUUAACCAAAGUCCCUUUGCUAUGUGAUAAUGAGAGUGCAAUCAAAAUGGCCGACAAUCCCGUCGAGCAUAGCCGCACUAAGCACAUAGCCAUUCGGUAUCAUUUUCUUAGGGAUCACCAACAAAAGGGGGAUAUCGAGAUUUCUUACAUUAAUACUAAAGAUCAAUUAGCCGAUAUCUUUACCAAGCCACUUGAUGAACAAUCUUUUACCAGACUUAGGCAUGAGCUCAAUAUUCUUGAUUCUAGAAAUUUCUUUUGCUAGCUUGCACACAUAGCUCAUUUGAAUACCUUUGAUCAUAUAUCUCUUAUAUGCUAUGACUAAUGUGUUUUCAAGUCUAUUUCAAACCUAGUCAUAGGUAUAUUGAAAGGGAAUUGGAGUCUUCGGCGAAGACAAAGGCUUCCACUCCGUAACUAAUGCUUCGCCAUCACUCCGAGCAACUCUCUAUUCCUUGGGGAGAAAUGAGCAUCAAAGAAAAGGACUUCAUCCUUGGGGGAGAGAGCAAAAGCUCAAAAGCAAAAGGACCGAAUUUCGUCUUUGGUAUAGUCUUAACUCAUUCACUUAUGACCAAAGGGGAAGAAAUUACUUCGAGGGCUCUAAUGAUUCCGUUUUUGGCGAUUCAUGCCAAAAAGGGGGAGAAAUGAGCCCAAAGCAAAAGGACCGCACCACCACCAAUUUCAAAAACUUAGUAUUUUCAAAGAAGUAUUUAUCAAUUGGUAUCCUAUUGUGUUCAAAGGGGGAGCAAGUAGCAUUUCAAAAUGAUAUAUCAAAACCCUCUUGAACACUAAGAGGUGGAUCUCUUUUAGGGGGAGUUUUGUUUAGUCAAAGGAAAAGCAUUUGAUUCAGGGGGAGAAAAUUUCAAAUCCUAAAAAUGCUUUGCAAACUCUUAUUCAUUUACCUUUGACUAUUUGCAAAAGAUCUUUGAAAUGGAUUUACAAAAGGACUUGCAAAAACAAAACAUGUGGUGCAAACGUGGUCCAAAAUGCUAAAUAAAGAAAGAAACAUUCCAUGCAUAUCUUGUAAGUAGUUAUAUUGGCUCAAUUCCAAGCAACCUUUACACUUACAUUAUGCAAACUAGUUCAAUUAUGCACUUCUCUAUUUGCUUUGGUUUGUGUUGGCAUCAAUCACCAAAAAGGGGGAGAUUGAAAGGGAAUUAGGCUUACACCUAGUUCCUAAAUAAUUUUGGUGGUUGAAUUGCCCAACACAAAUAAUUGGACUAACUAGUUUGCCCAAGUGUAUAGAUUAUACAGGUGUAAAAGGUUCACACUCAGCCAAUAAAAAGACCAAGUUUUGGAUUCAACAAAGGAGCAAAGGGGCAACCGAGGGCACCCCUGGUCUGGCGCACCGGACUGUCCGGUGCGCCACCGGACAGUGAACAGUACCUGUCCGGUGCACCAGGGGACUCAGACUCAAACUCUUCGCCUUCGGGAAUUCUCGGAAGCCGGCGCGCUAUAAUUCACCGGACUGUCCGGUGUGCACCGGACAUGUCCGGUGCUCCAAGGAAGCUCGGCCUCCUGAACUCGCCAGCCUCGGGUUCGCGCGGCAGCCGCUCCGCUAUAAUUCACCGGACUGUCCGGUGUGCACCGGACUGUCCGGUGUGCACCGGACUGUCCGGUGUGCCAGCGGAGCAACGGCUCCCUGCGGCGCCAACGGCUCCCUGCAGUGCAUUAAAUGCGCGCGCAGCGCGCGCAGAAGUCAGAAUCGCCCAUACCGGUGCACCGGACAUCAAACAGUACAUGUCCGGUGUGCACCGGACACCCAGGCGGGCCCACAAGUCAGAAGCUCCAACGGUCAGAAUCCAACGGCAGUGAUGACGUGGCAGGGGCACCGGACUGUCCGGUGUGCACCGGACUGUCCGGUGCGCCAUCGCGCAGAAGCCUCCAGCCAACGGUCAAGUUUGGUGGUUGGGGCUAUAAAUACCCCAACCACCCCACCAUUCAUUGCAUCCAAGUUUUCCACUUCUCAACUACUACAAGAGCUCUAGCAUUCAAUUCUAGACACACUAAAGAGAUCAAAUCCUCUCCAAUUCUACACAAAGCCCUAGUGACUAGUGAGAGUGAUUUGCCGUGUUCAUUUGAGCUCUUGCACUUGGAUUGCUUCUUUUAUUUCUCACUUGUUCUUGAGAUCACAACUCCAUUGUAAUCAAGGCAAGAGGCACCAAUUGUGUGGUGGCCCUUGCGGGGAAGUUUUGUUCCCGGCUUUGAUUUGAGAAGAGAAGCUCACUCGGUCCGAGGGACCGUUUGAGAGAGGGAAGGGUUGAAAGAGACCCGGCCUUUGUGGCCUCCUCAACGGGGAGUAGGUUUGCAAGAACCGAACCUCGGUAAAACAAAUCUCCGUGUCUCACUUGCUUAUUCGCUUGGGAUUUGUUUUGCGCCCUCUCUCUUGGACUCGUUUAUUAUUACUAACGCUAACCCCGGCUUGUAGUUGUGUUUAAUUUGUAAAUUUCAGUUUCGCCCUAUUCACCCCCCCUCUAGGCGACUAUCACAUCUGCAGUAUCCGCCACCACAAAAGAGAUGGAGACCAAAUGCCGUUGAGAAAAAUCAAACGGCCACAAAGAUAGAAAAUAUAACGACAACUGUGCAUCUCUCUGCAGGUAUGGUAGACUGUCCGGCUAUAAAGGCCGGAUCAUCUGCACAGGACGCGGACCAUCCGACCCCUAAGGCUGAACCAUCCGCACUACACCAAGGGUGUGUUUGGUUUGGCUUUUGGCUUUGGCUUUUGCCUCCUAAAAGCCAAAAGCCAAACCAAAGGGUUGGAUUCAGAAAGCAGCUUUUUCUAAAAGCUGACUUUCUCGCAGUGCAAAACUGAAAGCACCUCUAGACCUGCUUUUAGUGGCUUUCGGAUGAAACUGUGAAAACAUAUAUAGAAAACUUUUAACGGCUUUUAGUGGUUUUCACCAAACGAUUUUUAGCUUUUUAACAGCUCACAGCCCACAGCAGCUUUUUCCACAGCUCACAGCCCACAGCAGUUUUUUUCACAGCCACAGCCCAACCAAACAGACCCCAAGACACCUCCGACGACGUACCGACGCCCAUGGAGGAAGACGACCUGCAAGGAGAAGACCUGGUCGACUACGGAGCUACGCCAGAACACUUAGAAAAUUAGGAAAGCAAGGUGACGAAUUGGUCAGGACCAGUAUGACGCUCGGCGGUGUUGGGACUGACAGUUCGAUCAAAGCUAAAGGGAUCACGUCCGUUGAGUCAACCAUCGAGACCAAGGCCACUGCGUACCAUCCUAGUAAGUGGCAAGAUGCACAAGAAAACCGAUGUGAUCACAUCGAGUUAGUUGCUUUUGGUUCGCUCAGCUCCACCAAAAGGCAGAGGGGCAUAUGUUGAGCACCAUUUUGAGUGCACGGACGGUCCGGCCCUGGGGCCAGACGGUCCGCGGUCCGGACAGUCCGCGCCUAUGGGCCGGACGGUCCGCGCAGGCGCAGAACAGAUUAGGGUUCCGAGUUUCUUGCUAUGUUUGUUGGCGAAAAUCUCGAGAUAAGCUCGGAAAUUAGUUUGUAAAGGGUCCAGCCCCCCUCCUCUAUAAAUAGAGAGGUAUACGGCCGAUCAAUCAUUAUCAAUCGAAUCAAUACAACUUCUAUUUCGCAUUUUAUCCUAGGAGUAGUUCUAGUCUAGUUUAGGUUUAGCCUCUCGAUCCCCAAAUUCUUCGCCUCUCUUCGACUCUACGCCGAUUAGAGGAGUCUAGGUCGGCCGGCCCGAGCCUAGACAACCCCUAGAAUCUCUCCUCCCCGACGGGGUCCCUCCCGGGAGCGAGUCCAGGCGCCGCCGGCGAUCUUCCGCCGCCCCUGCGCAUGCGCGGACCGUCAGGCCCUAGGGCGCGGACCGUCCGGCCGUCAGGCAGGAAACCUUAGCCCAUGCGCCAGGUCGCGGACCGUCCGGCCCCAGGCCGCGGACCGUCCGCGCCUGACCAAAGAGCACCGCCGCCGGUUCUUCUUAAGUAUUUGGCGCUCCGAAAAAGUGUCAACACGAAGUAACUUCAAAGUUUAGAUCUGCAUAGACAAAAUCGGCUGUGCAUCAUACAGAAUGCGUGGCCCACUAUUUCUUUUCCUUUUAUUACCGGGAAGAACUGAAUCUACACGCAACAUUACAAUGACCAUUUCUGAUACAUCACUACGAGCUUGGGUACAGGGCAUAUGUUGCCUUCAGGUAGUCUAUGAUUUCAGCGCUUUCAAACAUCUGGACUCCCGUGUUAGGAUCUUCGAUGUACGGCGCCUGCCAACACAGUAACACAUACACACACAUAUACAUGAUGUCGCACACCAGGCAGGCAAAUCAAAAGAAUGUUCAGCGUCAAAUGCAUCAAUAGCGUUUUAGCAAGGCGUCCUACCUGGAAAAGCCCCUUUUUCUUGAAAAAUUCUUGUCGUUUGGGGCUGCCUCGUGCGCAGCUGCAGGAGUAACUUCUAGUUACUAACACUCUUGCAGAGCACAUAUCUCAGUCCAGAAGAACUGAACUAAAGUGAUAAUUCUACUAGGUUAAGUUUAGCAACAGCUUGCAGGCUGUUCUGAAUUCUGAUGCCAUUCAGUGACUUGUGGUUUUAAAGUAUUUUGGAUACCUGUGUAGCAGAUGUGGCAAUUCCAACUCGACAAGUGUCUCUCGUACUAAUUUACAGAAGGGAGAUCCCUGCGAAAACAGACCAUCAGCUAUUCAGAGUCCACGCGACCUGUAUAGUAAGAAGAGAGCUCAUGUGCUGAGGAUUCAGACCUCACAUGCCCAUAUCUCUAUGGGCUGCGGUGGGACUUUUGAAGCAAUGUAGGAAUUUCCCUGUAAACAACGACGUAAUGCCACACGUUUCUGAGCAAACAUCCACAGGAAAACACGCAGCGAACUUUGUUAUAAUGUUUUUGCACAAUGUACCUUUCCAAUACGACCAAGAGUAGCAAGCCCUGCUGUAAUUGCCUAAAAAAUAUUUAAAAGUUAUCAAAACUGCAAACUGAUCCUUGGCACAAAAUAAAGCAUUAUACCCAUCGGAUAGGCAAAUACUGAAGCAUACUGAAAGCAAAGUGUAAAUAUGUCAAAUAUUCCUCGAUAAUAGUUGGGGGUACUUAGUUCAAACAUAUUUUUAUACAUUUGGACUAAUAUGUACACUGGUUAAAACAUAUAAUAUACUUUUAAAUUGCUGGGUGCUUGUUUACUUACUGUCAACAGACCAAGUGAUAGCAUAAUUGGAACAGUUCCAUCGCCUAAGAAAAACAAGCAUAAGUGAGUGAGGUCAGUAAGGUCAUUAUAGGAAGAAACUUUAAGAGGGCAUACCCAGUGCCAAAAAUGGGGUCUAGGAAGGGGAUAAAACGAUACAAUCCUUUUCACACACAAAUCCAGUGAGGCUCCUACAUGAAUGGGGUCUCGGGGAUAAACCAAGACAAGCCUUUUCCCCCACAAAUAGGGAGGAACAACCUUUAAGAGCAAAAGUGAAAAGGAGAUGUGUUGAAUACACACCAUAUGUAUCAGCUAGAUAUUUUAUGAUGUCAUCGGAUUCAUACAUGGCGACCCCUGUGUUUGGAUCUACCUGCAAUAGAGGUGCAUCUUAUGUAACUGUUAACACUGAAUGAUAGAACUGAUUUGCAUUUCAUUACGCAAUUUAUUUCUUGGGAAAACUCAGAUGACCAACCUUACUUUCCCCGACGAAAAAUUAUGACACACACAUCAAAGCUUAUUUAUCAAAUAUAAUGAGCAAGUUAACCUAUCUUGCCAGGGGCCCACAGGUUAUACUCAGUGGUCAUCAUAUGAGCAAGUUUAUUUAUCAAAUAAAAUUCAUACACCACAUUUCCAUAUUUAACAUACGUGGAUGUGGAUGAGGAGAUGCUAGCAACCAAAUAUGAUCUGAAGUGCUAACACAAAAUAGAAUAUCAGAAUUUAUGUAGGACGUCUGCAUACCAUGUAAGGGAAUUGUUUCUUUCCACCCAUUUCGAGGACUUUAGGUCGGAACGUUGGGCCUUUUGAGGACAGGGGUAAAAUAAUACAUCUAGGUCCAAGACUGUUACCAUCUCUCUGACCUGCAAUUUUUCCAUGGUGAAUACAAACAACAAAAUUGCUCUUGUGCAUGAAGAAUGACAUCUGCAAAACGCAGUUGCAAGAGGCUGGGCAUAUUCACCUUCCGACAAAAUGGACAACUGAAGAUUAGCAAGAAUACACCAACAAUGAAGAGAAGAAACAAGUCAGCAUGAUUACUCAGCAUGGUAUAAACAGGAGGAAGAAGCAAGAUAUGCUGUACCCUUCAAAUUCAUAUAUCUCGAUAGGCUUUUCUGGUCGUUUGCACUGUCCUAUUUUUGAUUCCUCUUUCACCUUCCAAGCUACGAUAAGAAACGCAUGUUUACAAGUAAACUUAACAGAGCUAUGUAUUCCACAAACUGCAUCUUAUUGUGCGAUUCUUUGUGGUUUCCAUGAUAUAGUAGGAGUAAUAAUAGCUGCAAUGGAAGAAUUGUGAAUAAACUCACCUCCAAAUUCCAGUGCAUACUGGUCUGAUGGUAUCUCUGAUGGAGAAACAAGAGAUGGCGAGUACCUGCACAUUGAAGUGACACGUGCAGGUAAGCAGGUGCAGGCUGUAGCCCGUAGGCGAGGUAGACGCCCGGACGGUGAGAGAAGGCGCGGUGCGUACCCGAGGACGAAGACGCCGGUGCCGAGGCGAAGGGGGAUGGCGAGCGAGGCGCCGAGGACGCUGCCCACCUGGCCGGACUUGACCUCGUACCUCUUGGGCUCGGGCGCCUUGAACCCCGGCGGAGGCUUGAACUCGGGCGUCGGCUCAGGCGCUGAGGUGGAUCCAGCUGCGGCGGUGGUGUCCGGCUGGGCCCUGACGGCGAGAGAAGCGGCCCUGGCGGCGCGCGCGGUGGCGGUGGCACCCAAGGCGACGGUGCGGCGGGGGAGGAGGAGGGGCGUGCGGUGGUGCAGCGCGGUGGGUGCGGCGGGCGGAGCCAUGGAUUGGAUUCGGCAGCGACGGCGACUCGGGCCGGACGGCGGGGAGCGGCGUGCGAGUUUCUGUGGCGCCUACGCCGCUACGCGGCGAGACGCGGGGACGAAGCGAUUGGUGUACCUGCGGCAUUGCUGGCGAGUUUAUUCCCGAACGGUGGGCUUCGGAAGUCUGCUACCCCCAACCUUGCAAUUGGAAUCUUAGUAUUAUAAUAGGCUUCCGUUUAGAAAUUUGUCAUCGUGGGCACUAUUAUCCGUCGCGGUAAGUAUUAACUUGUACCGGCUGCUGUUACGUUGAAGAUUUGGAUUUCCCGUUCGUCACAACGGAUCGGCCUUCCUCUAUUCUUCAGAACGGAUCGCGAGCCGAGCUCGCUCCUUUCUUCCUCUCCGUCUCUGUCCGGCUCCCAGCUAGGCCUUCCUCUCCCUCUCUGUCCGGCCAGCUAGCUCCCAGCUGAGUACUCCUCCCAGCUAGGCUGUGCUCUCCCCCGACUGCUCCCGGCGCUCGUCGAGCUCGCGAGUCUGCAAGGUCGUCCCUACCGGCGCUCCAGGUGGAUUUCCCGACAACUCUCAUUGCUUGUAUUUCUUCGUCCCAAUGCAAACUCCGGCAGUCCCCUCGCCGGACGAACUCUCGCCGGACCUCGCAGUCCACGCAGCCGGCGAGUUAGCCUCGUCGUUGCCUCCAGGCGAGGUCGUUGGCAGCGACACAGGGCUGGCCCUCAAUCCGUCGCCGUUGGUCGAUGCUGCUCUGACGAUCGCCGACGUUGACAACUCUUGGUUGGAGGCACCACCAGAUUGUCGUGAAGAUCCUGUUGAAACGGUAACUGAUUUGGACCCCCCUAUUUCCAGUUCCCAACUCGUUCCCACCAAGGUUGGCACCAUUCUGUGUCAACUUGACUGGGCCAAAAUUAUAUCACAUCUACCUCAGAUUUUCUAGUAGUGCACAACCACUGUCGUGGCUUGUUUAUUGUUGCCUGUGCACGUAGAAAUGAGUUGAUGUUUCUCAUUUGUACUGCUCCUCAUAAUUUUUGUAGGGCACUGUCAAUUUUCAGUUAACAGUGUUUGACCCAUCGGAAGUAUUUGAUUUUGAGGGUAUUGGACCUGAUCUUCGAUGGGAUGAAGAAGGGGCUCAACAUGUACCCAGUGAGUUAGCUAUGUAUUCGAAACUUGGAUUGGCGGCUGAAGAUGAAAGAGAAAACAAAGAGAGAGAGGAGGCUUCUAAUCUUUGUGGUCAUUCAAAUAAUCCAAAUGAGUUUGGAGUUGAUUCUUCAUCCUCCAUGCCCUGUGUUGAUUUUUUGCCAAACGAGAGUAGAGUUUUGUGUGAUUCUAACCAUCCAGUCAUGGCAGUUGGCCGCAUGUAUCCAUCUAUGGCUGAAUUCAGACUUGCUAUGAGACAGUAUGCCAUAGAAAAAGAGUUUGAGUUAGGCAUUGAGGCUAGUACCCCGAAGAAAUACAGAGGAUUUUGUCGAGGUGGUGAUUGUCCUUGGAGCAUACAUGCAAGAAUUGAGAGGGCUGGGUCACCUACCAUAAUUGUACGGUUUUGUCAAAGUUUUAAUUUUGUUGAAGUUUUUUUAUGCCUUAUUAGUAAUGGAGUGCAUUUCAUUUAUACUUCUGUAGGUGACUGUGAUGAAUGAUCAUCACACUUGCACUUCUAGUGGCCGGAGGAGGACAAGCACACCAACCAGUGCUUGGGUUGCUGCUAAAGCUUUACCUAUCCUUGCGAAGAAACCACACACAGGUGCAAAGGAUUUACAGACUUUCCUUCAAGAUACGUACAAGUGCACCAUUUCUUAUGAUACAGUUUGGUAUGGAAAAGAGAAAGCCUCGAAGGAGUUGUUUGGGACUUGGGAAGAGAGUUUCCAACUUCUAUUCUCUUGGAAGGAGGUUGUAUUGCAGAGGUCACCUGAUAGUGUCAUUGAAAUUGAUGUACGUGUUGAGGAUGGCAGAGUUUAUUUUAGUAGGUUCUUCUGUGCACUUGGCCCUUGUGAAAGGGAAUUAGGCUUUGAAAGGGAAAUGUGCCCUUGGGCCAUUUCUAAGUAUUUUGGUGAUUGAGUGCCAACAUAAGUGUUUAAAUGUAAAUCUAUGCCCAUGGAUGAAUAAAGUGCAAAUCACAAGUAAAGGUAUGUUUCUAAGCCUCAGAACAUUGGUUUUGUGUACUAAUAUAUUUGUCUAAGUAUUAGAAACAGAGAGAAGAAGAAAAGGAGAAUGUUGGCUGUGUACAGCCAACAGGCUGUUUCGGUCUGGAGCACCGGACUGUCCGGUGGUGCACCGGACAGUGUCCGGUGCGCCAGGCUGCCUCGGCCGAAGAGGCCGCUCUCGGGAAUUUGCUGACGGCGUACGGCUAAAAUUCACCGGACCGUCCGGUGUGCACCGGACUGUCCGGUGAGCCAACGGUCGGCCGAGCCAACGGUCGGCCGCGAAAUCUGCGCGCGACACGUGGUCUGGCCAACGGUCGGAAGGAGGCACCGGACUGUCCGGUGUGCACCGGACUGUCCGGUGCGCCAGAUCUGCAACGGUCGGCAACGGUCGGCUGAGCUGUUUAUGGAAAUAAAUCGGGCACCGGACAGUGUCCGGUGUGCACCGGACUGUCCGGUGCGCCCGACGACAGAAGGCAAGAUUGGCCUUCUGGAUUUUCUCUCAACGGCUCCUAGCUGCCUUGGGGCUAUAAAAGGGACCCCUAGGCGCAUGGAGGAGAAUACCAAGCAACCUUAGAGCACUCUUGAUCAACCACACUCAGUCUUUGCGCAUCCGAUUGUCAUUCUAAGUGAUUCGAGCUCCGUUCUUGUGAGAACUUUGAGAUAGUCUUUGAGCUCGAUUCUUGGCCGUGUGUGUGCGCAUUUCGCUGUGGAUUUGUGUGUGUUGCUUCCCUCCCUUACUCCGUGCUUCUUUGUGAAUCUUAAUUGUAAGGGCGAGAGACUCCAAUUUGUGGAGAUUCCUCGCAAGUGGGAUAAAGAUAAGCAAGGCAAAACACAGUGGUAUUCAAGUGGGUCUUUGGACCGCUUGAGAGGGGUUGAUUGCAACCCUCGUCCGUUGGGACGCCACAACGUGGAGUAGGCAAGUUUUGUACUUGGCCGAACCACGGGAUAAAUCACCGUGUCUCCUCUGUGUUGAAUUCUUUGUGAUUGUCGUAUUGUGCAAGAUCUCCUGUUUAGCCACUUGGCAAUUAUUGUGCUAACCCUUAACAAGUUUUGUGGCUAUAAGCUUAAGUUUUUACAGGAUCACCUAUUCACCCCCCCUCUAGGUGCUCUCAAUUGGUAUCAGAGCCGUUCUCUUCACAAAGGGACUUACCGCCUGAAGAGAUGGAUCCUAAGGGGAAGGGAAUCGUGAUCAACGACAAAGAAAAGGAAUCCUUCGUCAACGAGCCAAAGGACGACAAGCCUACCGACUCCGGCUCGGGGCAUAGACGGAAGGAAGGAAAGAAGAAAAAGACAAGGCGCAUCAAGGAGAUCAUCUACUACGACGAUAGUGAUGAGUCUACUUCUUCCCAAAAGGAUGAUGACAACGACUACAAAAAGACGGUCAAUUCGAACUUUUCAUUUGAUUAUUCUCGUAUUCAACAUAGUUCGAAUUCGCAUUUGCUUUCCAUUCCUCUUGGCAAACCUCCACACUUCGAUGGGGAGGACUACGGAUUUUGGAGUCACAAAAUGCGUAGUCACUUAUUCUCUCUCCAUCCAAGCAUAUGGGAGAUUGUGGAGAAUGGAAUGAAAUUUGAUAGCUCGGAUAGCCCUAUGCUUAUAAAUGAACAAAUUCAUAGAAAUGCACAAGCUACUACUGUUCUCUUAGCGUCUUUGUGCAGGGAAGAGUACAAUAAGGUGAGCGGCUUGGACAAUGCCAAGCAGAUAUGGGACACCCUCAAGAUCUCUCACGAGGGGAACGACAUCACCAUGCUCACCAAGAUGGAGUUGGUGGAGGGCGAGCUUGGACGAUUCGCCAUGAUAAGGGGAGAGGAGCCAACUCAAACUUACAACCGGCUCAAGACCCUUAUCAACAAAAUAAGGAGCUACGGAAGCACGCGUUGGACGGAUCACGACGUCGUCCGCCUAAUGCUCAGGUCCUUUACCGUUCUUGAUCCUCAUCUCGUGAACAAUAUUCGUGAGAAUCCUAGGUACACGAUGAUGACGCCUGAGGAAGUACUUGGAAAAUUCGUGAGCGGACGGAUGAUGAUCAAGGAGGCAAGAUACGUCGACGACGCGUUGAACGGUCCACUCCACGAGCCUCAACCCAUUGCUCUAAAGGCAACUAGGAGCAAGGAGUCGCUACCUAGCAAGGUGGCGCAAGUUGAGGCGGCUGGGCUCAAUGAUGAAGAGAUGGCUCUCAUCAUCAAGAGAUUCAAGACGGCGCUAAAAGGUCGAAAGGGACAGCCAAGCAAGGCCAAGACCAAGGGAAAGCGAUCAUGCUUCAAAUGCGGUAAGCUUGGUCAUUUUAUUGCUAACUGUCCCGAAAAUGAUAGUGACCAGGAGCAAGGGAAAAAUGGGAAGAGAGAGAACAAGAAGGUGUACAAGAAGGCCAAAGGCGAAGCACACCUUGGAAAGGAGUGGGAUUCGGAUUGCUCUUCGUCCGACUCCGACGACGAAGGACUCGCCGCCACUGCCUUCAACAAAUCGGCUCUCUUCCCCAACGAGCAUCACACUUGCCUCAUGGCAAGGGAAAAGAAGGUAAUCACUCGUAAUGCAAAUACUUAUGAUUCUUCUAGUGAUGAUGAAUCUAGUGAGGAUGAAAUUGAUUACUCUAGUUUAUUCAAGGGAUUGGAUAGAACUAAGAUAGCUAAGAUUAAUGAGUUGAUCGAUGCCUUAAAUGAAAAGGAUAGAAUCUUAGAGAAACAAGAAGACCUGUUAUAUGAAGAACAUGAUAAAUUUGUUAGUGCACAAAAUUCACUUGCUCUAGAAGUUAAAAGAAAUGGAAUACUUUCUUGUGAACUUUCUACUUGUAAUGAAACCAUUUCUUCUUUAAAAGGUGAAAUUAAUGUUUUAACUGCUAAACUAGAAGUAGCAAGUAACUCGUGUGUUGAAAAUAUUACAAUUUGCACUAGGUGUAAGGAUUUUGAUGUUAAUGCUUGUAGUGAACACUUAGUUUCAAUUUCAAAACUAAAUGAUGAAGUGGCUAGUCUUAAUGCUCAACUUAAGACCAGCAAGAGUGAAGUUGAUAAAAUAAAAUUUGCAAGGGAUGCCUACACAGUAGGUAGACACCCCUCAAUUAAGGAUGGUCUUGGCUUCAAGAGAGAGGCCAAGAACUUAACAAGCCAUAAGGCUCCCAUCUUCGUCAAGGAGAAAGGGAAGGCCCCUAUGGCUAGUAGUGCUAAAAGGAACCAUGCUUUCUUGUACCAUGAUAGGAGACAUGCUAGAAAUGCUUAUAAUGAUUUUGAUUCACAUGCUUAUGAUUCUCAUGCCAUGUUUGCUUCUAGUUCUUCCUAUAAGAAUGGUAGAGAUAUGACUAGGAGAAAUGUUAUUCAUCAUGUGCCUAGAAAGAAUACUAUUCAUGCUCCUAGGAAAGUAGUAAAUGAACCUUCUACAAUUUAUUGUGCUCUAAAUGCUUCCUUUGCUAUUUGUAGAAAGGAUAGGAAGAUAGUUGCUAGGAAGUUAGGGGCAAAAUGCAAGGGAGACAAAACUUGCAUUUAGGUCCCUAAGGAAAUUGUGACUAACCUUGUAGGACCCAACAAGAGUUGGGUACCUAAGUCCCAAGCCUAAAUUUGCCUUGCAGGUUUAUGCAUCCGGGGGUUCAAGCUGGAUUAUUGAUAGCGGAUGCACAAACCAUAUGACGGGGGAGAAGAAGAUGUUCACCUCCUACGUCAAGAAUAAGGAUUCCCAAGAUUCAAUUAUAUUCGGUGAUGGGAAUCAAGGCAAGGUAAAAGGAUUAGGUAAAAUUGCAAUCUCAAAUGAGCACUCAAUUUCUAAUGUGUUUUUAGUUGAGUCCUUGGGAUAUAAUUUGCUAUCUGUUAGUCAAUUAUGCAACAUGGGGUAUAACUGUCUAUUUACAAAUGUAGAUGUGUCUGUCUUUAGAAGAAGUGAUGAUUCACUAGCUUUUAAGGGUGUAUUAGACGACAAACUUUAUUUAGUUGAUUUUGCAAAAGAAGAGGCCGGUCUAGAUGCAUGCUUAAUAGCUAAGACUAGCAUGGGCUGGCUGUGGCAUCGCCGCUUAGCACAUGUGGGGAUGAAGAACCUUCACAAGCUUCUAAAGGGAGAACACGUGAUAGGUUUGACUAACGUGCAAUUCGAAAAAGAUAGACCUUGUGCAGCUUGUCAAGCAGGUAAACAAGUGGGAGGAGCACAUCACAGCAAGAAUGUGAUGACCACUUCAAGACCCCUGGAGCUGCUGCAUAUGGACCUCUUCGGACCCGUCACCUAUCUGAGCAUAGGAGGGAGUAAGUAUGGUCUAGUUAUUGUUGAUGACUUUUCCCGCUUCACUUGGGUGUUCUUUUUGCAGGAUAAGUCUGAAACCCAAAGGACCCUCAAGCGCUUCCUCAGGAGAGCUCAAAAUGAGUUUGAGCUCAAAGUGAAGAAGAUAAGGAGCGACAACGGGUCCGAGUUCAAGAACCUUCAAGUGGAGGAGUUCCUUGAGGAGGAAGGGAUCAAGCAUGAGUUCUCCGCUCCCUACACACCACAGCAAAAUGGUGUGGUAGAGAGGAAGAACAGGACGCUAAUCGACAUGGCGAGGACUAUGCUUGGAGAAUUCAAGACCCCCGAGCGUUUUUGGUCGGAAGCCGUGAACACGGCUUGCCACGCCAUCAACAGGGUCUACCUUCACCGCCUCCUCAAGAAGACGUCAUAUGAGCUUCUAACCGAUAACAAACCCAAUGUAUCGUAUUUUCGUGUAUUUGGGAGCAAGUGCUACAUUCUAGUGAAGAAGGAUAGAAAUUCUAAAUUUGCUCCCAAAGCAGUAGAAGGGUUUUUGUUAGGUUAUGACUCAAAUACAAAGGCGUAUAGAGUCUUCAACAAAUCAUCGGGUUUGGUUGAAGUCUCUAGCGACGUUGUAUUUGAUGAGACUAAUGGCUCUCCAAGAGAGCAAGUUGUUGAUCCUGAUGAUGUAGAUGAAGAAGACGUUCCAACGGCCGCUAUGCGCAUCAUGGCGAUUGGUGAUGUGCGACCACAGGAACAAUUGGAGCAAGAUCAACCUUCUUCCUCAACUAUGGUGCAACCCCCAACUCAAGACGAUGAACAGGUUCAUCAACAGGAGGCGUGUGAUCAAGUGGGAGCACAAGAUGAUCAUGUGAUGGAGGAAGAUGCGCAACCGGCACCUCCAACCCAAGUCCGAGCGGUGAUUCAAAGGGAUCAUCCUGUCGACCAAAUUUUGGGUGACAUUAGUAAGGGAGUAACUACUCGAUCUAGAUUAGUUAAUUUUUGUGAGCAUUACUCCUUUGUGUCUUCUAUUGAGCCUUUCAGGGUAGAGGAGGCCUUGCUAGAUCCGGACUGGGUGUUAGCCAUGCAGGAGGAGCUCAACAACUUCAAACGCAAUGAAGUUUGGACACUGGUGCCUCGUCCCAAGCAAAAUGUUGUGGGAACCAAGUGGGUGUUCCGCAACAAACAGGACGAGCACGGGGUGGUGACAAGGAACAAGGCUCGACUUGUGGCAAAAGGGUAUGCCCAAGUCGCAGGUUUGGACUUUGAGGAGACGUUUGCUCCUGUGGCUAGGCUAGAAUCAAUUCGUAUCUUGCUAGCAUAUGCCGCUCACCAUUCUUUCAGGUUGUACCAAAUGGAUGUGAAGAGCGCUUUCCUCAAUGGGCCAAUCAAGGAGGAGGUGUACGUGGAGCAACCCCCUAGCUUCGAGGAUGAACGGUACCCCGACCACGUGUGUAAGCUCGCUAAGGCGCUCUAUGGACUUAAGCAAGCCCCAAGAGCAUGGUAUGAAUGCCUUAGAGACUUUUUGAUUACUAAUGCUUUCAAGGUCGGGAAAGCCGAUCCAACUCUUUUUACAAAGACAUGUGAUGGUGACUUGUUUGUGUGCCAAAUUUAUGUCGAUGACAUAAUAUUUGGUUCUACUAACCAAAAGUCUUGUGAAGAGUUUAGCAGGGUGAUGAUGCAGAAGUUCGAGAUGUCGAUGAUGGGCGAGUUGAACUACUUCCUUGGGUUCCAAGUGAAGCAACUCAAGGACGGCACCUUCAUCUCCCAAACAAAGUACACGCACGAUCUGCUAAAGCGGUUUGGGAUGAAGGACGCCAAGCCCGCAAAGACUCCGAUGGGGACCGACGGACACACCGACCUCAACAAAGGAGGUAAGUCCGUUGAUCAAAAAGCAUACCGGUCAAUGAUAGGAUCUUUGCUUUACUUAUGUGCUAGUAGACCGGAUAUUAUGCUUAGCGUAUGCAUGUGUGCUAGAUUUCAAUCCGAUCCUAAGGAAUGUCACUUAGUGGCGGUGAAGCGAAUUCUUAGAUAUUUGGUUGCUACGCCUUGCUUCGGGCUCUGGUAUCCAAAGGGGUCUACCUUUGACUUAGUUGGAUACUCAGACUCCGACUAUGCUGGAUGUAAGGUCGAUAGGAAGAGUACAUCAGGGACGUGCCAAUUCCUAGGAAGGUCCCUGGUGUCGUGGAACUCUAAGAAACAAACCUCCGUUGCCCUAUCCACCGCUGAGGCCGAGUAUGUUGCCACAGGACAGUGUUGCGCGCAACUACUUUGGAUGAGGCAAACCCUCCGGGACUUUGGCUACAAUCUGAGCAAAGUCCCACUCCUAUGUGAUAAUGAGAGUGCUAUCCGCAUGGCGGAAAAUCCUGUUGAACACAGCCGCACAAAGCACAUAGACAUCCGGCAUCACUUUUUGAGAGACCACCAGCAAAAGGGAGAUAUCGAAGUGUUUCAUGUUAGCACCGAGAACCAACUAGCCGAUAUCUUCACUAAGCCUCUAGACGAGAAGACCUUUUGCAGGUUGCGUAGUGAGCUAAAUGUCUUAGAUUCGCGGAACCUGGAUUGAAUUGUAGCAUACAUGUAUUUAUGCUUUUGAUCAUGUUCCUUUUUGCAUUUUAUUGCUUAUUAUGGUGCUCAAGUUGUACAAACACUCCCUGGACCUCACAAGUCCGCUGCAAAGUGAUGCACAUGUUUAGGGGGAGAUGUGUUACAACUUGAUCCUUUGAGACUAACCAUGUGCUUGAGUUUGAUGAUUUAGUCUCGAAGGAGGAUUGAAAGGGAAGAGGUGGACUUGGACCAUGAAAGACUUCCACUGCACUCUGAUGAGAGGGUAACUUAUUCCAAGUUCAUCUUUAGACUCUUAUUGCCUUUGUGUUCUCAUUUGAAGAUUUUGGUAAGGCAAUGGGGUUAAAAAGGCCAAGAUUGAUCCCGUUUUGGUGCUUGAUGCCAAAGGGGGAGAAAAUAAAGGCCAAAGCGAUAAAUGGAUCAGCUACCACUUGAGAGAUUUUGAAAAUAGUAGAAUAGAGUUUUUGUUUUGUCAAACGCUUUUAUUGUCUCUCAUUGUCUCUCUUGUCAAAAGUUGGCGUCUUGUGGGGAGAAGUGCUGAUUAUGGGAAAUAGGGGGAGUUUUUGAAAUCCUUGAUCAAUCUCUUUUGGGAUGACUCUCUUUAUGCUCCAACAUGUGUGUUUGACUUAGAGAUAGAGAUUUGAGUUUGAUUUGCAAAAACAAACCAAGUGGUGGCAAAGGAUGAUCCAUAUAUGCCAAAAUCGAAUAAAACUCAAAUUUAUUUUUAUUUGAAGUGAUUUUGCACUUGUUCUAGUUGCUUUAUGUUGUGUUGGCAUAAAUCACCAAAAAGGGGGAGAUUGAAAGGGAAAUGUGCCCUUGGGCCAUUUCUAAGUAUUUUGGUGAUUGAGUGCCAACAUAAGUGUUUAAAUGUAAAUCUAUGCCCAUGGAUGAAUAAAGUGCAAAUCACAAGUAAAGGUAUGUUUCUAAGCCUCAGAACAUUGGUUUUGUGUACUAAUAUAUUUGUCUAAGUAUUAGAAACAGAGAGAAGAAGAAAAGGAGAAUGUUGGUUGUGUACAGCCAACAGGCUGUUUCGGUCUGGAGCACCGGACUGUCCGGUGGUGCACCGGACAGUGUCCGGUGCGCCAGGCUGCCUCGGCCGAAGAGGCCGCUCUCGGGAAUUUGCUGACGGCGUACGGCUAAAAUUCACCGGACCGUCCGGUGUGCACCGGACUGUCCGGUGAGCCAACGGUCGGCCGAGCCAACGGUCGGCCGCGAAAUCUGCGCGCGACACGUGGUCUGGCCAACGGUCGGAAGGAGGCACCGGACUGUCCGGUGUGCACCGGACUGUCCGGUGCGCCAGAUCUGCAACGGUCGGCAACGGUCGGCUGAGCUGUUUAUGGAAAUAAAUCGGGCACCGGACAGUGUCCGGUGUGCACCGGACUGUCCGGUGCGCUCGACGACAGAAGGCAAGAUUGGCCUUCUGGAUUUGCUCUCAACGGCUCCUAGCUGCCUUGGGGCUAUAAAAGGGACCCCUAGGCGCAUGGAGGAGAAUACCAAGCAACCUUAGAGCACUCUUGAUCAACCACACUCAGUCUUUGCGCAUCCGAUUGUCAUUCUAAGUGAUUCGAGCUCCGUUCUUGUGAGAACUUUGAGAUAGUCUUUGAGCUCGAUUCUUGGCCGUGUGUGUGCGCAUUUCGCUGUGGAUUUGUGUGUGUUGCUUCCCUCCCUUACUCCGUGCUUCUUUGUGAAUCUUAAUUGUAAGGGCGAGAGACUCCAAUUUGUGGAGAUUCCUCGCAAGUGGGAUAAAGAUAAGCAAGGCAAAACACAGUGGUAUUCAAGUGGGUCUUUGGACCGCUUGAGAGGGGUUGAUUGCAACCCUCGUCCGUUGGGACGCCACAACGUGGAGUAGGCAAGUUUUGUACUUGGCCGAACCACGGGAUAAAUCACCGUGUCUCCUCUGUGUUGAAUUCUUUGUGAUUGUCGUAUUGUGCAAGAUCUCCUGUUUAGCCACUUGGCAAUUAUUGUGCUAACCCUUAACAAGUUUUGUGGCUAUAAGCUUAAGUUUUUACAGGAUCACCUAUUCACCCCCUCCUCUAGGUGCUCUCAGGCUUACACCUAGUCCCUAAUUAAUUUUGGUGGUUGAAUUGCCCAACACAAAUAAUUGAACUAACUAGUUUGCUCUAGUGUAUAAGUUAUACAGGUGCUAAAGGUACACACUUAGCCAUUAUAAAGACCAAGAGUUGGGUUCAACAAAAGAGCAAAGGGCCAACCGAAGGCACCUCUGGUCUGGCGCACCGGACUGUCCGGUGUACCAGAGGACUCCAACGCGAACUUGCUACCUUCGGGAAUUUCCAGAGGCGACUCCGCUAUAAUUCACAGGAUUGUCCGGUGUACACCGGACAGUGUCCGGUGCGCCAAGGAAGAGCAGCCUCAGGAACUCGCCAGCUUCGGGAAUCUCCAACGGCUAGUCCACUAUAAUUCACCGGACAUGUCCGGUGUGCACCGGACUGUCCAGUGCAACUCCGGUGCAACGGCUUCCUCCGCGCCAACGGCUACCUGUGGCGCAUUAAAUGCGCGCGCAGAUGUCAGGCGUGCCCAUACUGGCACACCGGACAGUAAACAGUACAUGUCCGGUGUGCACCGGACACCCAGGCGGGCCCACAAGUCAGAAGCUUCAACGGUCAGAAUCCAACGGCAGUGAUGACGUGGCGGGGGCACCGGACAUGUCCGGUGUGCACCGGACUGUCCGGUGCGCCAUCGAACAGACAGCCUCCCAACGGCCACUUUUGGUGGUUGGGGCUAUAAAUACCCCAACCACCCCACCAUUCAUUGCAUCCAAGUUUUCCACUUCCCAACUACUACAAGAGCUCUAGUAUUCAAUUCUAGACACACCAAAGAGAUCAAAUCCUCUCCAAAUUCCUCACAACGCCAUAGUGACUAGAGAGAGUGAUUUGUUUGUGUUCUUUCGAGCUCUUGCGCUUGGAUUGCUUUCUUCUUUCUUGAUUAUUUCAUUGCGAUCAAACUCACUUGUAAUUGAGGCAAUAGACACCAAACCUGUGGUGGUCCUUGUGGGAACUUUGUGUUCCAAGUGAUUGAGAAGAGAAAGCUCACUCGGUCCGAGGGACCGUUUGAGAGAGGGAAGGGUUGAAAGAGACCCGGCCUUUGUGGCCUCCUCAACGGGGAGUAGGUUUGCGAGAACCGAACCUCGGUAAAACAAAUCCGCGUGUCACACUCUUUAUUUGCUUGCGAUUUGUUUUGCACCCUCUCUCGCAGACUCAUUUAUAUUUCUAACGCUAACCCGGCUUGUAGUUGUGUAUUUAUUUGUAAAUUUCAGUUUCGCCCUAUUCACCCCCCUCUAGGCGACUAUCAAUUGGUAUCAGAGCCCGGUGCUUCAUUAGAGCCUAACCGCUCGAAGUGAUGUCGGGAGAUCACGCCAAGAAGGAGAUGGAGACCGGCGAAAAGCCCACUACAAGCCACGGGAGCACUUCAUCGGAAGAGUCCCGCACCAAAAGGAGGGAGAAGAAGAAGAGCUCCUCCAACAAAGGGAAGGAGAAGAAAUCUUCUUCUCACCACAAAGAGAAGAAGGAAAAAUCUUCUCCCCACAAGCCGCAUCGGAGUGGGGACAAGCAAAAGAGGAUGAGGAAAGUGGUCUACUACGAGACCGACACUUCAUCAACAUCAACCUCCGGCUCCGAUGCGCCCUCCGUAACUUCUAAACGCCAAGAGCGUAAGAAGUUUAGUAAGAUCCCCCUACACUAUCCUCGCAUUUCUAAACAUGCACCUCUACUUUUCGUCCCAUUAGGCAAACCACCAACCUUUGAUGGUGAAGAUUAUGCUAGGUGGAGUGAUUUAAUGCGAUUUCAUCUAACCUCACUCCACAAAAGUAUAUGGGACGUUGUUGAGUUUGGUGCACAGGUACCAUCCGUAGGGGAUAAAGACUAUGAUGAGGAUGAGGUGGCCCAAAUCGAGCACUUCAACUCUCAAGCUACAACAAUACUCCUCGCCUCUUUAAGUAAAGAGGAGUAUAACAAAGUUCUAGGGUUGAAGAGCGCCAAGGAGGUUUGGGAUGUGCUCAAAACCGCGCACGAGGGAGAUGAGCUUACAAAGAUCACCAAGCGGGAAACGAUCGAGGGGGAGCUCGGUCGGUUCCGGCUUCGCAAAGGGGAAGAGCCACAACACAUGUACAACCGGCUCAAGACCUUGGUAAACCAAGUGCGCAACCUCGGGAGCAAGAAGUGGGACGACCACGAAAUGGUUAAGGUUAUUCUAAGAUCUCUCAUUUUCCUUAACCCCACUCAAGUUCAAUUAAUUCGUGGUAAUCCUAGAUAUACUAAAAUGACCCCCGAGGAAGUUAUCGGGAAUUUUGUAAGUUUUGAGUGCAUGAUCGAAGGCUCGAGGAAGAUCAACGAGCUUGAUGAUCCCUCCACAUCCGAAGCUCAACCCGUCGCAUUCAAGGCGACGGAGGAAAAGAAGGAGGAGUCUACACCAAGUCGGCAACCAAUCGACACCUCCAAGCUCGAUAAUGAGGAAAUGGCGCUCGUCAUCAAGAGCUUCCGCCAAAUCCUCAAGCAAAGGAGAGGGAAAGACUACAAGUCCCGCUCCAAGAAGGUCUGCUACAAGUGUGGUAAGCCCGGUCACUUUAUUGCUAAAUGUCCAUUAUCAAGUGAUAGUGACAGGGGCGACGACAAGAAGGGGAGAAGAAGAGGUACUACAAGAAGAAGGGCGGUGAUGUCCAUGUUUGUCGGGAGUGGGACUCCGACGAAAGCUCAAGCGACUCCUCCGACGAUGAGGACGCCGCCAACAUCGCCGUCACCAAGGGACUCCUCUUCCCAAACGUCGGCCACAAGUGCUUCAUGGCAAAGGACGGCAAAAAGAAGGUUAAAUCUAAAUCCUCCACUAGAUAUGAAUCCUCUAGUGAUGAUAAUGCUAGUGAUGAGGAAGAUAAUUUGCGUAACCUUUUUGCCAACCUCAACAUGCAACAAAAAGAGAAACUUAAUGAAUUGAUUAGUGUCAUCCAUGAAAAGGAUGAUCUCUUGGACACCCAAGAGGACUUCCUUAUUAAAGAAAAUAAGAAGCAUGUUAAGGUUAAAAAUGCUUAUGCUCUAGAAAUUGAGAAAUGUCAAAAAUUAUCUAGUGAGCUAAGCACUUGCCAUGAAACAAUAGACAACCGUAGAAAUGAAAAUGCUAAUUUGUUAGCUAAGGUUGAUUCUCAUGUUUGCAGUGUUUCAAUUCCCAACCCUAGAGAUAAUAAUGAUGAUUUACUUGCUAGGAUUGAAGAAUUGAACAUAUCUCUUGCUAGUCUUAGAUUAGAAAAUGAAAAUUUGAUUGCUAAGGCUAAAGAUUUUGAUGUUUGCAAAGUUACAAUUUCCGAUCUUAGAGAUAAAAAUGAUAUUCUACAUGCUAAGAUUGUUGAACUUAAAUUCUUGCAAACCAUCUACAUCUACCAUUGAGCAUGUCACUAUUUGUACUAGAUGUAGAGAUAUUGAUGUUGAUGCUAUUCAUGAUCAUAUGGCCUUAAUUAAACAACAAAAUGAUCAUAUAGCAAUAUUAGAUGCUAAAAUUGUCGAGCAUAACUUAGAAAAUGAAAAAUUUAAAUUUGCUAGAAGUAUGCUCUAUAGUGGGAGACGCCCUGGCAUCAAGGAUGGCAUUGGCUUCCAAAGGGGAGACAAUGUCAAACUUAAUGCCCCUCCUAAAAGAUUGUCCAACUUUGUUAAGGGCAAGGCUCCCAUGCCUCAGGAUAACGAGGGUUACAUUUUAUACCCUGCCGGUUAUCCCGAGAGCAAGAUUAGGAGAAUUCACUCCAGGAAGUCUCACUCUGGCCCUAAUCAUGCUUUUAUGUAUAAGGGUGAGACAUCUAGCUCUAGGCAACCAACCCGUGCUAAGUUGCCUAAGAAGAAAACUCAUAGUGCAUCAAAUGAUCAUAGCAUUUCAUUUAAAACUUUUGAUGCAUCUUAUGUGUUGACUAACAAAUCCGGCACAGUAGUUGCCAAAUAUGUUGGGGGCAAGCACAAGGGGUCAAAGACUUGUGUUUGGGUACCCAAAGUUCUUGUGUCUAAUGCCAAAGGACCCAAAACCAUUUGGGUACCUAAAGUCAAGAACUAAACUUGUUUUGUAGGUUUAUGCAUCCGGGGGCUCAAGUUGGAUACUCGACAGCGGGUGCACAAACCACAUGACAGGGGAGAAGAAAAUGUUCUCCUCCUAUGAAAAAAACCAAGAUCACCAACGAGCAAUCACUUUCGGGGAUGGAAAUCAAGGUUUGGUCAAAGGAUUGGGUAAAAUUGCUAUAUCUCCUGACCAUUCUAUUUCCAAUGUUUUUCUUGUAGAUUCAUUAGAUUACAAUUUGCUUUCUGUAUCUCAAUUAUGCAAAAUGGGCUACAACUGUCUCUUUACUGAUGUAGGUGUCACUGUCUUUAGAAGAAGUGAUGAUUCAAUAGCAUUUAAGGGUGUGUUAGAGGGUCAGCUAUACUUAGUAGAUUUUGAUAGAGCUGAACUCGACACAUGCUUAAUUGCUAAGACUAACAUGGGUUGGCUCUGGCACCGCCGACUAGCCCAUGUUGGGAUGAAGAAUCUUCACAAGCUUCUAAAGGGAGAACACAUUUUAGGACUAACCAAUGUUCAUUUUGAGAAAGACAGGAUUUGUAGCGCAUGCCAGGCAGGAAAGCAAGUUGGAACUCAUCAUCCACACAAGAACAUCAUGACGACCGACAGGCCGCUUGAGCUACUCCACAUGGAUCUAUUCGGCCCGAUUGCUUACAUAAGCAUCGGCGGGAGUAAGUACUGUCUAGUUAUUGUGGAUGAUUAUUCUCGCUUCACUUGGGUGUUCUUUUUGCAGGAAAAGUCUCAAACCCAAGAGACCUUAAAGGGAUUCUUGAGACGAGCUCAAAAUGAGUUCGGCUUAAGGAUCAAGAAAAUAAGAAGCGAUAACGAGACGGAGUUCAAGAACUCUCAAAUCGAAGGCUUCCUUGAGGAGGAGGGCAUCAAGCAUGAGUUCUCUUCUCCCUACACACCUCAACAAAAUGGUGUAGUGGAGAGGAAGAAUCGAACUCUAUUGGAUAUGGCAAGGACCAUGCUUGAUGAGUACAAGACUUCGGAUCGGUUUUGGGCCGAGGCAGUCAACACCGCUUGCUACGCCAUCAACCGGUUGUAUCUACACCGAAUCCUCAAGAAGACAUCAUACGAACUCCUAACCGGUAAAAAGCCCAAUAUUUCAUAUUUUAGAGUCUUUGGUAGCAAAUGUUUUAUUCUUGUUAAGAGAGGUAGAAAAUCUAAAUUUGCUCCUAAGACUGUAGAAGGCUUUUUACUAGGAUAUGAUUCAAACACAAGGGCAUAUAGAGUCUUUAACAAGUUCACUGGACAAGUUGAAAUUUCUUGUGACGUUGUGUUUGAUGAGACUAACGGCUCUCAAGUAGAGCAAGUUGAUCUUGAUGAGAUAGGUGAAGAACAGGCUCCGUGCAUCGCUCUAAGGAACAUGUCCAUUGGGGAUGUGUGUCCUAAGGAAUCCGAAGAGCCUCCAAAAGCACAAGAUCAACCGUCCUCCUCCAUGCAAGCAUCUUCACCAACUCAAAAUGAGGAAGAGGCUCAAGUUGAUGAAGAAGAAGAUCAAUCAAAUGAGCCACCUCAAGAUGACGGCAUAGAUCAAGGGGGAGAUGCAAAUGAUCAAGACAAGGAGGAUGAAGAGCACAAGCCGCCACACCCAAGAGUCCACCAAGCAAUCCAACGAGAUCACCCCGUUGACACCAUCCUCGGAGACAUUCAUAAGGGGGUAACUAUUAGAUCUCGUGUUGCACAUUUUUGUGAGCAUUACUCAUUUGUUUCCUCUAUUGAGCCACACAAGGUAGAGGAAGCACUUCAAGAUUCGGAUUGGGUGGUGGCGAUGCAAGAGGAGCUCAACAACUUCACUAGGAAUGAGGUAUGGCAUUUAGUUCCACGUCCUAAUCAAAAUGUUGUAGGAACCAAAUGGGUUUUCCGCAACAAGCAAGAUGAGCAUGGUGUGGUGACAAGGAACAAAGCUCGACUCGUGGCCAAAGGGUAUUCACAAGUCGAAGGUUUGGAUUUCGGUGAAACUUAUGCACCCGUAGCUAGGCUUGAGUUAAUUCGCAUAUUAUUGGCCCAUGCUACUUACCAUGGCUUUAAGCUUUAUCAAAUGGACGUGAAAAGUGCCUUCCUCAAUGGACCAAUCAAGGAAGAGGUCUAUGUUGAGCAACCUCCCGGCUUUGAAGACAGUGAGUAUCCUAACCAUGUCUAUAAGCUCUCUAAGGCGCUUUAUGGGCUCAAGCAAGCCCCAAGAGCAUGGUAUGAAUGCCUUAGAGACUUUCUUAUUACAAAUGGAUUCAAAGUCGGAAAGGCCGAUCCUACACUCUUUACUAAAACUCUUGAAAAUGACUUAUUUGUAUGCCAAAUUUAUGUUGAUGAUAUUAUAUUUGGAUCUACUAACGAGUCUACAUGUGAAGAGUUUAGUAGGAUUAUGACUCAAAAGUUCGAGAUGUCUAUGAUGGGGGAGUUGAAGUACUUCUUAGGAUUUCAAGUGAAGCAACUCCAAGAGGGCACCUUCAUUAGCCAAACGAAGUACACUCAAGACAUUCUAAACAAGUUUGAGAUGAAGGAUGCCAAGCCCAUCAAGACACCCAUGGGAACCAAUGGGCAUCUCGACCUCGACACGGGAGGUAAGUCCGUGGAUCAAAAGGUAUACCGGUCGAUGAUAGGUUCUUUACUCUAUUUAUGUGCAUCUCGACCGGAUAUUAUGCUUUCCGUAUGCAUGUGUGCAAGAUUCCAAGCCGACCCUAAGGAAGCUCACCUUACGGCCGUGAAACGAAUCUUGAGAUAUUUGGCUUAUACUCCUAAGUUUGGGCUUUGGUAUCCUAGGGGAUCCACUUUUGAUUUGAUUGGUUAUUCGGAUGCCGAUUGGGCGGGGUGCAAAAUCAAUAGAAAGAGCACAUCGGGGACUUACCAGUUCUUGGGAAGAUCCUUGGUGUCUUGGGCUUCAAAGAAGCAAAAUUCGGUCGCUCUUUCUACCGCCGAAGCCGAGUACAUUGCCGCAGGUCAUUGUUGCGCGCAAUUGCUUUGGAUGAGGCAAACCCUGCGGGACUACGGUUACAAAUUAACCAAAGUCCCUUUGCUAUGUGAUAAUGAGAGUGCAAUUAAGAUGGCGGAUAAUCCCGUCGAGCAUAGCCGCACUAAGCACAUAGCCAUUCGGUAUCAUUUUCUUAGGGAUCACCAACAAAAGGGAGAUAUCGAGAUUUCUUACAUUAACACUAAAGAUCAAUUAGCCGAUAUCUUUACCAAGCCUCUUGAUGAACAAACUUUUACCAAACUUAGGCAUGAGCUCAAUAUUCUUGAUUCGCGCAAUUUCUUUUGCUAAUUUACACACAUGGCUAGUUUAUAUACCUUUGAUCAUAUCUCUUUUAUAUGCUAUGACUAAUGUGUUUUCAAGUCUAUCUCAAACCAAGUCAUAGGUAUAUUGAAAGGGAAUUGGAGUCUUCGGCGAAGACAAAGGCUUCCACUCCGUAACUCAUCCUUCGCCGUCGCUCCAAGAGACUCUCCAUCUUUGGGGGAGAGAGCAAAAGGACUUCAUCUUUGGUAUAAUCUUAACUCAUUUGUUUAUGACCAAAGGGGAAGAAAUUACUUCUAGGGCUCUAAUGAUUCCGUUUUUGGCGAUUCAUGCCAAAGGGGGAGAAAGUAAGAGCCCAAAGCAAAAGGACCGCACCACCACCAAUUUCAAAAACUUUGUGUUUCCAAGGAUAUUAUCAAUUGGCUUUCCUAUUAUGUUCAAAAGGGGGAGAAAGACCGCACCACCACCAAUUUCAAAAACUUUGUGUUUCCAAGGAUAUUAUCAAUUGGCUUUCCUAUUAUGUUCAAAAGGGGGAGAAAGUAGUAUUUCAAAAAAGAUAUAUCAAAACCCUCUUGAACACUAAGAGGAGGAUCUCAUUUAGGGGAGUUUUGUUUAGUCAAAGGAAAAGCAUUUGAAACAGGGGGAGAAAAUUUCAAAUCUUGAAAAUGCUUUACAAAAUCUUAUUCAUUUACCUUUGACUAUUUGCAAAAGAACUUUGAAAAGGAUUUACAAAAGAGUUUGCAAUAACAAAACAUGUGGUGCAAGCGAGGUCCAAAAUAUUAAGACUAAAAGAAACAAUCCAUGCAUAUCUUGUAAGUAUUUAUAUUGGCUCAAUUCCAAGCAACCUUUGCACUUACAUUAUGCAAACUAGUUCAAUUAUGCACUUCUAUAUUUGCUUUGGUUUGUGUUGGCAUCAAUCACCAAAAAGGGGGAGAUUGAAAGGGAAUUAGGCUUACACCUAGUCCCUAAUUAAUUUUGGUGGUUGAAUUGCCCAACACAAAUAAUUGAACUAACUAGUUUGCUCUAGUGUAUAAGUUAUACAGGUGCUAAAGGUUCACACUUAGCCAUUAUAAAGACCAAGAGUUGGGUUCAACAAAAGAGCAAAGGGCCAACCGAAGGCACCUCUGGUCUGGCGCACCGGACUGUCCGGUGUGCCACCGGACAGUGUCCGGUGCACCACCGGACAUGUCCGGUGUACCAGAGGACUCCAACGCGAACUUGCUACCUUCGGGAAUUUCCAGAGGCGACUCCGCUAUAAUUCACCGGACUGUCCGGUGUACACCGGACUGUCCGGUGUACACCGGACAGUGUCCGGUGCGCCAAGGAAGAGCAGCCUCAGGAACUCGCCAGCUUCGGGAAUCUCAAACGGCUAGUCCACUAUAAUUCACCGGACAUGUCCGGUGUGCACCGGACUGUCCGGUGCAACUCCGGUGCAACGGCUUCCUCCGCGCCAACGGCUACCUGCGGCGCAUUAAAUGCGCGCGCAGAUGUCAGGCGUGCCCAUACUGGCACACCGGACAGUAAACAGUACAUGUCCGGUGUGCACCGGACACCCAGGCGGGCCCACAAGUCAGAAACUUCAACGGUCAGAAUCCAACGGCAGUGAUGACGUGGCGGGGGCACCGGACAUGUCCGGUGUGCACCGGACUGUCCGGUGCGCCAUCGAACAGACAGCCUCCCAACGGCCACUUUUGGUGGUUGGGGCUAUAAAUACCCCAACCACCCCACCAUUCAUUGCAUCCAAGUUUUCCACUUCCCAACUACUACAAGAGCUCUAGUAUUCAAUUCUAGACACACCAAAGAGAUCAAAUCCUCUCCAAAUUCCUCACAACGCUAUAGUGACUAGAGAGAGUGAUUUGCUUGUGUUCUUUCGAGCUCUUGCGCUUGGAUUGCUUUCUUCUUUCUUGAUUCUUUCAUUGCGAUCAAACUCACUUGUAAUUGAGGCAAGAGACACCAAACCUGUGGUGGUCCUUGUGGGAACUUUGUGUUCCAAGUGAUUGAGAAGAGAAAGCUCACUCGGUCCGAGGGACCGUUUGAGAGAGGGAAGGGUUGAAAGAGACCCGGCCUUUGUGGCCUCCUCAACGGGGAGUAGGUUUGCGAGAACCGAACCUCGGUAAAACAAAUUCGCGUGUCACACUCUUUAUUUGCUUGCGAUUUGUUUUGCACCCUCUCUCGCAGACUCAUUUAUAUUUCUAACGCUAACCCGGCUUGUAGUUGUGUAUUUAUUUGUAAAAAUUUCAGUUUCGCCCUAUUCACCCCCCCUCUAGGCGACUAUCACCUUGUAUUAGUGGUUUCUUACAUGGAUGCAGACCUUACUUGAGUGUUGAUUCGACAGCUUUGAAUGGUAGAUGGAAUGGUCACCUACCAUCUGCAACAGCCGUCGACGGCCACAACUGGAUGUUCCCUGUUGCAUAUGGAUUUUUUGAGUCCGAAACAGAGGACAACUGGCAUUGGUUCCUUCUACAGUUACGCAAGGCCAUCGGGGAUUUACCUAACCUAGCAUUGUGUUUUGAUGCUUGCAAAGGGCUAACAAAUGCAAUGAAGGAUGUUUUUCCAGAAGCUGAGAAAAGAGAGUGUUUCCGGCACCUAAUGAACAAUUAUGUCAAGCAAUAUGCUAGAUCAGAAUACAUGUACCCUGCUGCCAGGGCGUACAAGGCAGAAGUAUAUGACAUGUACAUUGCAAAUGUCAGAAGCAAUCCUGAUAUUGCUGCUUGGUUAGAUAGGUUCCAUUCCUUGUUGUGGUACCGAAGUGCAUUCAACCCUACUAUCAAAUGCGACUAUGUAACAAAUAACAUUGCUGAGGUGUUCAAUAACUGGAUAAAGGACUACAAAGACCUCCCUGUUUGUGACCUGGCUGACAAAAUUAGGAUAAUGAUCAUGCAACUAUUUUACAAGAGGAGGCGGAUAGGAAGGAGGUUGGAGGGAAAAAUUUUACCUUCUAUCAUAGCACAACUCAAUGCAAGAACUAGAGGACUUGGACACUUGGAGGUCAUAAAAGGCGAUGACUAUGUUGCAGAGGUGAGAGACAAUGGUGAUUGUUUUUCUAGAUAUGUGGUGAAGGCUCAUCUUAGAGAAUGUUCAUGUAAGGAAUGGCAACAUACAGGGAAGCCCUGCCACCAUGCAUUAUGUCUAAUUACCGCACAGCAAUAUAGAAAUGUAAUGAUGGAGGAGUUUGUCGACGAUUACUACUCAGUUGACAUGUUUAGGAAAGCUUAUGAGAGAUUGGUGGAGCCAAUUGAAAGCAAAUUAUUUUGGCCAAAGGUGGAUUUUGCAAAGGAGGUUGGUGCUCCACUAGGCAAGAGAGGCGUGGGACGUCAAAGGAAAAAUAGGUUCAAGAGUUGUCUAGAAGGUGGGAGUAGUAAGAAAAAGCCUGCCAACGAAAGUGAGAAAGCUAAGAAGAUUAUUCGAGGCAAAUUCAAGUGCCCUAAUUGUGGGGAGUUAGGGCAUAGGAAGACUAGCUACAAAUGCCCCCUAAAUGGAACAAAGAAAAGGUACUCGUAUAAUCUCAUAUCUGUUUUUAUAAAUUAAUUUUGGUUGUUUAUCUAAUAAUCAUCUGCACAGGAAAAGGAAACCAAGAAAGAACUCAACAAAGAAAUGGUUUCCUAAGGAGCCAGCUGAAGCUUCUUCAUCACAGCCAGAACUAGGGGAUUCUGGUCAACACCAACUUGUCUCCAUUGAUGUUCCAGAAGAAAUAGUUGGUACUACCCCACAGAGGAGUGUGAGGCGUGCUGUCAAAAAGAAGAUUACUCCGAAGAAGAAGAUCUGCUUCUGAGUAGCUGCUUAAGUAUGACAGUUGUGUCUGUAUUUUAAGUAUGAAUUAUGGCAGUUGUGUCUGUAUUUUAAGUAUGAAUUAUGGCAGUUGUGCCUGUAUUUUAAGUAUGAAUUAUGGCAGUUGUUUCUGGCAGCUGUCAACAAUUUCUGUUUGUGCCUGAGAUGAAAAUGUAGUACUGAGUGUGUUUAGAAAUGUCAUUCACCCUGUUGAAGUAGUGAAAAUGUAGUGAACUAUUUCUGUUUGUGAAUGACAUGAAAAUAUAGUGAAACAGAAACGCCCAGUAGUGAUUGAAGUAGUGAACUAUUUCUGUUUGUGAAUGACAUGAAAAUGUAGUCAACAUUUUCUGUUUGUGCCCAGCUGUCAACAAUUUCUGGCAGGGUGAACUGCUGUUUCUGUUUGUGCCCAUCAGCUCAGUGUCCAUCAACAUUUACCUUUGUGCUCAUCAGAUCAGUGUCCAUCGCUCUGUGAAUGUAAAGUUAAGUCAGCUCAGCUCAGUUGUCAACUAUUUCUGGCAAGUUAAGUCAGCUUCAGUUCAAGACUGUGAAUGUAAAGUUGCUAGUGUACAGAUUUUCAAGUUGCUAGUGUACAGGCAUCGGUUUAGAACUGAUCAAGUUGCUGUAGUGAUCAUGCUGCUGUGUGGCAGUUGUGUGAACAAUUUCAAUAAUGCAGUUUGGUAUGGUGAAAAUGCAGUUUGCCAAUUAUUCAGUUAUCUUCAGUUUUCAGAAACCACAUAUUUGAUUUUGUCACUGACUAAAGGUGGCACUGGCAGGAAAAUUAACUGAAACUUCCCUUUGUCACAAGCCAGCAAAACAUUAUUUGAUUUUGUCUUUAAUCUUCAAGGACCGAGCAAUGGACCAGUUAACCAGUUAGCCAGUUAGCCACAUAUUCUUAAUUUGCUAGCUUAUAAAAACUGGCCAUUUCCAUGUCAUUGCAGUUAGCUUCACAUAUUCAAGUGCUACUGAAUUGCAUGGAUCAACAAUGGACCAGUUAACCAGUCGCUUGGUCAGUUAACCAGUUGCAUGGAUCAAAAUACAGUAGAAUCAACAACGGACCAUAUUUUCUGGUUAACUGCCAGAUUUUCUGGCAGCCCAGAUUUCUGAAAACAAGCUUCUCAAAUAAUGUUUAGAUGGAUCAACAACGGACCAUAUUAUGAAAUACAUGUACAAACUUGAAAGGAGCAUAUUCUGAAAUAAUGUUUAGAUCAAUGUACAAGCUGGAAUAAGCUGAAUUCAUUAAACUGGGCACAAAUAGUUGAAGAUACAUCAUGAACUACAAGUUGAAGAUACAUUAUGGCCAAAACAAUCAUGGCCGAAACCAAGUUGAACUAAAAAUACAUGGCUAUUGUCGAGGAGGCGACUCUAUCACAGACAAAUAGCUCAGAUAGGGCCCUUCAUACGGCGAUCAGGGAUCUCAUCCGAGUCAAAAGAAGAGUUGUCUUCAUCCGAACCACACAGCUCAGUACAAUCACAAUGAACAUCAGUUUUGAAAUCAUCGUACAUUCCAAGGGCUUCGUAAUCCUCAAGUAGAGGUUGCGGACCAAUAAGAACUUCCUCCAAAUCCCUGCUCAUAGUGUCUAGACCUUUUGCAAUUUCAGUAACAUCACUCAUGGCAUUAACCAAUGCAUUCUUGUGCACCAUAUCAUAAUACUCAGGCACAUGAUUGCGGCGGCUCAACUUCCUCAACUCAUCGGCAGAUAAUUGCAUCUGUCUAAUGGCGUCUAAAAGACCAUCCCAAACUUGAUUAUAUCUCUGCGCCUACAACCAAUUGAAUAAUGACAUUCAAUAUCACAUUAUAGUAAUGACUGUUACUAUAAUAACACAUUAUGUUAUUUACAGUAAAAACAUACCGGAUCAUGUGUCCUACAUAAUCGAUGGCGCGGACGUAAUCUACUAGUGCCAUAAUCAAUGUUGCUCGUGUCGACGAUGCCUGUGCGCCUAAUCCCAUCUGCAACUACUGCGACAUCUUUGCUUGUGUCGGCCCUAGCAGGUCCAGAUCCGAUAGGAAUUGAUCUUGGUGAUUUAUCCAUGGCCGCGGCGAAGGAACCUACGACGAGCUGCUCAAGGGGCGCCAGGAGAAAAGUGAGCACCUGAUAAUUCCCCAGGUCUGAACUGAACACCUGGUAAUUCUCCCUGUCUGAAACCAAGAUUUAUGACUACGAAAACUGACUACACCGUUUUCAACUGAACUGAAACACGUGUAGUUUUCAGUUCAGUUUUACGACUAGGGAAAGAGAGAGCUGCUAUUGAAAUGUGGGGAGUUCCUAUUGUUGCUCAUUGGACUUGUUUUUGUGAAGGAAAACUCUCCCAUACAUGAACAAAUGAAAAUUCUGUUUGGUGAGCAGUGCGCAUCACUUAUAUGGGCAGCAAGCCGGUUCGGCUCCACCUUGGAUGCAGAUCAAAGGCAGACGACCUUGCAAAUACAAGCAAUGAGAGUUGUCAAAUCCUUGGAACCCUACUCACCUGGAGCGCCGAGCGCCGGUAGGGAUAAAUAUCUUGUGUAGUCAUUUGUUAAGGCAAGAAUAUUAGCUUGUCUCUGAUCUGGUAGUAACAUGAUAACAAUUAUUAAUUUUGGGAAAAAAUCGUACGUACAUUAUUAAUUAAUAACAUUCGGAGUCAAGUCGAUAUUAUGCAUCAGUAAUAUUGUAUAAAAAAUUAGCCACCUUACUUUGAUGUAUGUUACAUGAUUUAAUCAUGAACAAAUAAAUAAAUAACGGGGAAUGGGAGGUAAUUAUGGUGGUCGAAAGAAAAAAACGGUAUUUUAUGGUGGCGGUGAGGUUAAAAUAGAGGGAAUGGUUGACGAAGAUAUUGAAAUAGAGAAAAAAAUGGAAUAUAGGGUGAGAAAUUUAGAAGGUAGGGUUAGCUUCCGUUCUUUUAUCCGCAGCCACAAGUUUUGCUCUGCGUCUCCCAAGUUCCCGAUCUCGGCCGCGCGAGUCAGUGCACCCCGUGCGUGAUCAACAGGUCCUUCCUGCUGCUGGCUGUCUACCCCCCGCGGUGCGGCGAAAGGAACAGUGAAAAAGGAAGAAUCUCUGAUCGAGGUUCCUGUCCGGUUUGCAGAAUCUUGGCGGCCAGCCAUAUAUGGGUGUACUGCUAGGUUCCGGGAGGUUCUUGGCGCGACGGCCUCCCCUCGCUGCUCUCGAGGCUCCCCGGACAAAAGCGGCAGCGACAAAGGUACGCGAUCCGGUAACUGUCACUGUCUAGUUCCUUUCUGCUACCGUAGAACUGUUUGGUGAAAUGCCACUGAGAGAUCCAACACGGUUUAAGAAGUAGCCCGGUCAUCGCAUCAGGAGUGCAGGACGCAACUGCCUGCUUGAUGCGAUCUGUUUAUCUGAUCGCGUAGGGCCUGCUAAGAUUUGAGUUGGCCCUGCUUGCUUGCUUGCUUCAAUUUCAAGAGGCCGGUGCAGGUUUUGGUGGUUGUCUGCGACCUUUAGACAAGAUAUGUAUACGUUAUAGUUUGACGUAAGGAGUUGUAUUAAGCCGAGCGAGAGAAAAAAAUCAAAGAUGCACCAGUUGUGUAGACCGUCCUCAUGUUGGCGUUCAUUUCCCUUUGUGUGUGUCUGAAUGAGGUUUACAGUCCACAAUCCAGUAGUUAGGUCCUGACUAAUCCAAAACACUGUUACUCCAUUUUUUUGGUUUUUGACACGAUGCAAACUCUCCUUCACUGUAAUUGAAACCUUUUCUUUUUUUUAAAAAAAAUGUCAGCAGUAUGAUGGUUUUGAAGAAGAUAUUGGAAUAACUGAAACCCUAACCCUACACUAGGGUGGGCUUGUAUAUUAAUAGACUGAGUUGGGCCUGGCCCAUUACAAAUACAGGGGUACAAUUCUAACACCCCCCCGCAGUCGCAACUCUAUCCUGUACAGAUGUUGAGACUGGAGCGAAAGUCUAAAAAUACACUCGACGGUAACCCCUUGGUGAAGAUGUCGGCGAACUGCAGCGUGGUGGGGACGCUGAGAACCCGAACGUCACCGGCGGCGACACGCUCCCGGACGAAGUGCAGGUCGAUCUCCACGUGCUUCGUGCGUUGAUGUUGCACGGGAUUGGUGGAGAGGUAGACCGCGCUGACGUUGUCGCAGUAGACGAGGGUGGCGCGCUGGAGGGGACUGUGGAGCUCAUGGAGGAGCUGUCGCAUCCAGGAGGCCUCUGCCACGCCGUUGGCCACAACGCGGUAUUCGGCCUCAGCACUGGAGCGAGAGACAACGGGCUGCCGCUUGGCGGCCCAGGAGACGAGGUUGGCGCCCAGGAACACGGCGUAACCGGAGGUAGAUCGACGCGUGUCUGGACAGCCAGCCCAGUCGGCGUCGGUGUAGACCACGAGUUCCGACGUCGGGGAUGGUCGGAGUAGGAGGCCAUAGUCGAGGGAGCCGCGGAGGUAGCGCAGGAUCCGCUUGAGAGCGGUGAGAUGAGGCUCCCGCGGGGUGUGCAUAUGCAGGCACACCUGCUGAACGGCGUAGGCGAUGUCAGGUCUGGAGAAGGUGAGGUACUGGAGCGCGCCGGUCAGGCUCCGGUAGGACGUCGCAUCGGCGACCGGGGGCCCGUCGUCCUCUGAGAGCUUCGCCUGAGUGUCGACAGGCGUGGAGCAGGGCUUGCAGUCGGACAUGCCAGCCCGCUCCAGUAUGUCGAUGGCGUACUGGCGCUGAUGGAGGAAGAGACCCUGGGGCCGGCGCUCGGCGGUGAUGCCGAGGAAGUGGUGGAGGGGCCCCAGGUCCUUCAUCGCGAACUCCCGCUGCAGGGCAACGAUCGUGCGCUGUAGAAGGUCGGCAGUGGAUGCCGUGAGCACAAUGUCGUCGACGUAGAGCAGAAGGAAGACGGUGUCGUCGCCGCGACGGUAGAUGAAGAGGGACGUGUCCGACUUGGCCUCGACGAAGCCGAUGGAGGCCAAGUAGGAAGCGAAGCGACUGUACCAGGCCCGCGGCGCCUGCUUGAGGCCGUAGAGGGAGCGGUUCAGCCGGCAGACCAGGUCCGGACGAGCUUCGUCGACGAAGCCGGUAGGCUGGCUGCAGUAGACAGUCUCCGUCAGAGUGCCGUGGAGGAAGGCAUUCUUGACGUCGAGCUGAUGGAUCGCCCAGUCCCGGGAGAGGGCGAGGGAGAGAACGGUGCGAACAGUGGCGAACUUGACGACGGGGCUGAAGGUCUCGUCGUAGUCCACUCCGGGGCGUUGGGUGAAGCCCCGAAGGACCCAACGGGCCUUGUAGCGGUCGAGGGAGCCGUCCGAGGUAAGCUUGUGGCGAAAUAGCCACUUGCCGGUGACCACGUUGGUGCCUGGUGGACACGGCACCAGGUCCCAGGUGUGGUUGGCCAGGAGGGCCGCGUACUCCUCCUCCAUAGCGCGUCGCCAGUGUGGGUCGGCGAGAGCGGUACGAACGGAGGAGGGGACCGGGGAGGCGUCCGGUGGAGUGGUAGUCGUAUCAGCUGCCAAGAUCAGCCGGUCGACAGGUCGAAGAAUGCCGGCGGCGCGCCGGGUCACCAUCGGGUGGACGUGCCCGGGGUCACGGUGGAUGGCGACCGGGUGGUACACCGAUGGCUCGGGGCGGUCAGCCUGGACGUCGGGGGCCGCGGGCGUGGCCGACUCGCGGCGGUGAUAGACGACAGCGGGGUCGGCGAAGCGCACCGGGCUCGUCGACGGGCCCGGGUCGGCAGGUGCCGAGGUAGUGACGUGGCGGCGGCGGUAGACGAGCGCGGGGUCCGCGAAGCGAGCCGUGGGCGUCGACGGGGCCGCGCAUGGUGCGGGAGGGGUCGGCGGGGCCGCGCGUGGCGCAGUCGUGGUCGGCGGGGCCGCGCGUGGCUCAGUCGUGGUCGGCGGGGCCGCGCGUGGCGCAGUCGUGGUUGACGGGGCCGCGCGUGGCGCAGGCGUGGUCGAUGGGGCCGCGCGUGGCGCAGGCGGUGGUCGACGGGGCCGCGCGUGGCGCAGGCGUGGUCGAUGGGGCCGCGCGAGGCGCAGGCGUGGUCGGCGGGGCCGCACGUGGCGCAAGCGUGACCGACGGGGCCGCGCGUGGCGCGGAAAUAGGCGCGAGCCGCGGCGCCGAGGCCGCAUGGGGUGCGGGUAACGGCGCAAGACGGGGCGCCUGGGAGGAGGGGGAGACCGGAUCGGACUCGAGGAGAGUGUCGAGAUCAGUGGGUGGGGAGGGGCCAGCAAGGGGAAACACAUCCUCGUCGAAGACGACGUGACGAGAGAUGAUGAUGCGGUGGGAGGCGAGGUCCAGACACCGAUACCCCUUGUGGUCAGAUGAAUAGCCAAGGAAGAGGCAGCGGGUGGAGCGAGGAGAGAGCUUAUGAGGGGCAGUAGCAGAAGUGUUAGGGUAGCAGGCACAGCCGAACACGCGAAGAUGGUCGUAGGUGGGGGUUGUGCCGUACAGUGCGAAGUGGGGAGUAGGGUGGCUCACCGCCUUGGAGGGAAGACGGUUGAGAAGGUGGGUGGCGGUGUGCAGGGCCUCUACCCAGUAGCUGGCAGGGAGAGACGCCUGGAAGAGAAGACAGCGGAUCAUAUUGGUGGUGGUGCGAAUCAUGCGUUCGGCCCGACCGUUUUGGGCAGAUGUGUAAGUGCACGAGAGACGCAACUGGACGCCAUGAGUGAGAAAGAAAGAGCGGGAGGCGUGAUUGUCGAACUCGCGGCCGUUGUCACACUGCAGGGCACGGACCGGGCGGUGAAACUGGGUGGAGACCCAGGCGAAGAAGUGUGUGAGGGUGGUGAACGUGUCGGACUUCAAUCUAAGAGGAAAAGUCCAAAGAAAAUGGGAAAAGUCAUCCAAAAUCACCAAAUAGUAUUUAUAACUAGAAAGACUGAGUACAGGAGAGGUCCAGAGAUCACAAUGAACCAGGUCAAAAGCCUGCUCAGCCCGAGAAGAGGAAGUGGUGAAUGGGAGACGAGUAUGCCGGCCUAACUGACAAGCAUGACAUAGACCCUCAAAAUGUCCCCUACUACAUGAAGGAUCUAGGCUACUGGUAAUCUUGGUCAUGACGGCAGGUCCUGGAUGGCCGAGACGACGAUGCCAAGUGGUGGAGGAGGUGGUGGAGACCAGGGCAGGAGGCGGAGACGCGCCGGAGGUGGAGGGCCGGAGCGUGUAGAGGGGCCCCGAGCUGUCACAGCGGGCGAGGGGAGUCCUGGUGGCCAGAUCCUUCACAGAAAAACCAGAGGGGUCAAACUCGAUGGAACAGGAGUUGUCAGUGGUGAAACGACGAACAGAGAGGAGAUUAUGAGUGAUGUGGGGGGCUACGAGAACGUCGUUGAGAUAGAAUGGUCCAGGGAGAACCGAGGCACCUACUGAGGUGACUGGCAGAGUGGAACCGUUCCCAACGACGAUCGAUGAAGGAUGAGAGGGAUGGGGGGAUGGGAGCGGGAGAGCGUGCCUGUAGUGGGAGUGGUGUGGUAGGAGGCACCAGAGUCGAUCACCCAGUCGGAGGAGGGAGGGGUCAUCGCCAUGGUGCUGAAAGCGGCGGCGAGGGAGGCGUUGUCCCAGCCUCCAGACAGCGGGGACCAAGUCGUCAUGGGGGUCCCCGGGGGCAAUGCAGGCACGCCGUAGGGAGGCGUUGGAGGCACGCCGUAGGGAGGCGUGGGAGGCACGCCGUAGGGUGGCGCAGUCAGGAGAGCCGGCGCCGGGGGACGGGAGGCACGUGGGGCCUGGCCCGACCACAUGGCGAUGGUCCUGGUCCAGGGGUUAUAGAGUGACGGCCACGCCUGGCCGGCACCCCGACCGAGGGAACCACCACGAGAGGAGCCGCCACCCCCACGGCCGCCCUUGCGGGAACGACGACCACCAUCGGCGGCGGACGUCUGACGAGGGGCCACAGGGACGGCGGGUGUGGGGCGGGUAGGGGCCCCGGUCGACGGAGGACGAGGGGCCGAGCCCCCUGAAGGAGCCUGACCACCGGGAGGUGCGCUGUAGAGCGCCGGAGCCGGAGCAGCGGCCUCAGACGCCAUGGUGAGUUCCUCGAGGAGAAGCUCGUUCCUGACGGCAUGGAAUGUGGGAAAGGGAACGGUCCUCUUGAUGAGAGCCUUCAGGUGACCAUAGCGGGGGCUGAGGCCACGCAAAAGGUUCAACACCAAGGUCCGGUCGGCGACAGGCUCGCCGAGAUCGCGGAGAGAGUCCGCCAUGCCCUUCAUCUGGCGGCAGUACUCGUCCACGGAGAGGUCCCCCUGAGAGAACAGGUGGAACUGGGCGUCGAGGUGCAGAGCGCGAGCGUCCCGGUUCCCGAGGAACUGUUCUUCGAGGGCGAGCCACGCCUGACGGCCCGUGUCCGCCUGGUCGCGGAUGAUGUCCUGGAGCUCGACGGUGAUGGUUCCGUGGAGCCAGGAGAGGACCACGGAGUCCAUCAGGGACCAGGCUGGGGACGGCGGGGUGGCGAUGUCGUCGAGGACGUGGUCGUCGAGGGCGUAGCGCCGCAAGGUGAGGAGGACUUGCCCCCUCCAGCGAGGGUAGUGGGAGGACGCCGGGUCCAGAACGACGAACACGAGGGACCGGAUGUUCUGAAGUCCGGCCGCCUGGGCGUGGAGAGCGGCGAUGUGGUUAGCAUCGAGGCCAGAGGCGUGGGGAGCCUCUGGGGUGGGCGGGGGUGUCUCCUGGGCGACCGGAGGAGGUCCGAUGACGAGACGCUGCGCAGUGGCCAUCUGGGCGGUCAGGGUGGCGGCCAAGGCGCGCUCCUGUUCUAGGGCGCGGGACGCGGCGCGCUCGCGCUCCUGAGAGGCGGCCAGGGCAGCCUGGAGAGCCGCGAUGGGCGAUGACAUGGUGGAGUCGGUGGAGAGCGUCGGGGAAGCCCAGGUGGCAUCGGCGACGAGCGGACGAGUGGUGGAGAACCCAGGGGGUGGCUGCCUGGGGAGGCGGGUCGGCGAUAGAAGACCGGUAAGGGCGCCAGUAGACGCCGGGUAGCCCGGUAGGCCGAGCCCGAAGGGGGCGAGGUCAGCAGCGCGUGCGCUGGCCGCAGCAGUGGCGCUAGGCAUGUAGGGGCUGGCAGCCAGGCGCACGUCGACGCCGGUGGUUGCUGCGCCAGCAGUGGGUAGACCUGCGGCAGCGCCAGCAGGGACUAGACCCGCGGCAGCGCCAGCAGGAGCCAGACUGACGGCUGCUCUGGCGUGGGCGGCCGCGUCGGGCGUGCCGACGCCGACGGUCUGCAGGGCGACGGUGUGAAGGUGGUCCAUGGCCGUCGAGGGCGCGAGCGGUGGAGCAGACGAAGCCGCGGCCCUUGUAGCAGAAGCAGCACCGGAUGUGGCCGCUGUUGGGGACCGUCGCGUCCGCGCUGGCGGGAGAUGGGACGGAGGAGGAGGAGCGGCGGCGCGCGGGCAGAGGAGUGCCGGCGGCGCGCGCAGAGGAGUGCAGGCGGCGCGGCUCAGUGGAGCACGGACGACGGCGCAGGGGCCGGCGGCGGUGGAGCGGCGGCGCGCGCAGGAGCGCUGGUGGCGGCGCUGGGGCCCUGGCGGCGACGCGACCAGCAGGAGCAGUAGCGGCGUUGGGGCCCUGGCGGCGGCGCGACCAGCAGGAGCAGAGGGUGGCGCGACCAGGGGAGGAGAAGGAGCAGGGGAGCGGCCGGCGCUGGUGCAGGGGAGGCGGCGCCUGUGCCGGCGGCUGGGAGAAGGGAGAAAAAAAAACUGGCUCUAUACCAUAUUGGAAUAACUGAAACCCUAACCCUACACUAGGGUGGGCUUGUAUAUUAAUUGAUAGUCGCCUAGAGGGGGGGUGAAUAGGGCGAAACUGAAAUUUACAAAUAUAAACACAACUACAAGCCGGGUUAGCGUUAGAAAUAUAAAUGAGUCCGAGAGAGAGGGCGCAAAACAAAUCCCAAGCGAAUAAGCAAGAGAGACACGGAGAUUUGUUUUACCGAGGUUCGGUUCUUGCAAACCUACUCCCCGUUGAGGAGGCCACAAAGGCCGGGUCUCUUUCAACCCUUCCCUCUCUCAAACGGUCCCUCGGACCGAGUGAGCUUCUCUUCUCUAAUCAAAGCCGGGAACAAAACUUCCCCGCAAGGGCCACCACACAAUUGGUGCCUCUUGCCUUGAUUACAAUGGAGUGUGAUCUCAAGAACAAGUGAGAAAGAAAAGAAGCAAUCCAAGCGCAAGAGCUCAAAUGAACACGGCAAAUCACUCUCACUAGUCACUAGGGCUUUGUGUGGAAUUGGAGAGGAUUUGAUCUCUUUAGUGUGUCUAGAAUUGAAUGCUAGAGCUCUUGUAGUAGUUGAGAAGUGGAAAACUUGGAUGCAAUGAAUGGUGGGGUGGUUGGGGUAUUUAUAGCCCCAACCACCAAACUUGACCGUUGGCUGGAGGCGUCUGCUCGAUGGCGCACCGGACAGUCCGGUGCACACCGGACAGUCCGGUGCCCCUGCCACGUCAUCACUGCCGUUGGAUUCUAGCCGUUGGAGCUUCUGACUUGUGGGCCCGCCUGGGUGUCCGGUGCACACCGGACAUGUACUGUUUGAUGUCCGGUGCACCGGUAUGGGCAAGUCUGACGUCUGCGCGCGCUGCGCGCGCAUUAAAUGCACCGCAGAGAGCCGUUGGCGCCGAAGAGAGCCGUUGCUCCGCUGGCACACCGGACAGUCCGGUGCACACCGGACAGUCCGGUGAAUUUUAGCGGAGCGGCUGCCACGCGAAACCGAGGCUGGCGAGUUCCGGAGGCCGCGCUUCCUUGGAGCACCGGACAUGUCCGGUGCACACCGGACAGUCCGGUGAAUUAUAGCGCGCCGGCUUCCGAGAAAUCCCGAGGGUGAAGAGUUUGAGUCUGAGUCCCCUGGUGCACCGGACAGGUAUUGUUCACUGUCCGGUGGCACACCGGACAGUCCGGUGCGCCAGACCAGGGGUGCCCUCGGUUGCCCCUUUGCUCCUUUAUUGAAUCCAAAACUUGGUCUUUUUAUUGGCUGAGUGUGAACCUUUUACACCUGUAUAAUCUAUACACUUGGGCAAACUAGUUAGUCCAAAGAUUUGUGUUGGGCAAUUCAACCACCAAAAUUAUUUAGGAACUAGGUGUAAGCCUAAUUCCCUUUCAAUCUCCCCCUUUUUGGUGAUUGAUGCCAACACAAACCAAAGCAAAUAGAGAAGUGCAUAAUUGAACUAGUUUGUAAAAGGUUGCUUGGAAUUGAGCCAAUAAAACUACUUACAAGAUAUGCAUGGAAUGUUUCUUUCUUAUUUAGCAUUUUGGACCACGUUUGCACCACAUGUUUUGUUUUUGCAAGUCCUUUUGUAAAUCCAUUUCAAAGAUCUUUUGCAAAUAGUCAAAGGUAAAUGAAUAAGAGUUUGCAAAGCAUUUUUAGGAUUUGAAAUUUUCUCCCCCUGAAUCAAAUGCUUUUCCUUUGACUAAACAAAACUCCCCCUAAAAGAUAUCCACCUCUUAGUGUUCAAGAGGGUUUUGAUAUAUCAUUUUGAAAUGCUACUUGCUCCCCCUUUGAACACAAUAGGAUACCAAUUGAUAAAUACUUCUUUGAAAAUACUAAGUUUUUGAAAUUGGUGGUGGUGCGGUCCUUUUGCUUUGGGCUCAUUUCUCCCCCUUUUUGGCAUGAAUCGCCAAAAACGGAAUCAGUAGAGCCCUUAAAGUAAUUUCUUCCCCUUUGGUCAAAAGUAAAUGAGUUAAGAUUAUACCAAAGACGAAAUCCGGUCCUUUUGCUUUUGAGCUUUUACUCUCUCCUCCAAGGAUGAAGUCCUUUUCUUUGAUGCUCAUUUCUCCCCAAGGAAUAGAGAGUUGCUCGGAGUGAUGGCGAAGCAUGAGUUACGGAGUGGAAGCCUUUGUCUUCGCCGAAGACUCCAAUUCCCUUUCAAUAUACCUAUGACUUGGUUUGAAAUAGACUUGAAAACACAUUAGUCAUAGCAUAUAAAGGAGAUAUGAUCAAAGGUAUUCAAAUGAGCUAUGUGUGCAAGCUUAGCAAAAGAAAUUUCUAGAAUCAAGAAUAUUGAGCUCAUGCCUAAGUCUGGUAAAAGAUUGUUCAUCAAGUGGCUUGGUAAAGAUAUCGGCUAAUUGAUCUUUAGUAUUAAUGUAAGAAAUCUCGAUAUCCCCCUUUUGUUGGUGAUCCCUAAGAAAAUGAUACCGAAUGGCUAUGUGCUUAGUGCGGCUAUGCUCGACGGGAUUGUCGGCCAUUUUAAUUGCACUCUCAUUAUCACAUAGCAAAGGGACUUUGGUUAAUUUGUAACCGUAGUCCCGCAGGGUUUGCCUCAUCCAAAGCAAUUGCGCGCAACAAUGUCCUGCGGCAAUGUACUCGGCUUCGGCGGUGGAAAGAGCGACCGAAUUUUGCUUCUUUGAAGCCCAAGACAUCAAGGAUCUUCCCAAGAACUGGCAAGUCCCCGAUGUGCUCUUCCUAUUGAUUUUGCACCCCGCCCAAUCGGCAUCCGAAUAACCAAGUAAAUCAAAUGUGGAUCCCCGAGGGUACCAAAGCCCAAACUUAGGGGUAUAAGCCAAAUAUCUCAAGAUUCGUUUUACGGCCGUAAGGUGGGAUUCCUUAGGGUCGGAUUGGAAUCUUGCACACAUGCAAACGGAAAGCAUAAUGUCCGGUCGAGAUGCACAUAAAUAAAGCAAUGAACCAAUCAUCGACCGGUAUACCUUUUGAUCCACGGACUUACCUCCCGUGUCGAGAUCGAGAUGCCCAUUAGUUCCCAUGGGUGUCUUGAUGGGUUUGGCAUCCUUCAUCCCAAACUUAGCAAGAAUGUCUUGAGUGUACUUCGUUUGGCUAAUGAAGGUGCCCUCUUGGAGUUGCUUGACUUGGAAUCCUAGAAAAUACUUCAACUCCCCCAUCAUCGACAUCUCGAAUUUCUGUGUCAUGAUCCUACUAAACUCUUCACAUGUAGACUCGUUAGUAGACCCAAAUAUAAUAUCAUCAACAUAAAUUUGGCAUAUAAACAAGUCAUUUUCAAGAGUUUUAGUAAAGAGUGUAGGAUCGGCCUUGCCGACUUUGAAGCCAUUAGCAAUAAGGAAAUCUCUAAGGCAUUCAUACCAUGCUCUUGGGGCUUGCUUGAGCCCAUAAAGCGCCUUAGAGAGCCUAUAGACAUGAUUAGGAUACUCACUGUCUUCAAAGCCGGGAGGUUGCUCAACAUAGACCUCUUCCUUGAUCGGUCCAUUGAGGAAGGCACUUUUCACGUCCAUUUGAUAGAGCUUAAAGCCAUGGUAAGUAGCAUAGGCCAAUAAUAUGCGAAUUGACUCAAGCCUAGCUACGGGUGCAUAGGUUUCACCGAAAUCCAAACCUUCGACUUGUGAAUACCCUUUGGCUACGAGUCGAGCUUUGUUCCUUGUCACCACACCAUGCUCAUCUUGCUUGUUGCGGAAGACCCAUUUGGUUCCUACAACAUUUUGGUUAGGACGUGGAACAAAAUGCCAGACCUCAUUCCUCGUGAAAUUGUUGAGCUCCUCUUGCAUCGCCACCACCCAAUCCGAAUCUUGGAGAGCUUCCUCUACCCUGUGUGGCUCAAUAGAGGAAACAAAAGAGUAAUGUUCACAAAAAUGAGCAACCCGAGAUCGAGUAGUUACCCCCUUAUGAAUGUCGCCGAGGAUGGUGUCGACGGGGUGAUCUCGUUGGAUUGCUUGGUGGACUCUUGGGUGUGGCGGUCUUGGUUCUUCCUCAUCCUCCUUUUCUUGAUCAUUUGUAUCUCCCCCUUGAUCAUUGCUAUCAUCUUGAGGUGGCUCGUCUUCUUGAUUUUGCUCUUCAUCAUUUUGAGCCUCAUCCUUAUUUUGAGUUGGUGGAGAUGCUUGCAUGGAGGAGGAUGGUUGAUCUUGUGUACUUGGAGGCUCUUCGGAUUCCUUAGGACACACAUCCCCGAUGGACAUGUUCCUUAGCGCGAUGCAUGGAGCCUGUUCUUCACCUAUCUCAUCAAGAUCAACUUGCUCUACUUGAGAGCCGUUAGUUUCAUCAAACACAACGUCACAAGAGACUUCAACUAGUCCAGUGGACUUGUUAAAGACCCUAUAUGCCCUUGUGUUUGAGUCAUAACCAAGUAAAAAGCCUUCUACAGUUUUAGGAGCAAAUUUAGAUUUUCUACCUCUUUUAAUAAGAAUGAAGCAUUUGCUACCAAAAACUCUAAAAUAUGAAAUGUUGGGCUUUUUACCGGUUAGGAGUUCAUAUGAUGUCUUCUUGAGGAUUCGGUGAAGAUAUAACCGGUUGAUGGCGUAGCAGGCGGUGUUGACCGCUUCGGCCCAAAACCGGUCCGGUGUCUUGUACUCAUCAAGCAUGGUUCUUGCCAUGUCCAAUAGAGUUCGAUUCUUCCUCUCCACUACACCAUUUUGUUGUGGCGUGUAGGGAGAGGAGAACUCAUGCUUGAUGCCCUCCUCCUCAAGGAAGCCUUCAAUUUGAGAGUUCUUGAACUCCGUCCCGUUGUCGCUUCUUAUUUUCUUGAUCCUUAAGCCGAACUCAUUUUGAGCUCGUCUCAAGAAUCCCUUUAAGGUCUCUUGGGUUUGAGAUUUUUCCUGUAAAAAGAAUACCCAAGUGAAGCGAGAAUAAUCAUCCACAAUAACAAGACAAUACUUACUCCCGCCGAUGCUUAUGUAAGCAAUCGGGCCGAAUAGAUCCAUGUGGAGUAGCUCAAGCGGCCUGUCGGUCGUCAUGAUGUUCUUGUGUGGGUGAUGGACUCCAACUUGCUUCCCUGCCUGGCAUGCGCUACAAAUCCUGUCUUUCUCAAAAUGAACAUUUGUUAAUCCUAAAAUGUGCUCUCCCUUUAGAAGCUUAUGAAGAUUCUUCAUCCCAACAUGGGCUAGUCGACGAUGCCAGAGCCAACCCAUGUUAGUCUUAGCAAUUAAGCAAGUGUCGAGUUCAGCUCUAUCAAAAUCUACCAAGUAUAGCUGACCCUCUAACACUCCCUUAAAUGCUAUUGAAUCAUUACUUCUUCUAAAGACAGUGACACCAACAUCAGUGAAUAGACAGUUGUAGCCCAUUUGACAUAAUUGAGAAACAGAAAGCAAGUUGUAAUCUAAGGAAUCUACAAGAAAAACAUUGGAAAUGGAAUGGUCAGGAGAUAUAGCAAUUUUACCAAGACCUUUGACCAAACCUUGAUUUCCAUACCCGAAUGUGAUAGCUCGUUGGGGAUCUUGGUUUUUCUCAUAUGAGGAGAACAUCCUUUUCUCCCCUGUCAUGUGGUUUGUGCACCCGCUAUCGAGUAUCCAACUUGAGCCCCCGGAUGCAUAAACCUACAAAACAAUUUUAGUUCUUGACUUUAGGUACCCAAACGGUUUUGGGUCCUUUGGCAUUAGAAACAAGAACUUUGGGUACCCAAACACAAGUCUUGGAGCCCUUGUGUUUGCCCCCAACAAAUUUGGCAACUACCUUGCCGGAUUUGCUAGUAAGCACAUAAGAUGCAUCAAAAGUUUUAAAUGAAAUGGCAUGAUCAUUUGAUGCAUUAGGAAUUUUCUUCUUAGGCAACUUAGCAUGGGUUGGUUGCCUAGAACUAGAUGUCUCACCCUUAUACAUAAAAGCAUGAUUAGGGCCAGAGUGAGACUUCCUAGAAUGAAUCUUCCUAAUUUUGCUCUCAGGAUAGCCGGCAGGGUAUAAAAUGUAACCCUCGUUAUCCUGAGGCAUGGGAGCUUUGCCCUUAACAAAGUUAGACAAGUUCUUAGGAGGGGCAUUAAGUUUGACAUUGUCUCCCCUUUGGAAGCCAAUGCCAUCCUUGAUGCCAGGGCGUCUCCCAUUAUAAAGCAUGCUACGAGCAAAUUUAAAUUUCUCAUUUUCUAAGUUGUGCUCGGCAAUUUUAGCAUCUAGUUUAGCUAUAUGAUCAUUUUGUUGCUUAAUUAAAAUCAUGUGAUCAUGAAUAGCAUCAAUAUCAACAUUUCUACAUCUAGUACAAAUAGAUACAUGCUCAACAAUAGAUGUAGAGGGUUUGCAAGAUUUUAAUUCUACAACCUUAGCAUGCAGCAUAUCAUUUUUAGUUCUAAGGUCAGAAAUUGUAACAUUGCAAACAUCUAGUUCUUUAGCCUUAGUAAUCAACUUUUCAUUUUCUACUCUAAGGCUAGCAAGAGAAAUGUUCAAUUCUUCAAUCCUAGCAAGCAAAUCAUCAUUAUUAUCUCUAGGAGUGGAAAUUGAAACAUCACAAACAUGAGAAUCAACCUUAGCAUUUAAAAUAGCAUUUUCAUUCCUAAGGUUGUCAAUUAUUUCACGGCAAGUGCUUAGCUCACUAGAUAAUUUUUCACAUUUUUCUACUUCUAGAGCAUAAGCCUUUUUAACCUUAACAUGUUUCUUGUUUUCUUUAAUUAGACAAUCCUCUUGGGAGUCCAAAAGGUCAUCCUUUUCAUGAAUAGCACUAACUAAUUCAUUUAAUUUUUCUUUUUGAGCUAUGUUGAGGUUGGCAAAAAGGGAACGCAAAUUAUCUUCCUCAUCACUAGCAUUGUCAUCACUAGAGGAUUCAUAUUUAGUGGAGGAUUUAGAUUUAACCUUCUUUUUGCCGUCCUUUGCCAUGAGGCACUUGUGGCCGAUGUUGGGGAAGAGGAGUCCCUUGGUGACGGCGAUGUUGGCGGCGUCCUCGUCGUCGGAGGAGUCGCUUGAGCUCUCGUCGGAGUCCCACUCGCGACAAACAUGGGCAUCGCCGCCCUUCUUCUUGUAAUACCUCUUCUUUUCCUUUCGUCUCCCCUUCUUGUCGUCACCUCGGUCACUGUCACUAGAUAUAGGACAUUUAGCAAUAAAAUGACCGGGCUUACCACACUUGUAGCAAACCUUCUUGGAGCGGGACUUGUAGUCUUUCCCCCUCCUUUGUUUGAGGAUUUGGCGGAAGCUCUUGAUGACGAGCGCCAUUUCCUCAUUGUCGAGCUUGGAGGCGUCGAUUGGUUGUCGACUUGGUGUAGCCUCCUCCUUCUUCUCCUCUGUUGCCUUGAAUGCAACGGGUUGGGCUUCGGACGAGUCGCCAAGCUCGUUGAUUUUCCUCGAGCCUUCUAUCAUGCACUCAAAACUUACAAAAUGCCCGAUAACUUCCUCGGGGGUCAUUUUAGUAUAUCUAGGAUUACCACGAAUCAAUUGAACUUGAGUGGGAUUAAGAAAAAUGAGAGAUCUUAAAAUAACAUUUACCACUUCGUGAUCGUCCCACUUCUUGCUCCCGAGGUUGCGCACUUGGUUCACCAAAGUCUUGAGCCGGUUGUACAUGUGUUGUGGCUCCUCUCCUUUGUGAAGCCGGAACCGACCGAGCUCCCCCUCGAUCGUUUCCCGCUUGGUGAUCUUGGUGAGCUCGUCUCCCUCGUGCGCGGUUUUGAGUACAUCCCAAAUCUCCUUGGCGCUCUUUAACCCUUGUACUUUGUUAUACUCCUCUCUACUUAGAGAGGCGAGGAGUAUUGUUGUUGCUUGAGAGUUGAAGUGCUCGAUUUGGGCCACUUCAUCCUCAUCAUAGUCCUCAUCCCCUACGGAUGGUACCUGCGCGCCAAACUCAACAACAUCCCAUAUGCUUUUGUGGAGCGAGGUUAGAUGAAAUCGCAUUAAAUCGCUCCACCUAGCGUAAUCUUCACCAUCAAAUGUUGGUGGUUUGCCUAAUGGGACGGAAAGUAAAGGUGUAUGUUUGGAAAUGCGAGGGUAACGUAGGGGGAUCUUACUAUACUUCUUGCGCUCUUGGCGCUUAGAAGUGACGGAGGGCGCAUCGGAGUCGGAGGUCGAUGUUGAUGAAGUGUCGGUCUCGUAGUAGACCACCUUCCUCAUCCUCUUGUGCUUGUCGCCUUUCCGAUGCGGCUUGUGGGAAGAAGAUUUUUCCUUCUUCUCUUUGUGAUGAGAAGAAGAUUUCUUCUCCUUCCCUUUGUUGGAGGAGCUCUUCUUCUUCUCCCUCCUUUUGGUGCGGGACUCUUCCGAUGAAGUGCUCCCGUGGCUUGUAGUGGGCUUUUCGCCGGUCUCCAUCUCCUUCUUGGCGUGAUCUCCCGACAUCACUUCGAGCGGUUAGGCUCUAAUGAAGCACCGGGCUCUGAUACCAAUUGAUAGUCGCCUAGAGGGGGGGUGAAUAGGGCGAAACUGAAAUUUACAAAUAUAAACACAACUACAAGCCGGGUUAGCGUUAGAAAUAUAAAUGAGUCCGAGAGAGAGGGCGCAAAACAAAUCCCAAGCGAAUAAGCAAGAGAGACACGGAGAUUUGUUUUACCGAGGUUCGGUUCUUGCAAACCUACUCCCCGUUGAGGAGGCCACAAAGGCCGGGUCUCUUUCAACCCUUCCCUCUCUCAAACGGUCCCUCGGACCGAGUGAGCUUCUCUUCUCUAAUCAAAGCCGGGAACAAAACUUCCCCGCAAGGGCCACCACACAAUUGGUGCCUCUUGCCUUGAUUACAAUGGAGUGUGAUCUCAAGAACAAGUGAGAAAGAAAAGAAGCAAUCCAAGCGCAAGAGCUCAAAUGAACACGGCAAAUCACUCUCACUAGUCACUAGGGCUUUGUGUGGAAUUGGAGAGGAUUUGAUCUCUUUAGUGUGUCUAGAAUUGAAUGCUAGAGCUCUUGUAGUAGUUGAGAAGUGGAAAACUUGGAUGCAAUGAAUGGUGGGGUGGUUGGGGUAUUUAUAGCCCCAACCACCAAACUUGACCGUUGGCUGGAGGCGUCUGCUCGAUGGCGCACCGGACAGUCCGGUGCACACCGGACAGUCCGGUGCCCCUGCCACGUCAUCACUGCCGUUGGAUUCUAGCCGUUGGAGCUUCUGACUUGUGGGCCCGCCUGGGUGUCCGGUGCACACCGGACAUGUACUGUUUGAUGUCCGGUGCACCGGUAUGGGCAAGUCUGACGUCUGCGCGCGCUGCGCGCGCAUUAAAUGCACCGCAGAGAGCCGUUGGCGCCGAAGAGAGCCGUUGCUCCGCUGGCACACCGGACAGUCCGGUGCACACCGGACAGUCCGGUGAAUUUUAGCGGAGCGGCUGCCACGCGAAACCGAGGCUGGCGAGUUCCGGAGGCCGCGCUUCCUUGGAGCACCGGACAUGUCCGGUGCACACCGGACAGUCCGGUGAAUUAUAGCGCGCCGGCUUCCGAGAAAUCCCGAGGGUGAAGAGUUUGAGUCUGAGUCCCCUGGUGCACCGGACAGGUAUUGUUCACUGUCCGGUGGCACACCGGACAGUCCGGUGCGCCAGACCAGGGGUGCCCUCGGUUGCCCCUUUGCUCCUUUAUUGAAUCCAAAACUUGGUCUUUUUAUUGGCUGAGUGUGAACCUUUUACACCUGUAUAAUCUAUACACUUGGGCAAACUAGUUAGUCCAAAGAUUUGUGUUGGGCAAUUCAACCACCAAAAUUAUUUAGGAACUAGGUGUAAGCCUAAUUCCCUUUCAUUAAUAGACUGAGUUGGGCCUGGCCCAUUACAAAUACAGGGGUACAAUUCUAACAGAAGAAACAGUGUUUCUGCUUUCCGGAGAUUUCCACACUCGAAUUUGCACUAUUCUUCGUAUACCUAAUCCCUUUACACAGAAAAAGUUACUACCCGACUUUGAUUCUGUUUAUCCCUACAUUUGCUUUGGUGGAUUUUUGGUGGUGAUGAUUGAUGAAUUUCCAUCUUAAUUAUAGUUGUUUUUAGAAGUCUAUUCUACAUUAUGGUACAAGGUUAUGUAUGAUCUGAGAAACAUCUUAUGGCCAGAAUUUUGUUGCUGUACUAAUAAAAUAACAGUAGAUGGCUCGGGUCUCUCCUGCAAAACAAAAUUCUAACCAUAGAUUAGAUAGCUUGCAAGGAGAGGAUGGGGCACUGUUCUAAAAUUUGCUCCCAUCAGCCUGAAAACACAAAGUACAUUGCUCUAUAUUGUUCCUUUGCACAGGAUGUUUGGAAAAACCCCGAACUGGAUGUACGUGGCUAGCUGUAGCUCUAGUCUGCAAUUGCAAAAGACCUCCUAGAAAUGUGGUAAUAGUUCUGGUGGAAAUGAGAAAGGAAGCGAGUGGCAUCGUUGGCUACAUCUUGUGAAACCGUCGCAAUACACCAAACCAUAGCGUGUUUCAAAAAAAAAAAACUGACAAUCAUAUAGCAUCUACUACGUCAUCAUCAGGGAGGAUAUUGCUCAAACAAAGUUAGCAUUAGGAAGUUAAACCUUCUGUAUAGAUUUAAAUCUGCUGGUGUGACCCCACUGUGCCUUUUAAAGUUUCUUACUUCCCUUUUUGAUCAAGAUGACACCGUUCCUGCCUUCCUUUUUAACAAGAAAAAAAAAUCGCACUACUUAUCUGUCCAUAGUUACUUAGUUUAUUUUGGAUACCAUUAUGACGGUAAAAGUAACCAUCUCUUCUCUUCCUCGUCAGGUGAAACCUCUGCUGAUUGGGACAAGGCAUGGUCUGCCUUCAAGAAGAAAGGGAAGAGGACCCUGUUUUCUGAUUUCUCACCGGACAAGUACGUGACCUGGAACCCACGGCGCAGCGAGUAUCCAUUGUCAGAAGAGGUGGAUCCAAUCAAGAGAACUGAAAGAUCUAACUUGAUGCUGUGGACAAGCCCCCAGUUCACCUUGGUCGGGGCGAUUAUCAUCGUCUUGACAUUGCUAAUCUAUACACUAGUUGUUCCUCCUCCCAAGUAACUGCAGAGGUGACAACUACUAGGGGGGGUGAGCUGUAAACUAGUAGCAUUUCAAUUGGGAAGUCUGCAUUGUACAUUUUUUACGUGUACUAUGGCAACUAUAGCAGUAUUGAUUCAAUUGCAAUCAUGUAGAUACAACACCACUGUCCAUUCCAUUCUGGAGGUUUUCUUCAAUUGUGUGCUAAAUGGCUGCUGUCUGAGUCUUAUAUUCACUUAUUAUAAUGAAGAAAUAUUUGGGGUCAGGUAGAAUUAUAUGUUGGUCGAUAUUCGAUGCUCCUGAUGUGUGUUUCUAAACAGCAACUUACCAAUCCUAUCUCCCACCACAUACAUAUUUCAAACUUCACUCUAUGCAGCAUAAAAUAGUGUUUUGUACGACUACGCACGAUCUGGUGGAGAUAGCCUAAAGCUGUAUUAACCUGUGAAAGCUUGUACUAGUGUUGGGAGUGUUUGGGCAAUGGGGAACUGAUGGACACAUGAAAAUCACGUUUCUUAUUACAGAUAAAUUCAGGUCAAUGUCAGAUCAUUGCCUUCAUACAAUAAUAAGCCUUAGGCAUUAGGAUGUGUUUUAACAGACAAUUGGUCCACGGUGGUGGCCAGGACUUUCUUUCCCUGUGUGAAUGGAAUAGAAGAUGGGGUACAAUACAUUCCGGGACCUUUUCAAACCUGAGAGACGAGCUCCUUGCUCCCCAAGGAAGUUUGUCACACACACUCUCCCCCAUCGCCGCAUGUCCCCAGCAUCUCAUCUGCUCUGCGCCUAUAAAAGUGAGCAAGCCUUCGCCUCCUGCCGUCACUCACUCUGACAUCAGACACAACACACUCAGCAGACGGCUCUUCAGUCCCCUGAUUCCCGUGCCUUCCUGAGCAAGAAGCCACCCGCGGCGGCAAUGGAGCGGCAGGAGGCGGCGAGGCGGACCCUGCCGCGGCGCGGGCAGAUCAAGCUGCGCAUCUUCGCGAGCCUGUUCCGGUGCUUCAUCACCCCCGAGGCACCCGCGCGCAAGGAAGGCGACAAGAACAGAGAUGGCGGCGGCCGCCGCGUUUCCCCAGGUGGCUGACGCGGCUCGAGCGAUGCAGGAUGUUGUCUCUGAACUCCGGCUUCAGCUCGAGUGCUACGUCUCACUGUAUAUAAUAUAAUAGGCUUAGCUGCAGUACAGCCUGCGGAAGAGUGGUUCAAUUUUUCUGAGAAUUUGUUAGCCUGAAUGAUGACAAAAACAAAAAAAAACAGCCUGUUCAAGUGUAAAUUUCUACCUGUAGGGCUUGUUUGGGAUCAAGGGUUAUGGAGUGGAUUAAGGGGGCUAGAAUCCUCUAUUACUUAAUUUUGAAUAGUGAGGGAUUAUAGCCCCCUCAAUCCCCUCCAUUACCCUUUGUCCCAAACAAGACCGUAGAGUUGCAGUUGGGGUCAAGUGAUACCUUGACUUUGUAAAUUCGCCUCUCCGAAUAUACUGGUGUAAUCUACUUGUUUCAGCCAAUGCCUUGGCUACCGACACCGAGUACCGAGCAGUAUUGACAUCCCUCCCUCCAUUUCAUUUGGUCGAAUUUCCCUGGUAUCCUAAUCAGGAGUAAUAGCUAUUUGAUAGUUGGUUUAUUAACUAACCUGUUCUAAACCUCUUGGCUAAUUUUAACAGCUAAUAAUUAGUUUUAGAAGUUUGGAACAUUCGCUGGUUUAUUUACUAUAGUAAUGAUUUUGUAGGCCUUAGUACUGGUUCACUAUAGUAUUAACAUAGCCUUAGUACUCUUUCGUACUCACGAUUUUAGUUUCUGUCUAAAUGUAUUAACAAGUUCAUCUAUCCUUUAAAAUAGUAUUCUGACUUCCUUUUAAUCAUUUCCAUUUUUUGGUUAUUUCUUACCAGACCAUGUUAUCCCACCUUGGUCACCGACGGGAGCAUCCCGCCGGCCGGCCCGCCUCCCUCCCUCCCCAUUCUCAUCCUCUGCCAGCCAAUCCAAUUAAAGAAGUUACAUCUUAAACAUCAUGGUAUUGCACAUUUCUGAAUAUGGUUCUGCUCAAAAUAAUAAAUAAAUGAUUUCAAGUAACAUUUCCGAAUAUGCAACUUUUCCAAUGUAUUGUUUAUAGCAUUACUAUCCCUAUAGGCCAAUAAUCACAACAAGUCAAAGGUGACUUUAAUUUGUGUCACAUAGUUUUGAGUUGAUCUUUAUAUGUGCGUACUUCUUUGGAACGCGGGAAUUUCACAUAAACCAUAUAGGAAUUUUAUAGGAAUUAGUCAAAACCUAGGAAAAACACAGGAUUUAGGAAAUAAUCCUUCAACCCAAAGGAGCCCUAACCUCGUAGACAUGCUCGGGGAUAGCUUAAUUCUGCAACACCUACUGUCCAAAUGUUUGGCUGAACAUAGUUCUGACAAUAAUGGGCUCUAUAUACAAACAUCAUAUGUGUUAUUGAUGGGAAGAUGAAAAACAGGCUUGACACUUCUUUGCAUUUUUGUUGCAUAAUUUUUUUGAAUCCAUAUUACAGUUAUAAUGAUCCUACUAUCUCCACAGCUGAGCUAGUAAUGGAUGGAUCGAUGUCAGCUGUUAAAACAAUGGUGAUUAUGACAGGUAAAAUCAAGUACCGAAUCUUCCUGCCUUCCCUUAAAUGUGUUUGUGUGUUUCAGAUUUGAUUAAUGUUGACCCUCACUUGGCAUUCUGUGUUGUAGAAUCACACGAAGAAAAUAAUAAUGUGAACCAAGCAAUCUGUAACACUAGUAAAAAAUGCGAGUGCUCACCUUCUUCACUCCGAAGGACCAAGCUUCACAUCGGUAAUGCAUGUCGGCGCCCGAUUCCACGAGACAUCGGCAAUGACAAGGUUUUGCAUCAAUGGGGUUGUGGGAUCCUGGCAAAGAGUGGUUGGCAUUAUGUGCGUACCAAAGCGAGGAGAGGGUGGAGCAAUGCGCAUCAUAAAGCACUGGUGAAGAGCAUGAGGCGGUCGUCACACGAUGGCAAAGCGACGUUGUGUCCCCCCGCCCCAAUGUCAUCAAUGUGGUGAGCAGGUAUAUGCAUGAGUACUAGGGAUGGAAAUUUAAUCCGUGGAUUUGGAUAUCCGGCGGAUAUCCAACCCGACGGAUUAGGAUAUGGAUAUGUUUUUUGACCCGCGGGUUAGACCCGUAUCCGAUCCGAGAUAAAGUGGGCAUGGAUUUGGAUAUUAAAUCUCACCCGUGGAUAAUCCGUUGGAUAUCCGAAAUUAACCAUUAGUUUAUUAUUGAGCCCAGGCGCCAGCCCACCAAAGUAACAUUCAGCGCACCAAAGCACCAAGCCACCAGCCCACCAUAAUCCCUAAUUUCCCAAUCCCCAUCCGACCAUCCCCUAGCCUCAAUCGUUCAAUCCCAGCCUCCCAGUCAUCCUGCAGCCUCAAGCGCAAAAGCCACCCGCGCCGCCUAGGCAACCCGCAAGCCACCCGCGUUGCCCCGGCCCCCCGUGCAGACGCAGCUCCAAGCUCCGCCCUGCUCUAAGCGCCGUCGGCCCCCGCGUAGACGCAGCUCUGAAAAUCUGAAAUCCGCCCUGCUCUGAGCUCCACCCUGCGCAGCUGCACUGAGCUCCGCUCUGCUCUGUUGAGACAUGUAGACAUGUAUUUUUGUCAUGUUGAGAAUAUUGCUUGUUGAAGGACAUGUGAAAGGGAAUUAGACUUACACCUAUUUCCUAAUUGAUUUAGGUGGUUGAAUUGCCCAACACAAAUAAUUGGACUAACUAGUUUGCUCUAGUCUAUAAGUUCUACAGGUGCCAAAGGUUCACAAUAAGCCAAUAAAAAGACCAAGAAAAGGGUUCAAACAAGAGAGCAAGGGAUAACCGAAGUGUGCCCUGGUCUGGCGCACCGGACUGUCCGGUGUGCCACCGGACAGUGUCCGGUGCACCAGGGGACUCCAAGCUGAACUCCUCACCUUCGGGAAUUCUCAGAGGCGCUCCGCUAUAAUUCACCGGACUGUCCGGUGCCCCAAGUAAGAGCGACUCUGAACUCGCCAGCUUCGGGAAUCCGCUCCGCUAAAAUUCACCGGACUGUCCGGUGUGACAGCGGAGCAACGACUACUUCGCGCGCAACGGCCGACUGCAGCGCAUUAGAUGCGCGCCUGCGCGCGCAGAGGAGCAGAGCACGCGCGGGUGGCACACCGGACAGCCUACAGGGCCUGUCCGGUGCACCACCGAACAGCCAGGCGGGCCCACAAGUCAGAGCUCCAACGGUCGGAACCCAACGGCCGGGUGACGUGGCUGGCGCACUGGACAGUGUCCGGUGGCGCACCGGACUGUCCGGUGCGCCCGUCGACAGCAGCCUCCACCAACUGUCAAGUUUGGUGGUUGGGGCUAUAAAUACCCCAACCACCCCCACAUUCAAGUCAUCCAAGUUUUCCACCUUCCAACUACUUACAAGAGCUCUAGCAUUCAAUUCUAGACACAACCAAAUAGAUCAAAUCCUCUCCCAACUCCACACAAAGCUCUAGUGAUUAGAGAGAGAGAUUUGUUGUGUUCUUUUGAGCUCUUGCGCUUGGAUUGCUUCUUUCUCAUUCUUUCUUGUGAUCAAAACUUAAUUGUAACCAAGGCAAGAGACACCAAUUGUGUGGUGGUCCUUGCGGGAACUUCGUGUUCCGUUUGAUUGAGAAGAGAAGCUCACUCGGUCCGAGGGACCGUUUGAGAGAGGGAAAGGCUUGAAAGUGACCCGGUCUUUGUGACCACCUCAACGGGGAGUAGGUUUGCGAGAACCGAACCUCGGUAAAACAAAUCCUUGUGUCUCACUUCUUAUUCGCUUACUAUUUGUUUUUGUGCCCUCUCUCGGACUCACAUUUAUUUCUAACGCUAACCCGACUUGUAGUUGUGCUUAAGUUGUUAAAUUUCAGAUUCGCCCUAUUCACCCCCCCUCUAGGCGACUUUCAAUUGGUAUCGGAGCUCGGUGCUUCAUUAGAGCCUAACCGCUCGAAGUGAUGUCGGGAGAUCACGCCAAGAAGCCCGCUACAAGCCACGGGAAGGCUCCAUCAGGAGAGUCCUACAACAAAGGGAAGGGGAAGGAAAAGGAAUCCCCUUCACACAAGUCGCGUCGGAGCAGUGACAAGAAAAAGAAGAUGAGGAAGGUGGUCUACUACGAGACCGACUCCUCGUCGCCAUCCACCUCUGGCUCCGACACGCCGUCCAUAACUUCUAAGCGCCAUGAGCGCAAGAAGUUUAGUAAGAUCCCCCUACGCUAUCCUCGCAUUCCUAAACAUGCACCUUUACUUUCCGUCCCAUUAGGCAAACCACCAACAUUUGAUGGUGAAGAUUAUGCUAGGUGGAGUGAUUUGAUGCGAUAUCACCUAACCUCACUCCACAAAAGUAUAUGGGAUGUUAUUGAGUUUGGCGUACAUGUACCAUCCGUAGGGGAUGAAGAUUAUGAUGAGGACGAAGUGGCCCAAAUCCAACACUUCAACUCCCAAGCCACAACUAUACUCCUCGCCUCUCUAAGUCGAGAGGAGUAUAACAAGGUGCAAGGAUUGAAAAGUGCUAAGGAGAUUUGGGACACGCUAAAGACCGCGCACGAAGGAGACGAGGUGACCAAGAUCACCAAGCGGGAGACGAUCGAGGGGGAGCUCGGUCGCUUCCGACUUCGCCAAGGGGAGGAGCCACAAGACAUGUACAACCAGCUCAAAACCUUGGUGAACCAAGUGCGCAACCUCGGGAGCAAAAAAUGGGAUGACCACGAAAUGGUUAAGGUUAUUCUAAGAUCACUUGUUUUCCUUAACCCUACUCAUGUUCAAUUAAUUCGUGGCAAUCCUAGAUAUACACUAAUGACUCCUGAGGAAGUAAUCGUGAAUUUUGUGAGCUUUGAAUUGAUGAUCAAAGGCUCAAAGAAGAUCAACGAGCUUGAUGGCCCCUCCACGUCCGAAGCACAACCGGUCGCAUUCAAAGCGAUGGAGGAAAAGAAGGAGGAGUCUGCAUCAAGUAGACAACCAAUCGACGCCUCAAAGCUCGACAAUGAGGAGAUGGCGCUCAUUGAAAGGGAAUUAGGCUUACAUCUAUUUUUCUAAUUGAUUUUGGUGGUUGAAUUGCCCAACACAAAUAAUUGGACUAACUAGUUUGCUCUAGUCUAUAAGUUAUACAGGUGCCAAAGGUUCACACUUAGCCAACAAAAAGACCAAGAAAUGGGUUCAACAAAGAGAGCAAGGGUUAACAGAAGGCAGCCCUGGUCUGGCGCACCGGACUGUCCGGUGUGCCACCGGACAGUGUCCGGUGCACCACGGGACUUCAAGCCAAACUCUUCACCUUUGGGAAUUUUCAGAGGCGCUUCACUAUAAUUCACCGGACAUGUCCGGUGCACACCGGACAGUGUCCGGUGCUCCAGGGGAGAGCGACUCUGAACUCGCCAGGUUCGGAUUUCCGCUCCGCUAUAAUUCACCGGACAUGUCCGGUGCACACCGGACUGUCCGGUGAGCCAGCGGAGCAACGACUACUUCGCGCCAACGGUCGUCUGCAACGCAUUAAAUGCGCGCCAGCGCGCGCAGAGGAGCAGAGCACGCGCGGGUGGCACACCGGACAGUCUACAGGACUUGUCCGGUGCACCACCGGACAGCCAGGCGGGCCCACACGUCAGAGCUCCAACGGUCGGAACCCAACGGCCAGGUGACGUGGCUGGCGCACCGGACAGUGUCCGGUGGCGCACCGGACUGUCUGGUGCGCCAUGUGACAGCAGCCUCCACCAAACGGCUAGUUUGGUGGUUGGGGUUAUAAAUACCCCCAACCACCCCACAUUCAAGUCAUCCAAGUUUUCCACCUUCCAACCACUUACAAGAGCUAGGCAUUCAAUACAAGACACACCCAAGUGAUCAAAUCCUCUCCCAAUUCCAUAAAAGCUUUAGUGUUAAGUGAGAGUGAUUUGUUGUGUUCUUUUGAGCUCUUGCGCUUGGAUUGCUUUCUUUCUCAUUCUUUCUUGAGAUCAAACUCACUUGUAAUUGAGGCAAGAGACACCAAUCGUGUGGUGAUCCUUGUAGGAACUUUGUGUUCCAAGUGAUUGAGAAGAAAAGCUCACUCGGUCCGAGGGACCGUUUGAGAGAGGGAAAGGGUUGAAAGAGACCCGGUCUUUGUGACCACCUCAAUGGGGAGUAGGUUUGCAAGAACCGAACCUCGGUAAAACAAAUCCACGUGUCACACUCUUCAUUCGCUUGCGAUUUGUUUUGCGCCCUCUCUCUCGGACUCGUUUCUAUUAUUAACGCUAACCCGGCUUGUAGUUGUGAUUAAUUUUGUAAAUUUUAGUUUCGCCCUAUUCACUCCCCCUCUAGGCGACUUUCAAUUGGUAUCAGAGCCUGGUGCUUCAUUAGAGCUUAACCGCUCGAAGUGAUGUCGGGAGAUCACGCCAAAAAGGAGAUGGAGACCGGCGAUAAGCCCACUACAAGCCACGGGAAAGCCUCAUCGGGAGAGUCCCGCAACAAAGGGAAAGGGAAGGAGAAGAAAUCAUCUUCCCACAAGUCGCAUCGGAGUGGCGACAAGAAAAAGAAGAUGAGGAAGAUGGUCUACUACGAGACCGAUACGUCAUCGCCUUCCACCUCCGGCUCCGACGCGCCCUCCGUAACUUCUAAGCGCCAUGAGUGCAAGAAGUUUAGUAAGAUCCCCCUACGCUACCCUCGCAUUCCUAAACAUACUCCAUUACUUUCCGUUCCAUUAGGCAAACUGCCAACCUUUGACGGUGAAGAUUAUGCUAGGUGGAGUGAUUUGAUGAAAUUUCACCUAACCUCACUCCACAAAAGUAUAUGGAAUGUUGUUGAGUUUGGAGCACAGGUACCAUCCGUAGGGGAUGAGGAUUAUGAUGAGGACGAGGUGGCCCAAAUCGAGCACUUCAACUCCCAAGCCACAACUAUACUCCUCAUCUCUCUAAGUCGAGAAGAGUAUAACAAGGUGCAAGGAUUAAAGAGCGCCAAGGAAGUUUGGGACGUGCUCAAGAUCGCGCACGAAGGAGAUGAGCUAACCAAGAUCACCAAACGGGAGACGAUCGAGGGAGAGCUCGGUCACUUCCGUCUUCUCCAAGGGGAGGAGCCACAAGACAUGUACAACCGGCUCAAAACCUUGGUGAAUCAAGUGCGCAACCUCGGGAGCAAAAAAUGGGAUGACCACGAAAUGGUUAAGGUUAUUCUAAGAUCACUUAUUUUCCUUAACCCUACUCAAGUUCAAUUGAUUCGUGGCAAUCCUAGAUAUACACUAAUGACUCCCGAGGAAGUGAUCGGGAAUUUUGUGAGCUUUGAGUUCAUGAUCAAAGGCUCAAGGAAGAUCAACGAGCUUGAUGGUCCCUCCACGUCCGAAGCACAACCGGUCGCAUUUAAGGCGACGGAGGAGAAGAAGGAGGAGUCUACACCAAGUAGACAACCAAUCGACGCCUCAAAGCUCGCCAAUGAGGAGAUGACGCUCGUCAUCAAGAGCUUCCGCCAAAUCCUCAAGCAAAGGAGGGGGAAGGAUCACAAAUCUCGCUCCAAGAAAGUUUGCUACAAGUGUGGUAAGCCCGGUCACUUUAUUGCAAAAUGUCCUAUUUCUAGUGACAGUGACAGGGGCGACGACAAGAAGGGGAGAAGAAAGGAGAAGAAGAGGUACUACAAGAAGAAGGGCGGCGAUGCCCAUGUUUGUCGUGAGUGGGACUCCGACGAGAGCUCCACCGACUCCUCCUCCGACGAGGACGCCACAAACAUCGCCGUCACCAAGGGACUUCUCUUCCCCAACGUCAGCCACAAGUGCCUCAUGGCAAAGGACGACAAAAAGAAGAAGGUUAAAUCCAAAUCCUCCACUAGAUAUGAGUCCUCUAGCGAUGAUAAUGCUAGUGAUGAGGAAGAUAAUUUGCGUACUCUUUUUGCUAACCUCAACAUGCAACAAAAGGAAAAACUAAAUGAACUAAUUAGUGCUAUCCAUGAAAAGGAUGAUCUCUUGGACUCUCAAGAGGACUUCCUUAUUAAAGAAAACAAAAAGCAUGUUAAGGUUAAAAAUGCUUACGCUCUAGAAGUAGAAAAAUGUGAAAAACUAUCUAGUGAGCUAAGCACAUGCCAUGAGACUAUAAACAACCUUAGAAAUGAGAAUGCUAAUUUGCUAGCUAAGGUUGAUGCAAAUGUUUGUGAUGUUUCAAUUCCCAAUCUUAGAAAUGAUAAUGAUGAUUUGCUUGCUAAGAUUGAAGAAUUAAACAUGUCUCUUGCUAGCCUUAGAAAUGAAAAUGAAAGAUUGCUUACUAAGGCUAAAGAAUUAGAUGUUUGCAAUGUUACAAUUUCCGAUCUUAGAGAUAAAAAUGAUAUAUUGUGUGCUAAGAUUGUUGAACUUAAUUCUUGCAAACCCUCUACAUCUACCACUGAGCAUGUCACUAUUUGCACUAGAUGUAGAGAUGUUGAUAUUAAUGCUAUUCAUGAUCACAUGGCUUUAAUUAAACAACAAAAUGAUCAUAUAGCUAAACUAGAUGCUAAAAUUACCGAGCAUGAACUAGAAAAUGAAAAUUUUAAAUUUGCUCGUAGUAUGCUUUAUAGUGGGAGACGCCCUGGCAUUAAGGAUGGCAUUGGCUUCCAAAAGGGGGACAAUGUCAAACUUAAUGCCCCUCCUAAGAAAUUAUCCAACUUUGUUAAGGGCAAGGCUCCUAUGCCUCAGGAUAACGAGGGUUACAUUUUAUACCCUGUCGGUUAUCCCGAGAGCAAAAUUAGGAGAAUUCAUUCUAGGAAGUCUCACUCUGGCCCUAACCAUGCUUUUAUGUAUAAGGGUGAGACAUCUAGUUCUAGGCAACCAACCCGUGCUAAGUUGCCUAAGAAGAAAACUUCUAGUGCAUCAAAUGAUCAUGACAUUUCAUUUAAAACUUUUGAUGCAUCAUAUGUGUUAACUAACAAAUCCGGCAAGGUAGUUGCCAAAUAUGUUGGGGCAAGCACAAGGGGUCAAAGACUUGUGUUUGGGUACCCAAAGUUCUUGUGUCUAAUGCCAAAGGACCCAAAACCAUUUGGGUACCUAAAGUCAAGAACUAAACUUGUUUUGUAGGUUUAUGCAUCCGGGGGCUCAAGUUGGAUCAUCGAUAGCGGGUGCACAAACCACAUGACAGGGGAGAAGAAAAUGUUCUCCUCCUAUGAGAAAAACCAAGAUCCCCAAUGAGCUAUCACAUUCGGGGAUAGAAACCAAGGUUUGGUCAAAGGAUUGAGUAAAAUUGCUAUAUCUCCUGACCAUUCAAUUUCCAAUGUUUUUCUUGUAGAUUCCCUAGAUUACAAUUUGCUUUCUGUUUCUCAAUUAUGUCAAAUGGGCUACAACUGUCUUUUUACUGAUGUAGGUGUCACUGUCUUUAGAAGAAGUGAUGAUUCAAUAGCAUUUAAGGGAGUGUUAGAGGGUCAGCUAUACUUGAUAGAUUUUGACAGAGCUGAACUCGACACUUGCUUAAUUGAUAAGACUAACAUGGGUUGGCUCUGGCACCGCCGACUAGCCCAUGUUGGAAUGAAGAGUCUUCAUAAGCUUCUAAAGGGAGAGCACAUUUUAGGAUUAACAAACGUUCAUUUUGAGAAAGACAGGGUUUGUAGCGCAUGCCAAGCAGGGAAGCAAGUUGGUGCUCAUCAUCCACACAAGAACAUCAUGACGACUGACAGGCCACUGGAACUCCUACACAUGGAUCUAUUCGGCCUGAUUGCUUACAUAAGUAUCGACGAGAGUAAGUACUGUCUAGUUAUUGUGGAUGAUUAUUCUCGCUUCACUUGGGUAUUCUUUUUGCAGGAAAAAUCUCAUACCCAAGAAACUUUAAAAGGAUUCUUGAGACGGGCUGAAAAUGAGUUCGGCUUAAGGAUCAAGAAAAUCAGAAGCGACAACGGGACGGAGUUCAAGAACUCUCAAAUUGAAGGUUUCCUUGAGGAGGAGGGCAUCAAGCAUGAGUUCUCUUCUCCCUACACACCACAACAAAAUGGUGUAGUGGAGAGGAAGAAUAGAACUCUAUUGGACAUGGCAAGAACCAUGCUUGAUGAGUACAAGACUUCAGAUCGGUUUUGGGCCGAGGCGGUCAACACCGCAUGCUACGCCAUCAACCGAUUGUAUCUACACCGAAUCCUCAAGAAGACAUCAUACGAACUCCUAACCGAUAAAAAGCCCAAUAUUUCAUAUUUUAGAGUCUUUGGCAGCAAAUGCUUUAUUCUUGUUAAAAGAGGUAGAAAAUCUAAAUUUGCUCCUAAGACUGUAGAAGGCUUUUUACUAGGAUAUGAUUCAAACACAAGGGCAUAUAGAGUCUUUAACAAGUCCUCUGGACAAGUUGAAGUUUCUUGUGACGUUGUGUUUGAUGAGACUAACGACUCUCAAGUAGAGCAAGUUGAUCUUGAUGAGAUAGGUGAUGAAGAGGCUCCGUGCAUCGCGCUAAGGAACAUGUCCAUUGGGGAUGUGUGUCCUAAGGAAUCCGAAGAGCCUCCAAAUGCACAAGAUCAACCAUCCUCCUCCACGCAAGCAUCCCCACCAACUCAAAAUGAGGAUGAGGCUCAAGUUGAUAAAGGAGAAGAUCAAAGAGAUGAGCCACCUCAAGAUGACGGCAAUGAUCAAGGGGGAGAUGCAAAUGAUCAAGACAAGGAGGAUAAAGAACCAAGGCCGCCACACCCAAGAGUCCACCAAGCAAUCCAACGAGAUCACCUCGUCGACACCAUCCUCGGCGACAUUCAUAAGGGGGUAACCACUAGAUCUCGUGUUGCACAUUUUUGUGAGCAUUACUCUUUUGUUUCCUCUAUUGAGCCACACAGGGUAGAGGAAGCACUUCAAGAUUCGGAUUGGGUGGUGGCGAUGCAAGAAGAGCUCAACAACUUCACGAGGAAUGAGGUAUGGCAUUUGGUUCCACGUCCUAAUCAAAAUGUUGUAGGAACCAAAUGGGUGUUUCGCAACAAGCAAGAUGAGCAUGGUGUGGUGACAACGAACAAAGCCCGACUUGUGGCCAAAGGAUACUCCCAAGUCGAAGGUUUGGAUUUCGGUGAAACCUAUGCACCCGUAGCUAGGCUUGAGUCAAUUCGCAUAUUAUUAGCCUAUGCUACUUACCAUGGCUUCAAGCUUUAUCAAAUGGACGUGAAGAGUGCCUUCCUUAAUGGACCAAUCAAAGAAGAGGUCUACAUUGAGCAACCUCCCGGCUUUGAAGAUAGUGAGUACCCUAACCAUGUAUAUAAACUCUCCAAGGCGCUUUAUGGGCUCAAGCAAGCCCCAAGAGCAUGGUAUGAAUGCCUUAGAGAUUUUCUUAUCACUAAUGGAUUCAAAGUCGGAAAGGCCGAUCCUACACUCUUUACCAAAACACUUGAAAAUGAUUUGUUUGUAUGCCAAAUUUAUGUUGAUGAUAUUAUAUUUGGGUCUACUAACGAAUCUACAUGUGAAGAGUUUAGUAGGAUCAUGACACAAAAAUUCGAGAUGUCUAUGAUGGGGGGAGUUGAAGUAUUUCUUAGGAUUUCAAGUGAAGCAACUCCAAGAGGGCACCUUCCUAAGCCAAACGAAGUAUACUCAAGAUAUUCUAAGCAAGUUUGGGAUGAAGGAUGCCAAACCCAUCAAGACACCCAUGGGAACCAAUGGGCAUCUCGACCUCGACACGGAAGGUAAAUCCGUCGAUCAAAAGGUAUAUCGGUCGAUGAUAGGUUCUUUACUCUAUUUAUGUGCAUCUCGACCGGAUAUUAUGCUUUCCAUAUGCAUGUGUGCAAGAUUCCAAGCCGACCCUAAGGAAGCUCACCUUACGGCCAUAAAACGAAUCUUGAGAUAUUUAGUUUAUACUCCUAAGUUUGGGCUUUGGUAUCCUAGGGGAUCCACGUUUGAUUUGAUUGGUUAUUCGGAUGCCGAUUGGGCGGGGUGUAAGAUUAAUAGAAAGAGCACAUCGGGGACUUGCCAGUUCUAAGGAAGAUCCUUGGUGUCUUGGGCUUCAAAGAAGCAAAAUUCCGUAGCUCUUUCUACCGCCGAAGCCGAGUAUAUUGCCGCAGGACAUUGUUGCGCGCAACUACUUUGGAUGAGGCAAACCUUUAGGGACUACGGUUACAAAUUAACCAAAGUUCCUCUUCUAUGUGAUAAUGAGAGUGCAAUUUGCAUGGCGGAUAAUCUCAUUGAGCAUAGCCGCACUAAACAUAUAGCCAUUCGGUAUCAUUUCUUAAGGGAUCACCAACAAAAGGGAGAUAUCGAGAUUGCAUACAUUAAUACUAAAGAUCAAUUAGCCGAUAUCUUUACCAAGCCACUUGAUGAACAAACUUUUAACAAACUUAGGCAUGAACUAAAUAUUCUUGAUUCUAGGAAUUUCUUUUGAUAUCUUGCAUGCAUAGCUCAUAAGUAUACCUUUGAUCAUGUCUCUUUUAUAUAUGCUCUGACUAAUGUGUUUUCAAGUAUAUUUCAAACCAAGUCAUAGGUGUAUUGAAAGGGAAUUAGAGUCUUCGGCGAAGACAAAGGCUUCCAUUCCGUAACUCAUCCUUCGUCGUCGCUCCGAGCAUCUCUCCGACUUUGGUAUAAUCUUCACUCAUUUAUUUAUGACCAAAGGGGGAGAAAGUAAUUCUAAGGGCUUAUAUCUCACUCAAGUAUCCGUUUUUGGCGAUUCAUGCCAAAGGGGGAGAAAGUAUUAGCCCAAAGCAAAAGGACCGCACCACCACUAAUUUUAAAAAGAGUUUUUCAAAUGAUAUGAUUUUCAAUUUGGUAUCUCCUUGUGUUCAAAAAGGGGAGAGAGUAGUAUUUUCAAAAUCAAUAUCUUAAAACCCUCUUGAACACUAAGAGGAGAAUUUCAUUAAGGGGGAGUUUUGUUUAAGUCAAAGGAAAAGCAUUCGAAACAGGGGGAGAGAAUUUCAAAUCUUGAAAAUGCUUCGCAAAGUCUUAUUCAUUUACCUUUGACUAUUUGCAAAAGAACUUUGAAAAGGAUUUAUAAAAGAAUUUGCAAAAACAAAACAUGUGGUGCAAGCGUGGUCCAAAAUGUUAAAAAUGAAGAAACAAUCCAUGCGUAUCUUAUAAGUAUUAAUAUUGGCUCAAUUCCAAGUAAUCUUUGCACUUACAUUUUGCAAAUUAGUUCAAUUAUACACUUCUAUACUUACUUUGGUUUGUGUUGGCAUCAAUCACCAAAAAGGGGGAGAUUGAAAGGGAAUUAGGCUUACAUCUAUUUUUCUAAUUGAUUUUGGUGGUUGAAUUGCCCAACACAAAUAAUUGGACUAACUAGUUUGCUCUAGUCAAUAAGUUAUACAGGUGCCAAAGGUUCACACUUAGCCAACAAAAAGACCAAGAAAUGGGUUCAACAAAGAGAGCAAGGGUUAACAGAAGGCAGCCCUGGUCUGGCGCACCGGACUGUCCGGUGUGCCACCGGACAGUGUCCGGUGCACCACGGGACUUCAAGCCAAACUCUUCACCUUUGGGAAUUUUCAGAGGCGCUUCACUAUAAUUCACCGGACAUGUCCGGUGCACACCGGACAGUGUCCGGUGCUCCAGGGGAGAGCGACUCUGAACUCGCCAGCUUCGGAUUUCCGCUCCGCUAUAAUUCACCGGACAUGUCCGGUGCACACCAGACUGUCCGGUGAGCCAGCGGAGCAACGGCUACUUCGCGCCAACGGUCGUCUGCAACGCAUUAAAUGCGCGCCAGCGCGCGCAGAGGAGCAGAGCACGCGCGGGUGGCACACCGGACAGUCUACAGGACUUGUCCGGUGCACCACCGGACAGCCAGGCGGGCCCACACGUCAGAGCUCCAACGGUCGGAACCCAACGGCCAGGUGACGUGGCUGGCGCACCGGACAGUGUCCGGUGGCGCACCGGACUGUCCGGUGCGCCAUGCGACAGUAGCCUCCACCAAACAGCUAGUUUGGUGGUUGGGGUUAUAAAUACCCCCAACCACCCCACAUUCAAGUCAUCCAAGUUUUCCACCUUCCAACCACUUACAAGAGCUAGACAUUCAAUACAAGACACACCCAAGUGAUCAAAUCCUCUCCCAAUUCCACAAAAGCUUUAGUGUUAAGUGAGAGUGAUUUGUUGUGUUCUUUUGAGCUCUUGCGCUUGGAUUGCUUUCUUUCUCAUUCUUUCUUGAGAUCAAACUCACUUGUAAUUGAGGCAAGAGACACCAAUCGUGUGGUGAUCCUUAUAGGAACUUUGUGUUCCAAGUGAUUGAGAAGAAAAGCUCACUCGGUCCGAGGGACCGUUUGAGAGAGGGAAAGGGUUGAAAGAGACCCGGUCUUUGUGACCACCUCAACGGGGAGUAGGUUUGCAAGAACCGAACCUCGGUAAAACAAAUCCACGUGUCACACUCUUCAUUCGCUUGCAAUUUGUUUUGUGCCCUCUCUCUCGGACUCGUUUCUAUUACUAACGCUAACCCAGCUUGUAGUUGUGAUUAAUUUUGUAAAUUUCAGUUUCGCCCUAUUCACCCCCCCUCUAGGCGACUUUCACUCAUCAUCAAGAGCUUCCGCCAAAUCCUCAAACAAAGGAGGGGGAACGAUUACAAGCCCCGCUCCAAGAAAGUUUGCUACAAAUGUGGUAAGCCCGGUCAUUUCAUUGCUAAAUGUCCAUUGUCUAGUGAUAGUGACAGGGGCGACGACAAGAAGGGGAGAAGAAAGGAGAAGAAGAGGUACUACAAGAAGAAGGGCGGCGAUGCCCAUGUUUGUCGGGAGUGGGACUCCGACGAGAGCUCCACCGACUCCUCCGACAAGGACGCCGCCAACAUCGCCGUCACCAAGGGACUCCUCUUCCCCAACGUCGGCCACAAGUGCCUCAUGGCAAAGGACGGCAAAAAUAAGAAGGUAAAAUCAAGAUCCUCCACUAAAUAUGAGACCUCUAGCGAUGAGGAUAAUGCUAGUAAUGAGGAGGAUAACUUGCGCAUCCUUUUUGCCAAUCUAAACAUGCAACAAAAAGAAAAAUUAAAUGAAUUGAUUAGUGCUAUUCAUGAGAAGGAUGAUCUCUUGGACACCCCAGAGGACUUCCUUAUUAAAGAAAACAAAAAGCAUGUUAAGGUUAAAAAUGCUUACGCUCUAUAAGUUGAAAAAUGUGAAAAACUAUCUAGUGAGCUAAGCACUUGUCAUAAUAUUAUUACCAACCUUAGAAAUGAGAAUGCAAAUUUAAUUGCUAAGGUUGAUUCGAAUGCUUGUGAUGUUUCAAUUCCCAAUCUUAGAGAUGAUAAUAUUGAUUUGCUUGCUAAGAUUGAAGAAUUGAAUAUCUCUCUUGCUAGCCUUAGAGAUGAAAAUGAAAAAUUGCUUGCUAAGGCUAAAGAAUUAGAUGUUUGCAAUGCUUCCAUUUCCGACCUUAGAAGUAAAAAUGAUAUAUUGCAUGCUAAGGUUGUAGAAUUAAAAUCUUGCAAACCCUCUACAUCUACCGUUAAACAUACUUCUAUUUGUACUAGAUGUAGAGACAUUAAUGUUGAUGCUAUUCAUGACCAUCUAGCUUUAAUUAAGAAACAAAAUGAUCACAUAGCUCAACUUAAUGCUAAAAUCAAUGAGCAUGACUUAGAAAAUGGAAAAUUUAAAUUUGCUAGAGGCAUGCUCUAUAGCGGGAGACGCCCUGGCAUCAAGGAUUGUCAAACUUUGUUAAGGGCAAGGCUCCCAUGCCUCAGGAUAACGAGGGUUACAUUUUGUACCCUGCCAGUUAUCCCGAGAAUAAAAUUAGGAGAAUUCACUCUAGGAAGUCUCACUCUGGCCCAAAUCAUGCUUUUAUGUAUAAGAGUGAGACAUCUAGCUCUAGGCAAUCAAUCCAUGCUAAAUUGGCUAAGAAGAAAACUCCUAGUGCAUCAAAUGAUCAUAAUAUUUCAUUUAAAACUUUUGAUGCAUCCUAUGUUUUAACUAACAAAUCCGGCAAGGUAGUUGUCAAAUAUGUUGGGGGCAAGCACAAGGGGUCAAAGACUUGUGUUUGGGUACCCAAAGUUCUUGUGUCUAAUGCCAAAGGACCCAAAACCAUUUGGGUACCUAAAGUCAAGAACUAAAUUUGUUUUAUAGGUUUAUGCAUCCGGGGGCUCAAGUUGGAUCAUCGAUAGCGGGUGCACAAACCACAUGACAGGGGAGAAGAAGAUGUUCUCCUCCUACGAGAAAAACCAAGAUCCCCAACGAGCUAUCACAUUCGGGGAUGGAAACCAAGGUUUGGUCAAAGGUUUGGGUAAAAUUGCUAUCUCACCUGACCAUUCCAUUUCCAAUGUUUUUUCUUGUAGAUUCUUUAGAUUACAAUUUGCUUUCCGUAUCUCAAUUAUGCAAAAUGGGCUACAACUGUCUUUUCACAGAUGCAGGUGUUACUAUCUUUAGAAGGAGUGAUGAUUCAAUAGCAUUUAAGGGAGUGUUAGAGGGUCAGCUAUACUUAGUAGAUUUUGAUAGAGCUGAACUCGACACUUGCUUAAUUGCUAAGACUAACAUGGACUGGCUCUGGCAUCGCCGACUAGCACAUGUUGGAAUGAAGAAUCUUCACAAACUUCUAAAAGGAGAACACAUUUUGGGACUAACAAAUGUUCAUUUUGAAAAAGACAGGAUUUGUAGUGCAUGCCAAGCAGGGAAGCAAGUUGGUGUUCAUCAUCCACAUAAGAACAUCAUGACGACUGACAGGCCACUCGAGCUCCUACACAUGGACCUAUUCAGCCCGAUAGCUUACAUAAGCAUCGGCGGGAGUAAGUACUGUCUAGUUAUUGUGGAUGAUUAUUCUCGCUUUACUUGGGUGUUCUUUUUGCAGGAAAAAUCUCAUACCCAAGAGACUUUAAAAGGAUUCUUGAGACGAGCUCAAAAUGAGUUCGGCUUAAGGAUCAAGAAAAUUAGAAGCGACAACGGGACGGAGUUCAAGAACUCUCAAAUUGAGGGCUUCCUUGAGGAGGAGGGCAUUAAGCAUGAGUUCUCUUCUCCCUACACGCCACAACAAAAUGGUGUAGUGGAGAGGAAGAAUCAAACUCUAUUGGACAUGGCAAGAACCAUGCUUGAUGAGUACAAGACUUCGGAUCGGUUUUGGGCCGAGGCGGUCAACACCGCUUGCUACGCCAUCAACUGGUUAUAUCUACACUGAAUCCUUAAGAAGACAUCAUAUGGACUCCUAACCGGUAAAAAGCCUAAUAUUUCUUGUUUUAGAGUCUUUGGUAGCAAAUGCUUUAUUCUUGUUAAAAGAGGUAGAAAAUCUAAAUUUGCUCCUAAGACAGUAGAAGGCUUUUUACUAGGAUAUGAUUCAAACACAAGGGCAUAUAGAGUCUUUAACAAGUCCUCAGGACUAGUUGAAGUUUCUUGUGACGUUGUGUUUGAUGAGACUUGAAAGUCGCCUAGAGGGGGUGAAUAGGGCGAAACUGAAAUUCACAAAAUUAAUCAUAACUACAAGUCGGGUUAGCGUUAGAAAUAGAAAUGAGUCCGAGAGAGAGGGCGUAAAACAAAUCGCAAGCGAAUAAAGAGUGUGACACACAGAUUUGUUUUACCGAGGUUCGGUUCUUGCAAACCUACUCCUCGUUGAGGUGGUCACAAAGACCAGGUCUCUUUCAACCCUUUCCCUCUCUCAAACGGUCCCUCGGACCGAGUGAGCUUCUCUACUCAAUCACUUGGAACACAAAGUUCCUACAAGGAUCACCACACGAUUGAUGUCUCUUGCCUCAAUUACAAGUGAGUUUGACCUCAAGAAAGAAUGAGAAAGAAAGCAAUCCAAGCGCAAGAGCUCAAAAGAACACAACAAAUCUCUCUCACUUAACACUAAAGCUUUUGUGGAAUUGGGAGAGGAUUUGAUCACUUGGGUGUAUCUAGAAUUGAAUGCUAGAGCUCUUGUAAGUGGUUGGAAGUUGGAAAACUUGGAUGACUUGAAUGUGGGGUGGUUGGGAGUAUUUAUAACCCCAACCACCAAACUAGCCGUUUGGUGGAGGCUGCUGUCGCAUGGCGCACCGGACAGUCCGGUGCGCCACCGGACACUGUCCGGUGGGCCAGCCAUGUCACCAGGCCGUUGGGUUCCGACCGUUGGAGCUCUGACGUGUGGGCCCGCCUGGCUGUCCGGUGGUGCACCGGACAAGUCCUAUAGACUGUCCGGUGUGCCACCCGCGCGUGCUCUGCUCCUCUACGCGCGCUGGCGCGCAUUUAAUGCGUUGCAGUCGACCGUUGGCGCGAAGUAGCCGUUGCUCCGCUGGCUCACCGGACAGUCCGAUGUGCACCGGACAUGUCCGGUGAAUUAUAGCGGAGCGGAUUCUCGAAGCUGGCGAGUUCAGAGUCGCUCUCCUCUGGAGCACCGGACACUGUCCGGUGGUGCACCGGACAGUCCUGUGAAUUAUAGCGAAGCGCCUCUGAAAAUUCCCGAAGAUACGAAGUUUGGCUUGGAGUCCCCUGGUGCACCGGGCACUGUCCGGUGGCACACCGGACAGUCCGGUGCGCCAGACCAGGGCAGCCUUCGGUUGUCCCUUGCUCUUUUGGUUGAACCCAUUUCUUGGUCUUUUUAUUGGCUAAGUGUGAACCUUUGGCACCUGUAUAACUUAUAGACUAGAGCAAACUAGUUAGUCCAAUUAUUUGUGUUGGGCAAUUCAACCACCAAAAUCAAUUAGGAACUAGGUGUAAGCCUAAUUCCCUUUCAAUCUCCCCCUUUUUGGUGAUUGAUGCCAACACAAGCCAAAGCAAGUAUAGAAGUGCAUAAUUGAACUAGUUUGCAUAAUGUAAGUGCAAAGGUAACUUGGAAUUGAGCCAAUAUAAAUACUUAUAAAAUAUGCAUGGAUUGUUUCUUUAAUUUUUUGACAUUUUGGACCAUGCUUGCACCACAUGUUUUGUUUUUGCAAAUUCUUUUGUAAAUCCUUUUCAAAGUUCUUUUGCAAAUAGUCAAAGAUAAAUGAAUAAGAUUUUUCGAAGCAUUUUGAAGAUUUGAAAUUUUAUCCCCGUGUUUCAAAUGCUUUUCCUUUGACUAAACAAAACUCCCCCUUAAUGAAAUCCUCCUCUUAGUGUUCAAGAGGGUUUUAAGAUAUCGAUUUUGAAAAUACUACUCCUCUCCCCUUUUUGAACAUAAUGAGAUACUAAUUUGAAAAUCAUACCAAUUGAGAAAUUCUUUUUUUUAAAUUAGGUGGUGGUGCGGUCCUUUUGCUUUGGGCUGAUACUUUCUCCCCCUUUGGCAUGAAUCGCCAAAAACGGAUACUUGAGUGAGAUAUAAGCCCUUUCCUAGCUACUUUCUCCCCUUUGGCAAAUAAAACAUGAGUGAAGAUUAUACCAAAGACGGAGAGUUGCUCGGAGCGACGGCGAAGGAUGAGUUAUGGAGUGGAAGCCUUUGUCUUCGCCGAAGACAUAAAUUCCCUUUCAAUACACCUAUGACUUGGGUUGAAAUUCACUUGAGAACACAUUAGUCAUAGCACAUGAAAGAGACAUGAUCAAAGGUAUAUUUAUGAGCUAUGCAUGCAAGACAUCAAAAGAAAUUCCUAGAAUCAAAAAUAUUUAGCUCAUGCCUAAGUUUGUUAAAGGUUUGUUCACCAAGUGGCUUUGUAAAGAUAUCGGCUAAUUGAUCUUUAGUAUUAAUGUAUGAAAUCUCGAUAUCUCCCUUUUGUUGGUGAUCCCUUAAGAAAUGAUACCGAAUGGCUAUGUGUUUAGUGCGGCUAUGCUCAACGGGAUUAUCCGCCAUGCGGAUUGCACUCUCAUUAUCACAUAGAAGAAGAACUUUGGUUAAUUUGUAACCAUAGUCCCUAAGGGUUUGCCUCAUCCAAAGCAAUUGCACGCAACAAUGGCCUGCGGAAAUGUACUCGGGUUCGGCGGUAGAAAGGGCUACGGAAUUUUGCUUCUUUGAAGCCCAAGACACCAAGGAUCUUCCCAAGAACUGACAAGUCCCCGAUGUACUUUUUCUAUUAAUCUUACAUCCCGCCCAAUCGGCAUCCGAAUAACCAAUCAAAUCAAAUGUGGAUCCCCUAGGAUACCAAAGCCCAAACUUAGGAGUAUAAACUAAAUAUCUCAAGAUUUGUUUUACGGUCGUAAGGUGAGCUUCCUUAGGGUCGGCUUGGAAUCUUGCACACAUGCAUAUGGAAAGCAUAAUAUCCGGUCGAGAUGCACAUAAAUAGAGUAAAGAACCUAUCAUCGACCGGUAUACCUUUUGAUCCACGGACUUACCUUCCGUGUCGAGGUCGAGAUGCCCAUUGGUUCCCAUGGGUGUCUUGAUGGGUUUGGCAUCCUUCAUCCCAAACUUGCUUAGAAUAUCUUGAGUAUACUUCGUUUGGCUUAGGAAGGUGCCCUCUUGGAGUUGCUUCACUUGAAAUCCUAAGAAAUACUUCAACUCCCCCAUCAUAGACAUCUCGAAUUUUUGUGUCAUGAUCCUACUAAACUCUUCACAUGUAGAUUCGUUAGUAGACCCAAAUAUAAUAUCAUCAACAUAAAUUUGGCAUACAAACAAAUCAUUUUCAAGUGUUUUGGUAAAGAGUGUAGGAUCGGCCUUUCCGACUUUGAAUCCAUUAGUGAUAAGAAAAUCUCUAAGGCAUUCAUACCAUGCUCUUGGGGCUUGCUUGAGCCGGCUAAAGCGCCUUGGAGAGUUUAUAUACAUGGUUAGGGUACUCACUAUCUUCAAAGCCGGGAGGUUGCUCAACAUAGACCUCUUCCUUGAUUGGUCCAUUGAGGAAGGCACUCUUCACGUCCAUUUGAUAAAGCUUGAAGCCAUGGUAAGUAGCAUAGGCCAAUAAUAUACGAAUUGACUCAAGCCUAGCUACGGGUGCAUAGGUUUCACCGAAAUCCAAACCUUCGACUUGGGAGUAUCCUUUGGCCACAAGUCGGGCUUUGUUCCUUGUCACCACACCAUGCUCAUCUUGCUUGUUGCAGAAAACCCACUUGGUUCCUACAACAUUUUGAUUAGGACGUGGAACCAAAUGCCAUACCUCAUUCCUAGUGAAGUUGUUGAGCUCCUCUUGCAUCGCCACCACCCAAUCUGAAUCUUGUAGUGCUUCCUCUACCCUGUGUGGCUCAAUAGAGGAAACAAAAGAGUAAUGCUCACAAAAAUGUGCAACACGAGAUCUAGUUGUUACCCCCUUAUGAAUGUCGCCUAGAAUGGUGUCGACGGGGUGAUCUCGUUGGAUUGCUUGGUGGACUCUUGGGUGUGGCGGUCUUUGUUCUUCAUCCUCCUUGUCUUGAUCAUUUGCACCUCCCCCUUGAUCAUUGCCGUCAUCUUGAGGUGGCUCAUUUGCUUGAUCUUCUCCUUCAUCAACUUGAGCCUCAUCCUCAUUUUGAGUUGGUGGAGAUGCUUGCGUGGAGGAGGAUGGUUGAUCUUGUGCAUUUGGAGGCUCUUCGGAUUCCUUAGGACACACAUCCCCAAUGGACAUGUUCCUUAGCGCGAUGCACGGAGCCUUUUCAUCACCUAUCUCAUCAAGAUCAACUUGCUCUACUUGAGAGUCGUUAGUCUCAUCAAACACAACGUCACAAAAAACUUCAACUUGUCCAGAGGACUUGUUAAAGACUCUAUAUGCCCUUGUGUUUGAAUCAUAUCCUAGUAAAAAGCCUUCUACAGUCUUAGGAGCAAAUUUAGAUUUUCUACCUCUUUUAAUAAGAAUAAAGCAUUUGCUACCAAAGACUUUAAAAUAUGAGAUAUUGGGCUUUUUACCGGUUAGGAGUUCGUAUGAUGUCUUCUUGAGGAUUCGGUGUAGAUACAACCGGUUGAUGGCGUAACAAGCGGUGUUGACCGCCUCGGCCCAAAACCGAUCCGAAGUGUUGUACUCAUCAAGCAUGGUUCUUGCCAUGUCCAAUAGAGUUCUAUUCUUCCUCUCCACUACACCAUUUUGUUGUGGGGUGUAGGGAGAAGAGAACUCAUGCUUGAUGCCUUCCUCCUCAAGGAAACCUUCGAUUUGUGAGUUCUUGAACUCCGUCCUGUUGUCGCUUCUUAUUUUCUUGAUCCUUAAGCCGAACUCAUUUUGAGCCCGUCUUAAGAAUCCCUUUAAUGUCUCUUGGGUAUGAGAUUUUUCCUGCAAAAAGAAUACCCAAGUGAAGCGAGAAUAAUCAUCCACAAUAACUAGACAGUACUUACUCCCGCCGAUGCUUAUGUAAGCUAUCGGGCCGAAUAGGUCCAUGUGUAGGAGUUCCAGUGGUCUGUCAGUCGUCAUGAUGUUCUUAUGUGGAUGAUGAGCACCAACUUGCUUCCCUGCUUGGCAUGCGCUACAAAUCCUGUCUUUCUCAAAAUGAACAUUUGUUAAUCCUAAAAUGUGUUCUCCCUUUAGAAGCUUAUGAAGAUUCUUCAUCCCAACAUGGUCUAGUCGGCGGUGCAUAGCCAACCCAUGUUAGUCUUAGCAAUUAAGCAAGUGUCGAGUUCAGCUCUAUCAAAAUCUACUAAGUAUACCUGACCCUCUAACACUCCCUUAAAUGCUAUUGAAUCAUCACUUCUUCUAAAGACAGUGACACCUACAUCAGUAAAAAGACAGUUGUAGCCCAUUUGACAUAAUUGCGAAACGGAAAGCAAAUUGUAAUCUAAGGAAUCUACAAGAAAAACAUUUGAAAUUGAAUGGUCAGGAGAUAUAGCAAUUUUACCCAAUCCUUUGACCAAACCUUGGUUUCCAUCCCCGAAUGUAAUAGCUCGUUGGGGAUCAUGGUUUUUCUCGUAGGAGGAGAACAUCUUCUUCUCCCCUGUCAUGUGGUUUGUGCACCCGCUAUCGAUGAUCCAACUUGAGCCCCCGGAUGCAUAAACCUACAAAACAAUUUUAGUUCUUGACUUUAGGUACCCAAAUGGUUUUGGGUCCUUUGGCAUUAGACAUAAGAACUUUGGGUACCCAAACACAAGUCUUUGACCCCUUGUGCUUGCCCCCAACAUACUUGGCAACUACCUUGCCGGAUUUGUUAGUUAACACAUAAGAUGCAUCAAAAGUUUUAAAUGAAAUGCUAUGUUCAUUUGAUGCACUAGGAGUUUUCUUCUUAGGCAACUUAGCACGGGUUGGCUGCCUAGAACUAGAUGUCUCACCCUUAUACAUAAAAGCAUGGUUAGGGCCAGAGUGAGACUUUCUAGAAUGAAUUCUCCUAAUUUUGCUCUCGGGAUAACCGGCAGGGUAUAAAAUGUAACCCUCGUUAUCCUGAGGCAUGGGAGCCUUGCCCUUAACAAAGUUGGACAAUUUCUUAGGAGGGGCAUUAAGUUUGACAUUGUCCCCCUUUUGGAAGCCAAUGCCAUCCUUAAUGCCAGGGCGUCUCCCACUAUAAAGCAUACUACGAGCAAGUUUAAAUUUUUAAUUUUCAAGUUCAUGCUCGGCAAUUUUAGCAUCUAAUUUUGCUAUAUGAUCAUUUUGUUGCUUGAUUAGUACCAUAUGAUCAUGAAUAACAUCAAUAUCAAUAUCUCUACAUCUAGUGCAAAUAGUGACAUGCUCAGUGGUAGAUGUAGAGGGUUUGCAGGAAUUAAGUUCAACAAUCUUAGCACGCAAUAUAUCAUUUUUAUCUCUAAGAUCGGAAAUUGUAACAUUGCAAACAUCUAGUUCUUUAGCCUUAGCAAGUAAUUUUUCAUUCUCAAUCCUAAGGCUAGCAAGAGAGAUGUUUAAUUCUUCAAUCUUAACAAGCAAAUCAUCAUUAUCAUUUCUAAGAUUGGGAAUUAAAACAUCACAAACAUUUGAAUCAACCUUAGCUAACAACUUAGCAUUUUCAUUUCUAAGGUUGUCAAUGGUCUCAUGGCAAGUGCUUAGCUCACUAGAUAAUUUUUCGCACUUUUCUACUUCUAAAGCAUAAGCAUUUUUUACCUUAACAUGCUUUUUGUUUUCUUUAAUAAGGAAGUCCUCUUGAGAGUCCAAGAGAUCAUCCUUUUCAUGGAUAGCACUAAUCAAUUCAUUUAAUUUUUCCUUUUGUUGCAUGUUUAGGUUGGCAAAAAGGGUACGCAAAUUAUCCUCCUCAUCACUAGCAUUAUCAUCACUAGAGGACUCAUAUUUAGUGGAGGAUUUGGAUUUAACCUUCUUCUUUUUGUCGUCCUUUGCCAUGAGGCACUUGUGGCUGACGUUGGGGAAGAGAAGGCCCUUGUUGAUGGCGAUGUUGGCGGCGUCCUCGUCGGAGGAGGAGUCGGAGGAGCUCUCGUCCGAGUCCCACUCGCGGCAUACAUGAGCGUCGCCACCCUUCUUCUUGUAGUAUUUCUUCUUCUCUUUUCUUCUCCCCUUCUUGUCGUCGCCCCUGUCACUGUCACUAGAAAUAGGACAUUUUGCUAUAAUGUGACCGGGAUUACCACACUUGUAGCAAACUUUCUUGGAGCGGGGCUUGUAAUCUUUCCCCCUCCUUUGCUUGAGGAUUUGGCGGAACCUCUUGAUGACGAGCACCAUUUCCUCAUUGUCGAGCUUUGAGGCGUCGAUUGGUUGUCUACUUGAUGUAGACUCCUCCUUCUUCUCCUCCGUUGCCUUGAAUGCAACCGGUUGUGCUUCGGAUGUGGAGGGAUCAUCUAGCUCAUUGAUUUUCUUUGAGCCCUUGAUCAUAUACUCAAAGCUCACAAAAUUCCCUAUUACUUCCUCGGGAGUCAUUAGUGUAUAUCUAGGAUUACCACGAAUUAAUUGAACUUGAGUAGGGUUAAGGAAAAUAAGUGAUCUAAGAAUAACCUUAACCAUCUCGUGGUCAUCCCACUUUUUGCUCCCAAGGUUGCGCACUUGAUUCACCAAGGUUUUGAGCCGGUUGUACAUGUCUUGUGGCUCUUCCCCUUUGCGAAGCCGGAAGCGACCGAGCUCCCCCUCGAUCGUCUCCCGCUUGGUGAUCUUGGUUAAUUAAUCUCCCUCGUGCGCGGUCUUGAGCACGUCCCAAACUUCCUUGGCGCUCUUUAAUCCUUGCACCUUGUUAUACUCCUCUCGACUUAGAGAGGCGAGGAGUAUAGUUGUGGCUUGGGAGUUGAAGUGCUCGAUUUGGGCCACCUCGUCCUCAUCCCCUACGGAUGGUACCUGUACACCAAACUCAACAACAUCCCAUAUACUUUUGUGGAGUGAGGUUAGGUGAAACCGCAUUAAAUCACUCCACCUAGCAUAAUCUUCACCAUCAAAGGUUGGUGGUUUGCCUAAUGGGACGGAAAGUAAAAGUGUAUGUUUAGGAAUGCGAGGGUAGCGUAGGGGGAUCUUACUAAACUUCUUGCGCUCAUGGCGUUUAGAAGUUACGGAGGGCGCGUCGGAGCCGGAGGUGGAAGGUGAUGAAGUAUCGGUCUCGUAGUAGACCACCUUCCUCAUCUUCUUUUUCUUGUCGCCACUCCGAUGUGACUUGUGGGAAGAGGCUUUCUUCUCCUUCCCUUUCCCCUUUUUGCGGGACUCUUCCGAUGAAGCCUUCCCGUAGCUUGUAGUGGGCUUGUCGCCGGUCUCCAUCUCCUUCUUGGCGUGUUCUCCCGACAUCACUUCGAGCGGUUAGGCUCUAAUGAAGCACCGGGCUCCGAUACCAAUUGAAAGUCGCCUAGAGGGGGUGAAUAGGGCGAAACUGAAAUUCACAAAAUUAAUCACAACUACAACCGGGUUAGCGUUAGAAAUAGAAACGAGUCCGAGAGAGAGGGCGUAAAACAAAUCGCAAGCGAAUAAAGAGUGUGACACACGGAUUUGUUUUACCGAGGUUCGGUUCUUGCAAACCUACUCCCCGUUGAGGUGGUCACAAAGACCGGGUCUCUUUCAACCCUUUCCCUCUCUCAAACGGUCCCUCGGACCGAGUGAGCUUCUCUUCUCAAUCACUUGGAACACAAAGUUCCCACAAGGAUCACCACACGAUUGGUGUCUCUUGCCUCAAUUAUAAGUGAGUUUGAUCUCAAGAAAGAAUAAGAAAGAAAGCAAUCCAAGCGCAAGAGCUCAAAAGAACACAACAAAUCUCUCUCACUUAACACUAAAGCUUUUGUGGAAUUGGGAGAGGAUUUGAUCACUUGGGUGUAUUGAAAGGGAAUUAGGCUUACACCUAGUUCCUAAAUAAUUUUGGUGGUUGAAUUGCCCAACACAAAUAAUUGGACUAACUAGUUUGCUCUAAGUGUAUAAGUUAUACAGGUGUAAAAGGUUCACACUUAGCCAAUAAAAAGAUCAAAUAUUGGAUUCAACAAAGGAGCAAAGGGACAACCGAAGGCACCUCUGGUUUGGGGCACCGGACUGUCCGGUGUACCACCAGACAGUGUCCGGUGCACCAGAGGACUCCAACUUAAACUUGCCACCUUUGGGAAUUUCCAGAGGCACUCCGCUAUAAUUCACCGGACUGUCCGGUGUACACCGGACAGUGUCCGGUGCUCCAAGGAAGAGCGGCCUCUGGAACUCGCCAGCCUCGGGAAAACGCAGCGGCUGCUCCGCUAUAAUUCACCGGACAUGUCCGGUGUACACCGGACUGUCCGGUGAACCAGCAGAGCAACGGCUACUUCGAGCCAACGGUCACCUGCAGGCGCAUUCAAUGCGCGCCAGAAGCGCGCAGAAGUCAGGCACGCCCAUACUGGCGCACCAGACAUUGAACAGUACAUGUCCGGUGUGCACCGGACAUCCAGGCGGGCCCAGAAGACAGAAGCUCCAACGGUCGGAAUCCAACGGCAUUGGUGACGUGGCUGGCGCACCGGACAUGUCCGGUGUACAUCGGACUGUUCAGUGCACCAUACGACAGACAGCCUCCACCAACGGUCAUGUUUGGUGGUUGGGGCUAUAAAUACCCCAACCACCCCACCAUUCAUUGCAUCCAAGUUCUCCAUCUUCCAACCACUAUACAAGAGCUAGCAUUCAUUGCAAAGCACACCAAAAGAGAUCAAAUCCUCUCCCAACUCCACACAAAGCAUUAGUGACUAGAGAGAGUGAUUUGUAGUGUUCAUUUGAGCUCUUGCGCUUAGAUCGCUUCUUUUCCUUGGCAUUCUUUAUUGUGAUCAAACACUCACUUGUAAUUGAGGCAAGAGACACCAAUUGUGUGGUGGUCCUUGCGGGAAGUUUGAUUCCCAAGUGAUUUGAGAAGAGAAGCUCACUCGGUCCGAGGGACCGUUUGAGAGAGGGAAAGUGUUGAAAAAGACCCGGCCUUUGUGGCCUCCUCAACGGGGAGUAGGUUUGCGAGAACCGAACCUCGGUAAAACAAAUCCUUGUGUCUCACCGCUUUACUCGCUUGCGAUUUGUUUUACACCCUCUCGCGGACUCGGUUUUAUUUCUAACGCUAACCCAGCUUGUAGUUGUGUUUAUAUUUGUAAAUUUCAGUUUCGCCCUAUUCACCCCCCCUCUAGGCGACUAUCAAUUGGUAUCAAAGUCCGGUGCUUCAUUAGAGCCUAACCGCUCGAAGUGAUGUCGGGAGAUCACGCCAAGAAGGAGAUGGAGACCGGUGAAAAGCCCACUACAAGCCACGGGAGCACUUCAUCGGAAGAGUCCUGCACCAAGAGGAAGGAAAAGAAAGACUCCUCCAAAGGGAAGGAUGAAAGGGAAAUGUGCCCUUGGGCCAUUUCUAAGUAUUUUGGUGAUUGAGUGUCAACACAAGUGCUUAAAAGUGAAUCUAUAGCCAUGGGUGAACAAAGUGCAAAUCAAGAGCAAAGGUAUGUUUCUAAGUCUUGGUACAUUGGUUUUGUGUACUAAUAUACUUGUCUAAGUAUCAGAAACAGAAAGAAGAAGAAAAGAGAAGAGUUGGCUGUGUACAGCCAAGAGGCUGUUUCGGUCUGGGGCACCGGACUGUCCGGUGGUGCACCGGACAGUGUCCGGUGCGCCAGGCUGCCUCAGCGCGAAGUAGCCGCUCUCGGGAAUUCGCCGACGGCAUACGGCUAAAAUUCACCGGACUGUCCGGUGUGCACCGGACUGUCCGGUGAGCCAACGGUCGGCCGGGCCAACGGUCGGCCGCGCGAUCUGCGCGGGACACGUGGCCGAGCCAACGGUCGGAAGGGGGCACCGGACUGUCCGGUGUGCACCAGACAUGUCCGGUGCGCCAACGGCUCCCGCAUCUGCAACGGUCGACUUCGUCAUUUAAGGAAGGAAAUCGGGCACCGAACAGUGUCCGGUGUGCACCGGACUGUCCGGUGCACCCGACGACAGAAGGCAAGAUUGGCCUUCCAGAUUUGUUCUCAACGGCUCCUAGCUGCCUUGGGGCUAUAAAAGGGACCCCUAGGCGCAUGGAGGAGACGACCAAGCAACCUUAGAGCACUCUUGAUCAUCCACACUCAGUCUUUGCGCAUUUGUUUGUCAUUCUAAGUGAUUCGAGCUUCGUUCUAGUGAGAACCUUGAGAUAGUCUUUGAGCUCGAUUCUCGGCCGUGUGUGUGCGCAUUUUGUUGUGGAUUUGUGUGUGUUGCUUCCCUUCCUUACUCCGUGAUUCUUUGUGAACAUCAAAAGUGUAAGGGCGAGAGGCUCCAAGUUGUGGAGAUUCCUCGCGAACGGGAUAAGAAAAGAAAAGCAUAACACUGUGGUAUUCAAGUUGAUCAUUGGAUCACUUGAGAGGAGUUGAGUGCAACUCUCGUCCGUUGGGACGCCACAACGUGGAGUAGGCAAGUUUUGUACUUGGCCGAACCACGGGAUAAAUCACUGUGUCUUCUCUGUGUUGAAUUCUUUGUGAUUACCGUAUUGUGCAAGACCUUCUCUCUAGCCACUUGGCGACUAUUGUGCUAACACUUAACAAGUUUUUGUGGCUAUAAGUUUAAGUUUCACAGGAUCACCUAUUCACCCCCCCCUCUAGGUGCUCUCAAUUGGUAUCAGAGCCGUUCUCUUCAAGAAAGGGACUAACCGCCCGAAGAGAUGGAUCCUAAAGGGAAGGGAAUCGUGAUCAACGACAAGGAGAAGGAGUCCUUCGUCAACGAGCCAAGGGAUGACAAGUCCAACGACUCGGAUUCGGGCCAUAGACGCAAAGAUGGGAAGAAGAAGAAGACAAGACGCAUCAAGGAGAUCAUCUACUACGACAGCGAUGAGUCUACUUCCUCCCAUAAGGACGACGACCACAACGAAUACGAGAGAAAGAAACCGGUCAAUUCGAACUUUUCUUUUGAUUACUCUCGUAUUCCUCAAAGUACUAAUGCUCAUUUAUUAUCUAUUCCACUUGGUAAACCUCCUCAUUUUGAUGGAGAGGACUACGGAUUUUGGAGUCACAAAAUGCGUAGUCACUUGUUCUCUCUCCAUCCUAGCAUAUGGGAGAUUGUAGAAAGUGGAAUGCACUUUGAUAGUACGGAUAGUCCCAUGUUUAUUAAUGAACAGAUUCAUAAAAAUGCACAAGCUACUACUGUGUUGCUAGCCUCUUUGUGCAGGGACGAGUAUCACAAGGUAAGCGGCCUGGACAAUGCCAAGCAGAUCUGGGACACCCUCAAGAUCUCUCAUGAGGGUAACGACGUCACCUUGCUCACCAAAAUGGAGUUGGCGGAAGGCGAGCUUGGACGGUUCGCGAUGAUAAGGGGCGAAGAGCCAACACAAACAUACAACCGGCUCAAGACCCUUAUCAACAAAAUAAGGAGCUACGGGAGCACGCGAUGGACGGACCACGACGUCGUCCGCCUAAUGCUAAGGUCCUUUACCAUUCUUGAUCCUCAUUUGGUGAACAAUAUUCGUGAAAACCCUAGGUACACCAAGAUGUCGCCCGAAGAAGUUCUGGGGAAGUUCAUAAGCGGGCGAAUGAUGAUCAAGGAGGCAAGAUAUGUGGACGACGCGUUGAACGGUCCUAUUCAUGAGCCUCAACCCAUUGCUCUCAAGGCAACAAGGAGCAAGGAGGCGCUACCGAGCAAGGUGGCGCAAGUUGAGGCGGCCGGGCUAAAUAAUGAGGAGAUGGCCCUCAUCAUUAAGCGCUUCAAGACGGCGCUUAAAGGUCGCAAGGGACAGCCAAGCAAGACCAAAACAAAGGAGAAGCGCUCGUGCUUCAAAUGUGGUAAGAUUGGUCAUUUCAUUGCUAACUGUCCCGAUAAUGAAAGUGACCAGGAAAAGGGGAACAAAAGGGAGAAGAAGAAGCAUUACAAGAAGGCCAAGGGCGAGGCACAUAUCGGAAAGGAGUGGGAUUCGGAUUGCUCCUCCUCCGACUCCGACAAUGAAGGACUCGCCGCCACCGCCUUCAACAAGUCAUCCCUCUUCCCCAACGAGCGUCACACAUGCCUUAUGGCAAGGGAGAAGAAGGUAUGCAAUCAAAACAAUGUCACUUAUGAUUCUUCUAGUGAUGAUGAGUCCAGUGAUGAAGAAAUAGAUUACUCUAGUUUGUUCAAGGGAUUGGAUAGAACUAAAAUAGAAAAGAUUAAUGAAUUGAUUGAUGCCUUGAAUGAAAAGGACAGACUCUUAGAAAAACAAGAGGAUCUUUUAUAUGAAGAGCAUGACAAAUUUGUAGAGGCACAAAAAUCUUAUGCUUUAGAAGUUAAAAGAAAUGAAGUGCUUUCUGGUGAAUUAUCUUCUUGCCAUGAAACCAUUGCUACUUUAAAAGGUGUUAAUAAGGAUUUAAAUGCUAAACUAGAAGUGGCUAGUAAAUCUAACUCUUGUGUAGAACAUGUUAUGGUUUGCACUAGGUGUAAAGAUUUUAAUGUUGAUGCUUGUAGUGAACACCUAGUUUCAAUUUCUAAAUUGAAUGAUGAAGUGGCUAGUCUUAAUGCCCAACUUAAGACUAGCAAGAGUAAUUUUGAUAAACUAAAAUUUGCUAGGGAUGCCUACACGAUUGGUAGACACCCCUCAAUUAAGGAUGGACUUGGCUUCAAGAGGGAAGCCAAGAACUUAACAAGUCAUAAGGCUCCCAUCUCCGCAAAGGAGAAAGGGAAGGCCCCUAUGGCAAGUAAUGCUAAAAAGAACCAUGCUUAUAUGUACCAUGAUAGAAGACAAACUAGAAAUGCGUAUAGGAGUUAUAAUGCUUAUGAUGAAUUUGAUUCUCAUGACAUGUUUGUUUCUAGUUCUUCCUAUGUGCAUGAUAGACAUAUUGGUAGAAGGAAUGUUAUUCAUAAUAUGCCUAGGAGAAAUGUUGUUAAUAUUCCUAGGAAAGUUAAUGAACCUUCUACAAUAUAUCAUGCUUUGAAUGCUUCCUUUGCAAUUUGUAGAAAGGAUAGAAAGGUGAUUGCUAGGAAAUUAGGGGCAAAAUGCAAGGGUGAUAAAACUUGCAUUUGGGUCCCUAAGACAAUUGUAACUAACCUUGUAGGACCCAACAAGAGUUGGGUACCUAAGUCCCAAGCCUAAAUUUGCCUUGCAGGUUUAUGCAUCCGGGGGUUCAAGCUGGAUUAUCGACAGCGGAUGCACAAACCAUAUGACGGGGGAGAAGAAGAUGUUCACCUCCUACGUCAAGAAUAAAGAUUCCCAAGAUUCAAUAAUAUUCGGUGAUGGGAAUCAAGGCAAGGUAAAAGGGUUAGGUAAAAUUGCAAUCUCAAAUGAGCACUCUAUAUCUAAUGUGUUUUUAGUAGAGUCUCUUGGAUAUAAUUUGCUAUCUGUUAGUCAAUUAUGCAAUAUGGGAUAUAAUUGUGUUUUUACAAAUGUAGAUGUGUCUGUCUUUAGAAGAAGUGAUGGUUCACUAGCUUUUAAGGGUGUAUUAGACGGCAAACUUUACUUAGUUGAUUUUGCAAAAGAGGAGGCCGGUCUAGAUGCAUGCUUAAUAGCUAAGACUAGCAUGGGCUGGCUGUGGCAUCGCCGCUUAGCACAUGUGGGGAUGAAGAACCUUCACAAGCUUCUAAAGGGAGAACACGUGAUAGGUUUGACUAACGUGCAAUUUGAAAAAGAUAGACCUUGUGCAGCUUGUCAAGCAGGUAAACAAGUGGGAGGAGCACAUCACAGCAAGAAUGUGAUGACCACUUCAAGACCUCUGGAGCUGCUGCAUAUGGACCUCUUCGGACCCGUCGCCUAUCUGAGUAUAGGAGGAAGUAAGUAUGGUCUAGUUAUCGUUGAUGACUUUUCCCGCUUCACUUGGGUGUUCUUUUUGCAGGAUAAGACUGAAACCCAAGGGACCCUCAAGCGCUUCCUCAGGAGAGCUCAAAAUGAGUUUGAGCUCAAGGUGAAGAAGAUAAGGAGCGACAACGGGUCCGAGUUCAAGAACCUUCAAGUGGAGGAGUUCCUUGAGGAGGAAGGGAUCAAGCACGAGUUCUCCGCUCCCUACACACCACAGCAAAAUGGUGUGGUAGAGAGGAAGAACAGGACGCUCAUCGAUAUGGCGAGGACGAUGCUUGGAGAAUUCAAGACCCCCGAGCGAUUUUGGUCGGAAGCCGUGAACACGGCUUGCCACGCCAUCAACAGGGUCUACCUUCAUCGCCUCCUCAAGAAGACUUCGUAUGAGCUACUAACCAGUAACAAACCCAAUGUAUCUUACUUUCGUGUAUUUGGGAGCAAGUGCUACAUUCUAGUAAAGAAGGGUAGAAAUUCUAAGUUUGCUCCCAAAGCUGUAGAAGGGUUUUUGUUAGGUUAUGACUCAAAUACAAAGGCGUAUAGAGUCUUCAACAAAUCAUCGGGUUUGGUUGAAGUCUCUAGCGACGUUGUAUUUGAUGAGACUAAUGGCUCUCCAAGAGAGCAAGUUGUUGAUUGUGAUGAUGUAGAUGAAGAAGAUGUUCCGACGGCCGCUAUACGAACCAUGGCGAUUGGAGAAGUGCGGCCACAGGAACAACAUGAAUGAGAUCAACCUUCUUCCUCAACAAUGAUGCAUCCCCCAACUCAAAACGAUGAACAGGUUCAUCAAGAGGAGUGUGAUCAAGGGGGAGCACAAGAUGAUCACGUGAUGGAGGAAGAAGCGCAACCGGCACCUCCGACCCAAGUUCGAGCGAUGAUUCAAAGGGAUCAUCCCGUCGAUCAAAUUCUGGGUGAUAUUAGCAAGGGAGUAACUACUCGAUCUCGAUUAGUUAAUUUUUGUGAGCAUUACUCCUUUGUCUCUUCUAUUGAGCCUUUCAGGGUAGAAGAGGCCUUGCUAGAUCCGGACUGGGUGUUGGCCAUGCAGGAGGAACUCAACAACUUCAAGCGCAAUGAAGUUUGGACACUGGUGCCUCGUCCCAAGCAAAAUGUUGUGGGAACCAAGUGGGUGUUCCGCAACAAACAGGACGAGCACGGGGUGGUGACGAGGAACAAGGCUCGACUUGUGGCAAAAGGUUAUGCCCAAGUCGCAGGUUUGGACUUUGAGGAGACGUUUGCUCCUGUGGCUAGGCUAGAAUCAAUUCGUAUCUUGCUAGCAUAUGCCGCUCACCAUUCUUUCAGGUUGUACCAAAUGGAUGUGAAGAGCGCUUUCCUCAACGGGCCAAUCAAGGAGGAGGUGUACGUGGAGCAACCCCCUGGCUUCGAGGAUGAACGGUACCCCGACCACGUGUGUAAGCUCUCUAAGGCGCUCUAUGGACUUAAGCAAGCCCCAAGAGCAUGGUAUGAAUGCCUUAGAGACUUUCUAAUUGUUAAUGCUUUCAAGGUUGGGAAAGCCGAUCCAACUCUUUUCACUAAGACUUGCGAUGGUGAUCUCUUUGUGUGCCAAAUUUAUGUCGAUGACAUAAUAUUUGGUUCUACUAACCAAAAGUCUUGUGAAGAGUUUAGCAGGGUGAUGACGCAGAAAUUCGAGAUGUCGAUGAUGGGCGAAUUGAACUACUUCCUUGGGUUCCAAGUGAAGCAACUCAAGGACGGCACCUUCAUCUCCCAAACGAAGUACACGCAAGAUCUGCUAAAGCGGUUUGGGAUGAAGGACGCCAAGCCCGCAAAGACUCCGAUGGGGACCGACGGACACACCGACCUCAAUAAAGGAGGUAAGUCCGUUGAUCAAAAAGCAUACCGGUCAAUGAUAGGGUCUUUACUUUAUCUAUGUGCUAGUAGACCGGACAUUAUGCUUAGCGUAUGCAUGUGUGCUAGAUUUCAAUCCGAUCCUAAGGAGUGUCACUUAGUGGCGGUGAAGCGAAUUCUUAGAUAUUUGGUUGCUACGCCUUGCUUCGGGCUCUGGUAUCCAAAGGGGUCUACCUUUGACUUGGUUGGAUACUCAGACUCCGACUAUGCUGGAUGUAAGGUCGAUAGGAAGAGUACAUCGGGGACGUGCCAAUUCUUAGGAAGGUCCCUGGUGUCAUGGAACUCUAAGAAACAAACCUUCGUUGCCCUAUCCACCGCUGAGGCCGAGUACGUUGUCGCAGGACAGUGUUGCGCGCAACUACUUUGGAUGAGGCAAACCCUCAGGGACUUUGGCUACAAUCUGAGCAAAGUCCCACUCCUAUGUGACAAUGAGAGUGCUAUCCGCAUGGCGGAAAAUCCUGUUGAGCACAGCCGCACAAAGCACAUAGACAUCCGGCAUCACUUUCUGAGAGACCACCAGCAAAAGGGGGAUAUCGAAGUGUUUCAUGUUAGCACCGAGAACCAGCUAGCCGAUAUCUUUACCAAGCCUCUAGAUGAGAAGACCUUUUGCAGGCUGCGUAGUGAGCUAAAUGUCUUAGAUUCGCGGAACUUGGAUUGAAUUGUAGCAUACAUGUGUUUAUGCCUUUGAUCAUGUUCAUUCUGCAUUUUGUUGCUUAUAGUGGUGCUCAAGUUGUACAAACACUCCCUGGACCUCACAAGUCCGUUGCAAAGUGAUGCACACGUUUAGGGGGAGAUGUGUUACAACUUGACCCUUUGAGACUAACCAUGUGCUUGAGUUUGAUGAUUUAGUCUCGAAGGAGGAUUGAAAGGGAAAAGGUGGACUUGGACCAUGAAAGACUUCCACUGCACUCCGAUGAGAGGGUAACUUAUUCCAAGUUCAUCUCAUGAACUCUUAUUGCCAUUUGAUCUUAAUUGAAGACGUUGGUGAGGCAAUGGGGUUAUAGGGCCAAGAUUGAUCCCGUCUUGGUGCUUGAUGCCAAAGGGGGGGAAAAUAAAGGCCAAAGCAAUAAAUGGAUCAGCUACCACUUGAGAAACUUUGAAAACAGUAGGAUAGAGCUCUUGGUUUGUCAAAACUCUUGCAUUGUCUCUUUUGUCAAAAGUUGGCUUCUUGUGGGAAGAAGUGUUGAGUAUGGGAAAUAGGGGGGGGUUUUGAAAUCUUUGAUCCAUCUCUUUUGAAAUGACUCUCUUUAUGCUUCAACAUGUGUGUUUGACUUAGAGAUAGAGAUUUGAGUUUGAUUUGCAAAAACAAACCAAGUGGUGGCAAAGGAUGAUCCAUAUAUGCCAAAAUUGAAUCAAAAUAACUUUGAGUUUUUAUUUGAGGUGAUAUUGCACUUGUUCUAGUUGCUUUAUGUUGUGUUGGCAUAAAUCACCAAAAAGGGGGAGAUUGAAAGGGAAAUGUGCCCUUGGGCCAUUUCUAAGUAUUUUGGUGAUUGAGUGUCAACACAAGUGCUUAAAAGUGAAUCUAUAGCCAUGGGUGAACAAAGUGCAAAUCAAGAGCAAAGGUAUGUUUCUAAGUCUUGGUACAUUGGUUUUGUGUACUAAUAUACUUGUCUAAGUAUCAGAAACAGAAAGAAGAAGAAAAGAGAAGAGUUGGCUGUGUACAGCCAAGAGGCUGUUUCGGUCUGGGGCACCGGACUGUCCGGUGGUGCACCGGACAGUGUCCGGUGCGCCAGGCUGCCUCGGCGCGAAGUAGCCGCUCUCGGGAAUUCGCCGACGGCGUACGGCUAAAAUUCACCGGACUGUCCGGUGUGCACCGGACUGUCCGGUGAGCCAACGGUCGGCCGGGCCAACGGUCGGCCGCGCGAUCUACGCGGGACACGUGGCCGAGCCAACGGUCGGAAGGGGGCACCGGACUGUCCGGUGUGCACCGGACUGUCCGGUGUGCACCGGACAUGUCCGGUGCGCCAACGGCUCCCGCAUCUGCAACGGUCGGCUUCGUCAUUUAAGGAAGGAAAUCGGGCACCGGACAGUGUCCGGUGUGCACCGGACUGUCCGGUGCACCCGACGACAGAAGGCAAGAUUGGCCUUCCAGAUUUGUUCUCAACGACUCCUAGCUGCCUUGGGGCUAUAAAAGGGACCCCUAGGCGCAUGGAGGAGACGACCAAGCAACCUUAGAGCACUCUUGAUCAUCCACACUCAGUCUUUGCGCAUUUGUUUGUCAUUCUAAGUGAUUCGAGCUUCGUUCUAGUGAGAACCUUGAGAUAGUCUUUGAGCUCGAUUCUCGGCCGUGUGUGUGCGCAUUUUGCUAUGGAUUUGUGUGUGUUGCUUCCCUUCCUUACUCCGUGAUUCUUUGUGAACAUCAAAAGUGUAAGGGCGAGAGGCUCCAAGUUGUGGAGAUUCCUCGCGAACGGGAUAAGAAAAGAAAAGCAUAACACUGUGGUAUUCAAGUUGAUCAUUGGAUCACUUGAGAGGAGUUGAGUAAAACUCUCGUCCGUUGGGACGCCACAACGUGGAGUAGGCAAGUUUUGUACUUGGCCGAACCACGGGAUAAAUCAUUGUGUCUUCUCUGUGUUGAAUUCUUUGUGAUUAUCGUAUUGUGCAAGACCUUCUCUCUAGCCACUUGGCGACUAUUGUGCUAACACUUAACAAGUUUUUGUGGCUAUAAGUUUAAGUUUCACAGGAUCACCUAUUCACCCCCCCUCUAGGUGCUCUCAAAGGAGAAGAAGAAGGACUCCUCCAAAGGGAAGGAGAAGAAAUCUUCUUCACACAAAGAGAAGAAGGAGAAGUCUUCCUCCCACAAGCCGCAACGGAGUGGGGACAAGAAAAAGAUGAGGAAAGUGGUCUACUACGAGACCGACUCUUCAUCAACAUCCACCUCCGGCUCCGACGCGGCUUCCGUCACUUCUAAGCGCCAAGAGCGCAAGAAGUAUAGUAAGAUCCCCCUACGCUAUCCUCGCAUUUCUAGACAUACACCUUUACUUUCCGUCCCAUUAGGAAAACCACCAACAUUUGAUGGUGAAGAUUACGCUAGGUGGAGUGAUUUAAUGCGAUUUCAUCUAACCUCACUCCACAAAAGUAUAUGGGAUGUUGUUGAGUUUGGUGCACAGGUACCAUCCGUAGGGGAUAAAGAUUAUGAUGAGGACGAGGUUGCCCAAAUCGAGCACUUCAACUCUCAAGCAACAACAAUACUCCUCGCUUCUCUAAGUAGAGAGGAGUAUAACAAAGUGCAAGGGUUGAAGAGCGCCAAGGAGGUUUGGGAUGUGCUCAAAACCGCACACGAAGGAGAUGAGCUCACAAAGAUCACCAAGCGGGAGACGAUCGAGGGGGAGCUCGGUCGGUUCCGGCUUCGCAAAGGGGAGGAGCCACAAAACAUGUACAACCGGCUCAAAACUUUGGUGAAUCAAGUGCGCAACCUCGGGAGCAAGAAAUGGGAUGACCACGAAAUGGUUAAGGUUAUUUUAAGAUCACUUAUUUUUCUUAACCCUACUCAAGUUCAAUUAAUUUGUGGCAAUCCUAGAUAUACACUAAUGACUCCCGAGGAAGUGAUCGGGAAUUUUGUAAGUUUUGAGUGCAUGAUCGAAGGCUCGAGGAAGAUCAACGAGCUUGAUGAUCCCUCCACGUCCGAAGCUCAACCGGUUGCAUUCAAGGCAACGGAGGAGAAGAAGGAGGAGUCUACACCAAGUAGGCAACCAAUCGACGCCUCCAAGCUCGACAAUGAGGAAAUGGCGCUCGUCAUCAAGAGCUUCCGCCAAAUCCUCAAACAAAGGAGGGGGAAAGACUACAAGCCCCGCUCCAAGAAGGUUUGCUACAAAUGUGGUAAGCCCGAUCAUUUUAUUGCUAAAUGUCCUAUAUCUAGUGACAGUGACCGGGGCAACGACAAGAAAGGGAGAAGAAAGGAGAAGAAGAAAUACUACAAGAAGAGGGGCGGCGAUGCCCAUGUUUGUCAGGAGUGGGAUUCCGACGAAAGCUCUAGCGACUCCUCCUCCGAUGAGGACGCCGCCAACAUCGCCGUCACCAAGGGACUUCUCUUUCCCAACGUCGGCCACAAGUGCCUAAUGGCAAAGGACGGCAAAAAGAAGAAGGUUAAAUCUAAAUCCUCCACUAGAUAUGAAUCAUCUAGUGAUGAAAAUGUUAGUGAUGAGGAAGAAAACUUGCGCACUCUUUUUGCCAACCUCAACAUGCAACAAAAAGAGAAACUUAAUGAAUUGAUUAGUGCCAUUCAUGAAAAGGAUGAUCUCUUGGACACCCAAGAGGACUUCCUUAUUAAAGAAAAUAAGAAGCAUGUUAAAGUUAAAAAUGCUUAUGCUCUAGAAGUAGAAAAAUGUGAAAAAUUGUCUAGUGAGCUAAGCACUUGCCAUGAGACUAUAGACAACCUUAGAAAUGAGAAUUCUAAUUUAUUAGCUAAGGUUGAUUCUAUUGCUUGUAAUGUUUCAAUUCCCAAUCUUAGAAAUGAUAAUGAUGAUAUGCUUGCUAAGAUUGAAGAAUUGAACUUAUCUCUUGUUAGCCUUAGGAAUGAAAAUGAGAAAUUAAUAGCCAAGGCUAAAGAUUUUGAUGUUUGCAAUGCUACCAUUUCCGACCUUAGAACUAAGAAUGAUAUAUUGCAUGCUAAGGUUGUAGAAUUAAAAUCUUGCAAACCUUCUACAUCUACUGUUGAGCACACUUCUAUUUGCACUAGAUGUAGAGAUAUUGAUGUUAAUACUAUUCAUGAUCACAUGACUUUAAUUAAACAACAAAAUGAUCAUAUAGCAAAACUAGAUGCAAAAAUUGCCAAGCAUAACUUAGAAAAUGAAAAAUUUAAAUUUGCUAGAAGUAUGCUCUAUAAUGGGAGAUGCCCUGGCAUCAAGGAUGGCAUUGGCUUCCAAAGGGGAGACAAUGUCAAACUUAAUGCCCCUCCUAAAAGAUUGUUAAAUUUUGUAAAGGGCAAGACUCCCAUGCCUCAGGAUAACGAGGGUUAUAUUUUAUACCCUGCCGGUUAUCCCGAGAGCAAGAUUAGGAGAAUUCACUCUAGGAAGUCUCACUCUGGUCCUAACCAUGCUUUUAUGUAUAAGGGUGAGACAUCUAGCUCUAGGCAACCAACCUGUGCUAAGUUGCCUAAGAAAAGAACUCCUAAUGCAUCAAAUGAUCAUGACAUUUCAUUCAAAACUUUUGAUGCAUCAUAUGUGUUGACUAACAAAUCCGGCAAAGUAGUUGCCAAAUAUGUUAAGGGCAAGCACAAGGGGUCAAAGACUUGUGUUUGGGUACCCAAAGUUCUUGUGUCUAAUGCCAAAGGACCCAAAACCAUUUGGGUACCUAAAGUCAAGAACUAAACUUGUUUUGUAGGUUUAUGCAUCCGGGGGCUCAAGUUGGAUACUCGACAGCGGGUGCACAAACCAUAUGACAGGGGAGAAGAAGAUGUUCUCCUACGAGAAAAACCAAGAUCCCCAACGAGCCAUCACAUUCGGUGAUGGAAAUCAAGGUUUGGUCAAAGGUCUUGGUAAAAUAGCUAUAUCUCCUGACCAUUCUAUUUCCAAUGUUUUUCUUGUAGACUCAUUAGAUUACAAUUUGCUUUCUGUUUCUCAAUUAUGCAAAAUGGGCUACAACUGCUUAUUCACUGAUGUAGGUGUCACUGUCUUUAGAAGAAGUGAUGAUUCAAUAGCAUUUAAGGGAGUGUUAGAGGGUCAGCUAUACUUGGUAGAUUUUGAUAGAGCUGAACUCGACACUUGCUUAAUUGCUAAGACUAACAUGGGCUGGCUCUGGCAUCGCCGACUAGCACAUGUUGGGAUGAAGAAUCUUCACAAGCUUCUAAAGGGAGAACACAUUUUAGGACUAACAAAUGUUCAUUUUGAGAAAGACAGGGUUUGUAGCGCAUGCCAAGCAGGAAAGCAAGUUGCAAUUGGUGCCCAUCAUCCACACAAGAACAUCAUGACGACCGACAGGCCGCUUGAACUACUCCACAUGGAUCUAUUCGGCCCGAUUGCUUACAUAAGCAUCGGCGGGAGUAAGUAUUGUCUUGUAAUAGUGGAUGAUUAUUCUCGCUUCACUUGGGUGUUCUUUCUGCAGGAAAAAUCUCAAACCCAAGAAAUCUUAAAGGGAUUCUUAAGACGGGCUCAAAACGAGUUUGGCUUAAGGAUCAAGAAAAUUAGAAGCGACAACGGGACGGAGUUCAAGAACUCUCAAAUCGAAGGCUUCCUUAAGGAGGAGGGCAUCAAGCAUGAGUUCUCCUCUCCCUACACGCCACAACAAAAUGGUGUAGUGGAGAGGAAGAAUCGAACUCUAUUGGACAUGGCAAGGACCAUGCUUGAUGAGUACAAGACUUCGGAUCGGUUUUGGGCCGAGGCAGUCAAUACCGCUUGCUGCGCCAUCAACCGGUUAUAUCUACACCGAAUCCUCAAGAAGACAUCUUAUGAGCUCCUAACCGGUAAAAAGCCCAACAUUUCAUAUUUUAGAGUCUUUGGUAGCAAAUGCUUUAUUCUUGUUAAAAGAGGUAGAAAAUCUAAAUUUGCUCUUAAGACUGUAGAAGGCUUUUUUACUAGGAUAUGAUUCAAACACAAGGGCAUAUAGAGUCUUUAACAAGUCCACUGGACAAGUUGAAGUUUCUUGUGACGUUGUGUUUGAUGAGACUAACAGCUCUCAAGUAGAGCAAGUUGAUCUUGAUGAGAUAGGUAAUGAAGAGGCUCCAUGCAUCGCGCUUAGGAACAUGUCCAUUGGGGAUGUGUGUCCUAAGGAAUCCGAAGAGCCUCCAAAUGCACAAGAUCAACCGUCAUCCUCCACGCAAGCAUCUCCACCAACUCAAAAUGAGGAUGAAGCUCAAGUUGAUGAAGUAGAAGAUCAAGCAAAUGAGCCACCUCAAGAUGACGGCAAUGAUCAAGGGGGAGAUGCAAAUGAUCAAGACAAGGAAUGAAGAACAACGGCCGCCACACCCAAGAGUCCACCAAGCAAUCCAACAAGAUCACCCCGUCGACACCAUCCUCGGCGACAUUCAUAAGGGGGUAACCACUAGAUCUCGAGUUGCACAUUUUUGUGAGCAUUACUCUUUUGUUUCCUCUAUUGAGCCACACAGGGUAGAAGAAGCACUCCAAGAUUCGGAUUGGGUGGUGGCGAUGCAAGAGGAGCUCAACAACUUCACUAGGAAUGAGGUAUGACACUUAGUUCCACGUCCUAACCAAAAUGUUGUAGGAACCAAAUGGGUCUUCCGCAACAAGCAAGAUGAGCAUGGUGUGGUGACAAGGAACAAAGCCCGACUUCUGGCCAAGGGAUACUCCCAAGUCGAAGGUUUGGAUUUCGGUGAAACCUAUGCACCCGUAGCUAGGCUUGAGUCAAUUCGCAUAUUGUUGGCCUAUGCUACUUACCAUGGCUUUAAGCUCUAUCAAAUGGACGUGAAAAGUGCCUUCCUCAAUGGACCAAUCAAGGAAGAGGUCUAUGUUGAGCAACCUCCCGGCUUUGAAGAUAGUGAGUACCCUAACCAUGUUUACAAACUCUCUAAGGCGCUUUAUGGGCUCAAGCAAGCCCCAAGAGCAUGGUAUGAAUGCCUUAGAGAUUUCCUUAUUGCUAAUGGCUUCAAAGUCGGAAAGGCCAAUCCUACUCUAUUCACUAAAACUCUUGAAAAUGACUUGUUCUGUAUGCCAAAUUUAUGUUGAUGAUAUUAUAUUUGGGUCUACUAACGAGUCUACAUGUGAAGAAUUUAGUAGGAUCAUGACACAAAAGUUCGAGAUGUCUAUGAUGGGGGAGUUGAAGUACUUCUUGGGAUUUCAAGUGAAGCAACUCCAAGAGGGCACCUUCAUUAGCCAAACAAAGUAUACUCAAGACAUUCUAAACAAGUUUGGGAUGAAGGAUGCCAAGCCCAUCAAGACACCCAUGGGAACUAAUGGGCAUCUCGACCUCGGCACGGGAGGUAAGUCCGUGGAUCAAAAGGUAUACCGGUCGAUGAUAGGUUCUUUACUCUAUUUAUGUGCAUCUCGACCGGAUAUUAUGCUUUCCGUAUGCAUGUGUGCAAGAUUCCAAGCCGACCCUAAGGAAGCUCACCUUACGGCCGUAAAACGAAUCUUGAGAUAUUUGGCUUAUACUCCUAAGUUUGGGCUUUGGUAUCCUAGGGGAUCCAUUUUUGAUUUGAUUGGUUAUUCGGAUGUCGAUUGGGCGGGGUGUAAAAUCAAUAGGAAGAGCACAUCGGGGACUUGCCAGUUCUUGGGAAGAUCCUUGGUGUCUUGGGCUUCAAAGAAGCAAAAUUCGGUCGCUCUUUCCACCGCCGAAGCCGAGUACAUUGUCGCAGGCCAUUGUUGCGCGCAAUUGCUUUGGAUGAGGCAAACCCUGCGGGACUACGGUUACAAAUUAACCAAAGUCCCUUUGCUAUGUGAUAAUGAGAGUGCAAUCAAGAUGGCGGAUAAUCCCGUCGAGCAUAGCCGCACUAAACACAUAGCCAUUCGGUAUCAUUUUCUUAGGGAUCACCAACAAAAGGGAGAUAUCGAGAUUUCUUACAUUAACACUAAAGAUCAAUUAGCCGAUAUCUUUACCAAGCCUCUUGAUGAACAAACUUUUAACAAACUUAGGCAUGAGCUCAAUAUUCUUGAUUCGCGCAAUUUCUUUUGCUAAAAUUGCACACAUAGCUCUUUUAUAUACCUUUGAUCAUAUCUCUAUCAUAUGCUAUGACUAAUGUGUUUUCAAGUCUAUUUCAAACCAAGUCAUAGGUGUAUUGAAAGGGAAUUGGAGUCUUCGGCGAAGACAAAGGCUUCCACUCCGUAACUCAUCCUUCGUCGUUGCUCCGUACCACUCUCCAUCUUUGGGGGAGAGAGCAAAAGGACUUCGUCUUUGGUAUAAUCUUAACUCAUUUAUUUAUAACCAAAGGGGAAGAAAAGAACAUGAGGGCUCUAAUGAUUCCGUUUUUGGCGAUUCAUGCCAAAGGGGGAGAGAGUAUGAGCCCAAAGCAAAAGGACCGCACCACCACCAAUUUCAAAAACUUAGUUUUUCAGUUUUUCAAAGAGUAUUUUCAAUUGGUAUCCUAUUGUGUUCAAAAGGGGGAGAAAGUAGUAUUUCAAAAAUGAUACAUCAAAACCCUCUUGAACACUAAGAGGAGGAUCUCAUUUAGGGGGAGUUUUGUUUAGUCAAAGGAAAAGCAUUUGAAACAGGGGGAGAAUUUCAAAUCUUGAAAAUGCUUUUCAAAAUCUUAUUCAUUUACCUUUGACUAUUUGCAAAAGAACUUUGAAAAGGAUUUACUAAAUAGUUUGCAAAAACAAAACAUGUGGUGCAAGCAUGGUCCAAAAUGUUAAAAAUAAAGAAACGAUCCAUGCAUAUCUUGUAAGUAUUAAUAUUGGCUCAAUUCCAAGCAACCUUUGCACUUACAUUAUGCAAACUAGUUCAAUUAUGCUUUUCUAUACUUGCUUUGGUUUGUGUUGGCAUCAAUCACCAAAAAGGGGGAUAUUGAAAGGGAAUUAGGCUUACACCUAGUUCCUAAAUAAUUUUGGUGGUUGAAUUGCCCAACACAAAUAAUUGGACUAACUAGUUUGCUCUAAGUGUAUAAGUUAUACAGGUGUAAAAGGUUCACACUUAGCCAAUAAAAAGAUCAAAUAUUGGAUUCAACAAAGGAGCAAAGGGACAACCGAAGGCACCUCUGGUCUGGGGCACCGGACUGUCCGAUGUACACCGGACAGUGUCCGGUGCACCACCGGACAGUGUCCGGUGCACCAGAGGACUCCAACUUAAACUUGCCACCUUCGGGAAUUUCCAGAGGCACUCCGCUAUAAUUCACCGGACUGUCCGGUGUACACCGGACAGUGUCCGGUGCUCCAAGGAAGAGCGGCCUCCGGAACUCGCCAGCCUCGGGAAAACGCAGCGGCUGCUCCGCUAUAAUUCACCGGACAUGUCCGGUGUACACCGGACUGUCCGGUGAACCAGCAGAGCAACGGCUACUUCGAGCCAACGGUCACCUGCAGGCGCAUUCAAUGCGCGCCAGAAGCGCGCAGAAGUCAGGCACGCCCAUACUGGCGCACCGGACAUUGAACAGUACAUGUCCGGUGUGCACCGGACAUCCAGGCGGGCCCAGAAGACAGAAGCUCCAACGGUCGGAAUCUAACGGCAUUGGUGACGUGGCUGGCGCACCAGACUGUCCGGUGCACCAUACGACAGACAGCCUCCACCAACGGUCAUGUUUGGUGGUUGGGGCUAUAAAUAUCCCAACCACCCCACCAUUCAUUGCAUCCAAGUUCUCCAGCUUCCAACCACUAUACAAGAGCUAGCAUUCAUUGCAAAGCACACCAAAAGAGAUCAAAUCCUCUCCCAACUCCACACAAAGCAUUAGUGACUAGAGAGAGUGAUUUGUAGUGUUCAUUUGAGCUCUUGCGCUUGGAUCGCUUCUUUUCCUUGGCAUUCUUUCUUGUGAUCAAACACUCACUUGUAAUUGAGGCAAGAGACACCAAUUGUGUGGUGGUCCUUGCGGGAAGUUUGAUUCCCAAGUGAUUUGAGAAGAGAAGCUCACUCGGUCUGAGGGACCGUUUGAGAGAGGGAAAGGGUUGAAAAAGACCCGGCCUUUGUGGCCUCCUCAACGGGGAGUAGGUUUGCGAGAACCGAACCUCGGUAAAACAAAUCCUUGUGUCUCACCGCUUUACUCGCUUGCGAUUUGUUUUACACCCUCUCGCGGACUCGGUUUUAUUUCUAACGCUAACCCGGCUUGUAGUUGUAUUUAUAUUUGUAAAUUUCAGUUUCGCCCUAUUCACCCCACCCCCCUCUAGGCGACUAUCAUGUAUCUAGAAUUGAAUGCUAGAGCUCUUGUAAGUGGUUGGAAGUUGGAAAACUUGGAUGACUUGAAUGUGGGGUGGUUGGGAGUAUUUAUAACCCCAACCACCAAAAUAGUCGUUUGGUGGAGGCUGUUGUCGCAUGGCGCACCAGACAGUCUGGUGCGCCACCGGACACUGUCCGGUGCGCCAGCCACGUCACCAGGUCGUUGGGUUCCGACCGUUGGAGCUCUGACGUGUGGGCCCGCCUAGCUGUCCGGUGGUGCACCGGACAAGUCCUGUAGACUGUCCGGUGUGCCACCCGCGCGUGCUCUGCUCCUCUACGCGCGCUGGCGCACAUUUAAUGUGUUGCAGUCGACCGUUGGCGCGAAGUAGUCGUUGCUCCGCUGGCUCACCGGACAGUCCGGUGUGCACCGGACAUGUCCGGUGAAUUAUAGCGGAGCGGAUUCCCGAAGCUGGCGAGUUCAGAGUCGCUCUCCUCUGGAGCACCGGACACUGUCCGGUGAAUUAUAGCGAAGCGCCUCUGAAAAUUCCCGAAGAUGCGAAGUUUGGCUUGGAGUCCCCUGGUGCACCGGACACUGUCCGGUGGUGCACCGGACACUGUCCGGUGCACCAGACCAGGGCAGCCUUCGGUUGUCCCUUGCUCUUUUGGUUGAACCCAUUUCUUGGUCUUUUUAUUGGCUAAGUGUGAACCUUUGGCACCUGUAUAACUUAUAGACUAGAGCAAACUAGUUAGUCCAAUUAUUUGUGUUGGGCAAUUCAACCACCAAAAUCAAUUAGGAACUAGGUGUAAGCCUAAUUCCCUUUCAAGACUAACGGCUCUCAAGUAGAGCAAGUUGAUCUUGAUGAGAUAGGUGAUGAAGAGGCUCCGUGCAUCGCGCUAAGGAACAUGUCCAUUGGGGAUGUGUGUCCUAAGGAAUCCGAAGAGCCUCCAAAUGCACAAGACCAACCAUCCUCCUCCACGCAAGCAUCUCCACCAACUCAAAAUGAGGAUGAGGCUCAAGUUGAUGAAGGAGAAGAUCAAAUAGAUGAGCCACCUCAAGAUGAUGGCAAUAAUCAAGGGGGAGAUGCAAAAGAUCAAGUCAAGGAGGAUGAAAAACCAAGACCGGCACACCCAAGAGUCCAGCAAGCAAUCCAACGAGAUCACCCCGUCGACACCAUCCUCGGCGACAUUCAUAAGGGGGCAACCACUAGAUCUCGUGUUGCACAUUUCUGUGAGCAUUACUCUUUUGUUUCCUCUAUUGAGCCACACAAGGUAGAGGAAGCACUACAAGAUUCGGAUUGGGUGGUGGCGAUGCAAGAGGAGCUCAACAACUUCACUAGGAACGAGGUAUGGCAUUUGGUUCCACGUCCUAAUCAAAAUGUUGUAGGAACCAAGUGGGUUUUCCGCAACAAGCAAGACGAGCAUGGUGUGGUGACAAGGAACAAAGUCCGACUUGUGGCCAAGGGAUACUCCCAAGUCGAAGGUUUGGACUUCGGUGAAACCUAUGCACCCGUAGCUAGGCUUGAGUCAAUUCGUAUAUUAUUAGCCUAUGCUACUUACCAUGGCUUCAAGCUUUACCAAAUGGACGUGAAGAGUGCCUUCCUCAAUGGACCGAUCAAGGAAGAAGUCUAUGUUGAGCAACCUCCCGGCUUUGAAGAUAGUGAGUACCCUAACCAUGUGUAUAAACUCUCUAAGGCGCUUUAUGGGCUCAAGCAAGCCCCAAGAGCAUGGUAUGAAUGUCUAAGAGAUUUUCUUAUCACUAAUGGCUUCAAAGUCGAAAAGGCUGAUCCUACUUUAUUUACUAAAACUCUUGACAAUGAUUUGUUUGUAUACCAAAUUUAUGUUGAUGAUACUAUAUUCGGGUCUACUAACGAAUCUACAUGUGAGGAAUUUAGUAGGAUCAUGACACAGAAAUUCGAGAUGUCUAUGAUGGGGGAGUUGAAGUACUUCUUAGGAUUUUAAGUGAAGCAACUCCAAGAGGGCACCUUCAUUAGCCAAACAAAGUAUAUUCAAGACAUUCUAAACAAGUUUGGAAUGAAGGAUGCCAAGCCUAUCAAGACACCCGUGGGAACCAAUGGGCAUCUCGACCUUGACACGGGAGGUAAAUCCGUCGAUCAAAAGGUAUAUCGGUCGAUGAUAGGCUCUUUACUCUAUUUAUGCGCAUCUCGACCGGACAUUAUGCUUUCCGUAUGCAUGUGUGCAAGAUUCCAAGCCGACCCUAAGGAAGCUCACCUUACGGCCGUAAAACGAAUCUUGAGAUAUUUAGUUUAUACUCCUAAGUUUGGGCUUUGGUAUCCUAGGGGAUCCACUUUUGAUUUAAUUGGUUAUUCGGAUGCCGAUUGGGCGGGGUGUAAGAUUAAUAGAAAGAGCACAUCGGGGACUUGCCAGUUCUUGGGAAGAUCCUUGGUGUCUUGGGCUUCAAAGAAGCAAAAUUCCGUAGCUCUUUCUACCACCGAAGCCGAGUAUAUUGCCGCAGGUCAUUGUUGCGCGCAACUACUUUGGAUGAGGCAAACCCUUAGGGACUACGGUUACAAAUUAACCAAAGUUCCUCUUCUAUGUGAUAAUGAGAGUGCAAUCUGCAUGGCGGAUAAUCCCGUUGAGCAUAGCCGCACUAAACACAUAGUCAUUCGGUAUCAUUUCUUAAGGGAUCACCAACAAAAGGGAGAUAUCGAGAUUGCGUAUAUUAACACUAAAGAUCAAUUAGCCGAUAUCUUUACCAAGCCACUUGAUGAACAAACCUUUAACAAACUUAGGCUUGAGCUAAAUAUUCUUGAUUCUAGGAAUUUCUUUUGAUGUUUUGCAUACAUAGCUCAUAAAUAUACCUUUGAUCAUAUCUCUUAUAUGCUAUGACUAAUAUGACUUCAAGUGAAUUUCAAAGCAAGUCAUAGGUGUAUUGAAAGGGAAUUGGAGUCUUCGGCGAAGACAAAGGCUUCCACUCCACUCCAUCAAAAUACAAUCCUUCGCCGUCGCUCCGCAUCACUCUCCAACUUUGGUAUAAUCUUCACUCAUUUAUUUAUGACCAAAGGGAGAGAAAGUAAUUCAAAAGGCUCUAAUGAUUCCGUUUUUGGCGAUUUAUGCCAAAGGGGGAGAGAGCAUGAGCCCAAAGCAAAAGGACCGCAUCACCACCAAUUUCAAAAAUUUUAGUCUUUCAAUUUGUUUUUAAAGAAGUAUUUUCAAAUUGGUAUCUUAUUUGUGAUAUAAUUUCAAAAUUGGUAUACCCUCUUCAAAAUUAACAUCAAAACCCUCUUGAACACUAAGAGGAGGAUUUUAUCAAGGGGGAGUUUUGUUUUAGUCAAAGGAAAAACAUUUCAAACAGGGGGAGAAAAUUUCAAAUCUUGAAAAUGCUUCUCAAAAUCUUAUUCAUUUACCUUUGACUAUUUGCAAAAGGACUUUGAAAAGAAUUUACAAAAGAAUUUGCAAAAACAAAACAAGUGGUGCAAGCGUGGUCCAAAAUGAUGAAAAUAAAGAAACAAUACAUGCACAUCUUAUGAGAAUUUAUAUUGGCUCAAUUCUAAGUAACCUUUGCACUUACAAUUAUGCAAACUAGUUCAAUUAUGCACUUCUAUAUUUGUUUUGGUUUGUGUUGGCAUCAAUCACCAAAAAGGGGGAGAUUGAAAGGGAAUUAGGCUUACACCUAUUUCCUAAUUGAUUUUGGUGGUUGAAUUGCCCAACACAAAUAAUUGGACUAACUAUUUUGCUCUAGUCUAUAAGUUCUACAGGUGCCAAAGGUUCACAAUAAGUCAAUAAAAAGACCAAGAAAAGGGUUCAAACAAGAGAGCAAGGGAUAACCGAAGUGUGCCCUGGUCUGGCGCACCGGACAGUGUCCGGUGCACCAGGGGACUCUAAGCUGAACUCCUCACCUUUGGGAAUUCUCAGAGACGCUACGCUAUAAUUCACCGGACUGUCCGGUGCCCCAAGGAAGAGCGACUCUGAACUCACCAGCUUCGGGAAUCCGCUCCGUAAAAUUCACCGGACUGUCCGGUGAGUCACCGGACAGUGUCCGGUGCACACCGGACUGUCCGGUGAGCCAGCGGAGCAACGGCUACUUCGCGCCAACGGUCGACUGCAACGCAUUAAAUGCGCGCCAGCGCGCGCAGAGGAGCAGAGCACGCGCGGGUGGCACACCGGACAGCCUACAGGGCCUAUCCGGUGCACCACCGGACAGCCAGGCGGGCCCACAAGUCAAAGCUCCAACGGUCGGAACCCAACGGCCGGGUGACGUGGCUGGCGCACCGGACAGUGUCCGGUGGCGCACCGGACUGUCCGGUGCGCCCGUCGACAGCAGCCUCCACCAACGUUCAAGUUUGGUGGUUGGGGCUAUAAAUACCCCCAACCACCCCUACAUUCAAGUCAUCCAAGUUUUCCACCUUCCAACUACUUACAAGAGCUCUAGCAUUCAAUUCUAGACACAACCAAAUAGAUCAAAUCCUCUCCCAACUUCGGCUUGCUCCUCCUUGCAGCCAGUUCAAAAGAAAUGGCAGGAGGAGAUUAAGUUUACAUUUAAUGUUGGCAAAUGUGAUAAGAUAUUCGAUGAAUUACUAAAAAAUGGUAACAUUAAGAUUGAUUAUAUCGUUCCACUUGCCGACGAACUAAAGCAUCGCGCAUAUUGCAAGUGGCACAACUCAUUUUCCCAUGCCACUAAUGAUUGUAAUGUGUUCCGACGACAAAUCCAAUCGGCCAUUAAUGAGGGACGAUUGAAAUUUCAGGAGGACACAGAGCCCUUCCCAAUGAAUAUGAUUGACUUCAAUGGCAAAAAAGUCCUAAUUCGGCCCAGCACAGCCGAUAAGGGCAAAGACAAAGAAGUCAUCAUCGGCAACGCACGGGAGGUCGAUAGAAACAACAAAAUUGCUUGCAGGAAAGUGGUGGCCGAGAAGACUCUUGAUGGAGGGGAGACACUGAAGGUGACCAUCGCAAACUCUGGCACUAGAGGGCAAGUGCAGACAAGGGGACAUGCGCAAGAACCCAUACUACGCAUCGCGGAUGGUCCGGUGCCCAGGCGCGGACGGUCCGUGACAUCGCCAGACGGUCCGGAGCGUUCCAGCAGACGGUCCGGCAACACCGAAGAACCAAGGCGACCUCGUACCUUCAAACCACGACGACCAGAAAUAGGUACAUGAAAAACUAACACGUUCAAAGCAACUGGUCGGUUGGUAAAAUCCAGCCCGACCUUUGAUCAAUUAUUGUCUAAAUAUGUGAAAAAGAAGGCUGGCCCCAGCGACCGGCCACCAAAGCAACCUCGCUUACCCACCCAGGUGCGACGACAGGUUAAGUCGAUUGGAUCACCGCACCAAUCGGAAAGGACGAAAUGUCAUAAUGUUCAAUCAAGACCUAACGUACCUGCAUGGACACCCCCACCACCAUAUCCACCUAUGCCAUAUCCAUACACAUACAUACCUCCACCAUAUGUCCCAAAUCAAAUGUGGGGCAUGCCACCAUACCCAUUUGGGAUGCCACAAUACCCCGCUUGGGGGGCACCCCAAACAUCUGUGUUCAAUAGGUUGACACCUCCAGUACAAGACCGAUUGAGAGCCCCUCAAUCUGGUCCACGAGCACAGGCCCAACAAGAUUGCCGAACAACUCAGCCCCAAAGGCUGACUAAUCCGGCAGGGGGGCAUACAGCUACAACCUCCAACAAUGCGAAAAAAUGAGACGUCAUUAAAAUAGGAACGACAGAUGUCGUCGUACAACAAAGUAACGAAGGGCCGAUGAUUUUUGGUGAAUCGGCCAACACAAACAAAAAAGAAGGUAUAGCUGUCAACAAAACAACCGAUCCAAAAUACUCCAUGCCCUGAUGGUGCCCAUCGAGAUUGACACGAUCGCAAAAGCGAAAAUUACAGCGCCUCAGAGCAAAGGAGAAUCAGGAAAAGGAGGCGGAAAGAAUAUUCAAUGACACGCAUCUGCAGUAUCCGCCACCACAAAAGAGAUGGAGACCAAAGGCCGUUGAGAAAAAUCAAACGGCCACAAAGAUAGAAAAUAAAACGACAACUGUGCAUCUCUCUGCAGGUAUGGUAGACUGUCCGGCUAUAAAGGCCGGAUCAUCUGCACAGGACGCGGACCAUCCGACCCCUGAGGCCGAACCAUCCGCACUACACCAAGACACCUCCGACGACGUACCGACGCCCAUGGAGGAAGACGACCUGCAAGGAGAAGACCUGGUCGACUACGGAGCUACGCCAGAACACUUAGAAAAUUAGGAAAGCAAGGUGACGAAUUGGUCAGGACCAGUAUGACGCUCGGCGGUGUUGGGACUGACAGUUCGAUCAAAGCUAAAGGGAUCACGUCCGUUGAGUCAACCAUCGAGACCAAGGCCACUGCGUACCAUCCUAGUAAGUGGCAAGAUGCCUAAGAAAACCGAUGUGAUCACAUCGAGUUAGUUGCUUUUGGUUCGCUCAGCUCCACCAAAAGGCAGAGGGGCAUAUGUUGAGCACCAUUUUGAGUGCACGGACGGUCCGGCCCUGGGGCCGGACGGUCCGCGCAGGCGCAGAACAGAUUAGGGUUCCGAGUUUCUUGCUAUGUUUGUUGGCGAAAAUCUCGAGAUAAGCUCGAAAAUUAGUUUGUAAAGAGUCCAGCCCCCCUCCUAUAUAAAUAGAGAGGUAUACGGCCGAUCAAUCAUUAUCAAUCGAAUCAAUACAACUUCUAUUUCGCAUUUUAUCCUAGGAGUAGUUCUAGUCUAGUUUAGGUUUAGCCUCUCGAUCCCCAAAUUCUUCGCCUCUCUUCGACUCUACACCGAUUAGAGGAGUCUAGGUCGGCCGGCCCGAGCCUAGACAACCCCUAGAAUCUCUCCUCCCCGACGGGGUCCCUCCCGGGAGCGAGUCCAGGCGCCGCCGGCGAUCUUCCGCUGCCCCUGCGCACGCGCGGACCGUCCGGCCCCAGGGCGCAGACCUUCCGGCCGUCAGGCAGGAAACCUUAGCCCAUGCGCCAGGUCGCGGACCGUCCGGCCCCAGGCCGCGGACCGUCCGCGCCUGACCAAAGAGCACUGUCGCCGGUUUUUCUUGAGUAUUUGGCGCUCCGAAAAAGUGUCAACACGAAGUAACUUCAAAGUUUAGAUCUGCAUAGACAAAAUCGGCUGUGCAUCAUACAGAAUGCGUGGCCCACUAUUUCUUUUCCUUUUAUUACCGGGAAGAACUGAAUCUACACGCAACAUUACAAUGACCAUUUCUGAUACAUCACUACGAGCUUGGGUACAGGGCAUAUGUUGCCUUCAGGUAGUCUAUGAUUUCAGCGCUUUCAAACAUCUGGACUCCCGUGUUAGGAUCUUCGAUGUACGGCGCCUGCCAACACAGUAACACAUACACACACACAUAUACAUGAUGUCGCACACCAGGCAGGCAAAUCAAAAGAAUGUUCAGCGUCAAAUGCAUCAAUAGCGUUAUAGCAAGGCGUCCUACCUGGAAAAGCCCCUUUUUCUUGAAAAAUUCUUGUCGUUUGGGGCUGCCUCGUGCGCAGCUGCAGGAGUAACUUCUAGUUACUAACACUCUUGCAGAGCACAUAUCUCAGUCCAGAAGAACUGAACUAAAGUGAUAAUUCUACUAGGUUAAGUUUAGCAACAGCUUGCAGGCUGUUCUGAAUUCUGAUGCCAUUCAGUGACUUGUGGUUUUAAAGUAUUUUGGAUACCUGUGUAGCAGAUGUGGCAAUUCCAACUCGACAAGUGUCUCUCGUACUAAUUUACAGAAGGGAGAUCCCUGCGAAAACAGACCAUCAGCUAUUCAGAGUCCACGCGACCUGUAUAGUAAGAAGAGAGCUCAUGUGCUGAGGAUUCAGACCUCACAUGCCCAUAUCUCUAUGGGCUGCGGUGGGACUUUUGAAGCAAUGUAGGAAUUUCCCUGUAAACAACGACGUAAUGCCACACGUUUCUGAGCAAACAUCCAGAGGAAAACACGCAGCGAACUUUGUUAUAUUGUUUUUGCACAAUGUACCUUUCCAAUACGACCAAGAGUAGCAAGCCCUGCUGUAAUUGCCUAAAAAAUAUUUAAAAGUUAUCAAAACUGCAAACUGAUCCUUGGCACAAAAUAAAGCAUUAUACCCAUCGGAUAGGCAAAUACUGAAGCAUACUGAAAGCAAAGUGUAAAUAUGUCAAAUAUUCCUCGAUAAUAGUUGGGGGUACUUAGUUCAAACAUAUUUUUAUACAUUUGGACUAAUAUGUACACUGGUUAAAACAUAUAAUAUACUUUUAAAUUGCUGGGUGCUUGUUUACUUACUGUCAACAGACCAAGUGAUAGCAUAAUUGGAACAGUUCCAUCGCCUAAGAAAAACAAGCAUAAGUGAGUGAGGUCAGUAAGGUCAUUAUAGGAAGAAACUUUAAGAGGGCAUACCCAGUGCCAAAAAUGGGGUCUAGGAAGGGGAUAAAACGAUACAAUCCUUUUCACACACAAAUCCAGUGAGGCUCCCACAUGAAUGGGGUCUCGGGGAUAAACCAAGACAAGCCUUUUCCCCCACAAAUAGGGAGGAACAACCUUUAAGAGCAAAAGUGAAAAGGAGAUGUGUUGAAUACACACCAUAUGUAUCAGCUAGAUAUUUUAUGAUGUCAUCGGAUUCAUACAUGGCGACCCCUGUGUUUGGAUCUACCUGCAAUAGAGGUGCAUCUUAUGUAACUGUUAACACUGAAUGAUAGAACUGAUUUGCAUUUCAUUACGCAAUUUAUUUCUUGGGAAAACUCAGAUGACCAACCUUACUUUCCCCGACGAAAAAUUAUGACACACACAUCAAAGCUUAUUUAUCAAAUAUAAUGAGCAAGUUAACCUAUCUUGCCAGGGGCCCACAGGUUAUACUCAGUGGUCAUCAUAUGAGCAAGUUUAUUUAUCAAAUAAAAUUCAUACGCCACAUUUCCAUAUUUAACAUACGUGGAUGUGGAUGAGGAGAUGCUAGCAACCAAAUAUGAUCUGAAGUGCUAACACAAAAUAGAAUAUCAGAAUUUAUGUAGGACGUCUGCAUACCAUGUAAGGGAAUUGUUUCUUUCCACCCAUUUCGAGGACUUUAGGUCGGAAUGUUGGGCCUUUUUGAGGACAGGGGUAAAAUAAUACAUCUAGGUCCAAGACUGUUACCAUCUCUCUGACCUGCAAUUUUUCCAUGGUGAAUACAAACAACAAAAUUGCUCUUGUGCAUGAAGAAUGACAUCUGCAAAACGCAGUUGCAAGAGGCUGGGCAUAUUCACCUUCCGACAAAAUGGACAACUGAAGAUUAGCAAGAAUACACCAACAAUGAAGAGAAGAAACAAGUCAGCAUGAUUACUCAGCAUGGUAUAAACAGGAGGAAGAAGCAAGAUAUGCUGUACCCUUCAAAUUCAUAUAUCUCGAUAGGCUUUUCUGGUCGUUUGCACUGUCCUAUUUUUGAUUCCUCUUUCACCUUCCAAGCUACGAUAAGAAACGCAUGUUUACAAGUAAACUUAACAGAGCUAUGUAUUCCACAAACUGCAUCUUAUUGUGCGAUUCUUUGUGGUUUCCAUGAUAUAGUAGGAGUAAUAAUAGCUGCAAUGGAAGAAUUGUGAAUAAACUCACCUCCAAAUUCCAGUGCAUACUGGUCUGAUGGUAUCUCUGAUGGAGAAACAAGAGAUGGCGAGUACCUGCACAUUGAAGUGACACGUGCAGGUAAGCAGGUGCAGGCUGUAGCCCGUAGGCGAGGUAGACGCCCGGACGGUGAGAGAAGGCGCGGUGCGUACCCGAGGACGAAGACGCCGGUGCCGAGGCGAAGGGGGAUGGCGAGCGAGGCGCCGAGGACGCUGCCCACCUGGCCGGACUUGACCUCGUACCUCUUGGGCUCGGGCGCCUUGAACCCCGGCGGAGGCUUGAACUCGGGCGCCGGCUCAGGCGCGGAGGUGGAGACGGCUGCGGCGGUGGUGUCCGGCUGGGCCCUGACGGCGAGAGAAGCGGCCCUGGCGGCGCGCGCGGUGGCGGUGGCACCCAAGGCGACGGUGCGGCGGGGGAGGAGGAGGGGCGUGCGGUGGUGCAGCGCGGUGGGUGCGGCGGGCGGAGCCAUGGAUUGGAUUCGGCAGCGACGGCGACUCGGGCCGGACGGCGGGGAGCGGCGUGCGAGUUUCUGUGGCGCCUACGCCGCUACGCGGCGAGACGCGGGGACGAAGCGAUUGGUGUACCUGCGGCACUGCUGGCGAGUUAUUUGUGAUUAUAAUCAUUUCGUCGCGCGGCUUAGCAUCUUUGGUAUCCCGCAGCCCGUCAUCGCCAGAUUGGUAUUGCUGUCGUACAUCACUCGCUGGAUUGGGUUUGUUUUCAUACGGCUGACUAAUUUACCCUUCCCUUUUCAUCCAGUCCGGUCGCAACGACGACGAGCCUCGUCGAUCUCCAGCCAUGGAUGAAGACGUCGUGAUAGCGCCUGAGCACGAGGAGCGUGCGCCCGGAGCUCCAGCGUCACCUCGGCCCGCGGCGACAUCUCCAGGGCGGCCGUGACCAGGCUGAGUGCCGCCGCCGCCGCAUCGUCGGUGUCCUGUGUGGCCGCAGUGAGAGCCGCCCGCGCCUCGCCGAGAUACGUGUCGAACACCUGUCGCACAUGGACUUGGUGCCUGGCGGGACGCAAUGGCGCCAUCGUCCCCUUCCUCCGCUCCGGCCAAGAAACGCAUCCAACUGGUUGAGAGGCAACAACAAGGUUCGUGCCUGCAUUGCAUUGCAUUGCUCUCCUCGAUUUCGCCUUUGUAAUCCCGAGAGGAGAGCCCGAGGUGCUACUCUUGUUGUUUCCAUCCACCAGGCGCUCUCACCUUUCGUCUCCAGAUGGCUCUUCUGUUCCGUGUGAUGCGUUAUGUUUGCGUUGUUCGAGGAUGCGGCUUGAUUUAUUUCGUUGUCCUUUUCCUCCUCGUACGGUUUCGCACGUACCUCGGCGAGGCGCGGGCGGCUCUCGCUGCGGCCGCGCAGGACACCGACGACGCGGCGGCGGCGGCGCUCGGCCUAGUCACGGUCGCCCUGGAGAUGACGCCGCGGGCCGAGGCGGUGCUGGAGCUCCGGGCGCGCUCCUCGCGCUCAGGCGCUACCGUGACGUCUUCAUCCAUGGCUGGAGAUCGUAACGUCUUCAUCCAUGGCUGGAGAUCGACGAGGCUCGUCGUCAUUGCGACCGGACUGGGCGAAAAGGAAAGGGUAAAUUAGUCAGCCGUACGAAAACAAAACCAAUCUGGCGAGUGGUGCACGACAGCAAUACCAAUCUGGCGAUAACGAGCUGCGGGAUACUAAAGAGGCGAAGCCGCACGACGAGAUGAUCAUAAUCAAAAUAACUCACUGCUGGCUGGCUGCUGCAAGUGCAAGUGGAGUGGGUGGGCCCGGUCUGUUAAAUGGAGUAACGACCACCGGUGAUAGGUUAGCCAGCCUCUGACAUGUGGGACAACAGACGGCCCACAAACUCCCGCUCGACUGGGGAUCUUUGGGUCGGCCGAAAUCCCUUUCAACAUUCGUGGGCGGGGCGGAUGACCUGGAGCUGGAGGUUCGUGGUAGCGGCCACCGCCGGCCAUGGAGAAGAGAAAUCGGAUUCUCGACCUGCAGGACCUCCUCUCUGACGCGGACUUCGGCCCACUACUCGCCCGACAGCUACUGUCUCCGUUCGUGCGGCGGCCACCUACCUACCUCGUAGCAAGACACCAUAUCUUAAGUGCUGCCAUGGAUUUGCACCUAGAGCUCUACAUUGGUCGCCGGCGCCGCGGCGGAGGCAAGAGUCAGAAGUACCCUCUCCCAUGGGAGGCACCGUGUUCCAGCUGCUCCACUUCUGUCGGCUUGAUGGAGCUCCUGAUGGAUGGAGAGGAGAGGAGCUCGCCCAACAGGUACUCUCACCCUACCAGGCUAUUUUUCUUUUAUGGAAUUUAUAAUUGAUAAUCUAUUUUAUACAUUCAGAAGCAUCAGAUAGCAUGCAUUAUAUGCCAAUGAAAUUUCCUUCGUGGAGAGUUUGAGUAGCUUGUCUCUGAUGCUUAUCAAUGUCCCUUUCUUAUUUUUUUUCUCCUUUUUUAAUUAGAUAGACGUCGCCGUGGGUUAAAUAUCUUGUGUAGUCAUUUGUUAAGGCGAGAAUAUUGUUACUUCUCAGACAUGUAUUAGUAGCUUGUCUCUGAUCUGGUAGUAACAUGAUAACAAUUAUUAAUUCUGAGAAAAAAAAUCGUACGUACAUUAUAACAUUCGGAGUGAAGUCAAUAUUAUGCAUCAGUAAUAUUGUAUAAAAAAUUUAGCCACCUUACUUUGAUGUAUGUUACAUGAUUUAAUCAUGAACAAAUAAAUAAAAAACGGGGAAUGGGAGGUAAUUAUGGUGGUUGAAAGAAAAAAACGAUAUUUUAUGGUGGCGGUGAGGUUAAGAUAGAGGGAAUGGUUGACGAAGAUAUUGAAAUACUGAUUGCUUCCGUUCUUUUAUAAAAAAAUAGAAUAUAUGGUGAGAAAUUUAGAAGAUAGCCUUAGCUUCCGUUCUUUUAUCCGCAGCCACAAGUUUUGCUCUGCGUCUCCCAAGUUCCCGAUCUCGUACCCGCGCGAGUCAGUGCACCCCGUGCGUGAUCAACAGGUCCUUCCUGCUGCCGCGGCCGCCUCCCACUUCGACUGCUCCCGCACCUUUCGUUCACGCAAGCGCAACCUGCUUCUCCCGCUGGCUGUCUCGGAUCGGACCCCCUCCCUCCUGCCACGCAUCCUCCCCGCCCACGAGCCUCCCCCGCAACCGGAUAAUAAGGAAGAGGAAGAGAAACCGUGCGGUGCGGCGAAAGGAACAGUGAAAAAGGAAGAAUCUCUGAUCGAGGUUCCUGUCCGGCUUGCAGAAUCUUGGCGGCCAGCCAUAUAUGGAUGUACUGCUAGGUUCCGGGAGGUUCUUGGCACGACGGCCUCCCCUCGCGCUCGUCCCUCGCUGCUCUCGAGGCUCCCCGGACAAAAGCGGCAGCGACAAAGGUACGCGAUCUCGUAACUGUCACUGUCUAGUUCCUUGUUGCUACCGUAGAACUGUUUGGUGAAAUGCCACUGAGAGAUCCAGCACGGUUUAAGAAGUAGCCCGGUCAUCGCAUCAGGAGUGCAGGACGCAACUGCCUGCUUUCCUCGUCUAGCUUGAUGCGAUCUGUUUAUCUGAUCGCGUAGGGCCUGCUAAGAUUUGAGUUGCCCCUGCUUGCUUGUUUGCUUCAAUUUCAAGAGGCCGGUGCAGGUUUUGGUGGUUGUCUGCGACCUUUAGACAAGAUAUGUAUACGUUAUAGUUUGACGUAAGGAGUUGUAUUAAGCCGAGCGAGAGAAAAAAAAAAUCAAAGAUGCACCAGUUGUGUAGACCGUCCUCAUGUUGGCGUUCAUUUCCCUUUCUGUGUGUCAGAAUGAGAUUUACAGUCCACAAUCCAGUAGUUAGGUCCUGACUAAUCCAAAACUCUCCUUCACUGUAAUUGAAACCUUUUCUUUUUUAAAAAAAUGUCAGCAGUAUGAUGGUUUUGAAGAAGAAACAGUGUUUCUGCUUUCCGGAGAUUUCCACUAUUCUUCGUAUACCUAAUCCCUUUACACUGAAAAAGUUACUACCCGACUUUGAUUCUGUUUAUCCCUACAUUUGCUUUGGUGGAUUUUUGGUGGUGAUGAUUGAUGAAUUUCCAUCUUAAUUAUAGUUGUUUUUAGAAGUCUAUUCUACAUUAUGGUACAAGGUUAUGUAUGAUACUUAGUUUGGUGAUUCUCUUUAAAGCUUCUUACUUCCCUUUUUGAUCAAGAUGACAACGUUCCUGCCUUCCUUUUUAACAAGAAAAAAAAAUUCGCACUACUUAUCUGUCCAUAGUUACUUAGUUUAUUUUGGAUACCAUUAUGACGGUAAAAGUAACCAUCUCUUCUCUUCCUCGUCAGGUGAAACCUCUGCUGAUUGGGACAAGGCAUGGUCUGCCUUCAAGAAGAAAGGGAAGAGGACCCUGUUUUCUGAUUUCUCACCGGACAAGUACGUGACCUGGAACCCACAGCGCAGCGAGUAUCCAUUGUCAGAAGAGGUGGAUCCAAUCAAGAGAACUGAAAGAUCUAACUUGAUGCUGUGGACAAGCCCCCAGUUCACCUUGGUCGGGGCGAUUAUCAUCGUCUUGACAUUGCUAAUCUAUACACUAGUUGUUCCUCCUCCCAAGUAACUGCAGAGGUGACUACUACUAGGGGGGGGGGGGGGGGUGAGCUGUAAACUAGUAGUAUUUCAACUGGGAAGUCUGUAUUGUACAUUUUUUACGUGUGCUAUGGCAACUAUAGCAGUAUUAAUUCAAUUGCGAUCAUGUAGAUACAACACCACUGUCCAUUCCAUUCUGGAGGUUUUCUUCAAUUGUGUGCUAAAUGGCUGCUGUCUGAGUCUUAUAUUCACUUAUUAUAAUGAAGAAAUAUUUGGGGUCAGGUAGAGUUAUAUGUUGGUCGAUAUUCGAUGCUCCUGAUGUGUGUUAGCAACUUACCAAUCCUAUCUUCCACCACAUAACUAUUUCAAACUUCACUCUGUGAACAAUGCAGCGUAAAAUAGUGUUUUGUACGACUACCCACGAUCUGGUGGAGAUAGCCUAAAGCUGUAUUAACCUGUGAAAGCUUGUACUAGUGUUGGGAGUGUUUGGGCUGUGAAAGCUUGUACUAGUGUUGGGAGUGUUUGGGCAAUGGGGAACUGAUGGACACAUGAGAAUCACGUUUCUUAUUACAGAUAAAUUCAGGUCAAUGUCAGAUCAUCGGCUUCAUACAAUAAUAAGCCUUAGGCAUUAGGAUGUGUUUUAACAGAUAAUUGGUCCACGGUGGUGGCCAGGACUUUCUUUCCCUGUGUGAAUGGAAUAGAAGAUGGGGGUACAAUACAUUCUGGGACCUUUUCAAACCUGAGAGACGAGCUCCUUGCUCCCCAAGGAAGUUUGUCACACACACUCUCCCCCAUCGCCGCAUGUCCCCAGCAUCUCAUCUGCUCUGCGGCUAUAAAAGUGAGCAAGCCUUCGCCUCCUGCCGUCACUCACUCUGACAUCAGACAUCAGACACAACACACUCAGCAGACGGCUCUUCAGUCCCUUGAUUCCCGUGCCUUCCUGAGCAAGAAGCCACCCGCGGUGGCGAUGGAGCGGCAGGAGGCGGCGAGGCGGACCCUGCCGCGGCGCGGGCAGAUCAAGCUGCGCAUCUUCGCGAGCCUGUUCCGGUGCUUCAUCACCCCCGAGGCACCCGCGCGCAAGGAAGGCGACAAGAACAGAGAUGGCGGCGGCCGCGGCGUUUCCCCAGGUGGCUGACGCGGCUCGAGCGAUGCAGGAUGUUGUCUCUGAACUCCGGCUUCAGCUCGAGUGCUACGUCUCACUGUAAUAAUAAUAUAAUAGGCUUAGCUGCAGUACAGCCUGCGCAAGAGUGGUUCAAUUUUUCUGAGGAUUUGUUAGCCUGAAUGAUGACACACAAAAAAACAGCCUGUUCAAGUGUAAAUUUCUACUUGUAGAGUUGCAGUUGGGGUCAAGUGAUACCUUGACUUUGUAAAUUCACCUCUCUGAAUAUACUGGUGUAAUCUACUUGUUUCAGCCAAUGCCUUGGCUACCGAGUACCGAGCAGUAUUGACAUCCCUCCCUCCAUUUCAUUUGGUCGAAUUUCCCUGGUAUCCUAAUCAGGAGUAAUAGCUAUUUGAUAGUUGGUUUAUUAACUAACCUGUUCUAAACAUCUUGGCUAAUUUUAACGGCUAAUAAUUAGUUUUAGAAGUUUGGAACAUUCGCUGGUUUAUUUACUAUAGUAAUGAUUUUGUAGGCCUUAGUACUGGUUCACUAUAGUAUUGACAUCGCCUUAGUACUCUUUCGUACUCACGAUUUUAGUUUCUGUCUAAAUGUAUUAACAAGUUAAUCUAUCCUUUAAAAUAGUAUUCUGACUUCCUUUUAAUCAUUUCCAUUUUUUGGUUAUUUCUUACCAGACCAUGCUAUCCCACCUUGGUCACCGACGGGAGCAUCCCGCCGGCCGGCCCGCCUCCCUCCCUCCCCAUUCUCAUCCUCUGCCAGCCAAUCCAAUUAAAGAAGUUACAUCUUAAACAUCAUGGUAUUGCACAUUUCUGAAUAUGGUUCUGCUCAAAAUAAUAAAUAAAUGAUUUCAAGUAACAUUUCCGAAUAUGCAACUUUUCCAAUGUAUUGUUUAUAGCAUUACUAUCCCUAUAGGCCAAUAAUCACAACAAGUAAAAGGUGACUUUAAUUUGUGUCACGUAGUUUUGAGUUGAUCUUUAUAUGUGCGUACUUCUUUGGAACACGGGAAUUUCACAUAAACCAUAUAGGAGUUUUAUAGGAAUUAGUUCAAAACCUAGGAAAAACACAGGAUUUAGGAAAUAAUCCUUCAACCCAAAGGAGCCCUAACCUCGUAGACAUGCUCGGGGAUAGCUUAAUUCUGCAACACCUACUGUCCAAAUGUUUGGCUGAACAUAGUUCUGACAAUAAUGGGCUCUAUAUACAAACAUCAUAUGUGUUAUUGAUGGGAAGAUGAAAAACAGGCUUGACACUUCUUUGCAUUUUUGUUGCAUAAUUUUUUUGAAUCCAUAUUACAGUUAUAAUGAUCCUACUAUCUCCACAGCUGAGCUAGUAAUGGAUGGAUCGAUGUCAGCUGUUAAAACAAUGGUGAUUAUGACAGGUAAAAUCAAGUACCGAAUCUUCCUGCCUUCCCUUAAAUGUGUUUGUGUGUUUCAGAUUUGAUUAAUGCUGACCCUCACUUGGCAUUCUGUGUUGUAGAAUCACACGAAGAAAAUAAUAAUGUGAACCAAGCAAUCUGUAACGCUAGUAAAAAAUGUGAGUGCUCACCUUCUUCACUCCGAAGGACCAAGCUUCACAUCGGUAAUGCAUGUCGGCGCCCGAUUCCACGAGACAUCGGCAAUGACAAGGUUUUGCAUCAAUGGGGUUGUGGGAUCCUGGCAAAGAGUGGUUGGCACUAUGUGCGUACCAAAGCGAGGAGAGGGUGGAGCAAUGCGCAUCAUAAAGCACUGGUGAAGAGCAUGAGGCGAUCGUCACACGAUGGCAAAGCGACGUUGUGUCCCCCCGCCCCCAUGUCAUCAAUGUGGUGAGCAGGUAUAUGCAUGAGUACUAGGGAUGGAAAUUUAAUCCGUGGAUUUGGAUAUCCGGCGGAUAUCCAACCCGACGGAUUAGGAUAUGGAUAUGUUUUUUGACCCGCGGGUUAGACCCGUAUCCGAUCCGAGAUAAAGUGGGCAUGGAUUUGGAUAUUAAAUCUCACCCGUGGAUAAUCCGUUGGAUAUCCGAAAUUAACCAUUAGUUCAUUAUUGAGCCCAGGCGCCAGCCCACCAAAGUAACAUUCAGCGCACCAAAGCACCAAGCCACCAGCCCACCAUAAUCCCUAAUUUCCCAAUCCCCAUCCGACCAUCCCCUAGCCUCAAUCGUUCAAUCCCAGCCUCCCAGUCAUCCUGCAGCCUCAAGCGCAAAAGCCACCCGCGCCGCCUAGGCAACCCGCAACCCGCAAGCCACCGACGUUGCCCCGGCCCCCCGUGCAGACGCAGCUCCAAGCUCUGCCCUGCUCUAAGCGCCGUCGGCCCCCGCGUAGACGCAGCUCUGAAAAUCUGAAAUCCGCCCUGCUCUGAGCUCCACCCUGCGCAGCUGCACUGAGCUCCGCUCUGCUCUGUUGAGACAUGUAGACAUGUAUUUUUGUCAUGUUGAGAAUAUUGCUUGUUGAAGGACAUGUGAAAGGGAAUUAGACUUACACCUAUUUCCUAAUUGAUUUUGGUGGUUGAAUUGCCCAACACAAAUAAUUGGACUAACUAGUUUGCUCUAGUCUAUAAGUUCUACAGGUGCCAAAGGUUCACAAUAAGCCAAUAAAAAGACCAAGAAAAGGGUUCAAACAAGAGAGCAAGGGAUAACCGAAGUGUGCCCUGGUCUGGCGCACCGGACUGUCCGGUGUGCCACCGGAUAGUGUCCGGUGCACCAGGGGACUCCAAGCUGAACUCCUCACCUUCGGGAAUUCUCAGAGGCGCUCCGCUAUAAUUCACCGGACUGUCCGGUGCCCCAAGUAAGAGCGACUCUGAACUCGCCAGCUUCGGGAAUCCGCUCCGCUAAAAUUCACCGGACUGUCCGGUGUGACAGCGGAGCAACGACUACUUCGCGCGCAACGGCCGACUGCAGCGCAUUAAAUGCGCGCCUGCGCGUGCAGAGGAGCAGAGCACGCGCGGGUGGCACACCGGACAGCCUACAGGGCCUGUCCGGUGCACCACCGGACAGCCAGGCGGGCCCACAAGUCAGAGCUCCAACGGUCGGAACCCAACGACCGGGUGACGUGGCUGGCGCACCGGACUGUCCGGUGGCGCACCGGUCUGUCCGGUGCGCCCGUCGACAGCAGCCUCCACCAACUGUCAAGUUUGGUGGUUGGGGCUAUAAAUACCCCAACCACCCCCACAUUCAAGUCAUCCAAGUUUUCCACCUUCCAACUACUUACAAGAGCUCUAGCAUUCAAUUCUAGACACAACCAAAUAGAUCAAAUCCUCUCCCAACUCCACCCAAAGCUCUAGUGAUUAGAGAGAGAGAUUUGUUGUGUUCUUUUGAGCUCUUGCGCUUGGAUUGCUUCUUUCUCAUUCUUUCUUGUGAUCAAAACUCAAUUGUAACCAAGGCAAGAGACACCAAUUGUGUGGUGGUCCUUGCGGGAACUUCGUGUUCCGUUUGAUUGAGAAGAGAAGCUCACUCGGUCCGAGGGACCGUUUGAGAGAGGGAAAGGGUUGAAAGUGACCCGGUCUUUGUGACCACCUCAACGGGGAGUAGGUUUGCGAGAACCGAACCUCGGUAAAACAAAUCCUUGUGUCUCACUUCUUAUUCGCUUACUAUUUGUUUUUGUGCCCUCUCUCGGACUCACAUUUAUUUCUAACGCUAACCCGACUUGUAGUUGUGCUUAAGUUGUUAAAUUUCAGAUUCGUCCUAUUCACCCCCCCUCUAGGCGACUUUCAAUUGGUAUCGGAGCUCGAUGCUUCAUUAGAGCCUAACCGCUCGAAGUGAUGUCGGGAGAUCACGCCAAGAAGCCCGCUACAAGCCACGGGAAGGCUCCAUCGGGAGAGUCCUACAACAAAGGGAAGGGGAAGGAAAAGGAAUCCCCUUCACACAAGUCACGUCGGAGCAUUGACAAGAAAAAGAAGAUGAGGAAGGUGGUCUACUACGAGACCGACUCCUCGUCGCCAUCCACCUCUGGCUCCGACACGCCGUCCGUAACUUCUAAGCGCCAUGAGCGCAAGAAGUUUAGUAAGAUCCCCCUACGCUAUCCUCGCAUUCCUAAACAUGCACCUUUACUUUCUGUCCCAUUAGGCAAACCACCAACAUUUGAUGGUGAAGAUUAUGCUAGGUUGAGUGAUUUGAUGCGAUAUCACCUAACCUCACUCCACAAAAGUAUAUGGGAUGUUAUUGAGUUUGGCGUACAUGUACCAUCCGUAGGGGAUGAAGAUUAUGAUGAGGACGAAGUGGCCCAAAUCCAACACUUCAACUCCCAAGCCACAACUAUACUCCUCGCCUCUCUAAGUCGAGAGGAGUAUAACAAGGUGCAAGGAUUGAAAAGUGCUAAGGAGAUUUGGGACACGCUAAAGACCGCGCACGAAGGAGACGAGGUGACCAAGAUCACCAAGCGGGAGACAAUCGAGGGGGAGCUCGGUCGCUUCCGACUUCGCCAAGGGGAGGAGCCACAAGACAUGUACAACCGGCUCAAAACCUUGGUGAACCAAGUGCGCAACCUCGGGAGCAAAAAAUGGCAUGACCACGAAAUGGUUAAGGUUAUUCUAAGAUCACUUGUUUUCCUUAACCCUACUCAUGUUCAAUUAAUUCGUGGCAAUCCUAGAUAUACACUAAUGACUCCUAAGGAAGUAAUCGGGAAUUUUGUGAGCUUUGAAUUGAUGAUCAAAGGCUCAAAGAAGAUCAACGAGCUUGAUGGCCCCUCCACGUCCGAAGCACAACUGGUCGCAUUCAAAGCGAUGGAGGAAAAGAAGGAGGAGUCUGCAUCAAGUAGACAACCAAUCGACGCCUCAAAGCUCGACAAUGAGGAGAUGGCGCUCAUUGAAAGGGAAUUAGGCUUACAUCUAUUUUUCUAAUUGAUUUUGGUGGUUGAAUUGCCCAACACAAAUAAUUGGACUAACUAGUUUGCUCUAGUCUAUAAGUUAUACAGGUGCCAAAGGUUCACACUUAGCCAACAAAAAGACCAAGAAAUGGGUUCAACAAAGAGAGCAAGGGUUAACAGAAGGCAGCCCUGGUCUGGCGCACCGGACUGUCCGGUGUGCCACCGGACAGUGUCCGGUGCACCAGGGGACUUCAAGCCAAACUCUUCACCUUCGAGAAUUUUCAGAGGCGCUUCACUAUAAUUCACCAGACAUGUCCGAUGCACACCGGACAGUGUCCGGUGCUCCAGGGGAGAGCGACUCUGAACUCGCCAGGUUCGGAUUUCCGCUACGCUAUAAUUCACCGGACAUGUCCGGUGCACACCGGACUGUCCGGUGAGCCAGCGGAGCAACGGCUACUUCGCGCCAACGGUCGUCUGCAAUGCAUUAAAUGCGCGCCAGCGCGCGCAGAGGAGCAGAGCACGCGCGGGUGGCACACCGGACAGUCUACAGGACUUGUCCGGUGCACCACCGGACAACCAGGUGGGCCCACACGUCAGAGCUCCAACGGUCGGAACCCAACGACCAGGUGACGUGGCUGGCGCACCGGACAGUGUCCGGUGGCGCACCGGACUGUCCGGUGCGCCAUGUGACAGCAGCCUCCACCAAACGGCUAGUUUGGUGGUUGGGGUUAUAAAUACCCCCAACCACCCCACAUUCAAGUCAUCCAAGUUUUCCACCUUCCAACCACUUACAAGAGCUAGGCAUUCAAUACAAGACACACCCAAGUGAUCAAAUCCUCUCCCAAUUCCACAAAAGCUUUAGUGUUAAGUGAGAGUGAUUUGUUGUGUUCUUUUGAGCUCUUGCGCUUGGAUUGCUUUCUUUCUCAUUCUUUCUUGAGAUCAAACUCACUUGUAAUUGAGGCAAGAGACACCAAUCGUGUGGUGAUCCUUGUAGGAACUUUGUGUUCCAAGUGAUUGAGAAGAAAAGCUCACUCGGUCCGAGGGACCGUUUGAGAGAGGGAAAGGGUUGAAAGAGACCCGGUCUUUGUGACCACCUCAAUGGGGAGUAGGUUUGCAAGAACCGAACCUCGGUAAAACAAAUCCACGUGUCACACUCUUCAUUCGCUUGCGAUUUGUUUUGCGCCCUCUCUCUCGGACUCGUUUCUAUUAUUAACGCUAACCCGGCUUGUAGUUGUGAUUAAUUUUGUAAAUUUCAGUUUCGCCCUAUUCACUCCCCCCUCUAGGCGACUUUCAAUUGGUAUCAGAGCCCGGUGCUUCAUUAGAGCUUAACCGCUCGAAGUGAUGUCGGGAGAUCACGCCAAAAAGGAGAUGGAGACCGGCGAUAAGCCCACUACAAGCCACGAGAAAGCCUCAUCGGGAGAGUCCCGCAACAAAGGGAAAGGGAAGGAGAAGAAAUCCUCUUCCCACAAGUCGCAUCGGAGUGGCGACAAGAAAAAGAAGAUGAGGAAGGUGGUCUACUACGAGACCGAUACGUCAUCGCCUUCCACCUCCGGCUCCGACGCGCCCUCCGUAACUUCUAAGCGCCAUGAGUGCAAGAAGUUUAGUAAGAUCCCCCUACGCUACCCUCGCAUUCCUAAACAUACUCCAUUACUUUCCGUUCCAUUAGGCAAACCGCCAACCUUUGACGGUGAAGAUUAUGCUAGGUGGAGUGAUUUGAUGAAAUUUCACCUAACCUCACUCCACAAAAGUAUAUGGAAUGUUGUUGAGUUUGGAGCACAGGUACCAUCCGUAGGGGAUGAGGAUUAUGAUGAGGACGAGGUGGCCCAAAUCGAGCACUUCAACUCCCAAGCCACAACUAUACUCCUCGUCUCUCUAAGUCGAGAAGAGUAUAACAAGGUGCAAGGAUUAAAGAGCGCCAAGGAAGUUUGGGACGUGCUCAAGAUCACGCACGAAGGAGAUGAGCUAACCAAGAUCACCAAGCGGGAGACGAUCGAGGGGGAGCUCGGUCGCUUCCGUCUUCUCCAAGGGGAGGAGCCACAAGACAUGUACAACCGGCUCAAAACCUUGGUGAAUCAAGUGCGCAACCUCGGGAGCAAAAAAUGGGAUGACCACGAAAUGGUUAAGGUUAUUCUAAGAUCACUUAUUUUCCUUAACCCUACUCAAGUUCAAUUGAUUCGUGGCAAUCCUAGAUAUACACUAAUGACUCCCGAGGAAGUGAUCGGGAAUUUUGUGAGCUUUGAGUUCAUGAUCAAAGGCUCAAGGAAGAUCAACGAGCUUGAUGGUCCCUCCACGUCCGAAGCACAACCGGUCGCAUUUAAGGCGACGGAGGAGAAGAAGGAGGAGUCUACACCAAGUAGACAACCAAUCGACGCCUCAAAGCUCGCCAAUGAGGAGAUGACGCUCGUCAUCAAGAGCUUCCGCCAAAUCCUCAAGCAAAGGAGGGGGAAGGAUCACAAAUCUCGCUCCAAGAAAGUUUGCUACAAGUGUGGUAAGCCCGGUCACUUUAUUGCAAAAUGUCCUAUUUCUAGUGACAGUGACAGGGGCGACGACAAGAAGGGGAGAAGAAAGGAGAAGAAGAGGUACUACAAGAAGAAGGGCGGCGAUGCCCAUGUUUGUCGCGAGUGGGACUCCGACGAGAGCUCCACCGACUCCUCCUCCGACGAGGACGCCGCAAACAUCGCCGUCACCAAGGGACUUCUCUUCCCAACGUCAGCCACAAGUGCCUCAUGGCAAAGGACGGCAAAAAGAAGAAGGUUAAAUCCAAAUCCUCCACUAGAUAUGAGUCCUCUAGCGAUGAUAAUGCUAGUGAUGAGGAAGAUAAUUUGCGUACUCUUUUUGCUAACCUCAACAUGCAACAAAAGGAAAAACUAAAUGAACUAAUUAGUGAUAUCCAUGAAAAGGAUGAUCUCUUGGACUCUCAAGAGGACUUCCUUAUUAAAGAAAACAAAAAGCAUGUUAAGGUUAAAAAUGCUUACGCUCUAGAAGUAGAAAAAUGUGAAAAACUAUCUAGUGAGCUAAGCACAUGCCAUGAGACUAUAAACAACCUUAGAAAUGAGAAUGCUAAUUUGCUAGCUAAGGUUGAUGCAAAUGUUUGUGAUGUUUCAAUUCCCAAUCUUAGAAAUGAUAAUGAUGAUUUGCUUGCUAAGAUUGAAGAAUUAAACAUGUCUCUUGCUAGCCUUAGAAAUGAAAAUGAAAGAUUGCUUACUAAGGCUAAAGAAUUAGAUGUUUGCAAUGUUACAAUUUCCGAUCUUAGAGAUAAAAAUGAUAUAUUGCGUGCUAAGAUUGUUGAACUUAAUUCUUGCAAACCCUCUACAUCUACCACUGAGCAUGUCACUAUUUGCACUAGAUGUAGAGAUGUUGAUAUUAAUGCUAUUCAUGAUCACAUGGCUUUAAUUAAACAACAAAAUGAUCAUAUAGCUAAACUAGAUGCUAAAAUUACCGAGCAUGAACUAGAAAAUGAAAAUUUUAAAUUUGCUCGUAGUAUGCUUUAUAGUGGGAGACGCCCUGGCAUUAAGGAUGGCAUUGGCUUCCAAAAGGGGGACAAUGUCAAACUUAAUGCCCCUCCUAAGAAAUUAUCCAACUUUGUUAAGGGCAAGGCUCCUAUGCCUCAGGAUAACGAGGGUUACAUUUUAUACCCUGUCGGUUAUCCCGAGAGCAAAAUUAGGAGAAUUCAUUCUAGGAAGUCCCACUCUGGCCCUAACCAUGCUUUUAUGUAUAAGGGUGAGACAUCUAGUUCUAGGCAACCAACCCGUGCUAAGUUGCCUAAGAAGAAAACUUCUAGUGCAUCAAAUGAUCAUGACAUUUCAUUUAAAACUUUUGAUGCAUCAUAUGUGUUAACUAACAAAUCCGGCAAGGUAGUUGCCAAAUAUGUUGGGGCAAGCACAAGGGGUCAAAGACUUGUGUUUGGGUACCCAAAGUUCUUGUGUCUAAUGCCAAAGGACCCAAAACCAUUUGGGUACCUAAAGUCAAGAACUAAACUUGUUUUGUAGGUUUAUGCAUCCGGGGGCUCAAGUUGGAUCAUCGAUAGCGGGUGCACAAACCACAUGACAGGGGAGAAGAAAAUGUUCUCCUCCUAUGAGAAAAACCAAGAUCCCCAACGAGCUAUCACAUUCGGGGAUAGAAACCAAGGUUUGGUCAAAGGAUUGGGUAAAAUUGCUAUAUCUCCUGACCAUUCAAUUUCCAAUGUUUUUCUUGUAGAUUCCCUAGAUUACAAUUUGCUUUCUGUUUCUCAAUUAUGUCAAAUGGGCUACAACUGUCUUUUUACUGAUGUAGGUGUCACUGUCUUUAGAAGAAGUGAUGAUUCAAUAGCAUUUAAGGGAGUGUUAGAGGGUCAGCUAUACUUGAUAGAUUUUGACAGAGCUGAACUCGACACUUGCUUAAUUGAUAAGACUAACAUGGGUUGGCUCUGGCACCGCCGACUAGCCCAUGUUGGAAUGAAGAGUCUUCAUAAGCUUCUAAAGGGAGAGCACAUUUUAGGAUUAACAAACGUUCAUUUUGAGAAAGACAGGGUUUGUAGCGCAUGCCAAGCAGGGAAGCAAGUUGGUGCUCAUCAUCCACACAAGAACAUCAUGACGACUAACAGGCCACUGGAACUCCUACACAUGGAUCUAUUCGGCCUGAUUGCUUACAUAAGUAUCGACGGGAGUAAGUACUGUCUAGUUAUUGUGGAUGAUUAUUCUCGCUUCACUUGGGUAUUCUUUUUGCAGGAAAAAUCUCAUACCCAAGAAACUUUAAAAGGAUUCUUGAGACGGGCUGAAAAUGAGUUCGGCUUAAGGAUCAAGAAAAUCAGAAGCGACAACGGGACGGAGUUCAAGAACUCUCAAAUUGAAGGCUUCCUUGAGGAGGAGGGCAUCAAGCAUGAGUUCUCUUCUCCCUACACACCACAACAAAAUGGUGUAGUGGAGAGGAAGAAUAGAACUCUAUUGGACAUGGCAAGAACCAUGCUUGAUGAGUACAAGACUUCAGAUCGAUUUUGGGCCGAGGCGGUCAACACCGCAUGCUACGCCAUCAACCGAUUGUAUCUACACCGAAUCCUCAAGAAGACAUCAUACGAACUCCUAACCGGUAAAAAGCCCAAUAUUUCAUAUUUUAGAGUCUUUGGUAGCAAAUGCUUUAUUCUUGUUAAAAGAGGUAGAAAAUCUAAAUUUGCUCCUAAGACUGUAGAAGGCUUUUUACUAGGAUAUGAUUCAAACACAAGGGCAUAUAGAGUCUUUAACAAGUCCUCUGGACAAGUUGAAGUUUCUUGUGACGUUGUGUUUGAUGAGACUAACGGCUCUCAAGUAGAGCAAGUUGAUCUUGAUGAGAUAGGUGAUGAAGAGGCUCCGUGCAUCGCGCUAAGGAACAUGUCCAUUGGGGAUGUGUGUCCUAAGGAAUCCGAAGAGCCUCCAAAUGCACAAGAUCAACCAUCCUCCUCCACGCAAGCAUCCCCACCAACUCAAAAUGAGGAUGAGGCUCAAGUUGAUAAAGGAGAAGAUCAAAGAGAUGAGCCACCUCAAGAUGACGACAAUGAUCAAGGGGGAGAUGCAAAUGAUCAAGACAAGGAGGAUAAAGAACCAAGGCCGCCACACCCAAGAGUCCACCAAGCAAUCCAACGAGAUCACCUCGUCGACACCAUCCUCGGUGACAUUUAUAAGGGGGUAACCACUAGAUCUCGUGUUGCACAUUUUUGUGAGCAUUACUCUUUUGUUUCCUCUAUUGAGCCACACAGGGUAGAGGAAGCACUUCAAGAUUCGGAUUGGGUGGUGGCGAUGCAAGAAGAGCUCAACAACUUCACGAGGAAUGAGGUAUGGCAUUUGGUUCCACGUCCUAAUCAAAAUGUUGUAGGAACCAAAUGGGUGUUCCGCAACAAGCAAGAUGAGCAUGGUGUGGUGACAACGAACAAAGCCCGACUUGUGGCCAAAGGAUACUCCCAAGUCGAAGGUUUGGAUUUCGGUGAAACCUAUGCACCCGUAGCUAGGCUUGAGUCAAUUCGCAUAUUAUUAGCCUAUGCUACUUACCAUGGCUUCAAGCUUUAUCAAAUGUACGUGAAGAGUGCCUUCCUUAAUGGACCAAUCAAAGAAGAGGUCUACGUUGAGCAACCUCCCGGCUUUGAAGAUAGUGAGUACCCUAACCAUGUAUAUAAACUCUCCAAGGCGCUUUAUGGGCUCAAGCAAGCCCCAAGAGCAUGGUAUGAAUGCCUUAGAGAUUUUCUUAUCACUAAUGGAUUCAAAGUCGGAAAGGCCGAUCCUACACUCUUUACCAAAACACUUGAAAAUGAUUUGUUUGUAUGCCAAAUUUAUGUUGAUGAUAUUAUAUUUGGGUCUACUAACGAAUCUACAUGUGAAGAGUUUAGUAGGAUCAUGACACAAAAAUUCGAGAUGUCUAUGAUAGGGGAGUUGAAGUAUUUCUUAGGAUUUCAAGUGAAGCAACUCCAAGAGGGCACCUUCCUAAGCCAAACGAAGUAUACUCAAGAUAUUCUAAGCAAGUUUGGGAUGAAGGAUGCCAAACCCAUCAAGACACCCAUGGGAACCAAUGGGCAUCUCGACCUCGACACGGAAGGUAAGUCUGUGGAUCAAAAGGUAUACCGGUCGAUGAUAGGUUCUUUACUCUAUUUAUGUGCAUCUCGACCGGAUAUUAUGCUUUCUGUAUGCAUGUGUGCAAGAUUCCAAGCCGACCCUAAGGAAGCUCACCUUACGGCCAUAAAACGAAUCUUGAGAUAUUUAGUUUAUACUCCUAAGUUUGGGCUUUGGUAUCCUAGGGGAUCCACAUUUGAUUUGAUUGGUUAUUCGGAUGCCGAUUGGGCGGGGUGUAAUAUUAAUAGAAAGAGCACAUCGGGGACUUGCCAGUUCUAAGGAAGAUCCUUGGUGUCUUGGGCUUCAAAGAAGCAAAAUUCCGUAGCUCUUUCUACCACCGAAGCCGAGUAUAUUGCCGCAGGACAUUGUUGCGCGCAACUACUUUGGAUGAGGCAAAGCCUUAGGGACUACAGUUACAAAUUAACCAAAGUUCCUCUUCUAUGUGAUAAUGAGAGUGCAAUUUGCAUGGCGGAUAAUCCCGUUGAGCAUAGCCGCACUAAACACAUAGCCAUUCGGUAUCAUUUCUUAAGGGAUCACCAACAAAAGGGAGAUAUCGAGAUUGCAUACAUUAAUACUAAAGAUCAAUUAGCCGAUAUCUUUACCAAGCCACUUGAUGAACAAACUUUUAACAAACUUAGGCAUGAACUAAAUAUUCUUGAUUCUAGGAAUUUCUUUUGAUAUCUUGCAUGCAUAGCUCAUAAGUAUACCUUUGAUCAUGUCUCUUCUAUAUAUGCUCUGACUAAUGUGUUUUCAAGUAUAUUUCAAACCAAGUCAUAGGUGUAUUGGAAGGGAAUUAGAGUCUUCGGCGAAGACAAAGGCUUCCACUCCGUAACUCAUCCUUCGUCGUCGCUCCGAGCAUCUCUCCGGCUUUGGUAUAAUCUUCACUCAUUUAGUUAUGACCAAAGGGGGAGAAAGUAAUUCUAGGGGCUUAUAUCUCACUCAAGUAUCCGUUUUUGGCGAUUCAUGCCAAAGGGGGAGAAAGUAUUAGCCCAAAGCAAAAGGACCGCACCACCACUAAUUUUAAAAAGAGUUUUUCAAAUGAUAUGAUUUUCAAUUUGGUAUCUCCUUGUGUUCAAAAAGGGGAGAGAGUAGUAUUUUCAAAAUCAAUAUCUUAAAACCCUCUUGAACACUAAGAGGAGAAUUUCAUUAAGGGGGAGUUUUGUUUAAGUCAAAGGAAAAGCAUUCGAAACAGGGGGAGAGAAUUUCAAAUCUUGAAAAUGCUUCGCAAAGUCUUAUUCAUUUACCUUUGACUAUUUGCAAAAGAACUUUGAAAAGGAUUUACAAAAGAAUUUGCAAAAACAAAACAUGUGGUGCAAGCGUGGUCCAAAAUGUUAAAAAUGAAGAAACAAUCCAUGCGUAUCUUAUAAGUAUUAAUAUUGGCUCAAUUCCAAGUAAUCUUUGCACUUACAUUUUGCAAAUUAGUUCAAUUAUACACUUCUAUACUUGCUUUGGUUUGUGUUGGCAUCAAUCACCAAAAAGGGGGAGAUUGAAAGGGAAUUAGGCUUACAUCUAUUUUUCUAAUUGAUUUUGGUGGUUGAAUUGCCCAACACAAAUAAUUGGACUAACUAGUUUGCUCUAGUCAAUAAGUUAUACAGGUGCCAAAGGUUCACACUUAGCCAACAAAAAGACCAAGAAAUGGGUUCAACAAAUAGAGCAAGGGAUAACCGAAGGCAGCCCUGGUCUGGCGCACCGGACUGUCCGGUGCACCAUCGGACAGUGUCCGGUGCACCAGGGGACUUCAAGCCAAACUCUUCACCUUCGGGAAUUUUCAGAGGCGCUUCACUAUAAUUCACCGGACAUGUCCGGUGCACACCGGACAGUGUCCGGUGCUCCAGGGGAGAGCGACUCUGAACUCGCCAGCUUCGGAUUUCCGCUCCGCUAUAAUUCACCGGACAUGUCUGGUGCACACCGGACUGUCCGGUGAGCCAGCGGAGCAACGGCUACUUCGCGCCAACGGUCGUCUGCAACGCAUUAAAUGCGCGCCAGCGCGCGCAGAGGAGCAGAGCACGCGCGGGUGGCACACCGGACAGUCUACAGGACUUGUCCGGUGCACCACCGGACAGCCAGGCGGGCCCACACGUCAGAGCUCCAACGGUCGGAACCCAACGGCCAGGUGACGUGGCUGGCGCACCGGACUGUCCGGUGCGCCAUGCGACAGUAGCCUCCACCAAACGGCUAGUUUGGUGGUUGGGGUUAUAAAUACCCCCAACCACCCCACAUUCAAGUCAUCCAAGUUUUCCACCUUCCAACCACUUACAAGAGCUAGACAUUCAAUACAAGACACACCCAAGUGAUCAAAUCCUCUCCCAAUUCCACAAAAGCUUUAGUGUUAAGUGAGAGUGAUUUGUUGUGUUCUUUUGAGCUCUUGCGCUUGGAUUGCUUUCUUUCUCAUUCUUUCUUGAGAUCAAACUCACUUGUAAUUGAGGCAAGAGACACCAAUCGUGUGGUGAUCCUUAUAGGAACUUUGUGUUCCAAGUGAUUGAGAAGAAAAACUCACUCGGUCUGAGGGACCGUUUGAGAGAGGGAAAGGGUUGAAAGAGACCCGAUCUUUGUGACCACCUCAACGGGGAGUAGGUUUGCAAGAACCGAACCUCGGUAAAACAAAUCCACGUGUCACACUCUUCAUUCGCUUGCAAUUUGUUUUGCGCCCUCUCUCUUGGACUCGUUUCUAUUACUAACGCUAACCCGGCUUGUAGUUGUGAUUAAUUUUGUAAAUUUCAGUUUCGCCCUAUUCACCCCCCUCUAGGCGACUUUCACUCAUCAUCAAGAGCUUCCGCCAAAUCCUCAAACAAAGGAGGGGAAAGAUUACAAGCCCCGCUCCAAGAAAGUUUGCUACAAAUGUGGUAAGCCCGGUCAUUUCAUUGCUAAAUGUCCAUUGUCUAGUGAUAGUGACAGGGGCGACGACAAGAAGGGGAGAAGAAAGGAGAAGAAGAGGUACUACAAGAAGAAGGGCGGCGAUGCCCAUGUUUGCCGGGAGUGGGACUCCGACGAGAGCUCCACCGACUCCUCCGACGAGGACGCCGCCAACAUCGCCGUCACCAAGGGACUCCUCUUCCCCAACGUCGGCCACAAGUGCCUCAUGGCAAAGGACGGCAAAAAGAAGAAGGUAAAAUCAAGAUCCUCCACUAAAUAUGAGACCUCUAGCGAUGAGGAUAAUGCUAGUAAUGAGGAGGAUAACUUGCGCAUCCUUUUUGCCAAUCUAAACAUGCAACAAAAAGAAAAAUUAAAUGAAUUGAUUAGUGCUAUUCAUGAGAAGGAUGAUCUCUUGGACACCCCAGAGGACUUCCUUAUUAAAGAAAACAAAAAGCAUGUUAAGGUUAAAAAUGCUUACACUCUAUAAGUUGAAAAAUGUGAAAAACUAUCUAGUGAGCUAAGCACUUGUCAUGAUAUUAUUACCAACCUUAGAAAUGAGAAUGCAAAUUUAAUUGCUAAGGUUGAUUCGAAUGCUUGUGAUGUUUCAAUUCCCAAUCUUAGAGAUGAUAAUAUUGAUUUGCUUGCUAAGAUUGAAGAAUUGAAUAUCUCUCUUGCUAGCCUUAGAGAUGAAAAUGAAAAAUUGCUUGCUAAGGCUCAAGAAUUAGAUGUUUGCAAUGCUUCCAUUUCCGACCUUAGAAGUAAAAAUGAUAUAUUGCAUGCUAAGGUUGUAGAAUUAAAAUCUUGCAAACCCUCUACAUCUACCGUUAAACAUACUUCUAUUUGUACUAGAUGUAGAGACAUUAAUGUUGAUGCUAUUCAUGACCAUCUAGCUUUAAUUAAGAAACAAAAUGAUCACAUAGCUCAACUUAAUGCUAAAAUCAUUGAGCAUGACUUAGAAAAUGGAAAAUUUAAAUUUGCUAGAGGCAUGCUCUAUAGCGGGAGACGCCCUGGCAUCAAGGAUGGCAUUGGCUUCCAAAAGGGAGACAAUGUCAAACUUAAUGCCCCUCCUCAAAGAUUGUCAAACUUUGUUAAGGGCAAGGCCCCCAUGCCUCAGGAUAACGAGGGUUACAUUUUGUACCCUGCCAGUUAUCCCGAGAACAAAAUUAGGAGAAUUCACUCUAGGAAGUCUCACUCUGGCCCAAAUCAUGCUUUUAUGUAUAAGAGUGAGACAUCUAGCUCUAGGCAAUCAAUCCAUGCUAAAUUGGCUAAGAAGAAAACUCCUAGUGCAUCAAAUGAUCAUAAUAUUUCAUUUAAAACUUUUGAUGCAUCCUAUGUUUUAACUAACAAAUCCGGCAAGGUAGUUGUCAAAUAUGUUGGGGGCAAGCACAAGGGGUCAAAGACUUGUGUUUGGGUACCCAAAGUUCUUGUGUCUAAUGUCAAAGGACCCAAAACCAUUUGGGUACCUGAAGUCAAGAACUAAAUUUGUUUUGUAGGUUUAUGCAUCCGGGGGCUCAAGUUGGAUCAUCGAUAGCGGGUGCACAAACCACAUGACAGGGGAGAAGAAGAUGUUCUCCUCCUACGAGAAAAACCAAGAUCCCCAACGAGCUAUCACAUUCGGGAUGGAAACCAAGGUUUGGUCAAAGGUUUGGGUAAAAUUGCUAUCUCACCUGACCAUUCCAUUUCCAAUGUUUUUUCUUGUAGAUUCUUUAGAUUACAAUUUGCUUUCCGUAUCUCAAUUAUGCAAAAUGGGCUACAACUGUCUUUUCACAGAUGCAGGUGUUACUGUCUUUAGAAGGAGUGAUGAUUCAAUAGCAUUUAAGGGAGUGUUAGAGGGUCAGCUAUACUUAGUAGAUUUUGAUAGAGCUGAACUCGACACUUGCUUAAUUGCUAAGACUAACAUGGACUGGCUCUGGCAUCGCCGACUAGCACAUGUUGGAAUGAAGAAUCUUCACAAACUUCUAAAAGGAGAACACAUUUUGGGACUAACAAAUGUUCAUUUUGAAAAAGACAGGAUUUGUAGUGCAUGCCAAGCAGGGAAGCAAGUUGGUGUUCAUCAUCCACAUAAGAACAUCAUGACGACUGACAGGCCACUCGAGCUCCUACACAUGGACCUAUUCAGCCCGAUAGCUUACAUAAGCAUCGGCGGGAGUAAGUACUGUCUAGUUAUUGUGGAUGAUUAUUCUCGCUUUACUUGGGUGUUCUUUUUGCAGGAAAAAUCUCAUACCCAAGAGACUUUAAAAGGAUUCUUGAGACGAGAUCAAAAUGAGUUCAGCUUAAGGAUCAAGAAAAUUAGAAGCGACAACGGGACGGAGUUCAAGAACUCUCAAAUUGAGGGCUUCCUUGAGGAGGAGGGCAUCAAGCAUGAGUUCUCUUCUCCCUACACGCCACAACAAAAUGGUGUAGUGGAGAGGAAGAAUCAAACUCUAUUGGACAUGGCAAGAACCAUGCUUGAUGAGUACAAGACUUCGGAUCGGUUUUGGGCCGAGGCGGUCAACACCGCUUGCUACGCCAUCAACUGGUUAUAUCUACACUGAAUCCUUAAGAAGACAUCAUAUGGACUCCUAACCGGUAAAAAGCCCAAUAUUUCUUAUUUUAGAGUCUUUGGUAGCAAAUGCUUUAUUCUUGUUAAAAGAGGUAGAAAAUCUAAAUUUGCUCCUAAGACAGUAGAAGGCUUUUUACUAGGAUAUGAUUCAAACACAAGGGCAUAUAGAGUCUUUAACAAGUCCUCAGGACUAGUUGAAGUUUCUUGUGACGUUGUGUUUGAUGAGACUUGAAAGUCGCCUGGAGGGGGGUGAAUAGGGCGAAACUGAAAUUCACAAAAUAAUCAUAACUACAAGCCGGGUUAGCGUUAGAAAUAGAAAUGAGUCCGAGAAAGAGGGCGUAAAACAAAUCGCAAGCGAAUAAAGAGUGUGACACACGGAUUUGUUUUACCGAGGUUCGGUUCUUGCAAACCUACUCCUCGUUGAGGUGUCACAAAGACCAGGUCUCUUUCAACCCUUUCCCUCUCUCAAACGGUCCCUCAGACCGAGUGAGCUUCUCUACUCAAUCACUUGGAACACAAGUUCCUACAAGGAUCACCACACGAUUGGUGUCUCUUGCCUCAAUUACAAGUGAGUUUGAUCUCAAGAAAGAAUGAGAAAGAAAGCAAUCCAAGCGCAAGAGCUCAAAAGACACAAACAAAUCUAUCUCACUUAACACUAAAGCUUUUGUGGAAUUGGGAGAGGAUUUGAUCACUUGGGUGUAUCUAGGAUUGAAUGCUAAGCUCUUGUAAGUGGUUGGAAGUUGGAAAACUUGGAUGACUUGAAUGUGGGUGGUUGGGAGUAUAUAUAACCCCAACCACCAAACUAGCCGUUUGGUGGAGGCGCUGUCGCAUGGCGCACCGGACAGUCCCGGUGCGCCACCGACACUGUCCGGUGCGCCGCCAGUCACCAGGCCGUUGGGUUCCGACCGUUGGAGCUCUGAUGUGUGGGCCCGCCUGGCUGUCCGGUGGUGCACCGGACAAGUCCUGUAGACUGUCCGGUGUGCCACCCGCGCGUGCUCUGCUCCUCUGCGCGCGCUGGCGCGCAUUUAAUGCGUUGCAGUCGACCGUUGGCGCGAAGUAGUCGUUGCUCCGCUGGCUCACGGACAGUCCGGUGUGCACCGGACAUGUCCGGUGAAUUAUAGCGGAGCGGAAUCCGAAGCUGGCGAGUUCAGAGUCGCUCUCCUCUGGAGCACCGGACACUGUCCGGUGGUGCACCGGACAGUCCGGUGAAUUAUAGCGAAGCGCCUCUGAAAAUUCCCGAAGAUGGGAAGUUUGGCUUGAGUCCCUGGUGCACCGGACACCUGUGCCGGCACUGUCGGUGGCACACCGGACAGUCCGGUGCGCCAGACCAGGGCGCCUUCGGUGUCCCUUGCUCUUUUGUUGAACCCAUUUCUUGGUCUUUUUAUUGGCUAAGUGUGAACCUUUGGCACCUGUAUAACUUAUAGACUAGAGCAAACUAGUUAGUCCAAUUAUUUGUGUUGGGCAAUUCAACCACCAAAAUCAAUUAGGAAAUAGGUGUAAGCCUAAUUCCCUUUCAAUCUCCCCCUUUUUGGUGAUUGAUGCCAACACAAACCAAAGCAAGUAUAGAAGUGCAUAAUUGAACUAGUUUGCAAAUGUAAGUGCAAAGGUAACUUGGAAUUGAGCCAAUAUAAAUACUUAUAAGAUAUCGCAUGGAUUGUUUCUUUAUUUUUAACAUUUUGGACCACGCUUGCACCACAUGUUUUGUUUUUGCAAAUUCUUUUGUAAAUCCUUUUCAAAGUUCUUUUGCAAAUAGUCAAAGGUAAAUGAAUAAGAUUUUGCGAAGCAUUUUCAAGAUUUGAAAUUUUCUCCCCCUGUUUCAAAUGCUUUUCCUUUGACUUAAACAAAACUCCCCCUUAAUGAAAUUCUCCUCUUAGUGUUCAAGAGGGUUUUAAGAUAUGAUUUUGAAAAUACUACCUCUCCCCUUUUUGAACAAAGAGAUACCAAAUUGAAAAUCAUACAUUUGAAAAACUUUUUUAAAUUAGUGGUGGUGCGGUCCUUUUGCUUUGGGCUAUUUCUUUCCCCCUUUGGCAUGAAUCGCCAAAAACGGAUACUUGAGUGAGAUAUAAGCCCUUCUAGUUACUUUCUCCCCUUUGGCAAAUAAAAAUGAGUGAAGAUUAUACCAAAGACGGAGAGAUGCUCGGAGCGACGGCGAAGGAUGAGUUACGGAGUGGAAGCCUUUGUCUUCGCCGAAGACUUAAUUCCCUUUCAAUACACCUAUGACUUGGUUUGAAAUUACUUGAAAACACAUUAGUCAUAGCAUAUAAAGAGACAUGAUCAAAGGUAUAUUAUGAGCUAUGCAUGCAAGAAUCAAAAGAAAUUCCUAGAAUCAAGAAUAUUUAGCUCAUGCCUAAGUUUGUUAAAAGUUUGUUCAUCAAGUGGCUUGGUAAAGAUAUCGGCUAAUUGAUCUUUAGUAUUAAUGUAUGCAAUCUCGAUAUCUCCCUUUUNNNNNNNNNNNNNNNNNNNNNNNNNNNNNNNNNNNNNNNNNNNNNNNNNNNNNNNNNNNNNNNNNNNNNNNNNNNNNNNNNNNNNNNNNNNNNNNNNNNNAUCACCAAGCGGGAGACAACGAGGGGAGCCUCGGUCGCUUCCGACUUCGCCAAGGGGAGGAGCCACAAGACAUGUACAACCGGCUUCAAAACCUUGGUGAACCAAGUGCGCAACCUCGGGACAAAAAUGCAUCCACGAAAUGGUUAAGGUUAUUCUAAUCACGUUUCUUAACCCUACUCAGUUCAAUUAAUUCGUGGCAAUCCUAGAUAUACACUAAUGACUCCUAAAGGAAGUAAUCGGGAAUUUUGUGAGCUUUGAAUUGAUGAUCAAAGGCUCAAAGAAGAUCAAACGAGCUUGAUGGCCCCCUCCACGUCCGAAGCACAACUGGUCGCAUUCAAAGCGAUGGAGGAAAAGAAGGAGGAGUCGCAUCAAGUAGACAACCAAUCGACGCCUCAAAGCUCGACAAGAGGAGAUGGCGCUCAUUGAAAGGGAAUUAGGCUUAAUCUAUUUUCUAAUUGAUUUUGGUGGUUGAAUUGCCCAACACAAAUAAUUGGACUAACUAGUUUGCUCUAGUCUAUAAGUUAACAGGUGCCAAAGGUUCACACUAGCCAAAAAAAGACCAAGAAAUGGGUUCAACAAAGAGAGCAAGGGUAACAGAAGCAGCCCUGGUCUGGCGCACCGGACUGUCCGUGUGCCACCGGACAGUGUCCGGUGCACCAGGGACUUCAAGCCAAACUCUCACCUUCGAGAAUUUUCAGAGGCGCUUCACUAUAAUUCACCAGACAUGUCCGAUGCACACCGGACAGUGUCCGUGCUCCAGGGAGAGCGACUCUGAACUCGCCAGGUUCGGGAUUUCCGCUACGCUAUAAUUCACCGGACAUGUCCGGUGCACACCGGACUGUCCGGUGAGCCAGCGGAGCAACGCUACUUCGCGCCAACGGUCGCUGCAAGCAUUAAAUGCGCGCCAGUGCGCGCGCAGAGAGCAGAGCACGCGCGGUGGCACACCGGACAGUCUACAGGACUUGUCCGGUGCACCACCGGACAGCCAGGGGCCCACAGUCAGAGCUCCAACGGUCGGAACCCAACGGCCAGGUGACGUGGCUGGCGCACCGACAGUGUCCGGUGGCGCACCGACUGUCCCGUGCGCCAUGGACAGCAGCCUCCACCAAACGGCUAGUUUGGUGGUUGGGGUAUAAAUACCCCAACCACCCCACAUUCAAGUCAUCCAAGUUUCCACCUUCCAACCACUUACAAGAGCUAGCAUUCAAUACAAACACACCCAAGUGAUCAAAUCCUCUCCCAAUUCCACAAAAGCUUUAGUGUUAAGUGAGAAGUGAUUUGUUGUGUUCUUUUGAGCUCUUUGCGCUUGGAUUGCUUUCUUUCUCAUUCUUUCUUGAGAUCAAACUCACUUUAAUUGAGGCAAGAGACACCAAUCGUGUGGUGAUCCUUGGUGGAACUUUGUGUUCCAAGUGAUUGAGAAGAAAAGCUCACUCGGUCCGAGGGACGUUUGAGAGAGGGAAAGGGUUGAAAGAGACCCGGUCUUGUGACCACCUCAAUGGGGAGUAGGUUUGCAAGAACCGAACCUCGGUAAAUACAAAUCCACGUGUCACACUCUUAUUCGCUUGCGAUUUGUUUGGCCCUCGUCUCUCGACUCGUUUCUAUUAUAACGCUAACCCGCUGUAGUUGUUAUUAAUUUUGUAAAUUUCAGUUUCGCCCUAUUCACUCCCCCCUCUAGGCGACUUUCAAUUGGUAUCAGAGCCCGGUGCUUCAUUAGAGCUUAACCGCUCGAAGUGAUGUCGGGAGAUCACGCCAAAAGGAGAUGGAGACCGGGCGACAAGCCCACUACAAGCCACGAGAAGCCUCAUCGGAAGUCCCGCAACAAAGGGAAAGGGAAGGAGAAGAAACCUCUCCCACAAGUCGCAUCGGAGUGGCGACAAGAAAAAGAAGAUGAGGAAGGUGUCUACUACGAGACCGAUACGUCAUCGCCUUCCACCUCCGGCUCCGACCGCCCUCCGUAACUCUAAGCGCCAUGAGUGCAAGAAGUUUAGUAAGAUCCCCUACGCUACCCCUCGCAUUCCUAAACAUACUCCAUUACUUUCCGUUCCAUUAGGCAAACCGCCAACCUUUGACGGUGAAGAUUAUGCUAGGUGGAGUGAUUUGAUGAAAUUUCACCUAACCUCACUCCACAAAAGUAUAUGGAAUGUUGUUGAGUUUGGAGCACAGGUACCAUCCGUAGGGGAUGAGGAUUAAUGAUGAGGACGAGGUGCCCAAAUCGAGCACUUCAACUCCCAAGCCACAACUAUACUCCUCCUCUCUAAGUCGAGAGAGUAUAACAAGGUGCAAGGAUUAAAGAGCGCCAAGGAAGUUUGGGACGUGCUCAAGAUCACGCACGAAGGAGAUGAGCUAACCAAGAUCACCAAGCGGGAGACGAUCGAGGGGGAGCUCGGUCGCUUCCGUCUUCUCAAGGGGAGGAGCCACAAGACAUGUACAACCGGCUCAAAACCUUGGUGAAUCAAGUGCGCAACCUCGGGAGCAAAAAAUGGGAUGACCACGAAAUGGUUAAGGUUAUUCUAAGAUCACUUAUUUCCUUAACCCUACUCAAGUUCAAUUGAUUCGUGGCAAUCCUAGAUAUACACUAAUGACUCCCGAGGAAGUGAUCGGGAAUUUGUGAGCUUUGAGUCAUGAUCAAAGGCUCAAGGAAGAUCAACGAGCUUGAUGGUCCCUCCACGUCCGAAGCACAACCGGUCGCAUUUAAGGCGACGGAGGAGAAGAAGGAGGAGUCUACACCAAGUAGACAACCAAUCGACGCCUCAAAGCUCGCCAAUGAGGAGAUGACGCUCGUCAAUCAAGAGCUUCCGCCAAAUCCUCAAGCAAAGGAGGGGGAAGGAUCACAAAUCUCGCUCCAAGAAAGUUUGCUACAAGUGUGGUAAGCCCGGUCACUUUAUUGCAAAAUGUCCUAUUUCUAGUGACAGUGACAGGGGCGACGACAAGAAGGGGAGAAGAAAGGAGAAGAAGAGGUACUACAAGAAGAAGGGCGGCGAUGCCCAUGUUUGUCGCGAGUGGGACUCCGACGAGAGCUCCACCGACUCCUCCUCCGACGAGGACGCCGCAAACAUCGCCGUCACCAAGGACUUCUCUUCCCAACGUCAGCCACAAGUGCCUCAUGGCAAAGGACGGCAAAAAGAAGAAGGUUAAAUCCAAAUCCUCCACUAGAUAUGAGUCCUCUAGCGAUGAUAAUGCUAGUGAUGAGGAAGAUAAUUUGCGUACUCUUUUGCUAACCUCAACAUGCAACAAAAGGAAAAACUAAAUGAACUAAUUAGUGAUAUCCAUGAAAAGGAUGAUCUCUUGGACUCUCAAGAGGACUUCCUUAUUAAAGAAAACAAAAAGCAUGUUAAGGUUAAAAAUGCUUACGCUCUAGAAGUAGAAAAAUGUGAAAAACUAUCUAGUGAGCUAAGCACAUGCCAUGAGACUAUAAACAACCUUAGAAAUGAGAAUGCUAAUUUGCUAGCUAAGGUUGAUGCAAAUGUUUGUGAUGUUUCAAUUCCCAAUCUUAGAAAUGAUAAUGAUGAUUUGCUUGCUAAGAUUGAAGAAUUAAACAUGUCUCUUGCUAGCCUUAGAAAUGAAAAUGAAAGAUUGCUUACUAAGGCUAAAGAAUUAGAUGUUUGCAAUGUUACAAUUUCCGAUCUUAGAGAUAAAAAUGAUAUAUUGCGUGCUAAGAUUGUUGAACUUAAUUCUUGCAAACCCUCUACAUCUACCACUGAGCAUGUCACUAUUUGCACUAGAUGUAGAGAUGUUGAUAUUAAUGCUAUUCAUGAUCACAUGGCUUUAAUUAAACAACAAAAUGAUCAUAUAGCUAAACUAGAUGCUAAAAUUACCGAGCAUGAACUAGAAAAUGAAAAUUUUAAAUUUGCUCGUAGUAUGCUUUAUAGUGGGAGACGCCCUGGCAUUAAGGAUGGCAUUGGCUUCCAAAAGGGGGACAAUGUCAAACUUAAUGCCCCUCCUAAGAAAUUAUCCAACUUUGUUAAGGGCAAGGCUCCUAUGCCUCAGGAUAACGAGGGUUACAUUUUAUACCCUGUCGGUUAUCCCGAGAGCAAAAUUAGGAGAAUUCAUUCUAGGAAGUCCCACUCUGGCCCUAACCAUGCUUUUAUGUAUAAGGGUGAGACAUCUAGUUCUAGGCAACCAACCCGUGCUAAGUUGCCUAAGAAGAAAACUUCUAGUGCAUCAAAUGAUCAUGACAUUUCAUUUAAAACUUUUGAUGCAUCAUAUGUGUUAACUAACAAAUCCGGCAAGGUAGUUGCCAAAUAUGUUGGGGCAAGCACAAGGGGUCAAAGACUUGUGUUUGGGUACCCAAAGUUCUUGUGUCUAAUGCCAAAGGACCCAAAACCAUUUGGGUACCUAAAGUCAAGAACUAAACUUGUUUUGUAGGUUUAUGCAUCCGGGGGCUCAAGUUGGAUCAUCGAUAGCGGGUGCACAAACCACAUGACAGGGGAGAAGAAAAUGUUCUCCUCCUAUGAGAAAAACCAAGAUCCCCAACGAGCUAUCACAUUCGGGGAUAGAAACCAAGGUUUGGUCAAAGGAUUGGGUAAAAUUGCUAUAUCUCCUGACCAUUCAAUUUCCAAUGUUUUUCUUGUAGAUUCCCUAGAUUACAAUUUGCUUUCUGUUUCUCAAUUAUGUCAAAUGGGCUACAACUGUCUUUUUACUGAUGUAGGUGUCACUGUCUUUAGAAGAAUGAUGAUUCAAUAGCAUUUAAGGGAGUGUUAGAGGGUCAGCUAUACUUGAUAGAUUUUGACAGAGCUGAACUCGACACUUGCUUAAUUGAUAAGACUAACAUGGGUUGGCUCUGGCACCGCCGACUAGCCCAUGUUGGAAUGAAGAGUCUUCAUAAGCUUCUAAAGGGAGAGCACAUUUUAGGAUUAACAAACGUUCAUUUUGAGAAAGACAGGGUUUGUAGCGCAUGCCAAGCAGGGAAGCAAGUUGGUGCUCAUCAUCCACACAAGAACAUCAUGACGACUAACAGGCCACUGGAACUCCUACACAUGGAUCUAUUCGGCCUGAUUGCUUACAUAAGUAUCGACGGGAGUAAGUACUGUCUAGUUAUUGUGGAUGAUUAUUCUCGCUUCACUUGGGUAUUCUUUUUGCAGGAAAAAUCUCAUACCCAAGAAACUUUAAAAGGAUUCUUGAGACGGGCUGAAAAUGAGUUCGGCUUAAGGAUCAAGAAAAUCAGAAGCGACAACGGGACGGAGUUCAAGAACUCUCAAAUUGAAGGCUUCCUUGAGGAGGAGGGCAUCAAGCAUGAGUUCUCUUCUCCCUACACACCACAACAAAAUGGUGUAGUGGAGAGGAAGAAUAGAACUCUAUUGGACAUGGCAAGAACCAUGCUUGAUGAGUACAAGACUUCAGAUCGAUUUUGGGCCGAGGCGGUCAACACCGCAUGCUACGCCAUCAACCGAUUGUAUCUACACCGAAUCCUCAAGAAGACAUCAUACGAACUCCUAACCGGUAAAAAGCCCAAUAUUUCAUAUUUUAGAGUCUUUGGUAGCAAAUGCUUUAUUCUUGUUAAAAGAGGUAGAAAAUCUAAAUUUGCUCCUAAGACUGUAGAAGGCUUUUUACUAGGAUAUGAUUCAAACACAAGGGCAUAUAGAGUCUUUAACAAGUCCUCUGGACAAGUUGAAGUUUCUUGUGACGUUGUGUUUGAUGAGACUAACGGCUCUCAAGUAGAGCAAGUUGAUCUUGAUGAGAUAGGUGAUGAAGAGGCUCCGUGCAUCGCGCUAAGGAACAUGUCCAUUGGGGAUGUGUGUCCUAAGGAAUCCGAAGAGCCUCCAAAUGCACAAGAUCAACCAUCCUCCUCCACGCAAGCAUCCCCACCAACUCAAAAUGAGGAUGAGGCUCAAGUUGAUAAAGGAGAAGAUCAAAGAGAUGAGCCACCUCAAGAUGACGACAAUGAUCAAGGGGGAGAUGCAAAUGAUCAAGACAAGGAGGAUAAAGAACCAAGGCCGCCACACCCAAGAGUCCACCAAGCAAUCCAACGAGAUCACCUCGUCGACACCAUCCUCGGUGACAUUUAUAAGGGGGUAACCACUAGAUCUCGUGUUGCACAUUUUUGUGAGCAUUACUCUUUUGUUUCCUCUAUUGAGCCACACAGGGUAGAGGAAGCACUUCAAGAUUCGGAUUGGGUGGUGGCGAUGCAAGAAGAGCUCAACAACUUCACGAGGAAUGAGGUAUGGCAUUUGGUUCCACGUCCUAAUCAAAAUGUUGUAGGAACCAAAUGGGUGUUCCGCAACAAGCAAGAUGAGCAUGGUGUGGUGACAACGAACAAAGCCCGACUUGUGGCCAAAGGAUACUCCCAAGUCGAAGGUUUGGAUUUCGGUGAAACCUAUGCACCCGUAGCUAGGCUUGAGUCAAUUCGCAUAUUAUUAGCCUAUGCUACUUACCAUGGCUUCAAGCUUUAUCAAAUGUACGUGAAGAGUGCCUUCCUUAAUGGACCAAUCAAAGAAGAGGUCUACGUUGAGCAACCUCCCGGCUUUGAAGAUAGUGAGUACCCUAACCAUGUAUAUAAACUCUCCAAGGCGCUUUAUGGGCUCAAGCAAGCCCCAAGAGCAUGGUAUGAAUGCCUUAGAGAUUUUCUUAUCACUAAUGGAUUCAAAGUCGGAAAGGCCGAUCCUACACUCUUUACCAAAACACUUGAAAAUGAUUUGUUUGUAUGCCAAAUUUAUGUUGAUGAUAUUAUAUUUGGGUCUACUAACGAAUCUACAUGUGAAGAGUUUAGUAGGAUCAUGACACAAAAAUUCGAGAUGUCUAUGAUAGGGGAGUUGAAGUAUUUCUUAGGAUUUCAAGUGAAGCAACUCCAAGAGGGCACCUUCCUAAGCCAAACGAAGUAUACUCAAGAUAUUCUAAGCAAGUUUGGGAUGAAGGAUGCCAAACCCAUCAAGACACCCAUGGGAACCAAUGGGCAUCUCGACCUCGACACGGAAGGUAAGUCUGUGGAUCAAAAGGUAUACCGGUCGAUGAUAGGUUCUUUACUCUAUUUAUGUGCAUCUCGACCGGAUAUUAUGCUUUCUGUAUGCAUGUGUGCAAGAUUCCAAGCCGACCCUAAGGAAGCUCACCUUACGGCCAUAAAACGAAUCUUGAGAUAUUUAGUUUAUACUCCUAAGUUUGGGCUUUGGUAUCCUAGGGGAUCCACAUUUGAUUUGAUUGGUUAUUCGGAUGCCGAUUGGGCGGGGUGUAAUAUUAAUAGAAAGAGCACAUCGGGGACUUGCCAGUUCUAAGGAAGAUCCUUGGUGUCUUGGGCUUCAAAGAAGCAAAAUUCCGUAGCUCUUUCUACCACCGAAGCCGAGUAUAUUGCCGCAGGACAUUGUUGCGCGCAACUACUUUGGAUGAGGCAAAGCCUUAGGGACUACAGUUACAAAUUAACCAAAGUUCCUCUUCUAUGUGAUAAUGAGAGUGCAAUUUGCAUGGCGGAUAAUCCCGUUGAGCAUAGCCGCACUAAACACAUAGCCAUUCGGUAUCAUUUCUUAAGGGAUCACCAACAAAAGGGAGAUAUCGAGAUUGCAUACAUUAAUACUAAAGAUCAAUUAGCCGAUAUCUUUACCAAGCCACUUGAUGAACAAACUUUUAACAAACUUAGGCAUGAACUAAAUAUUCUUGAUUCUAGGAAUUUCUUUUGAUAUCUUGCAUGCAUAGCUCAUAAGUAUACCUUUGAUCAUGUCUCUUCUAUAUAUGCUCUGACUAAUGUGUUUUCAAGUAUAUUUCAAACCAAGUCAUAGGUGUAUUGGAAGGGAAUUAGAGUCUUCGGCGAAGACAAAGGCUUCCACUCCGUAACUCAUCCUUCGUCGUCGCUCCGAGCAUCUCUCCGGCUUUGGUAUAAUCUUCACUCAUUUAGUUAUGACCAAAGGGGGAGAAAGUAAUUCUAGGGGCUUAUAUCUCACUCAAGUAUCCGUUUUUGGCGAUUCAUGCCAAAGGGGGAGAAAGUAUUAGCCCAAAGCAAAAGGACCGCACCACCACUAAUUUUAAAAAGAGUUUUUCAAAUGAUAUGAUUUUCAAUUUGGUAUCUCCUUGUGUUCAAAAAGGGGAGAGAGUAGUAUUUUCAAAAUCAAUAUCUUAAAACCCUCUUGAACACUAAGAGGAGAAUUUCAUUAAGGGGAGUUUUGUUUAAGUCAAAGGAAAAGCAUUCGAAACAGGGGGAGAGAAUUUCAAAUCUUGAAAAUGCUUCGCAAAGUCUUAUUCAUUUACCUUUGACUAUUUGCAAAAGAACUUUGAAAAGGAUUUACAAAAGAAUUUGCAAAAACAAAACAUGUGGUGCAAGCGUGGUCCAAAAUGUUAAAAAUGAAGAAACAAUCCAUGCGUAUCUUAUAAGUAUUAAUAUUGGCUCAAUUCCAAGUAAUCUUUGCACUUACAUUUUGCAAAUUAGUUCAAUUAUACACUUCUAUACUUGCUUUGGUUUGUGUUGGCAUCAAUCACCAAAAAGGGGGAGAUUGAAAGGGAAUUAGGCUUACAUCUAUUUUUCUAAUUGAUUUUGGUGGUUGAAUUGCCCAACACAAAUAAUUGGACUAACUAGUUUGCUCUAGUCAAUAAGUUAUACAGGUGCCAAAGGUUCACACUUAGCCAACAAAAAGACCAAGAAAUGGGUUCAACAAAUAGAGCAAGGGAUAACCGAAGGCAGCCCUGGUCUGGCGCACCGGACUGUCCGGUGCACCAUCGGACAGUGUCCGGUGCACCAGGGGACUUCAAGCCAAACUCUUCACCUUCGGGAAUUUUCAGAGGCGCUUCACUAUAAUUCACCGGACAUGUCCGGUGCACACCGGACAGUGUCCGGUGCUCCAGGGGAGAGCGACUCUGAACUCGCCAGCUUCGGAUUUCCGCUCCGCUAUAAUUCACCGGACAUGUCUGGUGCACACCGGACUGUCCGGUGAGCCAGCGGAGCAACGGCUACUUCGCGCCAACGGUCGUCUGCAACGCAUUAAAUGCGCGCCAGCGCGCGCAGAGGAGCAGAGCACGCGCGGGUGGCACACCGGACAGUCUACAGGACUUGUCCGGUGCACCACCGGACAGCCAGGCGGGCCCACACGUCAGAGCUCCAACGGUCGGAACCCAACGGCCAGGUGACGUGGCUGGCGCACCGGACUGUCCGGUGCGCCAUGCGACAGUAGCCUCCACCAAACGGCUAGUUUGGUGGUUGGGGUUAUAAAUACCCCCAACCACCCCACAUUCAAGUCAUCCAAGUUUUCCACCUUCCAACCACUUACAAGAGCUAGACAUUCAAUACAAGACACACCCAAGUGAUCAAAUCCUCUCCCAAUUCCACAAAAGCUUUAGUGUUAAGUGAGAGUGAUUUGUUGUGUUCUUUUGAGCUCUUGCGCUUGGAUUGCUUUCUUUCUCAUUCUUUCUUGAGAUCAAACUCACUUGUAAUUGAGGCAAGAGACACCAAUCGUGUGGUGAUCCUUAUAGGAACUUUGUGUUCCAAGUGAUUGAGAAGAAAAACUCACUCGGUCUGAGGGACCGUUUGAGAGAGGGAAAGGGUUGAAAGAGACCCGAUCUUUGUGACCACCUCAACGGGGAGUAGGUUUGCAAGAACCGAACCUCGGUAAAACAAAUCCACGUGUCACACUCUUCAUUCGCUUGCAAUUUGUUUUGCGCCCUCUCUCUUGGACUCGUUUCUAUUACUAACGCUAACCCGGCUUGUAGUUGUGAUUAAUUUUGUAAAUUUCAGUUUCGCCCUAUUCACCCCCCCUCUAGGCGACUUUCACUCAUCAUCAAGAGCUUCCGCCAAAUCCUCAAACAAAGGAGGGGGAAAGAUUACAAGCCCCGCUCCAAGAAAGUUUGCUACAAAUGUGGUAAGCCCGGUCAUUUCAUUGCUAAAUGUCCAUUGUCUAGUGAUAGUGACAGGGGCGACGACAAGAAGGGGAGAAGAAAGGAGAAGAAGAGGUACUACAAGAAGAAGGGCGGCGAUGCCCAUGUUUGCCGGGAGUGGGACUCCGACGAGAGCUCCACCGACUCCUCCGACGAGGACGCCGCCAACAUCGCCGUCACCAAGGGACUCCUCUUCCCCAACGUCGGCCACAAGUGCCUCAUGGCAAAGGACGGCAAAAAGAAGAAGGUAAAAUCAAGAUCCUCCACUAAAUAUGAGACCUCUAGCGAUGAGGAUAAUGCUAGUAAUGAGGAGGAUAACUUGCGCAUCCUUUUUGCCAAUCUAAACAUGCAACAAAAAGAAAAAUUAAAUGAAUUGAUUAGUGCUAUUCAUGAGAAGGAUGAUCUCUUGGACACCCCAGAGGACUUCCUUAUUAAAGAAAACAAAAAGCAUGUUAAGGUUAAAAAUGCUUACACUCUAUAAGUUGAAAAAUGUGAAAAACUAUCUAGUGAGCUAAGCACUUGUCAUGAUAUUAUUACCAACCUUAGAAAUGAGAAUGCAAAUUUAAUUGCUAAGGUUGAUUCGAAUGCUUGUGAUGUUUCAAUUCCCAAUCUUAGAGAUGAUAAUAUUGAUUUGCUUGCUAAGAUUGAAGAAUUGAAUAUCUCUCUUGCUAGCCUUAGAGAUGAAAAUGAAAAAUUGCUUGCUAAGGCUCAAGAAUUAGAUGUUUGCAAUGCUUCCAUUUCCGACCUUAGAAGUAAAAAUGAUAUAUUGCAUGCUAAGGUUGUAGAAUUAAAAUCUUGCAAACCCUCUACAUCUACCGUUAAACAUACUUCUAUUUGUACUAGAUGUAGAGACAUUAAUGUUGAUGCUAUUCAUGACCAUCUAGCUUUAAUUAAGAAACAAAAUGAUCACAUAGCUCAACUUAAUGCUAAAAUCAUUGAGCAUGACUUAGAAAAUGGAAAAUUUAAAUUUGCUAGAGGCAUGCUCUAUAGCGGGAGACGCCCUGGCAUCAAGGAUGGCAUUGGCUUCCAAAAGGGAGACAAUGUCAAACUUAAUGCCCCUCCUCAAAGAUUGUCAAACUUUGUUAAGGGCAAGGCCCCCAUGCCUCAGGAUAACGAGGGUUACAUUUUGUACCCUGCCAGUUAUCCCGAGAACAAAAUUAGGAGAAUUCACUCUAGGAAGUCUCACUCUGGCCCAAAUCAUGCUUUUAUGUAUAAGAGUGAGACAUCUAGCUCUAGGCAAUCAAUCCAUGCUAAAUUGGCUAAGAAGAAAACUCCUAGUGCAUCAAAUGAUCAUAAUAUUUCAUUUAAAACUUUUGAUGCAUCCUAUGUUUUAACUAACAAAUCCGGCAAGGUAGUUGUCAAAUAUGUUGGGGGCAAGCACAAGGGGUCAAAGACUUGUGUUUGGGUACCCAAAGUUCUUGUGUCUAAUGUCAAAGGACCCAAAACCAUUUGGGUACCUGAAGUCAAGAACUAAAUUUGUUUUGUAGGUUUAUGCAUCCGGGGGCUCAAGUUGGAUCAUCGAUAGCGGGUGCACAAACCACAUGACAGGGGAGAAGAAGAUGUUCUCCUCCUACGAGAAAAACCAAGAUCCCCAACGAGCUAUCACAUUCGGGGAUGGAAACCAAGGUUUGGUCAAAGGUUUGGGUAAAAUUGCUAUCUCACCUGACCAUUCCAUUUCCAAUGUUUUUUCUUGUAGAUUCUUUAGAUUACAAUUUGCUUUCCGUAUCUCAAUUAUGCAAAAUGGGCUACAACUGUCUUUUCACAGAUGCAGGUGUUACUGUCUUUAGAAGGAGUGAUGAUUCAAUAGCAUUUAAGGGAGUGUUAGAGGGUCAGCUAUACUUAGUAGAUUUUGAUAGAGCUGAACUCGACACUUGCUUAAUUGCUAAGACUAACAUGGACUGGCUCUGGCAUCGCCGACUAGCACAUGUUGGAAUGAAGAAUCUUCACAAACUUCUAAAAGGAGAACACAUUUUGGGACUAACAAAUGUUCAUUUUGAAAAAGACAGGAUUUGUAGUGCAUGCCAAGCAGGGAAGCAAGUUGGUGUUCAUCAUCCACAUAAGAACAUCAUGACGACUGACAGGCCACUCGAGCUCCUACACAUGGACCUAUUCAGCCCGAUAGCUUACAUAAGCAUCGGCGGGAGUAAGUACUGUCUAGUUAUUGUGGAUGAUUAUUCUCGCUUUACUUGGGUGUUCUUUUUGCAGGAAAAAUCUCAUACCCAAGAGACUUUAAAAGGAUUCUUGAGACGAGAUCAAAAUGAGUUCAGCUUAAGGAUCAAGAAAAUUAGAAGCGACAACGGGACGGAGUUCAAGAACUCUCAAAUUGAGGGCUUCCUUGAGGAGGAGGGCAUCAAGCAUGAGUUCUCUUCUCCCUACACGCCACAACAAAAUGGUGUAGUGGAGAGGAAGAAUCAAACUCUAUUGGACAUGGCAAGAACCAUGCUUGAUGAGUACAAGACUUCGGAUCGGUUUUGGGCCGAGGCGGUCAACACCGCUUGCUACGCCAUCAACUGGUUAUAUCUACACUGAAUCCUUAAGAAGACAUCAUAUGGACUCCUAACCGGUAAAAAGCCCAAUAUUUCUUAUUUUAGAGUCUUUGGUAGCAAAUGCUUUAUUCUUGUUAAAAGAGGUAGAAAAUCUAAAUUUGCUCCUAAGACAGUAGAAGGCUUUUUACUAGGAUAUGAUUCAAACACAAGGGCAUAUAGAGUCUUUAACAAGUCCUCAGGACUAGUUGAAGUUUCUUGUGACGUUGUGUUUGAUGAGACUUGAAAGUCGCCUGGAGGGGGGUGAAUAGGGCGAAACUGAAAUUCACAAAAUUAAUCAUAACUACAAGCCGGGUUAGCGUUAGAAAUAGAAAUGAGUCCGAGAAAGAGGGCGUAAAACAAAUCGCAAGCGAAUAAAGAGUGUGACACACGGAUUUGUUUUACCGAGGUUCGGUUCUUGCAAACCUACUCCUCGUUGAGGUGGUCACAAAGACCAGGUCUCUUUCAACCCUUUCCCUCUCUCAAACGGUCCCUCAGACCGAGUGAGCUUCUCUACUCAAUCACUUGGAACACAAAGUUCCUACAAGGAUCACCACACGAUUGGUGUCUCUUGCCUCAAUUACAAGUGAGUUUGAUCUCAAGAAAGAAUGAGAAAGAAAGCAAUCCAAGCGCAAGAGCUCAAAAGAACACAACAAAUCUAUCUCACUUAACACUAAAGCUUUUGUGGAAUUGGGAGAGGAUUUGAUCACUUGGGUGUAUCUAGGAUUGAAUGCUAGAGCUCUUGUAAGUGGUUGGAAGUUGGAAAACUUGGAUGACUUGAAUGUGGGGUGGUUGGGAGUAUAUAUAACCCCAACCACCAAACUAGCCGUUUGGUGGAGGCUGCUGUCGCAUGGCGCACCGGACAGUCCGGUGCGCCACCGGACACUGUCCGGUGCGCCAGCCAUGUCACCAGGCCGUUGGGUUCCGACCGUUGGAGCUCUGAUGUGUGGGCCCGCCUGGCUGUCCGGUGGUGCACCGGACAAGUCCUGUAGACUGUCCGGUGUGCCACCCGCGCGUGCUCUGCUCCUCUGCGCGCGCUGGCGCGCAUUUAAUGCGUUGCAGUCGACCGUUGGCGCUAAGUAGUCGUUGCUCCGCUGGCUCACCGGACAGUCCGGUGUGCACCGGACAUGUCCGGUGAAUUAUAGCGGAGCGGAUUCCCGAAGCUGGCGAGUUCAGAGUCGCUCUCCUCUGGAGCACCGAACACUGUCCGGUGGUGCACCGGACAGUCCGGUGAAUUAUAGCGAAGCGCCUCGAAAAUUCCCGAAGAUGCGAAGUUUGGCUUGGAGUGCCCUGGUGCACCGGACACUGUCCGAUGGUGCACCGGGCACUGUCCGGUGGCACACCGGACAGUCCGGUGCGCCAGACCAGGGCAGCCUUCGGUUGUCCCUUGCUCUUUUGGUUGAACCCAUUUCUUGGUCUUUUUAUUGGCUAAGUGUGAACCUUUGGCACCUGUAUAACUUAUAGACUAGAGCAAACUAGUUAGUCCAAUUAUUUGUGUUGGGCAAUCCAACCACCAAAAUCAAUUAGGAACUAGGUGUAAGCCUAAUUCCCUUUCAAUCUCCCCCUUUUUGGUGAUUGAUGCCAACACAAGCCAAAGCAAGUAUAGAAGUGCAUAAUUGAACUAGUUUGCAUAAUGUAAGUGCAAAGGUAACUUGGAAUUGAGCCAAUAUAAAUACUUAUAAAAUAUGCAUGGAUUGUUUCUUUAAUUUUUUUGACAUUUUGGACCAUGCUUGCACCACAUGUUUUGUUUUUGCAAAUUCUUUUGUAAAUCCUUUUCAAAGUUCUUUUGCAAAUAGUCAAAGAUAAAUGAAUAAGAUUUUGCGAAGCAUUUUGAAGAUUUGAAUUUUAUCCCCCUGUUUCAAAUGCUUUUCCUUUGACUAAACAAAACUCCCCCUUAAUGAAAUCCUCCUCUUAGUGUUCAAGAGGGUUUUAAGAUAUCGAUUUUGAAAAUACUACUCCUCUCCCCUUUUUGAACAUAAUGAGAUACUAAUUUGAAAAUCAUACCAAUUGAGAAAUUCUUUUUUUAAAAUUAGGUGGUGGUGCGGUCCUUUUGCUUUGGGCUGAUACUUUCUCCCCCUUUGGCAUGAAUCGCCAAAAACAGAUACUUGAGUGAGAUAUAAGCCCUUUCCUAGCUACUUUCUCCCCUUUGGCAAAUAAAACAUGAGUGAAGAUUAUACCAAAGACGGAGAGUUGCUCGGAGCGACGGUGAAGGAUGAGUUAUGGAGUGGAAGCCUUUGUCUUCGCCGAAGACAUAAAUUCCCUUUCAAUACACCUAUGACUUGGGUUGAAAUUCACUUGAGAACACAUUAGUCAUAGCACAUGAAAGAGACAUGAUCAAAGGUAUAUUUAUGAGCUAUGCAUGCAAGACAUCAAAAGAAAUUCCUAGAAUCAAGAAUAUUUAGCUCAUGCCUAAGUUUGUUAAAGGUUUGUUCACCAAGUGGCUUUGUAAAGAUAUCGGCUAAUUGAUCUUUAGUAUUAAUGUAUGAAAUCUCGAUAUCUCCCUUUUGUUGGUGAUCCCUUAAGAAAUGAUACCGAAUGGCUAUGUGUUUAGUGCGGCUAUGCUCAACGGGAUUAUCCGCCAUGCGGAUUGCACUCUCAUUAUCACAUAGAAGAAGAACUUUGGUUAAUUUGUAACCAUAGUCCCUAAGGGUUUGCCUCAUCCAAAGCAAUUGCGCGCAACAAUGGCCUGCGGCAAUGUACUCGGGUUCGGCGGUAGAAAGGGCUACGGAAUUUUGCUUCUUUGAAGCCCAAGACACCAAGGAUCUUCCCAAGAACUGACAAGUCCCCGAUGUACUUUUUCUAUUAAUCUUACACCCCGCCCAAUCGGCAUCCGAAUAACCAAUCAAAUCAAAUGUGGAUCCCCUAGGAUACCAAAGCCCAAACUUAGGAGUAUAAACUAAAUAUCUCAAGAUUCGUUUUACGGUCGUAAGGUGAGCUUCCUUAGGGUCGGCUUGGAAUCUUGCACACAUGCAUAUGGAAAGCAUAAUAUCCGGUCGAGAUGCACAUAAAUAGAGUAAAGAACCUAUCAUCGACCGGUAUACCUUUUGAUCCACGGACUUACCUUCCGUGUCGAGGUCGAGAUGCCCAUUGGUUCCCAUGGGUGUCUUGAUGGGUUUGGCAUCCUUCAUCCCAAACUUGCUUAGAAUAUCUUGAGUAUACUUCGUUUGGCUUAGGAAGGUGCCCUCUUGGAGUUGCUUCACUUGAAAUCCUAAGAAAUACUUCAACUCCCCCAUCAUAGACAUCUCGAAUUUUUGUGUCAUGAUCCUACUAAACUCUUCACAUGUAGAUUCGUUAGUAGACCCAAAUAUAAUAUCAUCAACAUAAAUUUGGCAUACAAACAAAUCAUUUUCAAGUGUUUUGGUAAAGAGUGUAGGAUCGGCCUUUCCGACUUUGAAUCCAUUAGUGAUAAGAAAAUCUCUAAGGCAUUCAUACCAUGCUCUUGGGGCUUGCUUGAGCCCAUAAAGCGCCUUGGAGAGUUUAUAUACAUGGUUAGGGUACUCACUAUCUUCAAAGCCGGGAGGUUGCUCAACAUAGACCUCUUCCUUGAUUGGUCCAUUGAGGAAGGCACUCUUCACGUCCAUUUGAUAAAGCUUGAAGCCAUGGUAAGUAGCAUAGGCCAAUAAUAUACGAAUUGACUCAAGCCUAGCUACGGGUGCAUAGGUUUCACUGAAAUCCAAACCUUCGACUUGGGAGUAUCCUUUGGCCACAAGUCGGGCUUUGUUCCUUGUCACCACACCAUGCUCAUCUUGCUUGUUGCGGAAAACCCACUUGGUUCCUACAACAUUUUGAUUAGGACGUGGAACCAAAUGCCAUACCUCAUUCCUAGUGAAGUUGUUGAGCUCCUCUUGCAUCGCCACCACCCAAUCUGAAUCUUGUAGUGCUUCCUCUACCCUGUGUGGCUCAAUAGAGGAAACAAAAGAGUAAUGCUCACAAAAAUGUGCAACACGAGAUCUAGUUGUUACCCCCUUAUGAAUGUCGCCUAGAAUGGUGUCGACGGGGUGAUCUCGUUGGAUUGCUUGGUGGACUCUUGGGUGUGGCGGUCUUUGUUCUUCAUCCUCCUUGUCUUGAUCAUUUGCACCUCCCCCUUGAUCAUUGCCGUCAUCUUGAGGUGGCUCAUUUUCUUGAUCUUCUCCUUCAUCAACUUGAGCCUCAUCCUAAUUUUGAGUUGGUGGAGAUGCUUGCGUGGAGGAGGAUGGUUGAUCUUGUGCAUUUGGAGGCUCUUCGGAUUCCUUAGGACACACAUCCCCAAUGGACAUGUUCCUUAGCGCGAUGCACGGAGCCUCUUCAUCACCUAUCUCAUCAAGAUCAACUUGCUCUACUUGAGAGCCGUUAGUCUCAUCAAACACAACGUCACAAAAAACUUCAACUUGUCUAGAGGACUUGUUAAAGACUCUAUAUGCCCUUGUGUUUGAAUCAUAUCCUAGUAAAAAGCCUUCUACAGUCUUAGGAGCAAAUUUAAAUUUUCUACCUCUUUUAAUAAGAAUAAAGCAUUUGCUACCAAAGACUUUAAAAUAUGAGAUAUUGGGCUUUUUACCGGUUAGGAGUUCGUAUGAUGUCUUCUUGAGGAUUCGGUGUAGAUACAACCGGUUGAUGGUGUAACAAGCGGUGUUGACCGCCUCGGCCCAAAACCGAUCCGAAGUGUUGUACUCAUCAAGCAUGGUUCUUGCCAUGUCCAAUAGGGUUCUAUUCUUCCUCUCCACUACACCAUUUUGUUGUGGGGUGUAGGGAGAAGAGAACUCAUGCUUGAUGCCUUCCUCCUCAAGGAAACCUUCGAUUUGUGAGUUCUUGAACUCCGUCCUGUUGUCGCUUCUUAUUUUCUUGAUCCUUAAGCCGAACUCAUUUUGAGCCCGUCUUAAGAAUCCCUUUAAUGUCUCUUGGGUAUGAGAUUUUUCCUGCAAAAAGAAUACCCAAGUGAAGCGAGAAUAAUCAUCCACAAUAACUAGACAGUACUUACUCCCGCCGAUGCUUAUGUAAGCUAUCGGGCCGAAUAGGUCCAUGUGUAGGAGUUCCAGUGGUCUGUCAGUCGUCAUGAUGUUCUUAUGUGGAUGAUGAGCACCAACUUGCUUCCCGGCUUGGCAUGCGCUACAAAUCCUGUCUUUCUCAAAAUGAACAUUUGUUAAUCCUAAAAUGUGUUCUCCCUUUAGAAGCUUAUGAAGAUUCUUCAUCCCAACAUGGGCUAGUCGGCGGUGCCAUAGCCAACCCAUGUUAGUCUUAGCAAUUAAGCAAGUGUCGAGUUCAGCUCUAUCAAAAUCUACUAAGUAUAGCUGACCCUCUAACACUCCCUUAAAUGCUAUUGAAUCAUCACUUCUUCUAAAGAAAGUGACACCUACAUCAGUAAAAAGACAGUUGUAGCCCAUUUGACAUAAUUGCGAAACGGAAAGCAAAUUGUAAUCUAAGGAAUCUACAAGAAAAACAUUUGAAAUUGAAUGGUCAGGAGAUAUAGAAAUUUUACCCAAUCCUUUGACCAAACCUUGGUUUCCAUCCCCGAAUGUAAUAGCUCGUUGGGGAUCAUGGUUUUUCUCGUAGGAGGAGAACAUCUUCUUCUCCCCUGUCAUGUGGUUUGUGCACCCGCUAUCGAUGAUCCAACUUGAGCCCCCGGAUGCACAAACCUACAAAACAAUUUUAGUUCUUGACUUUAGGUACCCAAAUGGUUUUGGGUCCUUUGGCAUUAGACACAAGAACUUUGGGUACCCAAACACAAGUCUUUGACCCCUUGUGCUUGCCCCCAACAUACUUGGCAACUACCUUGCCGGAUUUGUUAGUUAACACAUAAGAUGCAUCAAAAGUUUUAAAUGAAAUGCUAUGUUCAUUUGAUGCACUAGGAGUUUUCUUCUUAGGCAACUUAGCACGGGUUGGCUGCCUAGAACUAGAUGUCUCACCCUUAUACAUAAAAGCAUGGUUAGGGCCAGAGUGAGACUUCCUAGAAUGAAUUCUCCUAAUUUUGCUCUCGGGAUAACCGGCAGGGUAUAAAAUGUAACCCUCGUUAUCCUGAGGCAUGGGAGCCUUGCCCUUAACAAAGUUGGACAAUUUCUUAGGAGGGGCAUUAAGUUUGACAUUGUCCCCCUUUUGGAAGCCAAUGCCAUCCUUAAUGCCAGGGCGUCUCCCACUAUAAAGCAUACUACGAGCAAAUUUAAAUUUUUAAUUUUCAAGUUCACACAGCAAUUUUAGCAUCUAAUUUUGCUAUAUGAUCAUUUUGUUGCUUGAUUAGUACCAUAUGAUCAUGAAUAGCAUCAAUAUCAAUAUCUCUACAUCUAGUGCAAAUAGUGACAUGCUCAGUGGUAGAUGUAGAGGGUUUGCAGGAAUUAAGUUCAACAAUCUUAGCACACAAUAUAUCAUUUUUAUCUCUAAGAUCGGAAAUUGUAACAUUGCAAACAUCUAGUUCUUUAGCCUUAGCAAGUAAUUUUUCAUUCUCAAUCCUAAGGCUAGCAAGAGAGAUGUUUAAUUCUUCAAUCUUAGCAAGCAAAUCAUCAUUAUCAUUUCUAAGAUUGGGAAUUAAAACAUCACAAACAUUUGAAUCAACCUUAGCUAACAACUUAGCAUUUUCAUUUCUAAGGUUGUCAAUGGUCUCAUGGCAAGUGCUUAGCUCACUAGAUAAUUUUUUGCACUUUUCUACUUCUAAAGCAUAAGCAUUUUUUACCUUAACAUGCUUUUUGUUUUCUUUAAUAAGGAAGUCCUCUUGAGAGUCCAAGAGAUCAUCCUUUUCAUGGAUAGCACUAAUCAAUUCAUUUAAUUUUUCCUUUUGUUGCAUGUUUAGGUUGGCAAAAAGGGUACGCAAAUUAUCCUCCUCAUCACUAGCAUUAUCAUCACUAGAGGACUCAUAUUUAGUGGAGGAUUUGGAUUUAACCUUCUUCUUUUUGUCGUCCUUUGCCAUGAGGCACUUGUGGCCGACGUUGGGGAAGAGAAGGCCCUUGUUGAUGGUGAUGUUGGCGGCGUCCUCGUCGGAGGAGGAGUCGGAGGAGCUCUCGUCCGAGUCCCACUCGCGGCAUACAUGAGCGUCGCCACCCUUCUUCUUGUAGUAUUUCUUCUUCUCUUUUCUUCUCCCCUUCUUGUCGUCGCCCCUGUCACUGUCACUAGAAAUAGGACAUUUUGCUAUAAAGUGACCAGGAUUACCACACUUGUAGCAAACUUUCUUGGAGCGGGGCUGUAACACCCCUGGUGUUACUAUAACUAAAACUUGAUCAUGGCAUCAUAAGCAUUGGCAUUGCAUAUGUUUGACACACCUAGAGUGCAUUCACUAGGCAAAAUUUCAAACAAGUUAUAUUGUUUUAAUGUUUUGCAAAUAGAACCCUGGUUAAAGGACUUAACCCUAAAUAGUGGUUAAAGGGGUAAAACUUAACCCAAGUUAAGAAAACCUAAAAGCUUUAGGGUAAAGGUCAUAAAAUGACCCCAAAAAUAAAGUUGAAUCACAUUUAUACCCCUGGGAUACCAGAAACCCUAAAUGAAGCCCUAGGAAAACCCUAAGUCCAAACCCUAGGGACUUAUGUGUAAAAGUGAUGAACCUUUGGACUAAAGUGUAAAAACUACUAUGUUUAAACAUAUAAAGUCAUUUGGUUCACAAAUGUGUGGACUUGAAAGCCAAAUGUUGAGUUUUGGACUUAAAUGCAAAAUGGACCUCAAUUAGGGUCUAUUCUAAGUCUAAAAAUCAGAGAAUUGGCUCAACUUUGGAGCUUUGCAUCUUUCAAAUUCUAGGGUUUUUGCCCUAGGUCACCACAUCAAAAUUGUAGACCAAACAAAGGAGAACAUUUUUGCUUAAGAGUGCAAGCCAUGUUCUUGUAAAGAAUUUGGAGAAAAGUGCACUCAAAGUUGAACUUUCAGGCUGUCUGAAGUAUGAAAUUCAGACUAACAGUAGUAUUAAGUCAACUUUGAACUGGAAAUCAACCUUGCUCUAAUAAGAAUUUGGCUUUGGAUGCUAUAGCAAGAUUGUUGUUGGACUAUCAGACAACAACUUUGUCAUUAGCUGAUCCACUGGUUGCCAUUGAAAAUCCGGAGUAAAUCAACGCUAAACAUGGGCUGUCAGACUCAUUGAUUCUACUGAAACCGAGCACUGUUCACCGGCCUUCAGAAAUAUCGCGCCAUGGAUAUGGUCAGCCCCUCGCCGACGAUAAGAACGCCACCGCAGCGGAUGGUCGUCGGCGGCUGCGGUAAAGGUCUGGUGCGACGUGGCUUCAAAGCGUUGAGGUGGCGCUACCCGGUUAAACGGCGGCCACCGGACUUGCGCCGUGGCUCUGCCGUGCGGGUGAGCUCGCCAGCACGAUUACAGCCGGUGAAGCUCAUCCGAUUGCGGCCGGUUGACUAUAAAUUGAGGGCGAGCGUUGCUUCUUCACCGUAUCCCACGUCUCAGCCACUAAGCGCCCGACUCAAGAUCACCGGAAAACCUACGUAGCCUCCAAAUCCCUUGCUCCCUUGUUCUUAACUCCGCCGCGAAGAACAUCUCCGUGGCCAGCCUUCCUCGAGUGAGUACUUACCCAAUUGUUUCAUGUUCUUGCUUGCUAUUAGCCCCCUAUUGCUCCCAGUACCAACCAAUCGAACUUAAGCCAAAAGCUUUCACCGGAACGUGUGCUUGCUCUGAAGAACACCGCCGUGACCCCCUCACCGUCGACCCACUCCUCGGGCCUUGUUCUGCCCAAACCAAAAUGUGUCCGUAGACCCUGGUGAACCCGUGAAGCUUUACCCAGCCCCAAUUUGGCCAUUCUCAUCGCUGUUUGGCCGGAACACUUCCAUCCAUAUGACCAUUCGCCCUGUCACCGUGGACCGGUAGAUUCGUAGUCGCAACGAUGAAAUUGAAUUGGGGGAAAGGUUCGGUAGGGGUUCAAUUGUGUUUAUGACGCUCGGACGCUUCAGCCGUGGUGGCAUCCGGCCGGUCUAGCUCGCCGGAGCUCGGCCUCCCGUGCGGAGCGCCGUCGGGGACUAGCUAUAGUAAAAGAAUAGAACGCGAAGGGUUUUUCUGCAAACCAUCAACGACUCAGUACAAUAGUAAUCGAACUCACUUCGGAUUACUCAGUAAGCCGUGGGCCUUUCUGCAAAAUCGCCAGGGCGCGGGCGCGGACGCGCGCACGUUUCCGCGUGGGCAUGGGCCGCUUGAACUAGAUUUGGCCCAGUACUGUGUAGAGUUUUUCCUUUUUCUUUUUCAGUGAAGCUUUAGAAAAUUGUUAAAAAUGGUAGAAAAAUCAUAAAAAUAUGAGACCAAUUUUCUUAGAACCCUAAUUUCCUGUAGUAUUUAAUAAAAAUAAAUUCAUGAUUUUUAGAUCAAAUAGGGAAUUUUAGAGUAUUUAAAAUAGCUUAAACUAACAGUUCUGGAUUUUUUAGAAAUUAAAUGAUAAUCCCAAAAUUGCCCAAACUUUUUAUGUAAGCUUUUCACAUUAUUUAGAAGCCUUGGAUAGAGUUUGAAUUGAUUUGGACCUUGUUUGAUCACCAAACCCCAAAACACCCCCCUGCCCUAUGCACUCCUUUACCGACUCCGGAAACCCUAAGUUCCCGGAAUUCCGUGAAGGAAAAUUAUAUUCAAGAUUUAGAUAAUAAAUCCUUAUUACCUUUGCACGCUCAUGAGCAUGACAUGGCAUUCAUUCUUAUAUAUAUACCUAUAUGGUUAUAUUUAGAAAACGAAGAAGAGAGUGAAGUGACUCAAGAGAAGACACCACCACCUUUGGAAUUUCGGGCAAGGACUUGGCUCUACUUCGACAACUGCGAGUCCGAGCCUGACUCACCUACUAACGAAGGCAAGCCCCGGUGCAUGCAACCCUUUCCUUGUGUUUUUAAAUACUUUUCGCACACUUAAGUCUAGUGAAAUGUGCAUUAGGUUCAUAGGAAUUGCUUGGAACCCUUUGAUGCAUUGCUUUCCUUGAUAUCCACACCUUUAUAGAUAUUUCUGUGAAGUAUCAAAAUAUGAUUUUCAAAAAUGCUUAGCCUUGCUUAGAUCUUGUGGAUAGAGGUUGUCCUUAAUUUAACUCGAGAAAGGAUGACUUCUACCUGCAAGAAUAUUUUCAUUUGGAGCAAUGAUGGGAUCUUACUGCAAAGUUCCCUGUGAUGCUCUUUCAUCCUAAGGAACAGACACAAUCCUAAGGAUGGAAAUACUUAAAUCGAGACUUGGGCUAGGAACAGGUGAUGCUCCGCCCGGGUCAAUUAAGGAUUGGAUGCGUAUGUAGGCCUGUUGAUCAAGGACUAUCUUAUCUAGCCACAUGCCCUGAGAAUGGGACAGGGUAAGCUUGAACCCGGCUAUUCCAUACAUGAAAAGACAAUCGCGCACUGGGCGUGGAGAGAUGGCGAGAGUGGCACGUACCCUCCUGGCAACGGAUCGCCUAAAAGGGGUGGUGUACUCUCGGGUGGCGCGGACCUGUUCAUGCAGUGGAGGAUCCGUGGGAAUAGUAGACAUCAAGGUUUACGAGAAACAUAUGUCGUGUGGUUAGAAAUCCUCAGCUGAGUAAAUCGAUUCGGAUCGCCGUUAUAUCCCCGGAGAGUGGAGACUUGAGCUCCGACCUACAACCUAAGUCAAGAUGUGAACACUAUGGAUAAAAAUGAUGUUGUAUUGAUGAGAUGAUGAAAUUAGACUAGAUGCAAACAGAGUCUAUUAAAUAUUUAAUCUGGCGUUAAAAUAUUGAAAGUAAGGACUCACUUUAGUAAGCUAUUUCUGCAAAAGUAUCUAAGUUGAUUCUUGCUAAAGCCUCUCCUUGACUCCUAUUUAUCCAGCAUACCCUUGAGAGUCUUUUCCUUAGUCGGGUAAGACUUGCUGAGUAAUUCCAUACUCAGGGUUUAUCCCUUUGUUGUUUUUAGGUGAGGAAGCGACAUAUUUUUGUUGCUUUUGCUCCAAGGUGGUACCAAAUGAGGAAAAACAGGAGUGAAGAUGCGGGAGGACUUGGUCCUCCAUAUAGGAUCUUUUUGUUUUAAAGCUAUCGGGAGGAGUCUGUGCCUCCCUUGAUAUGUGUAACUACUCAGCACUCGUUUAUAGCUCUGGUCUGUAAUAAGUAACUUGAUCUUACUUUCUAAAUAAAUGUAAGUUUAUGUAAUUGCUUCUGCACUUCUAUAACUCCGAUGUUCUGUAAUGUCUGCAAGACGGGUGAAACGUUCCUGGUAAGGUAAGGAAAGAUACCGAGCUUGUCAAGUAACUUAGGAACAUCUACAGGGUGUCUGAUGUCUGUUAGACAAGGACAACUGUAGGUGGGCCUAAUUACUUGGGAGGUUCCGUCACAGGGGCUUGUAAUCUUUCCCCCUCCUUUGCUUGAGGAUUUGGCGGAACCUCUUGAUGACGAGCGCCAUUUCCUCAUUGUCGAGCUUUGAGGCGUCGAUUAGUUGUCUACUUGAUGUAGACUCCUCCUUCUUCUCCUCCGUUGCCUUGAAUGCAACCGGUUGUGCUUCGGAUGUGGAGGGAUCAUCUAGCUCAUUGAUUUUCUUUGAGCCCUUGAUCAUAUACUCAAAGCUCACAAAAUUCCCUAUUACUUCCUCGGGAGUCAUUAGUGUAUAUCUAGGAUUACCACGAAUUAAUUGAACUUGAGUAGGGUUAAGGAAAAUAAGUGAUCUAAGAAUAACCUUAACCAUCUCGUGGUCAUCCCACUUUUUGCUCCCAAGGUUGCGCACUUGAUUCACCAAGGUUUUGAGCCGGUUGUACAUGUCUUGUGGCUCUUCUCCUUUACGAAGCCGGAAGCGACCGAGCUCCCCCUCGAUCGUCUCCCGCUUGGUGAUCUUGGUUAAUUCAUCUCCCUCGUGCGCGGUCUUGAGCACGUCCCAAACUUCCUUGGCGCUCUUUAAUCCUUGCACCUUGUUAUACUCCUCUCGACUUAGAGAGGCGAGGAGUAUAGUUGUGGCUUGGGAGUUGAAGUGCUCGAUUUGGGCCACCUCGUCCUCAUCCCCUACGGAUGGUACCUGUCACCAAACUCAACAACAUCCCAUAUACUUUUGUGGAGUGAGGUUAGGUGAAACCGCAUUAAAUCACUCCACCUAGCAUAAUCUUCACCAUCAAAGGUUGGUGGUUUGCCUAAUGGGACGGAAAGUAAAGGUGUAUGUUUAGGAAUGCGAGGGUAGCGUAGGGGGAUCUUACUAAACUUCUUGCGCUCAUGGCGUUUAGAAGUUAAGGAGGGCGCGUCGGAGCCGAAGGUGGAAGGUGAUGAAGUAUCGGUCUCGUAGUAGACCACCUUCCUCAUCUUCUUUUUCUUGUCGCCACUCCGAUGUGACUUGUGGGAAGAGGCUUUCUUCUCCUUCCCUUUCCCCUUUUUGCGGGACUCUUCCGAUGAAGCCUUCCCGUGGCUUGUAGUGGGCUUGUCGCCGGUCUCCAUCUCCUUCUUGGCGUGUUCUCCCGACAUCACUUCGAGCGGUUAGGCUCUAAUGAAGCACCGGGCUCCGAUACCAAUUGAAAGUCGCCUAGAGGGGGUGAAUAGGGCGAAACUGAAAUUCACAAAAUUAAUCACAACUACAAGCCGGGUUAGCGUUAGAAAUAGAAACGAGUCCGAGAGAGAGGGCGUAAAACAAAUCGCAAGCGAAUAAAGAGUGUGACACACGGAUUUGUUUUACCGAGGUUCGGUUCUUGCAAACCUACUCCCCGUUGAGGUGGUCACAAAGACCGGGUCUCUUUCAACCCUUUCCCUCUCUCAAACCGUCCCUCGGACCGAGUGAGCUUCUCUUCUCAAUCACUUGGAACACAAAGUUCCCACAAGGAUCACCACACGAUUGGUGCCUCUUGCCUCAAUUACAAGUGAGUUUGAUCUCAAGAAAGAAUGAGAAAGAAAGCAAUCCAAGCGCAAGAGCUCAAAAGAACACAACAAAUCUCUCUCACUUAACACUAAAGCUUUUGUGGAAUUGGGAGAGGAUUUGAUCACUUGGGUGUAUUGAAAGGGAAUUAGGCUUACACCUAGUUCCUAAAUAAUUUUGGUGGUUGAAUUGCCCAACACAAAUAAUUGGACUAACUAGUUUGCUCUAAGUGUAUAAGUUAUACAGGUGUAAAAGGUUCACACUUAGCCAAUAAAAAGAUCAAAUAUUGGAUUCAACAAAGGAGCAAAGGGACAACCGAAGGCACCUCUGGUCUGGGGCACCGGACUGUCCGGUGUACCACCGGACAGUGUCCGGUGCACCAGAGGACUCCAACUUAAACUUGCCACCUUCGGGAAUUUCCAGAGGCACUCCGCUAUAAUUCACCGGACUGUCCGGUGUACACCGGACAGUGUCCGGUGCUCCAAGGAAGAGCGGCCUCCGGAACUCGCCAGCCUCGGGAAAACGCAGCGGCUGCUCCGCUAUAAUUCACCGGACAUGUCCGGUGAACCAGCAGAGCAACGGCUACUUCGAGCCAACGGUCACCUGCAGGCGCAUUCAAUGCGCGCCAGAAGCGCGCAGAAGUCAGGCACGCCCAUACUGGCGCACCGGACAUUGAACAGUACAUGUCCGGUGUGCACCGGACAUCCAGGCGGGCCCAGAAGACAGAAGCUCCAACGGUCGAAAUCCAACGGCAUUGGUGACGUGGCUGGCGCACCGGACAUGUCCGGUGUACAUCGGACUGUCCGGUGCACCAUACGACAGACAGCCUCCACCAACGGUCAUGUUUGGUGGUUGGGGCUAUAAAUACCCCAACCACCCCACCAUUCAUUGCAUCCAAGUUCUCCAUCUUCCAACCACUAUACAAGAGCUAGCAUUCAUUGCAAAGCACACCAAAAGAGAUCAAAUCCUCUCCCAACUCCACACAAAGCAUUAGUGACUAGAGAGAGUGAUUUGUAGUGUUCAUUUGAGCUCUUGCGCUUGGAUCGCUUCUUUUCCUUGGCAUUCUUUCUUGUGAUCAAACACUCACUUGUAAUUGAGGCAAGAGACACCAAUUGUGUGGUGGUCCUUGCGGGAAGUUUGAUUCCCAAGUGAUUUGAGAAGAGAAGCUCACUCGGUCCGAGGGACCGUUUGAGAGAGGGAAAGUGUUGAAAAAGACCCGGCCUUUGUGGCCUCCUCAACGGGGAGUAGGUUUGCGAGAACCGAACCUCGGUAAAACAAAUCCUUGUGUCUCACCGCUUUACUCGCUUGCGAUUUGUUUUACACCCUCUCGCGGACUCGGUUUUAUUUCUAACGCUAACCCAGCUUGUAGUUGUGUUUAUAUUUGUAAAUUUCAGUUUCGCCCUAUUCACCUCCCCUCUAGGCGACUAUCAAUUGGUAUCAAAGUCUGGUGCUUCAUUAGAGCCUAACCGCUCGAAGUGAUGUCGGGAGAUCACGCCAAGAAGGAGAUGGAGACCGGCGAAAAGCCCACUACAAGCCACGGGAGCACUUCAUCGGAAGAGUCCCGCACCAAGAGGAAGGAAAAGAAAGACUCCUCCAAAGGGAAGGAGAAGAAGAAGGACUCCUCCAAAGGGAAGGAGAAGAAAUCUUCUUCACACAAAGAGAAGGAGAAGUCUUCCUCCCACUAGCCGCAACGGAGUGGGGACAAGAAAAAGAAGAUGAGGAAAGUGGUCUACUACGAGACCGACUCUUCAUCAACAUCCACCUCCGGCUCCGACGCGGCUUCCGUCACUUCUAAGCGCCAAGAGCGCAAGAAGUAUAGUAAGAUCCCCCUACGCUAUCCUCACAUUUCUAGACAUACACCUUUACUUUCCGUCCCAUUAGGAAAACCACCAACAUUUGAUGGUGAAGAUUACGCUAGGUGGAGUGAUUUAAUGCGAUUUCAUCUAACCUCACUCCACAAAAGUAUAUGGGAUGUUGUUGAGUUUGGUGCACAGGUACCAUCCGUAGGGGAUAAAGAUUAUGAUGAGGACGAGGUUGCCCAAAUCGAGCACUUCAACUCUCAAGCAACAACAAUACUCCUCGCUUCUCUAAGUAGAGAGGAGUAUAACAAAGUGCAAGGGUUGAAGAGCGCCAAGGAGGUUUGGGAUGUGCUCAAAACCGCACACGAAGGAGAUGAGCUCACAAAGAUCACCAAGCGGGAGACGAUCGAGGGGGAGCUCGGUCGGUUCCGGCUUCGCAAAGGGGAGGAGCCACAAAACAUGUACAACCGGCUCAAAACUUUUGUGAAUCAAGUGCGCAACCUCGGGAGCAAGAAAUGGGAUGACCACGAAAUGGUUAAGGUUAUUUUAAGAUCACUUAUUUUUCUUAACCCUACUCAAGUUCAAUUAAUUCGUGGCAAUCCUAGAUAUACACUAAUGACUCCCGAGGAAGUGAUCGGGAAUUUUGUAAGUUUUGAGUGCAUGAUCGAAGGCUCGAGGAAGAUCAACGAGCUUGAUGAUCCCUCCACGUCCAAAGCUCAACCGGUUGCAUUCAAGGCAACGGAGGAGAAGAAGGAGGAGUCUACACCAAGUAGGCAACCAAUCGACGCCUCCAAGCUCGACAAUGAGGAAAUGGCGCUCGUCAUCAAGACCUUCCGCCAAAUCCUCAAACAAAGGAGGGGGAAAGACUACAAGCCCCGCUCCAAGAAGGUUUGCUACAAAUGUGGUUGUAAGUGCAAUCAACCCUAAUUGAGGGUUUUGGUGAUUAAUGACAAAACAAACUAAGAUUCUAACAAGUUUGCUUCUAGUAUGUACACAGUAUUUCUACAUACAGGAGAAGCACAGAUCUUACGAGCAUAAAAGUAUAAAGCACAGCGGAUUUAAAAUUCCACAUCAAAUGGCGUGCUCCAAGUGCUAAGAAACAACGGCGGUGCUAAAUUUAUAAUUCUUGAGUCAUAGGAAUCGCCGUACAAUUAAGAGGGAUCCGCGACGGUUAAGUAAGAUGUGAAACGAGCCAAGUUCAAAAUCUUUUGAAAACUCCUUGGAGAUCAUUUUCCCAGAUCAUGAAUGCCCUUAAGAAAAACAAAUUUUACUUCCCACAAAGUCUCCCCUUUUGUUCUCUUCAAAAUUCUCAAAGUUUGGUUUCAGCCCCCAAAAACCGGUUCAACCGGUCCUGAAACCGGUUCAACCGGUUUCGGUACUGUUCACCCUGCCACCUCUGCUCUGACCUGUCUGACAGUCAGAGCUGGCAGAAAAGUCGCAGCAGAUAUUUUUCAGAAACCGGUUGAGCCGAAUUUUGUCCCUACUCAGCCGGUUUUGAAACCGGUCGAGUGUCCGGCUGAGUAGCCCAGUGGACCGGGAUCCCCCUGGUAGAAACCGGUUCAACCGGUUUGAAAACCGGUUCAACCGGUUUUUGCCCAUUUUCUCCCAACGGCUGCCAGCUUUUGGGGGAUCCUUUAUAUACCCCCUCACACUCUCUCUCUCAUUUACUCCGGCCUCUCCCACGAAUCUUUGGCUGACCAACCUUCAAACAAGAGCAUUCACUUCACCUUUCACACCCGCAAUCGCAUCUCCUUCAAUCAUUUGAAGGACCCUUGGUGUGAGGUGAACUCGAUCGAACUCGCUGUCAAUUUCAUCUCGAUUCUUCCAUUCUCUUGUUCUUGAGCUCGUUGCAAACUUAACCGUGUGCGGAUUUGUUACUCUUGGAACCUCGUGUUCCUUGACGGUUAGAGGUUGCUUGGGAGUCUCCAAAUUUGCGGACGACCCCAAGAAGUUUGUAUCACCCGCUCCUUGAGCAGAUUUGAGAAGAGAUUGCCUUGACCUUUGUGGUCGGCUUGUGGAGGAUUAGGGUUGGAAAAGACCCGGCCCUUUGUGGGUUCCUCAACGAGGAGUAGGACACUUUUGUGGUGGUUGCCGAACCUCGGGUUAUAUCGCGUGUUCUUGUGUGUUCUUGUCAAGCGCUUUAUACUCUGUGGUUGGUUCAUAUUAUUCAUUUAAGUAGUCUUUGUGUAGGGCAAAUCUUUAGCUAUAUUCUUCACUACUUCGCAUUUGUUCAAUAGAUUAUCAAAUUUAAGUUGAGCGGGUUCAAACUUGUUCAGUUGUGAUUAAAAUCGACUGAACCGGUUUGCACCUGUGCAACUUUAAUUUAACCUAUUUCGAAGUUUUUAGUGAAAAUUUUCAGGUGUAGCCUAUUCACCCCCCCCCCCUCUAGGCUACUUUCAAUUGGUAUCAAAGCUUCGUGCCUCGUUUUACACUUAACCGUGUGAGGAAACGAUCAUGUCUACACAACGGGACCAUGUGGAUCCUCUCCUCGAGGAAAUCUCCGUCACAUCUUCCGGUGAGGAAGUGGACCCCAAGGUCCUCGACCUCGCCAUGAAGAUUGCCGAGAGAAUGUUCCUCAAAAUGAAAGAAGAAGAAUCAAGAAGAAAGGCCGAAGAAGAUAAAGGUAAGGGAACAUUUGAUUAUAAUGACGAUCUAGUGGACCUUUUGGUGUCUAAGGUAUUGAGCAAGGUAAGUCUCAACACCGAAGGAUCAUCUACCAAAAGCAAAGGUAAUGACUUUAGCAAAGUUCAAUUCGAUUACUCUAGAAAUUAUAUUCCCAACUUCUCUUCCGCCCCACUUGGAAAGUUACCAACUCUUAGUGAGUUGAACUAUGAUGAGUGGGCCGACAAGAUGAAGUCGCAUUUAAUCGGUGUGCAUCCUAGUCUUUGGGAGAUUGUUAAUGUAGGUAUGUAUAAGCCCGCCCAAGGAGAAGAGAUGACUCCGGAAAUGAUGCAAGAGGUUCAUCGAAAUGCUCAAGCAGUGAGCAUAAUUAAAGGAAGUCUUUGUCCGGAAGAAUACCGGAAAGUUCAAGGAAGAGAAGAUGCCCGUGACAUUUGGAAUAUUCUUAAAAUGUCACAUGAAGGAGAUCCCAAAGCUAAAAGACAUAGAGUUGAAGCUUUGGAAAGUGAGCUUGCAAGAUAUGAUUGGACAAAGGGUGAGUCGCUCCAAUCACUCUUUGAUCGGUUGAUGGUGUUGGUCAACAAAAUAAGAGUUCUUGGGAGUGAAGAUUGGAGUGACUCCAAGGUCACAAGAUUGUUCAUGAGAGCUUAUAAAGAGAAGGACAAAAGUCUUGCAAGGAUGAUAAGGGAUCGUGAUGACUAUGAGGAUAUGACGCCUCAUCAAUUAUUUGCAAAAAUUCAACAACACGAGUCCGAAGAAGCCCCCAUCAAGACAAAAGACUCUCAUGCCUUGAUCACAAAUGAACAAGACAACCUCAAGAAGAACAAAGACCACAAAGCAAAGAAAGUGGUCGAGACCUCAAGUGAUGAAGAUAGCUCAAGUGAUGAAGACACAGCUAUGUUCAUCAAAACAUUCAAGAAAUUUGUAAGGAAGAAUGACAAGUUCCAAAGGAAAGGAAAGAAGAGGGCGUGCUAUGAAUGUGGCCAAACCGGUCAUUUCAUAGCGGAUUGUCCUAACAAGAAGGAACAAUAAGCUAAGAAGGAAUACAAGAAGGACAAGUAUAAAAAGGGAGGCAAGACCAAGGGAUACUUCAAGAAGAAGAAGUAUGGUCAAGCUCAUAUUGGUGAAGAAUGGAACUCCGAUGAAGAGAGUUCUAGCUCCGAGGAAGAGGAAGUGGUGGCAAAUGUGGCCAUCCAAUCUACAUCAAGCGCGCAACUCUUCACCAACCUUCAAGACGACUCCUACACUCCAACUUGCCUCAUGGCAAAGGGAGAUAAGGUAACUUUAUUUAGUAAUGAUUUUUCAAAUGAUGAUGAUGAUGAUCAAAUUGCCAUGAAAAAUAAAAUGAUUAAAGAAUUUGGCUUAAAUGGAUACAAUGUUAUCACAAAAUUAAUGGAAAAGCUAGAUAAAAGAAAAGCAACUCUUGAUGCUCAAGAAGACUUGCUUAUCCUUGAAAAGGAAAGAAACCUAGAGCUUCAAGAGUUGAUUCACAAUAAAGAUAAAGAAGUAAUUAACAUGAAAACCUCUAUUGAUAAUCUUGCAAAUGAAAAGAAUGCACUUGAAUCAAGCAUGUUAAGCUUGAAUGUUCAAAAUCAAGAACUUCAAGUGCAACUUGAAAAUUGCAAGAACAUCAAUGCCCCCUCUUUAAUAUUUGAAUCUAAGUCUAGCUCUAAUGAUGAUUCUUGCAAGCAUUGUGCCAAAUAUCAUGCUUCUUGUUGUCUAACUAACCAUGCAAGGAAGCAUAGCCCACAGGUGAAGGUCAAAGAAAUUUUGAAAAGAUGCUCUAGCAAUGAUGGGUUAAAGAAAGUUGAACCCAAGUACAAGUCUCUUAAGCCCAACAAUGGAAGAAGGGGGCUUGGGUUCAACUCAUCCAAGGAAAACCCUAGCACAGUGCAUAAGGGGUGGAGAUCCCCCAAGUUCAUAGAGGGAACCACUCUAUAUGAUGCCUUGGGGAGGAUCCACUCCUCAAAUGACAAGUCAUCUCAGGUAAAGGUUAACUUGAGUUCCACAAAGAGUAAGAUGAAGGAAGUGGGAUCCUCAAGUGGACAAAAAUCUAAUGCUCCCAUUGCCCACUCAUAUCUUUGUGAUUAUAUGUUGACUUGGGAUUCAGGGAAAUUGGUUGUGAAAUAUGUGGGUGCCUACACUAAACGAAAAGUCAUGAAAAGAAGUGUGUGGGUACCCAAGGCUAUAACUAACACUGUAGGACCCAAUUCAAUUUGGGUACCUAAAAGCAUAGCCUAAACUUGUUUUGCAGGUCUACUCCUCUGGUGGGUCAAGUUGGGUGCUUGACAGUGGAUGUACAAAUCACAUGACCGGGGAGAAAGACAUGUUUCAUACAUUGCAACUAACUCAAGAAGCACAAGAAAUUGUCUUUGGAGAUAGUGGCAAGAGUAAGGUGAUUGGUAUUGGUAAAAUUCCUAUCUCUGACCAACAAUCACUUUCAAAUGUUUUAUUAGUAGAUUCCUUAAGCUAUAAUUUGUUGUCUGUUUCACAACUUUGUGGAAUGGGUUAUAAUUGCUUAUUUUCGGAUGUGGAUGUGAAGAUCCUUAGAAGGGAGGACUCCUCAGUUGCCUUUACCGGUCGCUUGAAGGGCAAGCUUUAUCUUGUUGAUUUCACAACAAGUAAAGUGACGCCUGAGACUUGUUUAGUGGCAAAAUCCGACAAGGGUUGGCUAUGGCAUCGCUGGCUAGCCCAUGUCGGUAUGAGGAAUUUGGCCAAACUUCAAAAGGAUAAUCACAUCAUUGGACUAACAAAUGUUGUAUUUGAGAAAGAUAGGGUUUGUGGCGCAUGCCAAGCAGGAAAGCAACAUGGAGUCCCACAUCAAUCAAAGAAUGUGGUCACAACAAAGAGGCCAUUGGAGCUUCUUCACAUGGACCUCUUCGGACCUGUGGCCUACAUUAGCAUUGGUGGUUGUAAGUAUGGUUUAGUUAUUGUUGAUGAUUUUUCUCGAUUCACCUGGGUUUUCUUUUUGAGUGACAAAGGUGAAACUCAAGAAAUUUUAAAGAAAUUCAUGAGGAGAGCUCAAAAUGAAUUUGAGCUCAAAAUCAAGAAAGUGAGAAGCGAUAAUGGGACAGAAUUCAAGAACACAGGUGUCGAAGAAUUCUUAGGAGAAGAGGGAAUCAAACAUGAGUUCUCGGUGCCUUACACUCCACAACAAAAUGGUGUUGUGGAAAGAAAGAACCGAACUCUAAUUGAAGCUGCAAGAACCAUGUUGGAUGAAUACAAGACACCUGACAACUUCUGGGCAGAGGUGGUCAACACCGCCUGUCAUGCAAUCAACCGUCUCUAUCUUCAUAAGAUCUACAAAAAGACUGCUUAUGAGCUUCUCACUGGUAACAAACCUAAAGUUGAUUAUUUUAGAGUAUUUGGUUGUAAAUGUUUUAUUCUUAACAAGAAAGUCAAGAGCUCAAAGUUUGCUCCUAGAGUGGACGAGGGCUUCUUGCUUGGUUAUGCAUCAAAUGCGCAUGGAUAUCGUGUUUUCAACAAUACCACCGGUCUUGUUGAAAUAGCGAUAGACAUGACAUUUGAUGAGUCUAAUGGCUCGCAAGGGCAUGUUUCUAAUGACACUGCAAGAAAUGAAGAACUACCUUGUGAGGCCAUAAAGAAACUUGCAAUAGGUGAGGUGAGACCUCAAGAAAGGGAUGAUGAAGAAGGAAUCUUAUGGAUGACCAAUGAGGUAGUUGAUGUGGGUGCAAGGGUGGUGAGUGACAAAGUCUCCACCCAAGCAAACCCAUCAACCUCAAGUCAUCCAAGCCACGAAGAAAAUCAUCAAAGGAUGCCAACAGUGGUAGAAGAUGAACAAGAAAGUAUUGAUGGUGAAGUGCCUCUUGAUCAAGUAAUUGAUGAGGAGGAGCAAAUACAAAGACAUCCAUCAGUGCCUCAUCCUAGAGUCCAUCAAACAAUUCAAAGGGAUCAUCCAGUGGACAACAUCCUGGGUAGCAUCAGGAGAGGGGUAACAACUCGAUCUCGUUUAGCUAAUUUUUGUGAAUUUUACUCAUUUGUUUCCUCUCUUGAGCCACUUAAGGUUGAAGAAGCAUUGGGUGAUCCGGAUUGGAUAAUUGCCAUGCAAGAGGAGUUGAACAACUUCACUAGGAAUGAAGUCUGGUCCUUAGUCCAAAGACCCAAACAAAAUGUGAUUGGGACUAAAUGGGUCUUUAGGAACAAGCAAGAUGAAAAUGGCGUUGUUACAAGAAACAAGGCACGGUUGGUUGCCCAAGGCUAUACUCAAGUGGAAGGACUUGAUUUUGGUGAAACAUAUGCGCCGGUAGCAAGGUUAGAAUCAAUUAGAAUAUUAAUUGCCUAUGCUACUAACCAUGAUUUCAAGCUAUAUCAAAUGGAUGUCAAGAGCGCUUUUCUAAAUGGACCACUACAAGAAAGAGUAUAUGUGGAGCAACCACCGGGCUUUGAAGACCCAAAGAAGCCAAAUCAUGUUUAUCUUCUUCACAAGGCACUCUACGGGCUUAAACAAGCCCCUAGAGCUUGGUAUGACUGUCUUAAAGAUUUUUUAAUUAAGAAUGGGUUUACAAUAGGAAAAGCUGACUCUACUUUAUUUACUCGAAAAGUUGAUAAUGAAUUAUUUGUGUGCCAAAUAUAUGUUGAUGACAUUAUAUUUGGUAGUACUAAUGAAAAAUUUUGUGAAGAGUUUAGCAAAGUAAUGACGAACAGGUUUGAGAUGUCUAUGAUGGGCGAGCUUAAAUACUUCCUGGGAUUUCAAGUCAAACAACUCAAGGAAGGUACCUUUCUAUGCCAAACUAAAUAUACUCAAGAUAUGCUCAAGAAGUUUGGCAUGGAAAAAGCAAAGCACGCCAAGACUCCAAUGUCAUCAAAUGGACAUCUCGACCUAAAUGAGGAAGGUAAACCUGUAGAUCAAAAAUUAUAUAGAUCAAUGAUAGGUCACUGCUUUACUUAUGUGCAUCUAGGCCUGAUAUAAUGUUGAGUGUUUGCAUGUGUGCACGUUUUCAAGCAAAUCCUAAAGACUGCCAUCUUGUAGCCGUUAAGAGAAUUCUAAGAUACUUAGUCCACACCCAAAACCUAGGAUUAUGGUAUCCUAAAGGCUCCCUUUUCGAUUUGCUUGGCUACUCUGACUCAGAUUAUGCCGGUUGCAAAGUAGAUCGAAAAAGCACUACUGGGACUUGCCAAUUCCUUGGGCGGUCCUUAGUGUCAUGGAGUUCCAAGAAACAAAAUUAUGUUGCACUUUCCACUGCAGAAGCUGAAUACAUAGCAGCUGGGGCAUGUUGUGCACAGUUGUUAUGGAUGAAGCAAACCCUUAGAGAUUUUGGUUGUGAGUUUAACAAAAUUCCACUUUUGUGUGACAAUGAGAGUGCCAUAAAACUUGCAAACAAUCCGGUGCAACACUCUAGAACUAAACAUAUUGACAUCAGACACCAUUUCUUGAGAGACCAUGAAGCCAAAGGAGAUAUCGAACUAUUUCAUGUGAGCACCGAAAAUCAACUAGCCGAUAUCUUCACAAAACCCCUUGAUGAGACUAGGUUUUGUUUUCUUAGGAGUGAGCUAAAUAUCUUGGAUUCUCGAAACGUGGCUUAAUAACUAAAAUUUUGAUCAAACUUGACGGUUGAAAAUUGAUUGUUUGAGCUAUAUGAAAUGAGAAAUAUCAUUUUUAUCUUUAAAAUAUUUCAUGUCAUAUUUGCUAAGUGGUAUUACAGCCCUUCCGGGCAAUAUUUAAAAUCUGGUUGAGUAAACCGGCUGAGUAGACCACUCAACCGGUUUCUCCCUGGUGGAAACCGGUUGAACCAGUAUAAAAACCGGUUGAACCGGUUUUGGCCGUCGCGCCGUCAGUCAGCGCGCAGUCUGCGCUGACAGCUGCGCAGUCUGCGCUGUCAGUUUUGCAGUCUGUGCUGUCAGACUGCCAGGAUUUCCGUGCAGUCAACACCGUUUUCUGCGCGCUUUUACUGCGCCGUUUGACCCGAAACCGGUUGAACCGGUUUUGGAACCGGUUGAACCGGUUUUCGGUUUUCUGGCGGCCGACUCCUCCCCUUUUUAUGUCUCUCCCUCUCUCCUCUUCCCUUCUCAGACUCUUUUCCAGCCGCCGCCGCUCUCUCAUUCCUCUCUCACACCUUCACACUCCUCUCCAAAAACUCUCUCGAGCCCUCACUCUUUUGGAAGAGUGGUUGGAGAUCCGUUCUUCCCGGCGUGUUUCCACCAUCUUCCUCCAUCUCGUUGGGAGUUCUUGACCCAAUCUUCGGAUCGAGGUAUUGCCCUAUGUUAUUUCCUUGUACUCGAUCCUACGCGUUCUUGAUUAUCAUAUGUAUCAUUCGUUGGGUACAUUUUAGUUUAAGUGAUUGCAACACUUAGAUUAUCUUCAUUUUGUCACAAACAUUGUUAGAGAUUAGCGAUUUGAUAUUGUUCGUUGCAGUUGAACCGCUCAUACGAACGGUUGAAGUGCAUGCUCAAUAUCUUAUGCGUUUCUACUCAAACGUGUUUGAUCCUUGCUCAUCAUAGGUUCUAUUUCUUAUUUUUUAGAAUGGUGCGUCGAAGGAACCCGUCGGUGGUCGAAUCCGACUCCUCGGAUGACCAGGAAAUCCACGGAGAUACUCCACCUCGCUCUCGAUCCAAGCGAGGGCGCGGAAGCGGCAAUGUCAUGCCGGGUGCUGAGGCCUCCGGGUCUCAAAGUGCUCGCGGUCGGACUUCCCGGAAUCCUUCCGGUCGGUCUCGACCUGCGACGAAUCCGCAGGCGUGGGAGCCUGCAAGUGAUGAUGAUGGCGGGAAGGACGAUGAAGUUGAUCUUCCCCCGGCCCACGCUCAUGUGAUUCGCGGCUUGGUCCUCCACCGGGCAGAGGCUCGGCGUGCUGGCAAUGAGCCAGUCACUGACUUCACUGCCAGUGGAGGGUCUGCUCUUCUCCAGGAUCUUCGUUUCCAAAAUCCUGUAUUGCGUAUUCGCGAUGCCAGGAUCGAUGGAAAUCGCUUUUGGACUCUUCACCACGUGGAUUUCUAUAAUUCCGUCAUUCUUCCCAAGAAGCAUCAACCCAUCCUACAUCAACGAUAUAUUAACUGGGAAGGUUGUGAAGCGAUUGGGGACCCAGAAAUGUCACAGGCACUGAGGGCCUGUGAAAGGAAACAAAUGAAGAAUAUCAUGACAUUCCAAUAUGAUUGGAAUGAUGAAGUGAUUGCUCAAUUCUACUCCACUCUCUGGAUAAAGCUUGCUGACGAGGAGAGUCAUUACAACUACCCCUAUCUGAACUUCUUCAUUGAAGGUAGUUGGUACAAGGUGAGCUAUCGUCGAUUUGCUCACAUUCUCGGCUUUUCUGACGAUGAUAUAUCUGGAGACAAGAUCAAGAUUCAUGAUUUCCGGCAGCCCACAAGAGAUGAAGCCAAGGAUCUUCAUCUUUCUGAGUCUGGAAAGUAUUGGGAGUCGACCAACAUUCAUAAGUAUUAUCGUUAUAUCAACUCCCUCUGCAGGAUGACCCUCAUUCCAAAAGGGGGAAAUCAGAUGAACAUCCUUGGGGAGAGCAAGGUCUUGCUCUCUUUUAUGAAACCCAACAGCUCAGAAAGGAUUAAUGUCUUUGACAUGAUAUGGCAGGAAAUUAUUCAUGCAGCCUGCUUUCCUUUGAAGGGGUGUCUUCAUGCUCCAUUCAUUAUGAAGAUGAUUGAGGUCGUGACCCAGUUCAGAUUUGACAAAGGUACCCGACAUCAGUCAUACACCCCUUUCUGGAUUGAUCCCAACAAUCCAGCUGGGCGCCUCAGGAAAGCCCCCUCCAGUUCUCGUGGUCAUACAUCUGCGGGUCCGUCUGCUGGUGCUGGUGCUGGUGCUGGUGCUGGUGCUGCUGCUGCUGGUGCCUCGCGCCCUUCCCCUGGCCGCGGAUCUCCCACACCACGUGGUCGUGGUCGUGGUCGAGGUCGUGGCCGUGGGAUGGGUGCCCGCUUGGCCCACGGGUUUGCGACUUUCUUCUCCAUGUGCCGAAAUAUUGCUGCAGAUGUCCAUGAGGUGGCUCGACGUCAGCGGGAGACCAACGACAACCUACGUCGUCAAGCUUCCGCUUUGGGUACUCCCUUCGCCCCUCGCUCUCCUGAUGUACCUCUUCACCCUCCUCCUCCAGAUGUCAACGAGUGGUACCAGCAGGCAUAUGGGGUACCUUUUUCAACAGCUGAUGACGUCGAAGAAGAAGAAACUUAUUUUGAUGAUCCGGAGCAGUUUGUCCCGCCCCCAUAUCACGGGGAUCCGGGCCAAUCGUCCUCUUAUCCUCCGCCCCAGGACCCGUCUGGCAGUGCUCCUCCUCCGGCCCAGUCUGGAGAGGAACACUUUGCCUCCGACCUGGCGCAACACCUCUUCGCUCCUCAUCAUCCUCCUCCCCACUGGUGAUCAUUGGAUCGGCGCUUUUCUCUCUCUUUUUGGUUCUUGUUGCCAAAAAGGGGGAGAAAGUUUAUUCAGUACUCCUUUAUUUUUGUAAUGAACACUUGGUCUGUAAUAACUAUUUGAUGCAUGCAUGGCUUGAAUGCCAUAAACACUUUUAUGAUGUGAUCAGACGAGCUCUCAUUAUUGUAAUAGCUGUAGAACUUUUUUAUAUCAUAUGCUAUGCAAUAAUGAGCUUGAAUGUGCUUUUACUCUUUAUAUCCAAUUAUGUUUCAUACCUCAUCACUUUUGUAUAUGGUGUUGAUUGUUCUCUCUCUCUAAAUAUGUUGCAAAUUGACAUAUCAAGUCAAUGUUAAUAUCGCAAAACUCAUGCACAUAUUUAGGGGGAGCUACACAUACACAAAAGAUUUUAUAUCGCAAGUACUUGUAACUUUUAAUUCUUAUUUCCAUUCUAGUUUGUUUUGGCAUCAAUCACCAAAAAGGGGGAGAUUGUAAGUGCAAUCAACCCUAAUUGAGGGUUUUGGUCAUUAAUGACAAAACAAACUAAGAUUCUAACAAGUUUGCUUCUAGUAUGUACACAGUAUUUCUACAGACAGGAGAAGCACAGAUCUUACGAGCAUAAAAGUAUAAAGCACAACGGAUUUAAAAUUCCACAUCAAAUGGCGUGCUCCAAGUGCUAAGAAACAACGGCGGUGCUAAAUUUAUAAUUCUUGAGUCAUAGGAAUCGCCGUACAAUUAAGAGGGAUCCGCGACGGUUAAGUAAGAUGUGAAACGAGCCAAGUUCAAAAUCUUUUGAAAACUCCUUGGAGAUCAUUUUCCCAGAUCAUGAAUGCCCUUGAGAAAAACAAAUUUUACUUCCCACAAAGUCUCCCCUUUUGUUCUCUUCAAAAUUCUCAAAGUUUGGUUUCAGCCCCCAAAAACCGGUUCAACCGGUCCUGAAACCGGUUCAACCGGUUUCGGUACUAUUCACCCUGCCACCUCUGCUCUGACCUGUUUGACAGUCAUAGCUGGCAGAAAAGUCGCAGCAGAUAUUUUUCAGAAACCGGUUGAGCCGAAUUUUGUCCCUACUCAGCCGGUUUUGAAACCGGUCGAGUGUCCGGCUGAGUAGCCCAGUGGACCGGGAUCCCCCUGGUAGAAACCGGUUCAACCGGUUUGAAAACCGGUUCAACCGGUUUUUGCCCAUUUUCUCCCAACGGCUGCCAGCUUUUGGGGGAUCCUUUAUAUACCCCCUCACACUCUCUCUCUCAUUUACUCCGGCCUCUCCCACGAAUCUUUGGCUGACCAACCUUCAAACAAGAGCAUUCACUUCACCUUUCACACCCGCAAUCGCAUCUCCUUCAAUCAUUUGAAGGACCCUUGGUGUGAGGUGAACUCGAUCGAACUCGCUGUCAAUUUCAUCUCGAUUCUUCCAUUCUCUUGUUCUUGAGCUCGUUGCAAACUUAACCGUGUGCGGAUUUGUUACUCUUGGAACCUUGUGUUCCUUGACGGUUAGAGGUUGCUUGGGAGUCUCCAAAUUUGUGGACGACCCCAAGAAGUUUGUAUCACCCGCUCCUUGAGCAGAUUUGAGAAGAGAUUGCCUUGACCUUUGUGGUCGGCUUGUGGAGGAUUAGGGUUGGAAAAGACCCGGCCCUUUGUGGGUUCCUCAACGAGGAGUAGGACACUUUUGUGGUGGUUGCCGAACCUCGGGUUAUAUCGCGUGUUCUUGUGUGUUCUUGUCAAGCGCUUUAUACUCUGUGGUUGGUUCAUAUUAUUCAUUUAAGUAGUCUUUGUGUAGGGCAAAUCUUUAGCUAUAUUCUUCACUACUUCGCAUUUGUUCAAUAGAUUAUCAAAUUUAAGUUGAGCGGGUUCAAACUUGUUCAGUUGUGAUUAAAAUCGACUGAACCGGUUUGCACCUGUGCAACUUUAAUUUAACCUAUUUCGAAGUUUUUAGUGAAAAUUUUCAGGUGUAGCCUAUUCACCCCCCCUCUAGGCUACUUUCAGUGGUAAGCCCGGUCAUUUUAUUGCUAAAUGUCCUAUAUCUAGUGACAGUGACCAGGGCAACGACAAGAAAGGGAGAAGAAAGGAGAAGAAGAAAUACUUCAAGAAGAGGGGCGGCGAUGCCCAUGUUUGUCAGGAGUGGGAUUCCGACGAAAGCUCUAGCGACUCCUCCGACGACGAGGACGCCGCCAACAUCGCCGUCACCAAGGGACUUCUCUUUCCCAACGUCGGCCACAAGUGCCUAAUGGCAAAGGACGGCAAAAAGAAGAAGGUUAAAUCUAAAUCCUCCACUAGAUAUGAAUCAUCUAGUGAUGAAAAUGUUAGUGAUGAGGAAGAAAACUUGCGCACUCUUUUUGCCAACCUCAACAUGCAACAAAAAGAGAAACUUAAUGAAUUGAUUAGUGCCAUUCAUGAAAAGGAUGAUCUCUUGGACACCCAAGAGGACUUCCUUAUUAAAGAAAAUAAGAAGCAUGUUAAAGUUAAAAAUGCUUAUGCUCUAGAAGUAGAAAAAUGUGAAAAAUUGUCUAGUGAGCUAAGCACUUGCCAUGAGACUAUAGACAACCUUAGAAAUGAGAAUUCUAAUUUAUUAGCUAAGGUUGAUUCUAUUGCUUGUAAUGUUUCAGUUCCCAAUCUUAGAAAUGAUAAUGAUGAUAUGCUUGCUAAGAUUGAAGAAUUGAACUUAUCUCUUGUUAGCCUUAGGAAUGAAAAUGAGAAAUUAAUAGCCAAGGCUAAAGAUUUUGAUGUUUGCAAUGGUACCAUUUCCGACCUUAGAACUAAGAAUGAUAUAUUGCAUGCUAAGGUUGUAGAAUUAAAAUCUUGCAAACCCUCUACAUCUACCGUUGAGCACACUUCUAUUUGCACUAGAUGUAGAGAUAUUGAUGUUAAUGCUAUUCAUGAUCACAUGACUUUAAUUAAACAACAAAAUGAUCAUAUAGCAAAACUAGAUGCAAAAAUUGCCAAGCAUAACUUAGAAAAUGAAAAAUUUAAAUUUGCUAGAAGUAUGCUCUAUAAUGGGAGAUGCCCUGGCAUCAAGGAUGGCAUUGGCUUCCAAAGGGGAGACAAUGUCAAACUUAAUGCCCCUCCUAAAAGAUUGUUAGGGCAAGGCUCCCAUGCCUCAGGAUAACGAGGGUUAUAUUUUAUACCCUGCCGGUUAUCCCGAGAGCAAGAUUAGGAGAAUUCACUCUAGGAAGUCUCACUCUGGUCCUAACCAUGCCUUUAUGUAUAAGGGUGAGACAUCUAGCUCUAGGCAACCAACCCGUGCUAAGUUGCCUAAGAAAAGAACUCCUAAUGCAUCAAAUGAUCAUGACAUUUCAUUCAAAACUUUUGAUGCAUCAUAUGUGUUGACUAACAAAUCCGGCAAAGUAGUUGCCAAAUAUGUUGGGGGCAAGCACAAGGGGUCAAAGACUUGUGUUUGGGUACCCAAAGUUCUUGUGUCUAAUGCCAAAGGACCCAAAACCAUUUGGGUACCUAAAGUCAAGAACUAAACUUGUUUUGUAGGUUUAUGCAUCCGGGGGCUCAAGUUGGAUACUCGGCAGCGGGUGCACAAACCAUAUGACAGGGGAGAAGAAGAUGUUCUCCUCCUACGAGAAAAACCAAGAUCCCCAACGAGCUAUCACAUUCGGUGAUGGAAAUCAAGGUUUGGUCAAAGGUCUUGGUAAAAUAGCUAUAUCUCCUGACCAUUCUAUUUCCAAUGUUUUUCUUGUAGACUCAUUAGAUUACAAUUUGCUUUCUGUUUCUCAAUUAUGCAAAAUGGGCUACAACUGCUUAUUCACUGAUGUAGGUGUCACUGUCUUUAGAAGAAGUGAUGAUUCAAUAGCAUUUAAGGGAGUGUUAGAGGGUCAGCUAUACUUGGUAGAUUUUGAUAGAGCUGAACUCGACACUUGCUUAAUUGUUAAGACUAACAUGGGCUGGCUCUGGCAUCGCCGACUAGCACAUGUUGGGAUGAAGAAUCUUCACAAGCUUCUAAAGGGAGAACACAUUUUAGGACUAACAAAUGUUCAUUUUGAGAAAGACAGGGUUUGUAGGCAUGCCAAGCAGGAAAGCAAGUUGGUGCCCAUCAUCCACACAAGAACAUCAUGACGACCGACAGGCUGCUUGAACUACUCCACAUGGAUCUAUUCGGCCCGAUUGCUUACAUAAGCAUCGGCGGGAGUAAGUAUUGUCUUGUAAUAGUGGAUGAUUAUUCUCGCUUCACUUGGGUGUUCUUUCUGCAGGAAAAAUCUCAAACCCAAGAAAUCUUAAAGGGAUUCUUAAGACGGGCUCAAAACGAGUUUGGCUUAAGGAUCAAGAAAAUUAGAAGCGACAACGGGACGGAGUUCAAGAACUCUCAAAUCGAAGGCUUCCUUGAGGAGGAGGGCAUCAAGCAUGAGUUCUCCUCUCCCUACACGCCACAACAAAAUGGUGUAGUGGAGAGGAAGAAUCGAACUCUAUUGGACAUGGCAAGGACCAUGCUUGAUGAGUACAAGACUUCGGAUCGGUUUUGGGCUGAGGCGGUCAAUACCGCUUGCUGCGCCAUCAACCGGUUAUAUCUACACCGAAUCCUCAAGAAGACAUCUUAUGAGCUCCUAACCGGUAAAAAGCCCAACAUUUCAUAUUUUAGAGUCUUUGGUAGCAAAUGCUUUAUUCUUGUUAAAAGAGGUAGAAAAUCUAAAUUUGCUCUUAAGACUGUAGAAGGCUUUUUACUAGGAUAUGAUUCAAACACAAGGGCAUAUAGAGUCUUUACCAAGUCCACUGGACAAGUUGAAGUUUCUUGUGACGUUGUGUUUGAUGAGACUAACAGCUCUCAAGUAGAGCAAGUUGAUCUUGAUGAGAUAGGUAAUGAAGAGGCUCCAUGCAUCGCGCUUAGGAACAUGUCCAUUGGGGAUGUGUGUCCUAAGGAAUCCGAAGAGCCUCCAAAUGCACAAGAUCAACCGUCAUCCUCCACGCAAGCAUCUCCACCAACUCAAAAUGAGGAUGAAGCUCAAUUUGAUGAAGUAGAAGAUCAAGCAAAUGAGCCACCUCAAGAUGACGCAAAGAUCAAGGGGGAGAUGCAAAUGAUCAAGACAAGGAGGAUGAAGAACAACGGCCGCCACACCCAAGAGUCCACCAAGCAAUCCAACGAGAUCACCCCGUCGACACCAUCCUCGGCGACAUUCAUAAGGGGGUAACCACUAGAUCUCGAGUUGCACAUUUUUGUGAGCAUUACUCUUUUGUUUCCUCUAUUGAGCCACACAGGGUAGAAGAAGCACUCCAAGAUUCGGAUUGGGUGGUGGCGAUGCAAGAGGAGCUCAACAACUUCACUAGGAAUGAGGUAUGGCACUUAGUUCCACGUCCUAACCAAAAUGUUGUAGGAACCAAAUGGGUCUUCCGCAACAAGCAAGAUGAGCAUGGUGUGGUGACAAGGAACAAAGCCCGACUUGUGGCCAAGGGAUACUCCCAAGUCGAAGGUUUGGAUUUCGGUGAAACAUAUGCACCCGUAGCUAGGCUUGAGUCAAUUCGCAUAUUGUUGGCCUAUGCUACUUACCAUGGCUUUAAGCUCUAUCAAAUGGACGUGAAAAGUGCCUUCCUCAAUGGACCAAUCAAGGAAGAGGUCUAUGUUGAGCAACCUCCCGGCUUUGAAGAUAGUGAGUACCCUAACCAUGUUUACAAACUCUCUAAGGCGCUUUAUGGGCUCAAGCAAGCCCCAAGAGCAAGGUAUGAAUGCCUUAGAGAUUUCCUUAUUGCUAAUGGCUUCAAAGUCGGAAAGGCCGAUCCUACUCUAUUCACUAAAACUCUUGAAAAUGACUUGUUUGUAUGCCAAAUUUAUGUUGAUGAUAUUAUAUUUGGGUCUACUAACGAGUCUACAUGUGAAGAAUUUAGUAGGAUCAUGACACAAAAGUUCUAGAUGUCUAUGAUGGGGGAGUUGAAGUACUUCUUGGGAUUUCAAGUGAAGCAACUCCAAGAGGGCACCUUCAUUAGCCAAACAAAGUAUACUCAAGACAUUCUAAACAAGUUUGGGAUGAAGGAUGCCAAGCCCAUCAAGACACCCAUGGGAACUAAUGGGCAUCUCGACCUCGACACGGGAGGUAAGUCCGUGGAUCAAAAGGUAUACCGGUCGAUGAUAGGUUCUUUACUCUAUUUAUGUGCAUCUCGACCGGAUAUUAUGCUUUCCGUAUGCAUGUGUGCAAGAUUCCAAGCCGACCCUAAGGAAGCUCACCUUACGGCCGUAAAACGAAUCUUGAGAUAUUUGGCUUAUACUCCUAAGUUUGGGCUUUGGUAUCCUAGGGGAUCCACUUUUGAUUUGAUUGGUUAUUCGGAUGCCGAUUGGGCGGGGUGUAAAAUCAAUAGGAAGAGCACAUCGGGGACUUGCCAGUUCUUGGGAAGAUCCUUGGUGUCUUGGGCUUCAAAGAAGCAAAAUUCGGUCGCUCUUUCCACCGCCGAAGUCGAGUACAUUGCCGUAGGCCAUUGUUGCGCGCAAUUGCUUUGGAUGAGGCAAACCCUGCGGGACUACGGUUACAAAUUAACCAAAGUCCCUUUGCUAUGUGAUAAUGAGAGUGCAAUCAAGAUGGCGGAUAAUCCCGUCGAGCAUAGCCGCACUAAACACAUAGCCAUUCGGUAUCAUUUUCUUAGGGAUCACCAACAAAAGGGAGAUAUCGAGAUUUCUUACAUUAACACUAAAGAUCAAUUAGCCGAUAUCUUUACCAAGCCUCUUGAUGAACAAACUUUUAACAAACUUAGGCAUGAGCUCAAUAUUCUUGAUUCACGCAAUUUCUUUUGCUAAAAUUGCACACAUAGCUCUUUUAUAUACCUUUGAUCAUAUCUCUUUCAUAUGCUAUGACUAAUGUGUUUUCAAGUCUAUUUCAAACCAAGUCAUAGGUGUAUCGAAAGGGAAUUGGAGUCUUCGGCGAAGACAAAGGCUUCCACUCCGUAACUCAUCCUUCGUCGUCGCUCCGUACCACUCUCCAUCUUUGGGGGAGAGAGCAAAAGGACUUCGUCUUUGGUAUAAUCUUAACUCAUUUAUUUAUAACCAAAGGGGAAGAAAAGAACAUGAGGGCUCUAAUGAUUCCGUUUUUGGCGAUUCAUGCCAAAGGGGGAGAGAGUAUGAGCCCAAAGCAAAAGGACCGCACCACCACCAAUUUCAAAAACUUAGUUUUUCAGUUUUUCAAAGAGUAUUUUCAAUUGGUAUCCUAUUGUGUUCAAAAGGGGGAGAAAGUAGUAUUUCAAAAAUGAUACAUCAAAACCCUCUUGAACACUAAGAGGAGGAUCUCAUUUAGGGGGAGUUUUGUUUAGUCAAAGGAAAAGCAUUUGAAACAGGGGGAGAAUUUCAAAUCUUGAAAAUGCUUUUCAAAAUCUUAUUCAUUUACCUUUGACUAUUUGCAAAAGAACUUUGAAAAGGAUUCACUAAAUAGUUUGCAAAAACAAAACAUGUGGUGCAAGCAUGGUCCAAAAUGUUAAAAAUAAAGAAACGAUCCAUGCAUAUCUUGUAAGUAUUAUAUUGGCUCAAUUCCAAGCAACCUUUGCACUUACAUUAUGCAAACUAGUUCAAUUAUGCUUUUCUAUACUUGCUUUGGUUUGUGUUGGCAUCAAUCACCAAAAAGGGGGAUAUUGAAAGGGAAUUAGGCUUACACCUAGUUCCUAAAUAAUUUUGGUGGUUGAAUUGCCCAACACAAAUAAUUGGACUAACUAGUUUGCUCUAAGUGUAUAAGUUAUACAGGUGUAAAAGGUUCACACUUAGCCAAUAAAAAGAUCAAAUAUUGGAUUCAACAAAGGAGCAAAGGGACAACCGAAGGCACCUCUGGUCUGGGGCACCGGACUGUCCGGUGUACACCGGACAGUGUCCGGUGCACCAGAGGACUCCAACUUAAACUUGCCACCUUCGGGAAUUUCCAGAGGCACUCCGCUAUAAUUCACCGGACUGUCCGGUGUACACCGGACAGUGUCCGGUGCUCCAAGGAAGAGCGGCCUCCGGAACUCGCCAGCCUCGGGAAAACGCAUCGGCUGCUCCGCUAUAAUUCACCGGACAUGUCCGGUGUACACCGGACUGUCCGGUGAACCAGCAGAGCAACGGCUACUUCGAGCCAACGGUCACCUGCAGGCGCAUUCAAUGCGCGCCAGAAGCGCGCAGAAGUCAGGCACGCCCAUACUAGCGCACCGGACAUUGAACAGUACAUGUCCGGUGUGCACCGGACAUCCAGGCGGGCCCAGAAGACAGAAGCUCCAACGGUCGGAAUCCAACGGCAUUGGUGACGUGGCUGGCGCACCGGACUGUCUGGUGCACCAUACGACAGACAGCCUCCACCAACGGUCAUGUUUGGUGGUUGGGGCUAUAAAUAUCCCAACCACCCCACCAUUCAUUGCAUCCAAGUUCUCCAGCUUCCAACCACUAUACAAGAGCUAGCAUUCAUUGCAAAGCACACCAAAAGAGAUCAAAUCCUCUCCCAACUCCACACAAAGCAUUAGUGACUAGAGAGAGUGAUUUGUAGUGUUCAUUUGAGCUCUUGCGCUUGGAUCGCUUCUUUUCCUUGGCAUUCUUUCUUGUGAUCAAACACUCACUUGUAAUUGAGGCAAGAGACACCAAUUGUGUGGUGGUCCUUGCGGGAAGUUUGAUUCCCAAGUGAUUUGAGAAGAGAAGCUCACUCGGUCCGAGGGACCGUUUGAGAGAGGGAAAGGGUUGAAAAAGACCCGGCCUUUGUGGCCUCCUCAACGGGGAGUAGGUUUGCGAGAACCGAACCUUGGUAAAACAAAUCCUUGUGUCUCACCGCUUUACUCGCUUGCGAUUUGUUUUACACCCUCUCGCGGACUCGGUUUUAUUUCUAACGCUAACCCGGCUUGUAGUUGUGUUUAUAUUUGUAAAUUUCAGUUUCGCCCUAUUCACCCCCCCUCUAGGCGACUAUCAUGUAUCUAGAAUUGAAUGCUAGAGCUCUUGUAAGUGGUUGGAAGUUGGAAAACUUGGAUGACUUGAAUGUGGGGUGGUUGGGAGUAUUUAUAACCCCAACCACCAAAAUAGUCGUUUGGUGGAGGCUGUUGUCGCAUGGCGCACCGGACAGUCUGGUGCGCCACCGGACACUGUCCGGUGCGCCAGCCACGUCACCAGGCCGUUGGGUUCCGACCGUUGGAGCUCUGACGUGUGGGCCCGCCUGGCUGUCCGGUGGUGCACCGGACAAGUCCUGUAGACUGUCCGGUGUGCCACCCGCGCGUGCUCUGCUCCUCUGCGCACGCUGGCGCGCAUUUAAUGCGUUGCAGUCGACCGUUGGCGCGAAGUAGCCGUUGCUCCGCUGGCUCACCGGACAGUCCGGUGUGCACCGGACAUGUCCGGUGAAUUAUAGCGGAGCGGAUUCCCGAAGCUGGCAAGUUCAGAGUCGCUCUCCUCUGGAGCACCGGACACUGUCCGGUGAAUUAUAGCGAAGCGCCUCUGAAAAUUCCCGAAGAUGCGAAGUUUGGCUUGGAGUCCCCUGGUGCACCUUACACUGUCCGGUGGUGCACCGGACACUGUCCGGUGCGCCAGACCAGGGCAGCCUUCGGUUGUCCCUUGCUCUUUUGGUUGAACCCAUUUCUUGGUCUUUUUAUUGGCUAAGUGUGAACCUUUGGCACCUGUAUAACUUAUAGACUAGAGCAAACUAGUUAGUCCAAUUAUUUGUGUUGGGCAAUUCAACCACCAAAAUCAAUUAGGAACUAGGUGUAAGCCUAAUUCCCUUUCAAGACUAACGGCUCUCAAGUAGAGCAAGUUGAUCUUGAUGAGAUAGGUGAUGAAGAGGCUCCGUGCAUCGCGCUAAGGAACAUGUCCAUUGGGGAUGUGUGUCCUAAGGAAUCCGAAGAGCCUCCAAAUGCACAAGACCAACCAUCCUCCUCCACGCAAGCAUCUCCACCAACUCAAAAUGAGGAUGAGGCUCAAGUUGAUGAAGGAGAAGAUCAAAUAGAUGAGCCACCUCAAGAUGAUGGCAAUAAUCAAGGGGGAGAUGCAAAAGAUCAAGUCAAGGAGGAUGAAGAACCAAGACUGGCACACCCAAGAGUCCACCAAGCAAUCCAACGAGAUCACCCCGUCGACACCAUCCUCGGCGACAUUCAUAAGGGGGUAACCACUAGAUCUCGUGUUGCACAUUUCUGUGAGCAUUACUCUUUUGUUUCCUCUAUUGAGCCACACAAGGUAGAGGAAGCACUACAAGAUUCGGAUUGGGUGGUGACGAUGCAAGAGGAGCUCAACAACUUCACUAGGAACGAGGUAUGGCAUUUGGUUCCACGUCCUAAUCAAAAUGUUGUAGGAACCAAGUGGGUUUUCCGCAACAAGCAAGACGAGCAUGGUGUGGUGACAAGGAACAAAGUCCGACUUGUGGCCAAGGGAUACUCCCAAGUCGAAGGUUUGGACUUCGGUGAAACCUAUGCACCCGUAGCUAGGCUUGAGUCAAUUCGUAUAUUAUUAGCCUAUGCUACUUACCAUGGCUUCAAGCUUUACCAAAUGGACGUGAAGAGUGCCUUCCUCAAUGGACCGAUCAAGGAAGAAGUCUAUGUUGAGCAACCUCCCGGCUUUGAAGAUAGUGAGUACCCUAACCAUGUGUAUAAACUCUCUAAGGCGCUUUAUGGGCUCAAGCAAGCCCCAAGAGCAUGGUAUGAAUGUCUAAGAGAUUUUCUUAUCACUAAUGGCUUCAAAGUCGAAAAGGCUGAUCCUACUUUAUUUACUAAAACUCUUGACAAUGAUUUGUUUGUAUACCAAAUUUAUGUUGAUGAUACUAUAUUCGGGUCUACUAACGAAUCUACAUGUGAGGAAUUUAGUAGGAUCAUGACACAGAAAUUCGAGAUGUCUAUGAUGGGGGAGUUGAAGUACUUCUUAGGAUUUCAAGUGAAGCAACUCCAAGAGGGCACCUUCAUUAGCCAAACAAAGUAUAUUCAAGACAUUCUAAACAAGUUUGGAAUGAAGGAUGCCAAGCCUAUCAAGACACCCAUGGGAACCAAUGGGCAUCUCGACCUUGACACGGGAGGUAAAUCCGUCGAUCAAAAGGUAUACCGGUCGAUGAUAGGCUCUUUACUCUAUUUAUGCGCAUCUCGACCGGACAUUAUGCUUUCCGUAUGCAUGUGUGCAAGAUUCCAAGCCGACCCUAAGGAAGCUCACCUUACGGCCGUAAAACGAAUCUUGAGAUAUUUAGUUUAUACUCCUAAGUUUGGGCUUUGGUAUCCUAGGGGAUCCACUUUUGAUUUAAUUGGUUAUUCGGAUGCCGAUUGGGCGGGGUGUAAGAUUAAUAGAAAGAGCACAUCGGGGACUUGCCAGUUCUUGGGAAGAUCCUUGGUGUCUUGGGCUUCAAAGAAGCAAAAUUCCGUAGCUCUUUCUACCGCCGAAGCCGAGUAUAUUGCCGUAGGUCAUUGUUGCGCGCAACUACUUUGGAUGAGGCAAACCCUUAGGGACUACGGUUACAAAUUAACCAAAGUUCCUCUUCUAUGUGAUAAUGAGAGUGCAAUCUGCAUGGCGGAUAAUCUCGUUGAGCAUAGCCGCACUAAACACAUAGUCAUUCGCUAUCAUUUCUUAAGGGAUCACCAACAAGAGGGAGAUAUCGAGAUUGCGUAUAUUAACACUAAAGAUCAAUUAGCCGAUAUCUUUACCAAGCCACUUGAUGAACAAACCUUUAACAAACUUAGGCUUGAGCUAAAUAUUCUUGAUUCUAGGAAUUUCUUUUGAUGUUUUGCAUACAUAGCUCAUAAAUAUACCUUUGAUCAUAUCUCUUAUAUGCUAUGACUAAUAUGACUUCAAGUGAAUUUCAAAACAAGUCAUAGGUGUAUUGAAAGGGAAUUGGAGUCUUCGGCGAAGACAAAGGCUUCCACUCCACUCCAUCAAAAUACAAUCCUUCGCCGUCGCUCCGCAUCACUCUCCAACUUUGGUAUAAUCUUCACUCAUUUAUUUAUGACCAAAGGGGGAGAAAGUAAUUCAAAAGGCUCUAAUGAUUCCGUUUUUGGCGAUUUAUGCCAAAGGGGGAGAGAGCAUGAGCCCAAAGCAAAAGGACCGCACCACCACCAAUUUCAAAAAUUUUAGUCUUUCAAUUUGUUUUUAAAGAAGUAUUUUCAAAUUGGUAUCUUAUUUGUGAUAUAAUUUCAAAAUUGGUAUACCCUCUUCAAAAUUAACAUCAAAACCCUCUUGAACACUAAGAGGAGGAUUUUAUCAAGGGGGAGUUUUGUUUUAGUCAAAGGAAAAACAUUUCAAACAGGGGGAGAAAAUUUCAACUCUUGAAAAUGCUUCUCAAAAUCUUAUUCAUUUACCUUUGACUAUUUGCAAAAGGUCUUUGAAAAGAAUUUACAAAAGAAUUUGCAAAAACAAAACAAGUGGUGCAAGCGUGGUCCAAAAUGAUGAAAAUAAAGAAACAAUCCAUGCACAUCUUAUGAGAAUUUAUAUUGGCUCAAUUCUAAGUAACCUUUGCACUUACAAUUAUGCAAACUAGUUCAAUUAUGCACUUCUAUAUUUGUUUUGGUUUGUGUUGGCAUCAAUCACCAAAAAGGGGAAGAUUGAAAGGGAAUUAGGCUUACACCUAUUUCCUAAUUGAUUUUGGUGGUUGAAUUGCCCAACACAAAUAAUUGGACUAACUAUUUUGCUCUAGUCUAUAAGUUCUACAGGUGCCAAAGGUUCACAAUAAGUCAAUAAAAAGACCAAGAAAAGGGUUCAAACAAGAGAGCAAGGGAUAACCGAAGUGUGCCCUGGUCUGGCGCAUCGGACAGUGUCCGGUGCACCAGGGGACUCCAAGCUGAACUCCUCACCUUCGGGAAUUCUCAGAGACGCUACGCUAUAAUUCACCGGACUGUCCGGUGCCCCAAGGAAGAGCGACUCUGAACUCGCCAGCUUCGGGAAUCCGCUCCGCUAAAAUUCACCGGACUGUCCGGUGAGUCACCGGACAGUGUCCGGUGCACACCGGACUGUCCGGUGAGCCAGCGGAGCAACGGCUACUUCGCGCCAACGGUCGACUGCAACGCAUUAAAUGCGCGCCAGCGCGCGCAGAGGAGCAGAGCACGCGCGGGUGGCACACCGGACAGCCUACAGGGCCUGUCCGGUGCACCACCGGACAGCCAGGCGGGCCCACAAGUCAGAGCUCCAACGGUCGGAACCCAACGGCGGGGUGACGUGGCUGGCGCACCGGACAGUGUCCGGUGGCGCACCGAACUGUCCGGUGCGCCCGUCGACAGCAGCCUCCACCAACGUUCAAGUUUGGUGGUUGGGGCUAUAAAUACCCCCAACCACCCCCACAUUCAAGUCAUCCAAGUUUUCCACCUUCCAACUACUUACAAGAGCUCUAGCAUUCAAUUCUAGACACAACCAAAUAGAUCAAAUCCUCUCCCAACUUCGGCUUGCUCCUCCUUGCAGCCAGUUCAAAAGAAACGGCAGGAGGAGAUUAAGUUUACAUUUAAUGUUGGCAAAUGUGAUAAGAUAUUCGAUGAAUUACUAAAAAAUGGUAACAUUAAGAUUGAUUAUAUCGUUCCACUUGCCGACGAACUAAAGCAUCGCGCAUAUUGCAAGUGGCACAACUCAUUUUCCCAUGCCACUAAUGAUUGUAAUGUGUUCCGACGACAAAUCCAAUCGGCCAUUAAUGAGGGACGAUUGAAAUUUCAGGAGGACACAGAGCCCUUCCCAAUGAAUAUGAUUGACUUCAAUGGCAAAAAAGUCCUAAUUCGGCCCAGCACAGCCGAUAAGGGCAAAGACAAAGAAGUCAUCAUCGGCAACGCACGGGAGGUCGAUAGAAACAACAAAAUUGCUUGCAGGAAAGUGGUGGCCGAGAAGACUCCUGAUGGAGGGGAGACACUGAAGGUGACCAUCACAAACUCUAGCACUGGAGGGCAAGUGCAGACAAGGGGACAUGCGCAAGAACCCAUACUACGCAUCGCGGACGGUCCGGUGCCCAGGCGCGGACGGUCCGUGACAUCGCCAGACGGUCCGGAGCGUUCCAGCGGACGGUCCGGCAACGCCGAAGAACCAAGGCGACCUUGUACCUUCAAACCACGACGACCAGAAAUAGGUACAUGAAAAACUAACACGUUCAAAGCAACUGGUCGGUUGGUAAAAUCCAGCCCGACCUUUGAUCAAUUAUUGUCUGAAUAUGUGAAAAAGAAGGCUGGCCCCAGCGACCAGCCACCAAAGCAACCUCGCUUACCCACCCAGGUGCGACGACAGGUUAAGUCGAUUGGAUCACCGCACCAAUCGGAAAGGACGAAAUGUCAUAAUGUUCAAUCAAGACCUAACGUACCUGCAUGGACAGCCCCACCACCAUAUCCACCUAUGCCAUAUCCAUACACAUACAUACCUCCACCAUAUGUCCCAAAUCAAAUGUGGGGCAUGCCACCAUACCCAUUUGGGAUGCCAUAGUACCCCGCUUGGGGGGCAUCCCAAACAUCUGUGUUCAAUAGGUUGACACCUCCAGUACAAGACCGAUUGAGAGCCCCUCAAUCUGGUCCACGAGCACAGGCCCAACAAGAUUGCCGAACAACUCAGCCCCAAAGGCUGACUAAUCCGGCAGGGGGGCAUACAGCUACAACCUCCAACAAUGCGAAAAAAGGAGACGUCAUUAAAAUAGGAACGACAGAUAUCGUCGUACAACAAAGUAACGAAGGGUCGAUGAUUUUUGGUGAAUCGGCCAACACAAACAAAAAAGAAGGUAUAGCUGUCAACAAAACAACCGAUCCAAAAUACUCCAUGCCCCGAUGGUGCCCAUCGGGAUUGACACGAUCGCAAAAGCGAAAAUUACAGCGCCUCAGAGCAAAGGAGAAUCAGGAAAAGGAGGCGGAAAGAAUAUUCAAUGACACGCAUCUGCAGUAUCCGCCACCACAAAAGAGAUGGAGACCAAAGGCCGUUGAGAAAAAUCAAACGGCCACAAAGAUAGAAAAUAAAAUGACAACUGUGCAUCUCUCUGCAGGUAUGGUAGACUGUCCGGCUAUAAAGGCCGGAUCAUCUGCACAGGACGCGGACCAUCCGACCCCUGAGGCCGAACCAUCCGCACUACACCAAGACACCUCCGACGACGUACCGACGCCCAUGGAGGAAGACGACCUGCAAGGAGAAGACCUGGUCGACUACGGAGCUACGCCAUAACACUUAGAAAAAUAGGAAAGCAAGGUGACGAAUUGGUCAGGACCAGUAUGACGCUCGGCGGUGUUGGGACUGACAGUUCGAUCAAAGCUAAAGGGAUCACGUCCGUUGAGUCAACCAUCGAGACCAAGGCCACUGCGUACCAUCCUAGUAAGUGGCAAGAUGCCUAAGAAAACCGAUGUGAUCACAUCGAGUUAGUUGCUUUUGGUUCGCUCAGCUCCACCAAAAGGCAGAGGGGCAUAUGUUGAGCACCAUUUUGAGUGCACGGACGGUCCGGCCCUGGGGUCGGACGGUCCGCGGUCCGGACAGUCCGCGCCUAUGGGCCGGACGGUCCGCGCAGGCGCAGAACAGAUUAGGGUUCCGAGUUUCUUGCUAUGUUUGUUGACGAAAAUCUCGGGAUAAGCUCGAAAAUUAGUUUGUAAAGGGUCCAGCCCCCCUCCUCUAUAAAUAGAGAGGUAUACGGCCGAUCAAUCAUUAUCAAUCGAAUCAAUACAACUUCUAUUUCGCAUUUUAUCCUAGGAGUAGUUCUAGUCUAGUUUAGGUUUAGCCUGUCGAUCCCCAAAUUCUUCGCCUCUCUUCGACUCUACGCCGAUUAGAGGAGUCUAGGUCGGUCGGCCCGAGCCUAGACAACCCCUAGGAUCUCUCCUCCCCGACGGGGUCCCUCCCGGGAGCAAGUCCAAGCGCCGCCGGCGAUCUUCCGCCGCCUCUGCGCACGCGCGGACCGUCCGGCCCCAGAGCGCGGACCGUCCGGCCGUCAGGCAGGAAACCUUAGCCCAUGCGUCAGGUCGCGGACCGUCCGGCCCCAGGCCGCGGACCGUCCGUGCCUGACCAAAGAGCACCGCCGUCGGUUCUUCUUGAGUAUUUGGCGCUCCGAAAAAGUGUCAACACGAAGUAACUUCAAAGUUUAGAUCUGCAUAGACAAAAUCGGCUGUGCAUCAUACAGAAUGCGUGGCCCACUAUUUCUUUUCCUUUUAUUACCGGGAAGAACUGAAUCUACACGCAACAUUACAAUGACCAUUUCUGAUACAUCACUACGAGCUUGGGUACAGGGCAUAUGUUGCCUUCAGGUAGUCUAUGAUUUCAGCGCUUUCAAACAUCUGGACUCCCGUGUUAGGAUCUUCGAUGUACGGCGCCUGCCAACACAGUAACACAUACACACACACAUAUACAUGAUGUCGCACACCAGGCAGGCAAAUCAAAAGAAUGUUCAGCGUCAAAUGCAUCAAUAGCGUUAUAGCAAGGCGUCCUACCUGGAAAAGCCCCUUUUUCUUGAAAAAUUCUUGUCGUUUGGGGCUGCCUCGUGCGCAGCUGCAGGAGUAACUUCUAGUUACUAACACUCUUGCAGAGCACAUAUCUCAGUCCAGAAGAACUGAACUAAAGUGAUAAUUCUACUAGGUUAAGUUUAGCAACAGCUUGCAGGCUGUUCUGAAUUCUGAUGCCAUUCAGUGACUUGUGGUUUUAAAGUAUUUUGGAUACCUGUGUAGCAGAUGUGGCAAUUCCAACUCGACAAGUGUCUCUCGUACUAAUUUACAGAAGGGAGAUCCCUGCGAAAACAGACCAUCAGCUAUUCAGAGUCCACGCGACCUGUAUAGUAAGAAGAGAGCUCAUGUGCUGAGGAUUCAGACCUCACAUGCCCAUAUCUCUAUGGGCUGCGGUGGGACUUUUGAAGCAAUGUAGGAAUUUCCCUGUAAACAACGACGUAAUGCCACACGUUUCUGAGCAAACAUCCAGAGGAAAACACGCAGCGAACUUUGUUAUAUUGUUUUUGCACAAUGUACCUUUCCAAUACGACCAAGAGUAGCAAGCCCUGCUGUAAUUGCCUAAAAAAUAUUUAAAAGUUAUCAAAACUGCAAACUGAUCCUUGGCACAAAAUAAAGCAUUAUACCCAUCGGAUAGGCAAAUACUGAAGCAUACUGAAAGCAAAGUGUAAAUAUGUCAAAUAUUCCUCGAUAAUAGUUGGGGUACUUAGUUCAAACAUAUUUUUAUACAUUUGGACUAAUAUGUACACUGGUUAAAACAUAUAAUAUACUUUUAAAUUGCUGGGUGCUUGUUUACUUACUGUCAACAGACCAAGUGAUAGCAUAAUUGGAACAGUUCCAUCGCCUAAGAAAAACAAGCAUAAGUGAGUGAGGUCAGUAAGGUCAUUAUAGGAAGAAACUUUAAGAGGGCAUACCCAGUGCCAAAAAUGGGGUCUAGGAAGGGGAUAAAACGAUACAAUCCUUUUCACACACAAAUCCAGUGAGGCUCCCACAUGAAUGGGGUCUCGGGGAUAAACCAAGACAAGCCUUUUCCCCCACAAAUAGGGAGGAACAACCUUUAAGAGCAAAAGUGAAAAGGAGAUGUGUUGAAUACACACCAUAUGUAUCAGCUAGAUAUUUUAUGAUGUCAUCGGAUUCAUACAUGGCGACCCCUGUGUUUGGAUCUACCUGCAAUAGAGGUGCAUCUUAUGUAACUGUUAACACUGAAUGAUAGAACUGAUUUGCAUUUCAUUACGCAAUUUAUUUCUUGGGAAAACUCAGAUGACCAACCUUACUUUCCUCGACGAAAAAUUAUGACACACACAUCAAAGCUUAUUUAUCAAAUAUAAUGAGCAAGUUAACCUAUCUUGCCAGGGGCCCACAGGUUAUACUCAGUGGUCAUCAUAUGAGCAAGUUUAUUUAUCAAAUAAAAUUCAUACGCCACAUUUCCAUAUUUAACAUACGUGGAUGUGGAUGAGGAGAUGCUAGCAACCAAAUAUGAUCUGAAGUGCUAACACAAAAUAGAAUAUCAGAAUUUAUGUAGGACGUCUGCAUACCAUGUAAGGGAAUUGUUUCUUUCCACCCAUUUCGAGGACUUUAGGUCGGAAUGUUGGGCCUUUUUGAGGACAGGGGUAAAAUAAUACAUCUAGGUCCAAGACUGUUACCAUCUCUCUGACCUGCAAUUUUUCCAUGGUGAAUACAAACAACAAAAUUGCUCUUGUGCAUGAAGAAUGACAUCUGCAAAACGCAGUUGCAAGAGGCUGGGCAUAUUCACCUUCCGACAAAAUGGACAACUGAAGAUUAGCAAGAAUACACCAACAAUGAAGAGAAGAAACAAGUCAGCAUGAUUACUCAGAACAGGAGGAAGAAGCAAGAUAUGCUGUACCCUUCAAAUUCAUAUAUCUCGAUAGGCUUUUCUGGUCGUUUGCACUGUCCUAUUUUUGAUUCCUCUUUCACCUUCCAAGCUACGAUAAGAAACGCAUGUUUACAAGUAAACUUAACAGAGCUAUGUAUUCCACAAACUGCAUCUUAUUGUGCGAUUCUUUGUGGUUUCCAUGAUAUAGUAGGAGUAAUAAUAGCUGCAAUGGAAAAAUUGUGAAUAAACUCACCUCCAAAUUCCAGUGCAUACUGGUCUGAUGGUAUCUCUGAUGGAGAAACAAGAGAUGGCGAGUACCUGCACAUUGAAGUGACACGUGCAGGUAAGCAGGUGCAGGCUGUAGCCCGUAGGCGAGGUAGACGCCCGGACGGUGAGAGAAGGCGCGGUGCGUACCCGAGGACGAAGACGCCGGUGCCGAGGCGAAGGGGGAUGGCGAGCGAGGCGCCGAGGACGCUGCCCACCUGGCCGGACUUGACCUCGUACCUCUUGGGCUCGGGCGCCUUGAACCCCGGCGGAGGCUUGAACUCGGGCGCCGGCUCAGGCGCGGAGGUGGAGACGGCUGCGGCGGUGGUGUCCGGCUGGGCCCUGACGGCGAGAGAAGCGGCCCUGGCGGCGCGCGC